UGUAAGCCACCUGCAAGCAUAGUAGCCUGAUGAAGCUUCUCAUGCUUGACAUAGGCAUAUGCACCGUGGAGAUUAGGAAGAGGAUCCUACCUUAAUACUUGUACCCUAAUCUGAUCAGAACUUGGGUCAAGGCCAGCUAGAAAACCAUAGUCCCUCUUGUUCUCAAUCUCUUGUUUAGUUUUCCUGUAUCCAAAACACACCAUAUCACAUGGUUGAGAAAAUCAAGCUCCUAUUAAAUAGCCUGAAGAGCAAACAAAUAGCUAGUCAAUGUCUUCCCCUGUGUCUCUUCUCAUGUGGCCUAUGCCUAUGUUCCUAGAUCUAAGAAGCAUCACUCCAUCAAAAUAUGUUUGAGCCACAACAUCCCAAAUAGCAUGAGCUGUAAGAUGUUGAAGAAAAGUAGUACUAAUAUUCGAAGUCAUCAAAUUAAGAAGCCAUCAUAUGAACAUGACAUUCUCCUUCACCCAAGUAGAGAAGGAAGGAUCAGAAAUAGCUGGUUGUUUCUCCUAUCGCGUAUACAACUUUCCCUUUUUUUAAUAUGCAGCUUCAUGAACUAGGACUAGGCGAAGUAAUUCUCAUCAAGUUUUUUAGAAGACAUUUGCACAUUCAUGUUAUCAUGUUGAACUGUCACAGCCAAAGGAAUUAGUGGUGGUGCUAUACCAGAACCAGAAAUUGUUGACACCAAUUUGGACACAAUUCUUUAUGUGAAGGCAGUUCCAAAUUUAAAAAACAAGGAUGGGAUGCCAAUGGAAAUAGGUUAGCAAUAAUAGCUCAAACCUAACAAUCACAGAAAUUGCUUUGAUACCAUGCUGAUUUAGAGAGAGAAACUGCUGAUUUUUUACUUCAUAACUUGUACAAGUAUAUAUAUUAAAACUAUGCAAGGAAGAGUCUAAACCAAAUCCCUACAAUCUGCUCCUAAGUUAUAACAAUCAUAAUAAUUAAUGAGAUUCUUAAAAUAAAGGAGCUAAAAACCUAUUCCUUACAAAUAGAAAUUAUAAUUAUAAACCCUUAAAAUAAAGGGGCCAAAUAUGAACAAUGCUUUAAAAGGGUAUUGAGCCUCAAGGUGAGACUCUACAAAUUAGCUUUAAUGCUAUAGACUUAGGGUAAUCGAGGCUUCAACCUUACUUAGUCGAAGCUUACAUUCUUAAGCCUUUAGCCUCAAGAUUGUUGAGGCUUAAGCCUCAAAUAUUCAAAGGGUUUUAUAAGCCUCAAUAUUCGUUGAUUUUUAAUGGUUCUAUGCUUUUGUGAGAUUUUGGUUUAGAUUUUAUGAGUUUUGUUUUAUGUCCAUGAUUAGAUUAAACUUUUUACAAAAUAAGAGGAGCUUAGUUGACUUACAAUUACACCUUCAAAUGGAAGGGGGAAAGGUGAUUGGGAAGAAGACAUAGUGGAAUCAUUGACUGCUUUUCUGGCUAUCAUAUAUGAUUGUGAUCAUAUUACUGAAGGUAAGGAAAACUAUUGCUACAAUUGAUGGAUGAAGAAGAACAAUGAGCGGACAUUAACUCUAAUGGGAAGAUAAUACAUCUAGUUUGAUAAAAAAAAAUGAUAAUACAACAACUAGAUAUGAUCAUGAUUCCUUAGAGGAUCCUACAAAGUGAUAGUGAUGGUAGUGCUAAAGAUUGUUUGAUAAAACCAUGAGAAAGUUAAAUUUUAAAAGAGAGCAAAAAGAACUAAUUUAUUUGAUGAUUAAAUAAAGAUAUUGUACUUUCCAUUAGCUUUUUAUUUGACGACCUCACAUUUAUCCUUUCCACCAAUUUGGACAUGAUUUGGGUCAUGGGUUAUUGAUUGGGUCAAACUUGAUCAAAUUCCCAAUGAUUUCAAAGGUUUCAAACUCCAUAUUGUUUUAGAAGAAGAUUUGUAUAGGCAAAUCAUAAUAUAAAGUGGCUUGGGUUAUAGUAGAACAAUGAAGGAUAUGUUUUGUGGAGAAAAAUUGUAUUUCUCAUUCAUAUCUUAAAAGUGUAUAAUCUUACAGUUUUUUUUUUUUUUGAUUGGAAACGACAAAGGAAUAUAUUGAUAGAAAAAAGAAGUACAAGAGAAGGAUGAGGAAUCCUCCCACCAAAGAAAACUAAACUACAAGAAUACGAAAACAAGAAAAUACAAUGUAAUAAUGAACAAACUCUCUAGACUAGACCAAGCCAAAGGAAUUACACACUGCUAGCCAAUCAAGUUGUAACACAAUAAGGGGAGUCCCCUUAAAGACCUUGGAACAAAAAGCCCAAAGAGAAGUAAUGAAAUGAAUAGAAUCCCAAAGAUUCUCUGAAUUCCUUGUUUUAUCCUAAAAAAUCCUUGCAUUUCUUUCCCGCCACACAACCCAAAUUAAAGUUAUGCAUGCAGCUUGCCACAAAACUAUCCCUCUCUUAGAUAAACCAAAACCAUUGUAAUUGAUGGACAGCAUGUCGGAAAUGCUCCUCGGGGGAACCCAAUCUGUCUUGGCUAACUAAAAUAAUCUGUGCCAUAACCCUAUCGUUAAAGAACAAUGUAGGAAAAAAUGAUCUGUUGAUUCUCCAUGCCUCAUGCACAACUUACAAAUAUCAAGACUAAGAGCUUUGUAGGAUCUUCUCAAUUGUAGCAAGUCAUUAGUAUAUCUUCUUGUGUGCCACCAACCAGACAAAGGACUUGACUUUGAAAGGGACUUGAGAAUUCCAAAUGAACUUAGUAGGGAAAACUGGAGGAGAACCAGAACAUUGGGAUAAGGCUAGAAAGAAAGAUUUGACUGUAAAAAGCCCUGAAGAAGAUAAAGACCAGGAUCUCGCAUCUGAAACCAAAGAUGACAAAUGCAAACAAUCAAGUGACCGCAUGAGGCCUUCUAAAUCUUCUAUCUCAGAAUCGGAUAGGUUGCGGCAAAAAUUAAAGUUCCAAGAUAAGGGACGAGUAGAUAUGAGAAUUGAAGAAAUAGGAAUAUUUUUAUCCAUGAAUACUCUAAAUAGUCUUGGAUAUUGGGAUCCCAAAGGUUGGCCCCCCCACCACAAGUCUUCCUAGAACCGAAUUCUUUCCCCAUCUCCUACCACAAACCGAGUAAACUUGUAAAACUCCUGAAAGACUUGUGCAAUAGCCUUCCAAGGACAACGAUAUGAUCAUCUGACUAUAGUGUUGGCAUCCCAACCAUUAGAGUGUGAUCUUUAAUAUAUAAGCUUACAAUUAUAUACAAUAACAAAAAGAAAGAAUAAGGAAAGACUUGGAAACUACCAUAUUAAAGAUUCCUACAAAUUAGGGAUUAUAUACACAAAUAGACCCAAAUAUAUAUUACAACUGUGGAAGAUAUACGACUGUGUAUACAACUGUAAUAAUCUUCAAAUACAACUGUGUAUAUGACUGUAACAAGUUGUACUAAUCUUCAACAGAUAUUAUUCAUUCCCAACUUGAUAAUGAUUUCUUGAGACCGGACAUUAGCUAAUCCUUUUGUUAAGACAUCGACUAAUUGACUUCCAGUGGACACAUAUGGUGUGCAGGUUAAGCCACUGUCCAACUUUUCCUUAAUUAAAUGUCAGUCUACUUCCACAUGUUUGGUUAUGUGAUGUUGUACUAGGUUAUGUGCAAUGUUGAUGGCUGACUUAUUGUCGUAAUAAAGUCUCAUCGAUGUCUCCCACUUAAUCUUCAAGUCCUCCAGGAUAAUCUUGAGCUAGAGCAACUCAUAGAUUCCUUGAGCCAUUGCACAAAACUCUGCUUCUGCACUAGAUCUUGCAACAAUGUUCUGUUUCUUACUCCUCCAAGUUAUCAAGUUCCCUCCAAGAAAAGUAUAAUAUCUUGUAGUAGACCUUCAAUCAACAACUGAUCUUGCAUAAUCUGCAUUAGUAUAAGCCUCCAGUGAUAGCUCAGUGCUUUUCUUAAACGAAAUUCCUUUCCUUGGAGUUGCUUACAGGUACUGUAGGAUUCUAUAUACAACUUGGAGAUGAACUUUCUUUGGGUUAUGCAUAAAUUGACUCACAAGGCUGACUGCAUAGGCUAUGUUUGGUCACGUAUGUGAGAGGUAGAUUAGCUUGCCAAAAAAUCUUUGGUACAUACCUUUGUUUAUAGCUGCAUCCUUACUUGCUUCUCUAAGCUUGCGAUUCAGAUCAAUAGGUGUAUCGGUCGAUUUACUUCUUGUUUUUCCUAUCUCCUGCAAUAAGUCAAAAACAUACUUCUGUUGGGAGAAAAAUACCCUUUUUUGAGUAAGCCACUUCAAUUCCCAAGAAAUACUUUAGUCUUCCAAGCUCCUUUAUUUUGAACUCUUUUGCUAAACACCGGUUCAAUGCUUCUCUUUCUUCAAGAUCAUUUCCGGUCACUAUUAUAUCAUCCACGUAAACCAUUAUGACAGUUACUCCCCCUAAGGCCGAGUGUUUAACAAAUAAGGUGUGGUCAUUGUGGCUUUGUUUGUAGUCAACAAUUGUCAUGACUUAAGCAAAUCUUCCAAACCAAGCAUGUGGAGAUGGUUUUAGCCCAUACAAAGCUUUCUUCAAUUUAUAUACCUUUUUUCCUUUAAAGUGCAUAUUAAAACUAGGUGGAAGAUCCAUAAAAAUUUCCUUUUUGAGCUCUCCAUGUAAGAACACAUUUUUCACAUCAAACUGUUGUAAUUCAUAGUCAAAUUGGGCAAUUAAAGAGGGUAAAACUCUCAUAGUGUUCAUCUUGGCUACUGGUGCGAAAGUCUCAUGGUAAUCUAUUCCAUAUGUCUAAGUCCUCUUCACCCUCACACCAAUAACAUCUACUUGGAAGAUACCGACCCCUCCUUUUUAGUUAAUCUAGAGUUUGAAUUUUUUCCUAAUUUGCUUCCCAAGCAAAAAGGUUGACUCUCAUCAACACCAAUGGGUUCCACAGAAUGCUUGUGGGGAAUCCUUUUGGGAAGCAACAUGCUAAGGAGGCAUAGUAAGAUUUAACUGAAAAGGUGUCUCCCUUUGAUAACCGCCAAACCAUAACAUCCUCUACACCUUCUUUGACCACUUGCCCUUGCAACCUUUUAAGCAACUUUUCCACCUCUUUCAAUUCCCAAUCGUUUAUCUAUCUUGUGAACAUUGGAUUCCAACAACUUGCUUCCCCAAUCCAUUCACGCAUCUGAUCUACCUAGGUUUCUUUAUUAGUGGUUAUUGAGAACAACUUAUGAAAAGUCACACCCAAGGGUUCCUCCCCACACCACCUAUCCUUCCAAAACCUCACCCCCCUACCAUUUAAAAUAGAAAGUAUAAUUAAUGUUUAACUUAUUCAUGACCUGCAAAAGGAAGAAGAUAUCAUAGAUGUAAUUUAUUUAUUAUUGUGCAAGGAUAUGGUAUGGUUUGAGUGACAAUUUCUGAAACUUAUCCACUUUAUACCAUUUUUUUAUUCUUAUGAAUAAAUACAAUUCUUUCUUAACUAUUUUUAAUUUAUUAUUUAAGUUGUAAUGGGAAAAAAGGGGUAACAAUAUAACAUUAAUUUAACUAACAUGUAGUACUAGCCGGUGACUCAAAAUGUGACCCUAAGCUUGUAGUACCAUCUCUCCACGCGAUUAUGAGGUGCGUCAGAUGCAAACCAAUGAAAAGAAAAUAGUGUGCCUCGAGGGUUUGACACCUCCACCCACGAGACACACACGUGGAGCUCAGUCUUUUGCUUGUCUACAAAUGGAACCUCUUUCUCUCUCUUGAAAGAAAUAACAAAGUAGAACCGGUGAGAAAGUGAAGGAAAGUUUGAGAAAUAGAGAAAGAAAGAGAGAGAGAAGGGCCUUCGAUCUCUACAUCCCCGACCAUGUCGCUAUCCAUGAAUGCCCCCUUUGGAGGUUCAAGUUCUUCGGUGGUGAGCCCUACCGAAGCUCAGAUGAACAAGGAUCAGAAGAUGGCAUCUGCUGAGAGUUUGGUUCUUGAACUUAUCAACCCCGAUCUUCGUGAAAAUGCUUUGCUUGAACUCUCUAAGGUAGGAUCAUUCUCUAGAUUCUGAUUCAAAUGACAUCGUUCUGUUUUGGUUUGAUUUUCUUUAUUAUUUUUGUAUGUUAAGGUUUGUUUGGUUGCUGAGAAAUUGGGGGGCAUUGAAUGAUAAUUAAGAUUCUUAAUGGAAGGUGUGGUUGAAAUAGUUGUGGUGUGAUUCCAAUUUCUUUUCUUCUCAGCAGUGAAACUGGACAUUCAGCUUUGAAUCUCUAAUGGGGAUUUUGGUUUAGAAACUGUAUUAAUCAUGGAAAGAAAUUUUUUUUAAAUGUUAAUUUUGUUGUUUUUGUCUUUAAUUAUUAAAUAGCUAUGUUUAGUAGAUGAGAUACUUUGGGUGCAGAGAAAAACCAAGGCAAAGGUAAAAAAAGGAAUUUUGAGUCUUGUGUGCUUUGUUGUAUUAAUUUCCAAAGAAAAGGAAACAUAUGAAUGAAGCUAAAUAGUUGUUAGACUCGACUGAAUGGAGAUCUUUAGUCUUCCUAUUACCAGGCAAAAUUUUAAGAUUCCAAAUGCUAGUUUCUUUCUCUUUUCCCCAGUAAAAAUGUGAAGUAUUUGGUGAAGCAUUUUAAGCAUGCUUUUAUAUGUUUUAUGUUGGUGGAAAAAUGUGUUUGGAAGGGUUUUUUGUUUUUUUUUUUCCCCUUUUUUUUGGAGUUGAAUUAAAUUAUUCUUUUGUUUUUCCAGUUAGUCUUUUGGCUUUUCGGAAUCAGAGGAGCCUCCAAUGGGGCACCUAUUACCUUUGAUUUUGUAUUGUUUUGUUCUUAAGUUUUGGGAACUCGGAGCAGCAUAAAUGACAUGCAAACUGGUAAAAUAGGCACACAUUGUUGGUUGUGGCUUUUGAAGUUACAUGUGAUCUCUGCUAUUUGAUUUUUGAUGGUUUUACCUCGGUUAAAUGAAUUCAUGGGCACAAAAAAUUGUGAUGAUGCAUUGUUAAUGGGUUAUGGAUUAUGGUGCGGUUUUUGUCCAUUACUUUGAGAAUUCUAGCAAGGUUUCCUGUGAGCUUAUUGGACGAGAAUGGUAAAAUGAGCUGGUUGCUACUCUUGAAAUGGUAAGGAUAGGAUAUCUGGAUAGGAUAUCAAAAGGCAUUUAUUCUGAUGGGUGGCAGGGGGUUUCCUCCUUGUCCAAAAUUCUACACUAGAUGAAGGCCUUACCAGUGGGUUGCACCUCUACUUUCAUGUAUUAUUCAGUUUUGUGGCUGUAAUUGCCCAUGUUUUGUGCAGGUUCUAUGUACAUUUGCCAGUAGGCUUUGAGUAUCCAUUCCACAAGUCCUGUUUUCUUCCAUCGCUAUCAAUUGGAUUGUUUUGUGCAAUUAUUGUGCCAUUUUUUAACCUUUUAUCCCUCCCUGAUUUAGGGCUUUGAUUAACUCUUGCUUCUUCUUGCAUAGUGUCUCAAGUUCUCUCGUUGUGAUCGAUUUAGGCCAUUCAUUUUCCAAGUUUGUUCCACUGAUUUCCUUAUAUUGUUUGAAAAAAUUCUUUUGGUUGCACAGGUUUGGCUGCAUGGAUUGUUGUGGCCUUCUUGUUGCCUCGCAGAUUUUUCUUUUGCUCUUCAUUUUAGCAUUUUUUUGCAUAUUGUAUACACCAUUGUGCAUUUGUCACAUUCAGAAAACUGUUUCCUUGUCAGUGCCUUGCUACCUAGAUUUGGUUUAAUUGGAAUGCUUUUGGUACCUAACAAAAUAAUUGGUCUCCCCAUGUUAACAUGCCUUGCCCUAAUUGUACUGAUAGCAUCAGUUUUUCCCUUGUGAAUAAUGAAAGACAUUGAAAAUGGGUUACGUGGUGCAUAUGUAUAUAUAAACACCAAAAAGAGCACCAGUGAUGAUCACCAAAAAGGAAAAGACUUACAAAAUGUUGUAUUAGAGAUAAAGUUACAAUUUGAGGCUCAAGGGAGGCAAAGAGCAAAAAGGGUUAGCACAGAUGGCUGUUAACACCGAGUCCAUAUUUAUCUGCUUAUUUUACCUAUAAAAAAAAAAAACCCACUCCAUAUUCUUCAACCCCUCAAAACAUCUUCUAUUCUACUCUUUCCAAAUAGAUUACAUCAAGCAAGGAGGUGCCAUCCUCCCAAACCUCUGCAAAACUGCUUAUAUUUCCUUAACUGACAUAGGGAGCAUGCUCAAAACUCCAAACAAAGAAAACACCAAAUACCACAAUUGCAGGCUAGUCUGCAAUGAAUAAUAAUGUAAUUUGCUGGUUCCUUAUCCUGCUUAGAAAGGAAACAUCAACCAGCUAAAGGUCAUCCCUGUUCCUUAAGCUGGUUCAAUAUGAGGAUUUCAUCCCAAACUGGCCCUCAAGUCCGAGGAUGUUGAUGGAAUCCAAACCUUCUUCAUUUGAAAGGAGCCCUGCUGUACUGAAUUGAAGCAGAUAAAAAACUGAAUCAAUAAUUUGCCAUUCUUUGCUGACCACCAGCCUAUCUUGUCUGAGCAAUUACCCUCAAAGUUACAGCCUGAACACACUAAUAUUAUUAUGUUAGUGUGCGUGUUAAUGUGUAGCAUAUAUGUGUAUGUACUUGAGAUGUUCUCUUGAUAGUAGAGAAUGGAACACAUGUUUUUCAACGUUGUGCACUAUGGGAAUAGCCAAUACAGAGAAGUUCAAGCUAAGGCCUUGAACUCAUGCUGCUACUCCCAAGGGGUGUGGAUCAGGCAGCUAUUGCUGCAGGUCAGGUGUUUGAAUUUUCUGUAUAUAACUACAUUUACUUUAUCACAGUCAUCAUCCAAGAGUUACUUCACUCAAAUGUUCAACACUUCAGGACAUUUGGCUAAAUGUUGGCAUUCUUAUAUGCUUACUGAUGGGUGUAUAAGCUAUCAAUGGCUUAUUUGUUUAUGGUUGUGUAAUGUCUUCAUUGGCAUGUGAUGCAGCUGGCUCCAUGUACUUGCACAAAUAUAAUGAAAUUAAGUAGAAUUUGUUUGUUUCAACUGCAAACUAAUUAUGGAAACACUAUGGUAUCUUUCUGCUGUUUGUUGUUGUGAACUGUAUGACGUAAUUCCAAAGGAACAUGAAAUUGACUUGUUGGUCCCAAAAAUGACUUACAAACAAUUCUUCUGGACUUUUCCCAGAAAUAAAAACCUUAGAACUUUUAUGGAUCAGUAAAAGAAUGGAUUGAAAAAGUUUUGCAUGUAAGACUCAAGGUAUUGGUUUUGCAUGUAAAACCAUUAUAAUGAUUCAUAAUAUUUUUAUGCUGAAACAAGUGGAGCCCUCUUUUGCCAUGUAGACUUACAUGAAGUAAAGCUGAGUAGUUAAAUCUGCAAAUUUAUGUAUAGGCGUAGCCAUUAUAUUGAUUUUUUAUUUAAUAUGCAUAAGCUUAUUGAGCAUUUGAAGUACAAUAGAAUUUGCAAAUAAGUUUAGAUACAUGUCUAGCACUAUUCUCACAUCUAUAUUUGACCUACCUGACUUUAUAACUGCUUUAAAAUUUCAAAGAUUGUUCUAUUUUUUUUAUUUUUUUUAUUUUGACAUUCUUACGUGUUAGCCAAUUCAAGAUAUCUCCUGAUACCAUUGGGUACAUCCAACUUAAUUAUUUAGAAAUCAUUCUACAAGGAUGGUUAUCAUGCCUUGAAGCUUGUUCCUUGUAGUCCUUUUCUAAUUUUCUUUUUGGGCAAAAUCAAUACCGGAUAGUACUGUUUCUUAUUUUCAAAAUGAAUUUCUAGAGAUAAGCGAAUGCUUUUGUUUUUUACUGGAUAAAUUCAUAUAUUCUACUCUCUUUCUUUUCUUAAGUGGUUUUGGUAAUACCUUUGGUUCCGGAUUUUUGCACUACAAUUAUAAACUCGUGUCUGCCCUUGAUUUUAUUUUUAGAACAAGGAAUUAUUUCAAGAUUUGGCUCCUUUCGUGUGGAAUUCUUUUGGUACUAUUGCUGCACUCAUACAGGUAUGCCUAAUAAACUUGUUUUGGUUUUUUGUUCUUUCUUUAGAAGAGAGAAUUAUUUCAAGAUUUGGCUCCAUUAUUGUGGAAUUCUUUUGGUACUAUUGCUGCACUAUUGCAGGUAUGCUCUAUACAGUUCAUGACAGUACUUGAUUCAGUUUCCUUUUUGCUUGCUAUAUCAUUUAAUGUGCUAGCUUCCUUUAUUGUGCUUUUACUGUCAUAGAAUAUUUGCUAAGUAGUUGAUAUCUGGCGUGAUUCUGAAAUUGUAAUCUGAAAUAGGUAAGAAUGGAUAUGCAUCAGUGGGGAGGGCAGAUAUGGGAAAUAAAGUUAAAGCAUUUUUUUUAUCUGGUUUUAAAUUUCUUUGUACUCCUUUAAUGUCUCAAUAACUUAGAAAAUGGUAAAGCUGUGCCCUUGCUUAGGUAGCAUUAGGUUAAUUCACAUGUUUCAAUUUUAUUUUAUUAUUAUUAUUAUUAUUAUUAUUAUUAUUAUUAUUUGUAUUUAAGAUGCUCACUCUAUCAUUGUUUUUUUUUUUUUCCUUGAACUGGAAAGACUCAACUUUGUUUCUAAUUUGGAAGUUCUCUUGUUUGUAAGUCAGGUUGGCUAUCAAGUUUUCUCUUACUUCAUUGCCCUUGGAAUUCUUAUUAUGUGCAGGAGAUAGUUUCAAUUUAUCCUGUUCUAUCACCACCAAAUCUAACUCCAGCACAAUCAAAUCGGGUCUGCAAUGCACUUGCCCUUCUCCAGGUCAAAUAUUUUUUCUUAUUAAGUUCCCUGUUAUAGCAUUUUUGUCAAAAAAAAAUUUCCAUACAUUUUAUUUAUGUUGCACUUGUCAUUGUAAAGUCAGCUCCUUGAAAAAUUGCCCUUAAGACUGAAGUGCUGUUGGUUCAUUAUUGUUUCAAUAGAGUCAAAUCUGUCAAAAUGUUUAAUGAUUUUGGUCUUCACCUCAAACAUGGGGGAGUUAAUUGCUUAACAUAAUUAGUGUCCUAUUUGACAACUUUUGACAGUGUGUGUGCCUGUCUGAGUAAGAGAGAGCACUGAUCCUUGAUGUUGAGGUGAUUGGUGGUUCAAUUGUGGACAUUGGCUGGUGGCAAUUGGAGUUGCCAAGUAUAUCCAAAGUUAACAUAUAUGAGUUUGAUAGACUUCUUCUGUGUACGGUUGUUCUUUGGAUAUAUGAAAUCAAACUAAGAAUUUAGAACCCCUCCAUUCCCAGUGCAAUCCUUUGCCACCCGAGACAGACCUCUAGGGCUUGCUAUACUUCAUUUUGUAUUGAUAUUGGUUUAGCAAAUACAUCUGAGCCAGAAGCUUAAUUUUCUUUUAUCAGAGUAUACUUGGUUGUAAGCAAUGUUUUCAGAACCGGACCGGUCAUUGAACCGGAAAAGUUACCGGUUCACGGUUCACCGGUCGGACCGGCGGUCGAACCGCUAUCGAACCGGUGACGUCAUAAAUAUAUAUUUUAUUAUUUUAUAUAUUAUAAAAAAUUAAAAAAUUAAUAAAUUCUAUGUAAAUUUUGACAGCAUCUACUUUGUUUGUUGAGUUUUGUCACAAAUUUUUUUACCUAUAGAAGUCAUCAAUUAUCAUAUAUGAUAUCUAUAACACAAUAUAAGAUGUUAUACAUUCACAAUGUCAAUAAACUCAAUAUUUAUCAAAUAAUCAAACCAUUACUAUCCUAUAAUAACCAAAUUAUCAAAGAGUCGUUAACUUAACACAUUGUCCAUAAUAAAUAAUACAAAUGUCAACCAUAGGUCCACAACACUUAACUAAUUACUCAAAAUAAAAAUAUAACAUAUCAAUGUUUGAAUAUUCAUGAAGUUUUUUGCAUACUAAUAAAUAUAAAAUUCAUGUCUUCAUUCAUUUUGGAAAUUGGAAUAUGGAGAUUGAACAUAAGCAUUUGGAAAACCAAAGUUCUCCACAUCAAGCCCUUCUAUAGCCACGUCACCACCAUCCUCAUCAUCUACAAAAAUAUUGAAUAUAUAUCAACAAUAAAUCAUUUUUAAAGAAAAAAAAUAUAAUUAUUGAACUUUUAUAAGUUUAAAUAUUUUACUAACCAAUGUGAGAACUUGAACCUUUCACUUCAUUUAUUGGAAUUGACCCUUCUUCAUAUAGAAGAUUUUCCAAUUCUUCAACAUCUAACUCUGCUGGUUGAUCAUCAUCAAUUACCCAAAAAUCGGUCUCAUCAAUGCAUGCAUAGUCAAUUGGAUCAUAGAUUCUUUUCUUGUUAUAGAACCUAAAAAAAAAAAACAUAUAAUUAUUCAUAAUUGUGAAUAGAAGAAUUUAAAUUCAAAACAACUAAGAAAUCAUUUAUACCGAUUUUUUAGGCGCAAAUUAUAAUGAACGUAUACAAGAUCAUUAAGCCUUUGAUGUUCCAAUCUAUUCCUUCUUUUGGUAUGUAUACGUUCAAAGACACUCCAAUUCCUCUCACAUCCAGAAGACGAUGCGGUUUGGCUCAAUAUUAGAAUGGCUAACUUUUGCAAAUGUGGUGCACUGUAUCCAUGUAGCCUCCACCAUUCAUCUAAUUACCAUUUCACAUUAAAAAUAAGAAAAAAAUAAAACACAUUAGCAAGUUUAAAAUAUUAAAUAGUAAGUAGGUAACUAAUAAAGAAGAAUAAACAUACUAAUAAAUGAUAAUAAUAUUUUACCAGGUUGAAGUACUUCACGUGAAGAAUAAGCAAGUUCUCUUCCAAAACUUCCCAAUCGAUCACGAAAUAACUUCAUUUCAUUCAUUGUUUCAAGCUUGCCUUUCAGAACUUUCUGAUCAAUAACAUCCAUGACACCUCCAAUAACAUUUGGCUUAUUACAAAAGUUUUCCUGAUCAUAUUGGAAACAUGGAUUCAACCAAUAAGCUGCUGAAUGAAUGUUUUUCUUUAGUUGUUGAUCCCAACGUUGCUUUAUGAUCUCCGUAUAAGGCUUGUAUAGUCUUUUGUUGUAGUUAAACAAUUUCUUGAUGCCCAAACGAACCCUAUACAUGCCUUCAUACACAUAUCCCAUCGAAGGCCUCUCAUCACAAUCAACAAUACGCAAUAAGCGCAUUAGUGGAGACAUAAGAUUCACAACAAUCAAACAAUCAUUCCAAAAUCUAUUAUCCAAGAUGAUGGAAACUGCAACUUGGCUUUUAUAAUCCUUUGAAUAUCUAGAGUCCACAAAGAACUUACUAGUCACCAAAGCUUGCAAGUCAUGUUUAUGAUCAUGAAGACUCUUGAGUGCAAUGAAAGUAGUAGCAAAGCGAGUUGCACCAGGUCGCAGAAUCUCUGUCCAUCCUUCCCUUUUUCUCAACCAACUUAACAAAGCAACAUGAUUAUACACAAAAAUUGUCACCUUUGAUGCACGUCUUACAAGUUCAGCAACAUGGUCCAUCUUACCAAUAUCCUUAAAGAUCAAAUUAAGACAAUGAGCUGCACAAGGUGACCAAUUAAUGUGUUUAUGCUUCUGAGAAAUCAAUCUCCCCGCGGCCACAUAAUUUGCUGCAUUAUCAGUGACCAUAUGAACUACAUUGAGUGGACCAACCCAUUCAAUCACCUCAUCAAAUAACUGAAACAAAUUAGUUGCAUCCUUGACAAUGUCUGAAGCAUCAACGGAUUUCACAAAUGAUAUUCUUUCAGGACAAUACACAAGGAAGUUGAUGAGUGUUCUUUGUCUAUUAUCUGUCCAACCAUCACCCAUUAUUGUACACCCAACUUUUGCCCAAAUUGCACGAUAAGAGUCCACAAGUAACUGAACUUCCUUCUUGGCAUCCUUUAAAAGAUUAACCCGUAGUUGAUGGUAAUUUGGACCCUUAUAUCCAGGACCAAUUGCAGAUAUAGCAUCCAACAUUGGCUUGAAGUAGAAGGAAUUCAUUGCAUUAGUAGGAAUGCAUGCAUCAUAAAAGAAUCUCUCAACCGCCAUAUCCGCUCUCCAAAUAGCUUAUUUCCCAGCUAGUACACUCCUCAUGGAAGGUUGAGCUCCUUGAGUAUUUCUUGGUGCAAAAUACUUAUCCACUGUUGAUUUUUUCCUUUUUCCACUAUUAGCUGCCAUAGGACUUUGCAUUUGUUGAACCUCUUCUUCACCUUUUGCCCCAUCCCCUUCAAAUUGUGACACAUUAGGACCAUAAGGAUUUCUACAUUCAUAUGCUUCUUGGGCUGCUUUCUUAGAAUUCACAAACUCUUGCAAAGAAUUUUCCAUUCGAAAUUUUACAUCUGGAGGAACCGAUUUACAUGGACCAAUAUCUCCUUUCACUCCAGCAAGAUGUUGUUUCAUUCUAUGAAUACCCCCACCUUUUGUAAUCUUUUUACAAUACAAACAAAUAAGAGCUUUCCUUCCAUUUGCAUAUCUUUCUUCAGAAACAUGCUCCCAUGCAAGAUCGAUCUUACUUCUAGUUGAUUGAGAAUUGGUAGUUGAAUCUUGACCAGAGGAUGGAGUCAAGUUUGAUUCCAUUUUUUAUUUCUCUAUCAAAUUACUGAAAUUAGAAACAAAAAUCUCACAUUAACGUAGAGAAUGGAAGUCAUCAACCAUUUAAUGAUUUAUAAUCAAGUCAUCAACAAUUUAUAACAAUCAUAUAUCAAUUGGUAAAUUUAUCUAAAGGAACAACCGUCAUUAUAACAAGCAUGAGAUAUGUCACAUUCCAAGUGUGUCAAUUAUUGUGCAUCAAAACAACUAAAGCAUCAUGGGCAUAGACCCAAUAGAUUAAGGCCCAUAAUGCUUGCUUAAUUCAGAAGAUGCUCAAACCAUGUGGUUUGGAGAUUUCUUAAUGCAAAUUAAAGCUCCAGCCAGUAAAGCAUAUACAUCCUGGAAACCACCCAGAAGGAUUGAAUUUUUGAAUUUGAAUUUUCCACUUUAGAGAAAAAGAAUUGAGCUUCACUUGUUGCAUGUUGGUUUGUCACCGUUAAGGAUACCGCAAAAAAAAGAUCCGUUUUUAUAUUUUUUUAGGUUACUUCACAGUAGGAUUCCCACUACACCAAUUGGGAUAUUGAUUAAUUAAUUGCUACUUUAAAAUUAAUGAAGAUAGCAAGCAGAAGGAAGUGGGCACUUCCCACAAAUUAAAAACAACAACGGCUAGUAUGUAUGGUUGCCUUCUUUGCUAGACCCACUUGGAGGUUAGGCUCAAAAACGAUUCCUACUUCCACACAAAUUGAGAAUCAAUUCUCAAAUCCUGACAAAUCCAUGGAAAUGAGUUGGUAAUAAUGUGGAAUUAGAUUUUCCUCUCUCUAGCUGUUCAUGGUGUUGGUGGAACAUUGAACUUGAACACCAGUACAGCUCGGGCCAUGGCUGGUGGCUUAGGGGCAGGGCAGGGCAGCUUCACAAAACUGCCAUAAUGAUCUAUGAUGUCCNNNNNNNNNNNNNNNNNNNNNNNNNNNNNNNNNNNNNNNNNNNNNNNNNNNNNNNNNNNNNNNNNNNNNNNNNNNNNNNNNNNNNNNNNNNNNNNNNNNNGGCGGGACCUUGUGAGUGUCGCUGCUGUAGACCGUCGGCGAGAUCCCUUGGUGUCGCGGGCUGGAGCUGGAGCAAGAUCCCUUGCAGCGGAGCUCUCUUGGUGUCGUGGGCCGCCGGCGGGACCUUGUGAGUGUCGCUGAGUCGCUGCUGCAGGCCGUCGGCGAGAUCCCUUGGUGUCGCGGGCUGGAGCUAGAGCUGGAGCUGGAGCUGGAGUGGGAUCCCUUGCAGCGGCGCAGCCUGGAGAUGGAGAUCUCCUUUGCUUAAAAUAGGACUCCAAAACGGCGUCAUUUUGAUGCCAAAAGCAUCAAAACGACGUCGUUUUGAUGUUGUUUAAAAAAAAAAAAAAUUAAAAUCAAUUGAAUCGGCUGGUUCCCUUGGAACCGGCCGGUUCGUCCGGUUCACCGGUUGGACCGCCAGUUCGACCGGUCCGACCCCGGUUCGAUCCCCAUCCGAUCCAAAUGAACGGACCGGACCGGUCCAGUGACCGGCCGGUCUGGUCCGGUUUUUAAAUCAUUGGUUGUAAGCUUAGGAUCUUGAGCUGAGUAUGGUUAAACUAUCUGCCAAUCAAAAAAAAAAAAAAAAAACAAAGUACUAUGGUUAAACUAUUCCAUUCAAUGUGGGUGGUUAAUUUUAGGCCAUGUUUGGUUUCUAGAAAAUUCAAGAGUAAGAAAAUAGAGAGGAAAAAUAGAAUGAAAGGAAAAUAAUGAAAAAUAAAAAAAUAUAUGAAGUCAAUAAAUAUUUUAAUAUCCUAUUUCAAAUUCAUUUCACUUAUUUAACUCUUUUACAUAAAGAUUAAAUAAUUUGAAAAUGCACAAGCUCCUAACUAAUUUUAAUUCUUUUUCAUUUUCUUUCGUAUUUUUCAUAGUAAAAUAAAAAAUGAGAAAAUAAAUUUCUUUACUAUUUUUUUUUCUUUCCUUAGUACUUUCCUGGUACCAAACAAAACCUUAGUGUUUCCUUAACAUCUAGAGCAAAUAUGACUCUGGUACAUGUGUUGAGGUUCAUUAAUCAUGUGUGCAUUGGUAUUCUGCUGUUCUAGUAUGAUGCUACUUAAUACUUUUAUUUAUUUGCAGUGGAAUUACUUGCUUUGACUACAAUGAAUGAAGGUUACCGAAGUUUUUUACAGUUACCAUAUUCUUUUGUUCAUCAUUUUGGAGGCAUUACUGAUGCUUCUUAUAUUAAUUUUAUAUUUUUUUUAACAGUGUGUAGCUUCUCAUUCAGAAACAAGGAUGCUGUUCCUAAAUGGUAAUUUUCUUUAAUUCUGUGCUUCUUUAUUUUUUCUAUNNNNNNNNNNNNNNNNNNNNNNNNNNNNNNNNNNNNNNNNNNNNNNNNNNNNNNNNNNNNNNNNNNNNNNNNNNNNNNNNNNNNNNNNNNNNNNNNNNNNUCUUUAAUUCUGUGCUUCUUUAUUUUUUCUAUAUUUUUCCAAGUUUUUAAAAACAUUUUUUGAUGGGCAAGUUGUGCAAAUCUUUGUUGAAUAGUAGUUGAAAUCGACAAUACUUUUUUACUUCUUUAAAUAUUUUUCAGCUUCUUGAUGAUUUUAUUGUACUUUUGUUCAAACAGUGGAAUUGUUGUAUAGAGAAACAUUGGGACUGUUUAAAAUUUUGAAAUGACUUAGAAUUGAAAUGUAAUCAUUGCAUUUCAUCGAAGCUGGAAGCUUUGUUCCAAUUGUUGUAGAUAUUCCAAUCCUAGUAUAUUCUUGAAAGUUUAUUAUCUCUUAGCUAGUCAUAGUCUUUGUUUGACUUGGACAGAUAUUUUGAUAAGCAAACAAAAUAAAUAUAUUAAUAGGGCCUAACAAAAAGUGUAUCAAAAUACAUAGGUUGUAAAAGGACCCCUUCAUGAAGAUCCCAAUCAAUCACAUGGUUAGGGAACCUCCAUCUAUGUACAUCUUAACCUGCAAUAAAAGGUUACAAAGAAACAUGAAUUUUAGUGUUUGAUCAAACAUUUCUUUGCUUGGAAGCGAUCUUUGGUUCCUCUCUUUCCAUAAUGGCCAAAACACUCACAAUGAGAUAACCCUCUAGACCUUCCAUUUUUUUUCCCAUAAAAGAACCAUGCCACUGUAAAAGGGUUUCUCUCACCAAACUUGACAGUUACCCAUGCAACCUUGAAGAAGGAAAAUAUAAAAUUCCAUAAUUCAAACUCUAGCACAAAGUAGAAGGAUGCAAUCUAUUUACUCUUUGUCUUCCGUACAGAGGAAACACUCAUUCACCAAAGACCAUCCUCUCCUUUGCAGCUGAUGCGAAGUCAAAACCUUUCUCCAAGAAGCUUCCCAUGCAAAGAAACCUACUUUAGUUGGAGCCAUCAAAUUCCAAACAGCUCUCAUAGGGACCUACUUCUGCUCUUUCCUACCAUAAAAAAGUGUAGAAGGAUGUGACUGAAAAUUUACCCUUCUCUGCAUCCAUCCAUUUCAACCCAUCUUUCUCAUCCCUUCUCAUAGCCUUACCUUGAAGCCUUAAAAGGAAGACGUUAAACCUUUCUACCUCUGAAUCAUUUAAAUUCCUUGAAAAGUGAGGGUUCCAAUGCCCUCCCUCUCGUUGUUGAUCACAAAUGUCCACCAACCAAGGACUCUUUGUCAAAGCUAUGGGAUAUGAAGAGGGAAAAGACUCUUAAAAGUUGAAUCACCACACUAGUUAUCUUUCCAAAAUUUCACCCUUCUACCAUUUUUGAUGUUGAAUGAGAUUUUGUUGUUAAUAUUCCCCCAACCUCUCCUAAUGGUCUUCCACAACCUAACCCCAAAGAGGGGAAAGACUCUUUCAGAUGGAUUUGCUAAUUAUUUUUCUCUACUUUGAUCCAUCUGAGGUCAUAUAUGUUGUUUAAGUCAUAGCUCACUGUGUCUUUGUCUUGGCCAACAUUCUUUACUAUUCAUAAUUGUUUAGAUCCUUAAAUUUGUAUAAGACUUUAACCAAUGUAAUAUGCUGCUUAUGCCCCAUCAGGACUUCUGAUUUUAGUUAAAGAACUGUGUUAACGUUCCAAGUUAAGCUGUGAAUGUCAAUUUCACUUAUUCCUUCUUCUUUUUUCCAAUUGUUUCAUUAAUGGUAACUAACUAGGAUAUAUAUAUAUAUAUAUUUUUUAUCAGAACAAACUAGGAUAUUAAAUUUACGGUGGUUGUAGAAGCUCCUACUUCUACAGUUCCAUUGUCUUGAUGAAAAUUGCCUUGAUGAACUAUUGGUGUAUUAUAGAUGUAUGCAAAUUGACACAGAUAAUUCCAUUAUGGACACACACACACACAUAUAUAUAUAUAUAGAUAUUCAAUACACAUAUGCUAUACUUGUACAUGCUCAUUAUUUAUUCUUUGGGAUAUUGGUUAGAGACUUGUUCAAAUGUUGGAGCUUUUGGAAUUACAACAUUAAUUAGUGGACACAUUUUUGUUGACUUUAUGAUGAAUCUAUGCAUUACAAUACUGUAUUUUGUUAAGUUGAUUUCAUUCAAAACUCUAGUAUCCAAAAUUUUCCUAUAUGAUAUAUUGAAAUUAGUAAUGUAUUAUCUUCCUUGAAAUUGGUUGAUAGAGCUUUAUAUUUCACUCUUUUUGAAUAUAGAUGACACCCACAUUUAUUGAUAUCAUUUUAUCUAUUUGCAAAUAUGUGGAAAAAAAGAAAAAAACUUCUUAUAUAUGAUGUAUGAUUUACGAGCUGAUAUGUGAGUAGAAAAAUCAGCUUUUAGGAGUUAGUAGAGUUAGUAGAGUCAAAGUUCGAGUCCAACAAAGAGUUAGCUUUUUGCUUAGGGUAAAGAUAUAUGGGUUCCUUUCCAGCAUCUCCAAAGGCGAUUCAUGUCCAUGUGCAUGCGUAAGCAUGUGUAUGUGUGCCUUAUGAAAUUUAAUGAUUUGAUUCUACUAAUUUAUCUUCUUUUUGCUAACCAAACUUUUUCUCCUUUGCAGCCCACAUACCCUUGUACCUGUACCCUUUCCUCAAUACCAAUAGCAAAUCUAGGCCUUUUGAGUACUUGAGACUAACUAGCCUAGGUGUUAUUGGUGCUUUGGUGAAGGUACGUUGUCCUUGCUAAGUUAUAGUUUUUAAAUUAUGUUGUUGUUCUUUCCAUAUGACACUAAAAUAUUUUGAUUUUUAAAGUUGCAUUUACAUUUGUCAUAUAUGAUAUACCUUGUGAAAAAGGUUGAUAUACCCAAUGUUUUAAAAUGCUAAAGUUGGUCUUGAGGCAUUUUGCCUAAAUGAAGCGAGGCUUAAGCCUCAAGGUAGAAUGAGGCAUAAGCCUUAACUUAAACAAAUAAAAUAAUAAAAAAUUAUCAAAAAAAAAUUACUCAUAACAUUACAAUAAAAUUGAAUAAUACGAAAGACAAACUUUAUAAUGAUAAAAUUAAUUAAUUUUCAUUGUUAAUAGUUCCAAUUUAGUUCCUUUUUCUCUCAUAACAUUUAGCUCUCUCAUGGUUUUACCAAAUAAUUUUCAACAUUACUAUUACUAUCACUAGGAUCCUCCAGGGAAUGUAAUUAUAUUCAAUUGCUAUAUUAUCCUCCCCAUUGAUGUUAGUAUCCAUCCAUCCCUUUUCUUCUUCAUCCACCCAUAGUAGUGGUAUCCAUUUUUAUCUAUCAAUAAUCAAGUAAUCUAUGAGACAAACCACUAGGAGUGUCAACAAUUCUCUUAUUCUUCUCAAUCUCUUUUUCCCUUCCAUUUUAAAUGUUAAUUGUAAAUUAAGUAAAACCCUAUUUUGUAAAAGGUUGAACCAAGUGGGGACCUAAUACAAAAUUCAUGAAAUCUAUAUUAGAAGUCCACAAAAGCAUUGAUGAUAGAAUCCAUGAAAACUCAUUAAAUAUUGAGACUUAAGCCUUUUAUAAAAUAUAUACCAAAAGCCCAUAAAGGCCCAAAACUCUUUGGAUAUUCGAGGCUUAGGCCGCAACAGCCUUGAGGCUAUACCUCGAAGCUAUAAGCCUUAAUAGAGUGAGGCUUAAGCCUUAAUUACCUUAAUUAGAGGCUAUAGCCUCAAGGUCUAAUUUGUAGAGCCUCAAGGAGUGCCUCAAGGAAUAAGCCUUAAUAGCCUUUUAAAACUUGGGAUAUACCCAUAUUGUAGGGACCUCAUAAACAAGAUCCAUCAUGUGAUUUGGGAAUAAACUAAAAUUUAAAAAGAAAAAAAGGAAGCUAUAAUUUUAUUCUCUGGUAGAAUUUAUUUAUUUAUUUUUUAAAGGUCUCAUAAUUAUUAGAGUGUAACUUGGGUGGGUUAGGUUGGUUGACAAUCAACUUGACCUCACACCAAGCUUGAAGCUUAUUUUCUUGAAUCUCAACCUAACCAAGUUGUCCAAUCCUAACUUAAUUUGAGUCUAUUUUCUUGAACUUGAGUUAGGCUCAUGUUAGUAAAUAUAUAUUUUGGAAUUUGUUGAAUUAGUUGAAUGAGCUGGUCAUAAAAUACUUAUUUAAUUAUGAAUUGACUAUUUAAUAAGUUAUUAAAUUUUAUGUCUGUUUUGAAGACAUUUGAAAUCUUAGUAGAAGAGGUCAAAGGCAAGCUGUUAGGAAAGAUUUUGGAAAGGGGUAGAGGCUUUUCCAGUUGGAUUAGAUUUGGUGAGCUAAGUCUCUUCCAUCUUUUGGAUGGAGUGGAGUUAUGCAACUGAGGUGAUGGAGGGAAUCCUUUCACCAAGCAAUGGUUGGAAGGUAGAAGAGCUUAUAGGGUUGAAUGCUAUUGUAAUGUCGCUAGAAGGUUGAUACUUGUUCGAUGCCCUCCAUGGAGGUGAAGAGGUUUGUACUAGUUUUCCCAAAAAGGAAAAGUCUUCCAGGGGGUUAAAGUAUUUUGGUUGGGAAACCUCAAAACUUGUGAGUGGCCUCUUGCUCUCAAUUCAGUAGAAAUGUUCCGUUGGUUGUAGGCCAAUUAAAAGAGGGAAUCUUAACAAGGGUUUCCUCUAAUGAGUCUUUUGUAGACAAGGUGAAGAAAGGUUUAGAAGCCUUCAAAAAGGCAAAGUGGUUUCAAAUGGAGGAAAAGGAGGUUUGUCUUAAAGAGGAAUCUUUGAAGAGUUGUCUAAUGGGAUGAUGGGGAGAUUCUUCCGGUUUGGUGCUGGAGCUUUAGAAUUAUAAGAAAUUGGCAGUUCACAAUUGGUGCUUAAAAAAGGGAGUUGAUUUAUUUCUGUUAGGGGGAGUUCUCAUCCUUUUCAAAUUUGAUUCUUUUGAAGAUGCAAAAGAAGUGAUGCAUAGAGAUUUAAGGAGGUUUCUUAACAAAUUGUCCCUGCAAAGAUGGUCGUUGAAGAUGGUGUGCUCUCGAAGUGAUUUACAUGCAAAGGAGGUUUGGGUUACGUUGGUAAGGCUACCUUUGCAUUUGUGGGAGAUGACGUUAUUUAAAUAUCUAGGGGAUUGUUGUGAGAGCUUCGUUGCAGUGGAUGAAGACAUUGUAAGUCGUCAUAAUCUCCAAUGGACAAGAAUUCUUGUGAGAUUAGAUGGCAAGAAGGUUCUUGGUUCCCUUCAAGUGGUGGUGGGGCGUUUCUCUACCAUUCGAUUUAGCUGUGGUGGGAGGCCUCGCCUUGGUUAUCUCAGGUUGUAGCCAAGAAAAUUGAGAAGCAACAAUAGGUUAGGGUAGAAGAAGGUGGUGGUGAUCUACACACUAAAAAAAAAUGUUUGAGAGAAAGCUUGGUCUAGCUAUAAAAGCUCAGAAGAUGUGUCAAGCUUGGGAGCCUUUGGGGGGUUUGUAGUUGGGAAAGCAGUUGGUGGCCUUGAAAGUCAUUUUCUCUUGGUCUUUUUUAUGGUGGGUGUAGGCCUAGAGUUUUGGUUGGGGCUACUAAAGGAGGCCCAUUGCAAGACAGAUAAUGAAGCGAUUUUAGGUUGAGGUUGUAUUGAUCCAAGGAUGGAUGGUAUGGAUACUAGCCCUUUAGUCCAUGACGAUUGUGGAUUAGGCCUUGCCUAAAUUUCUAAUUGAAGGGAGUUAAAUAGCAGACCAAGGGAGGUAGGUUAGGCCUCAAUUGGUAUUAAGGGGCCUAAGGGUUGUUUUAGUCUCUCGCCCUCGAAAGGAGAUUGAGUUGAGGGCUAUGGGAAAGACUCUAACCUGAAGUCCAGGCGCCCUGUUAGAGAGAAGUCUCUCUCGAAGUUGUGCAAAACAGAAGCUCUAGUUUUGAAUCUAGAUCUGGUGUCAUCUCCAACUAUUUCUGAUGGUCCAAAGGUGGUUUGUGAUGACGAUUCCCAAUCUCUGAUGGCUUGCCUAUGCCCGAGGAGAGAGUGUCUUCUACUAAUGCUGCUCUUUUAUUUGAAGUGAAAGGUUUCUCUGGUACGUUUUCAUCUUCAGUUUGUCUGAUAGGGGAAAAGUCUUCUUCUUUAGCUUUUUCUAUGUCCAAAGACUAAGGAUGAAAAUAUCGGUAAAUACAAAUAUGUUGGUACUUGGAUUUUACGGAUAUAUCAUAAAUAUCGAUAAAAUAUUGGUGGAUAUUUUGACAAAAAUAUUAAUGAGGUGGAAAUUGUUCAAAAUUCAUGUAAAUGCUUGGAAAAACUUCAAAAAGUGAUAAAAUAUGCAAGAAUACACAUGUUAAAAUUAUUUUCCAAAUGUAAUUGGCAUAAGUAUGGUCAAGGAUAAAAAUAUUAGUAAACACGGAUAUGUCUAACUUGAAAAUAUGUUUAAUAUUAAAACUAUAAUCUAUUUAAUUCAAAUGUAUUCAAUGAUGUAAAAUAAAUUAUGAUACAUGCAUGAUUUUUUUUUAAUAUUUAUAUUCUUUGUAUUUAAUUAUCAUAUAAAUGAUAUAAAAAUGACUUGUAAAGAAAAUUAUAAUGGUGGUUUUCUAUUUUUGGCAAUGAAUUAAAUGAAAUUUAAAAUAAAAUAAUUAGAAUUAAUUUAUUUAUUUAAAUAUCCUUUUAAUAUUAAAACUAUAAUCUAUUUAAUUUAGUAAUGUUUGUCCAUAUGCAAUAAAGAGCAGAGUUGGCCUAGUGGUUGUCAAGUGUUCAAUUUGAACCUUUUAACCUGGGUUCAAAUCCCUUUCUUGUAAAUUUAAAUCAUUUUUAUGGUUUGACUGAGUUGACUAGGCAAGAAAGCAAAAGGAGCAGAGUGUGAUUUGACUGAGAGGAGUGGAGCGUGUUUUGACCAAGAGGAGUGGAGCCUAGUUUGACUAGGCAAUAAAGCAAAAGGAGUGCCAAAAAUUGACCGAAAAAUUAGGAAAUCCCUAGAAAAAUUGGCGAAAAAUCGGCAAAUACUGAAAUAUCUUUGAUAUAUUAGUGAUUUUUCCCAAUUUUUUGUGUAGUUGAGCUUUAGGUGUGGAAUUUUGUGUUGACCUCCCCCGAUAUUUGAAAUAUUGUCGAUAUUUCGGCGAUAUUUCCCGAAAUUUUAAACUUGCCAAAGACAAGGGCAUUUCUCUAGGAAGAACUAAAUGCUUGGUUCCAUGGAGGGAGCAGGAUGUUGGACUUUUAGCAGAGGGCAAGGGUGACGUUUACAGGCCUUUGUGUAUGAUUGUUGGUGAGGGUUUGGAUGUGAAAUUCCCAAAGAAUCAACCUAAAGAUGCUAAGACUGUGAACCUAGAAGUGUGUAGUGGGGAAGGGACUUCAGGUUUUAGGAGCUCUAAUAGGGGCCCGUUGGAAGUAGAGAGCCUCUCCGAUCUAUCUUUUCAGAAAUUUAUCUCUUUUAUGAAGUUUGUAGGACUGCCAAUGGAUGGGCAUGAGAAGGAAAUUGCUCCCCUACCGAGAAAGUUAGAAACUAGAAAGGGUCACAAAGUUUUGGUUGCAAAGAGGAGGCCCUGCCCUCUUUCAUGUCCUGCUUUGUUAAGGAGCUUCGAAAUUUGGAAUGUUCAGUUCAUUAAUACAAUUCAAACAAAAAAAAGAGUUGUAGGUUGUGUUUUUGGAGUUGCUAUUGGUUAGCUUAAAGGCUAGGUGUUCGGAUUUCCUCAUAAUUAGAAGGAUUAUAGAAGAGGAGAGGAUUGGAGUUCUCUUACCUAGUUUUAAGGUAAGGGUUUUAGGGUCAUGGGCUUUUUUUUGUAAUUGCUAGGGGGCAGAAGGUGGUGCUUUCAGGAAGGGUAAGGAAGAGUGGUUAUGGUGGUAGUAGGGUGAAUUAGUCUGGGGUUUCUAUGUCUUUCUAGGCCUUUAUGGUGAUGUCUUUUGUAUUAGGUGGUGGUUUGUUGUUUCUCUUCCCUUUUGCUUGUAUUCGGCAGCAACUCGUAUACUAUGUGUGUACUUUGUGUGCCUUUAUCAAAUAUUUUUAAUAUAUUUUCUUUGUUUACCCAUUAAAAAAAAUGAUGAGUUGGUUGUUAAAGUGAUUUUAAAUCAAUCUACUACCAACUUACGUUAGACAUAUGUCUAACAAGGAAGUGACAAUUAAAUAUUUAAACUAAAUAUGAGAAAAAAAUAAUCAAAAUGCCCCAUUUGAUAAGUUUAAAAAGUUUAAAAAUAUUAAAUAAUUUAUCAUUACUAUUUUAUAUUUUUUAAAGUUUAUAUAAUAUAAAAAUAGGUUUAAGUUGUCAAACCCCCAACUUAAUCCAACCCAAAUUUUAAUUUAGGAUGAUAUGUUUUGCCUAAGCCCAAUUAAUGAGGAUAAAUCUCUUAAGAUCUAUUGAAGAAAAGAUCUUUAACAUCUAGAACUCAUUUUUGUUAGAACUCUUAUUAUGAGAAGUUUGUAUGAAGUAAGUUUCUAAUUCUAAAAAAAUAGUUUCUAUUUUUUUCUUUUUAUUUUUUAUUUUGUAGAAGAUUUAAUUAUUUUAGGAAAGGAAUAAGAAUCUUAAUAAGUCACUACAAAGUUAAGUUCCUAUUUUCAUUGUUUUAUUCAGUUUUUAAAGUUUUUAAAGUCUAAUAAUAGGGCUAACUAAGGUAAAGCAAGAUAAUGAAUGUAUGAUGAAUAAUAUUAUGUUUUUUUAUUUUUUUUUUACAUGAUUGCCUAUAUUUAAAGUUCUUUUUACAUACCUUGCAACUUUUAAUUGUUAGACUCUAUCACUUGGUUUUCUUGUAAGUGAGACUCCUAAAAGGUCUUAGUAAGACUUUAGGGUUUCACAUCUCUCUUCUUUGUUUUUCUUUUCUUGUCCUUUUUUUUUGUCUUGUUGCUAUAAUUUUAUUAUCAUUCCUCACCCUAAAUGCUAAAAGAUUAAUAAUUUGGUGCAACUACCUGUCAAAUUUCUACAGUCGUCCUUCUUUCUUAGUCUUUCAUGAUAUAAUAAUAAUUAGAAUUUCCUUCUACUAGGAGAUUUAAGAGGUUCAAAGCUUUCUUCUGCAACAAACCUUCCAAAAUGGUUAGAAUCUCUAUAUCAAUGGCUAAACCUUAACCCAUAGGUUUAGAGAAUGCUUUUACUAUUAUGCCAAACUGAUCCUCCAAUCCCUUGCUACUUUGUGUUUACCCAAACAACACUCAUCAAAUUUUAGCUUAACAAAACCCAUUGGAGGUGGGCACCAUUCAAAAAGUCUUUCCUUAAUCAAUCGACUAAUUUUGCAAACAAGGUUCCAAUUUAAUAGAAUAAGGCUCAAAGGGAUGUCUGCAAAAGCUUCCCUAGCAAAUGGCUAAAGGGAAGAAGAGAAGUAAAACAAGUCCCAAAUUGCUUCUAGAGACAUGUAACCCACUUUGUUUGAUUAUAGACAAUUGCCCUUGAGUUGUCCUAUGUUACUGUCUAUUAGGAAACCCUGGAUUGCUCCUUUCCCAAGCCUUGGAUCAUUAGGGUGGAUGAACUCCUAUUCUAGGUUCUCUAGAUCUAAGCAUAGUGGAAACUUGGCAUUUAAAAACCAAUAUAGAUACCAUAGAUCAAGAGAAAAGUGUCAUACCUAUGAUUUGGAUGUUCCCAGAUCGAUUCUUAUUAGUAUUGAAUACUUUAAAUUUGUAAAUGAUCUCAUAAACUCAACAAUCAUUCACCUGAUGACUCCUUCUUGAGUCUAGGCAUUAAGAUGGUGGAGAUCUCAGGGCUGGAGGCUAGGACUCUCUCUGUGGACUGUAGAAAGAGAAUGAUAAGACUAGAAACCCUAAUCCUUAACAGGUAUUUAUAGGCUUCCUACUAAGCUUUAAUGACUUAAGUCCACAAUGGGCUUAGGUCACUUAAUCCACCUCAAAAAGGUUGUUGAUUGAUUAAUCAACCCAACAAGGCUCCAAUUAAUCAAUUAACCCAACCCAAAGAUACCGCUCACCUACCCUUGUUCAAUCUUGCAUAAUUACUAAAAUGCUCUUUUGCAUAUAAUUGAAUUAAAAACUCAUCCAACCCCCAUAAGUCGUGUCAUCAAAGAAUAUGAGCUUGAACAAGGACCACUGAGACCUAUAUGAUAGUAAUAGCUCCCUCAAAAUUCAAUUUUGAAGUUGACUUAACAUCCCACUACAAAAAGUUAAUUGCACUCUAGUACCCUAUCUAUAUUACCAUGAGACACCAAGUGUUCAGGUCCGUGACCUACUAUCCAUUAUAUAUAGUCUCCUUAUGAACUAGUCUUCUUUAAUCUAACAAGUUGAAAGCUAUUAGUCUUUUAAGGGUACCUGUACAAUCCUUGAGUUACAGAUUCUUAUAUUAUGUGAUCAAAUGACAUACUCUAGCUUACUAAAAGCAUAUGUCAAAUUCCAUUAAGGAAUUAUUGCAAACUCAUAAUCACACAUCCUUGGGAUCACUCGAAAGGAUACACUAUCUCAAAGUUUAUAAGAUAUCAUGGUACCUCUAUUGGAAAUACUUGUUACUACCAGCUUCCAUCAACAAUGACCCAAUCUAUAAGGAAUAUAUAAUCACUUUAGGAUUUUACCCAUAAGUCAAAGCUACUUAACUUUUGCACAUGCUCAACAGCUUGGUGAAGUCAAGGCUACCUAAUAGUUUUAUGUUAUGACUCACCAUAGACCCUAUUCAAUAUGUAACCAUAUACGCUAAUACACUCGCCAUGGGAAUCCCAUCCUGAUGAUCAAGACCAAUCAUUCCUUCAAUUAGGAGGAGGUGCACUACAACUUCAAAUAAAUUGUCUAAUUCCACGAACCGGCUAUGAUCAAAUCAUCUACUUGUAAGGAAUCCAUGAUUUGGAUUUUCCGUGCAACUUUUAAUGCACUCAAGUCAUGUAUAAUGCAAGAGAUGUUAUACCAGAAUGCUCAUAGAGUAUAAUGCAUGAAAUGAAGAUAUAUAAAAGUGAAAUUGAAAUAUCAUUAAAUGAAUAAUGAAUUUCAAAUCUGUUACAUCAUGUCAUGCUUUUAAGGGCUCUAUCUUAACACUAUCUUCAAAAUAUUAAUUACAUGUCAUAUGUAAUUGCAUACCCUGUGUGUGUGUGUGUGGGGCCCAUCAACACACAGAAACUAUGAAUGUUGUGAGGCUCUUACUUGCAUUAAUUGCUAUAUUGUUUGUAUUGUUUGUAAGGUUUGUUACUCUUGUGAUUCCAAGUAUUGCUGGUUAUUACCUUUUUUAUUUUUUCCCCUCUUUCCAGGUUGAUGAUACAGAAGUUAUUAGUUUCCUUCUCUCAACAGAAAUAAUUCCGCUGUGCCUACGCACCAUGGAGAUGGGGAGUGAAUUGUCAAAAACAGUAAGUGCCCAGAUUUUAUAAUUCUCUAACUUAUGAAGCUUGUACUAUUUUCUCUCACUACCUGUUGCAAAAACAUCAUUUUUUUAGGAAGAUAGAAAUGUAUUUUCUCUCAUAAGACUAUUUCUAAGUGUUGUUUGCUUUUAUUAAAACAUAAACACCCCUGCAGAGAUCAGUAGUUCCAUUGAGGUCAAUGAAUGGCUUAGCUGCCUAUGUCAGCAUUUGCUGUCAUUGGCUAAAAUAUACUAAGAGCAUGCUCAUCUUGUUGAUGGAUAUGUUAUUAGCAUGUUAGGACCAGCAUAUUUCAUGUUGAUAUUCUUUGCUAUCUCGUGGAUGUUGCGAUGAUAUUUGAGGAUAAGACUUCAUUUUUUUUUCUUAUCAAAGACAAUAUACAAUAAUGAUUAAAAAAAAAAAGGUACAAGAAAAGGAUGAGGGUUCAUCCCCACAAAAUACUAAUCAAAGUAAGACUAAACACUUCCACUAUACAAGGGGAACUGUACACAAAGGUAUAGGCUACUUAAGGAUAAAUAAAGGUAACAUCUCUGCAAAACUAGAUUCAGCUCCUCUCAUUAUUAUCCACCCCAUUUGAUUUACAAACUGAAAGCCAACUGAGUUGAAUAACAUUGAGUGGAACGCCUCUAAAGGUAACAACAAGAGGCCCACAGGGAGGAAUGAAAAUGAAGUAAAUCUCACAUCUCUUCCCUCCACUUUUUCUCAAAGACCCUAGCAUUUCUCUCUUGCUAUGCAAUCCAAAGCAUAAUGAGGCAAGCAAUUUGCCAAAGAGUUUUGCCUUUGAUGGAACUCCCCUCUAAAUGAGAUGUCAUCAUGUCAUGCAUUCUCCUUGGCAGAACCCAAUCUAUCUUUGAUUAGACUGAAUAGCUUGUACCAAAGCCCCAAUUUUAACUAGCAAUUUAAAAAGAGAUGGUCAAUCAAUUCUUCACUUCCCAUGCAUAAGAUGCACCAAGGACGACUAAGGAAUUUGUUAAGGUCUUUUCGAUUGUAGCUGUCAUUGGUGUUUACCUUCUUGUGUGUUACUAACCAAGCAAAGGCCUUGACCUUUGAUAGAGCUUUUUAUUUCCAUAAAAGUUUGGCUAGAAAGAAGGGGAUUGGAUUUGAUAAAUUGGACAAGGCUGUGAAGAGAGAGAGAAAAGGGAGAAUCCCUAAUUAUUGUUAUUGAAAAACUGUAAAGAAUACACAUUGGACUUGGGUAUAUAUAUACAUGCUAGUGGGACCCACAAUACAGUAAAGAAAGAAAAGGAAAAGGAAAAGUAAAUAACCUAAAUAACUAUGCAUUAUCUAACACUCCCCCUCAAGCUGGAGCAUAUAUCUUAUAUGCACCAAGCUUGUUACAAAUGUAUUUAAUUCUAGGACCUCUGAGAGAUUUAGUAAAAAUAUCUGCUAGUUGAUCAUUUGAAUUGGCAAAACUAGUCGUCACACAUCCUGAUGCGAUCUUCUCUCUAAUAAAGUGACAGUCAACUUCAAUGUGUUUGGUCUUUUCAUGGAAAACUGGAUUGGAUGCAAUAUGCAAAGCGGCUUGGUUGUCACAGAUGAGCUUCAUUUGUUCAUCCUUUCCAAAUCUCAACUCCCGAAGAAGAUGUUUCAGCCAUAUGAGUUCACAUGUUGCCAGAGCCAUAGCUCGAUACUCGGCUUCAACACUAGAUCUGGCCACUACAUCUUGUUUCUUACUCUUCCAAGAUAUUAGGUUACCUCCAAUAAAAACACAAUACCCGGAAGUGGAACGUCUAUCUGUGGGUGAGCCAGCCCAAUCUGCAUCUGUGUAACCAACAACUUGGGUAUGACCUCUGUUCUCGUACAACACACCUUGGCCUAGUGUGCUUUUGAUAUAUCGAAGAAUGCGGAUUACAGCAUCCCAAUGGCUAUCACAUGGGGACCGUAGGAAUUGACUAACAACACUUACAGGAAAAGAAAUGUCUGGACGAGUAAUGGUGAGGUAGUUCAGUUUACCUACAAGUCGCCGAUAUCUCCCAGGAUCUCCUAAAGGCUCUCCCUGUCCUGGUAUAAGUUUGACAUUUGGAUCCAUAGGAGUGUCUACCGGUUUACAAUCUAACAUACCGGUUUCUUCCAAGAUGUCUAAAGCAUACUUCCUUUGGGAAAGAACCACACCGGAACUGGAUUGAGCUAUCUCAAUCCCUAAGAAAUACUUGAGUUUCCCCAAGUCUUUAGUCUGAAAGUGGGUGAAAAGGUGUUGCUUUAGGUUUUGAAUACCAUUCUGAUCACUGCCUGUAAUGACGAUGUCGUCCACAUAAACUACCAGAUAAAUACACUGCCCCGAAGAGUUAUGAUGAUAGAAAACGGAAUGGUCUGCUGUACUGCGGAACAUGCCAAACUCCUAAACAACAGAACUAAAAUGGCUAAACCAUGCUCGAGGAGAUUGUUUCAAGCCAUAUAGAGAACGGCGUAACCUGCACACUAAACCAGACUCCCCCUGAGCAACAAAACCAGGUGGUUGCUCCAUAUAAACUUCCUCAGCAAGAUCCCCAUGAAGGAAAACAUUUUUAAUAUCUAACUGAUAAAGAGGCCAAGAACGCAUAGCAGCCAUGGAGAGUAAGAGACGAACAAAAGCUAUCUUGGCAACAGGAGAGAAAGUGUCACCAUAAUCAGAACCAUAAACCUGAGUAUAGCCUUUAGCAACUAAGCGGGCCUUAAGGCGAUCAACCUGACCAUCAGGGCCAACCUUAACUGUGUAGACCCAACGACAACCAACUGUCGAUUUACCAGAGGGUAAAACAACAAGAUCCCAAGUGUCAUUGGAGUGUAAAACAGCCAUUUCAUCUACCAUUGCCUGUCGCCAGCCUGGAUGGGAAAGAACAUCAAGGGUGCUCUUGGGAAGAGAAACAGAAGAUAUAGCAAAAACAAAUACAGAAUAAGGUGAAGAUAAUCGAUGGUAACUCAAAAAAUUGUAAAUGGGAUGAGGAUUACGAGUAGAUUGAUUACCUUUCCGAAGAGCAAUGGGUAAGUCGGCAGAAGGAGGCAGAGCCGGGGCAGGAGAAGCCGAAGGGAUAGGAGGUGAGUCAGCAGGUACCACGGCCAAAGAAGGAGGAAGAGCGACACGAUGACGGCGAUGAUAAACCUGAAGUGGGCGAGAAGGCACUGCAUCAGGUAGGGAGAUAAUGGGAAGGGGUAAGACUUCAGAAAUAAGAAGAGACUCAGAGGUGGAGAAAAACGGUGAGUCCUCAAAGAAAGUGACAUCAGCGGAGAGAAAGUAGCGAUGAGUCUCAGAGGAAUAACAACGAUAACCCUUUUGAAGUCUGGAAUAUCCCAAGAAGAUGCAUUUUGUGGCUCUGGUAGAAAGUUUGUCCUAUCCAGGAGUGAGAAUAUGAACAAGCAAGUACAACCAAAAACACGAGGAGGAAGGAAAUAAAGUGGUUGGUCAGGGAAAAGAAGGGAAUGAGGAAUCUGAUUGUGUAAUACAGAUGAGGGCAUACGAUUAAUCAAACAACAUGUUGUAAGAACAGCGUCCCCCCAAAAACGAAAAGGAACAUGACUAUGUAGAAGGAGAGUACGAGUUGUCUCAACAAAAUGUCGAUUCUUACGUUCAGCUACCCCAUUUUGUUGAGGAGUAUGAGUACAAGAAGACUGAUGAAUGAUCUCAUGUUGAGACAUAAAUGAAGUAAAUGGUGCAGAAAAAUAUUCCCUGGCAUUGUCACUGCGCAACACACGAAUAGAAAUAUUGAACUGGGUUUGGAUUUCAGCAUAAAAUUUCUGGAAAAUAGAGAAUAACUCAGCUCGAUUUUUCAUUAAAAAUAACCAAGUACAUCGAGAAUAGUCAUCAAUGAAAGUAACAAAAUACUGAAAUCCUAAAGUAGACGCGGUCCGACAAGGACCCCAAACAUCAGUGUGGACAAGUUCAAAAGGAGACUUUGCCCGAUUAUUCAAAUGCUUUGGGAACGAGACACGAGUAUGUUUCCCAAGCUGACAGGACUCACACGCAAGCGAUGACAAAGAUGAAAAACUAGGGACCAUUUUCUGGAACUUGGAUAGACUAGGGUGGCCCAGGCGACUGUGGAUGAGGAGGGGAGCAUCAGUGGAAAUGCAAACUGCAGGUGAAGGCGAGGUGAGGUGAUAGAGGCCUUGAGACUCACGUCCUAUGCCAAUCGUCUUCCCCGUACUCCGGUCCUGCAAGGUCACAAAUUUAUCAGAGAAAGUGAUAAAACAGUUAAGAGUGCGAGUUAUUUUGCUGAUGGAAAUAAGAUUGAAAGGACACUCAGGGGCAUAAAGGACAGAAUGGAGAGGUAGGGAAGGGAGAGGAUGAGCGAAACCAAAACCUUUAGCCAUAGUUUGGGAACCAUUAGCUAAAGUAACAGUAGGUAAGGCAGAGGUAGUAGUAAUAGAAGAGAAAAGAUCCUUAUUACCAGAUAUGUGAUCAGAAGCGCCAGAAUCUAGAAUCCAAGGUCCAAGAGAAGAUGUGUGGGUAAGACAAGUAGAAGCAUUACCAGUCUAGGCAACAGAAGUAACAGAAGCUGACUUGGUGGUCUGAUAGCGGAGAUAGUCGUCAUACUCACUGUCAAUGAGGAAAAUACCAUGAGAUGUGGAGGAACUGGGAGGCUGAGGCGACUGAGGAUCAGAUGACUAGGCCACGUGGGCAGUGCGGGGAGGCCGCCCAUGUAACUGAUAACACCGAUCACAAGUGUGGCCAAGCUUAUUGCAAUAGGUGCAAUGAGGACGUUGGCCUCUACCUCGGUUACCACUGUGUCCUCCUCGAGAGUUAGUUUGAGAGACUAACACAGAAGAAUUUGAAGUGUUAUCAGAUGGCAAAGUCUGAGUGGAGGAGAUACGGAGGAGGCGAGCAAACACAUCAUCCAAGGAUGGAACGGAGGAACUGCCAAGAAUUUGAUCGCGGACGGUCUCGAGAUCUGGACGGAGGCCAAUAAGCGUAAGAACCAUGAAGAACUUGUCAAUCUGUAUGCGUUGAUCCCCAAUAUCAGUAGUAAGAGGCAUCACGGUCAAGAAUUCCUCCUUAAGAGAGGCAAUCUAGCCAAUAUAAGUAGAUAAAUCCAUGUCUUGUUGUCUGACAUUGACAAUAGAAGAAGUCACCUUAUAAAGACGUUGGAUAUCAUUCGUGUAUAGCCCUUUCGCCUGAUUCCAAAAUUUAAAGCAUGUUUUGUAGGCCCGAAGAUGAUGCAGAAUCUUAGGAUCAACUGAUUGCCAUAACACACUAUAUAACUGUGCAUCUAUCUUCCUCCAUUGUACUUUGUCAACCUCAGGAAUAUCCACCUUCUGCGUAACAAGGUGAUCCUCAUAACCUUGACCCAUAAACCAAAGCUCCACAGAGGUAGGCCAGGACAAAUAAUUUUCACUGUCAACCAAUUUCUCCGAAGUAAUCAUAGGAGAUCCAGAUAUGACAGAGGAAAAAGCGGAACUUUUAGUAGCCAUAUCUACUUAUUUGGUGAAUGAAAUACGUUUGGAUCGAAGAGAGCCCUAAUACGGCUUAUCGCGGACUUCCUAAGACACGUGCAGGGCUCGGGGUGGAGAGGAAGUCACCGGAGGUCGCCGGAAAGGCGGUUUAGAGGGUCGGCAGAGACAAAAAACCCCCAAAAAAUGCACUUUUAGGGCUUAGAUGACACAAGCGCAGAUGGAGGGUGGCUAGACGGCGUCAGGCGAGGCUGGAGGUGGAAGCGCGUGGCCGGAAAGUUCCCCACGCUCCCUCACGCGCUGGCUCAUGAGAUUCAGGCCGCCGGAGAAGAGACGCGCGUGGCUGGGAUUCUUCCUCCGGUGCUUUGAGAAAAGUUGAAGAUCUCCUCCUUGCGCACCUGAUGGUAUGGUCGGUGUCGGAAAAGGACUUCGCCGGAAAGUCGCCGGCGAUGAGGGUUUUCCGACGGCGGUGAGGGUUGAUCGGAAGCUUUAGGAGAUGGGAAGGAUGACCGGAAUGAAACACGGUCACUGAAAGAUUUCCCAGAAUGGAUUCAUGGAUAAACCGGAAAUAAUUAGGGUUUUUUUUCUCCCUAGGCUCUGAUACCAUGUGAAGAGAGAGAGAAAAGGGAGAAUCCCUAAUUAUUGUUAUUGAAAAACUGUAAAGAAUACACAUUGGACUUGGGUAUAUAUAUACAUGCUAGUGGGACCCACAAUACAGUAAGGAAAGAAAAGGAAAAGGAAAAGUAAAUAACCUAAAUAACUAUACAUUAUCUAACAAAGGCCAACAAAAGUGAUUUUACUGACUAAUAUUAUGUUUUUUCCUGUUGUUCCAUGUGACAAAAUUGACUUGAUUGAGUUUGUUUUUUAGACAUUGUCUUGGAGUUGGCCCCUUGGAUCUGCUUGGAAAGAUUCCCACCUUAAGCCUUUUGUUUAAUUUCAAUUUUUUCUGUCUAUAUGGUGUCUGAAACAUACUACUUAAAUUAAGAACCUUUAAACAUAUUCAAGUGAUGGCUCUCACAUUUGGAUUUAGGCUAUGCUCCAUUAUAUAGGUUUCCACCUCCAUGCUUUUCUCUGUACCCAACUAUGUUGCUCCUCUUUUUUCAAGUGGGUGUGGCAGCUUCCUUUUUCUUUUUCCAUUUUGUUUUGUGUGUGUGUGGGAGCUAGCUUUCAGGUUUGUAAGAGAGUUUCAUUGCAGGUGUCCCCUCUCCCCAACCCGGUUAGCAGUAUAGCUUUGCAGAUUUAUAAGAGUGUUUCAUUGAAGGUGUCCCCUCUUUUGUUUAUUUUUAUGAGGGGGCCUGAAGGUUAGUGGUUUAGCUUUUCAGAUUUAUAGGAGAGUUUCACCAAAGAUGUUAUGCUUACAGUUUGCCACCUUUUCAGGAAAAGGUUUGUAGAAAUGUUUUGUUUUUUUACCUUCUCUUUCUUAUUUUGUUUCUUUUUUGGGCUUGGGAUCAUCAGCUUCCAGGUUUAUAAGAUUUUCACUCAAGGGUGUUAUGCUGGCAGGUUGCCACAUUUAUUGUUCAAAAAAUUCUGUUGGAUGAUGUGGGCUUGGAUUAUAUUUGUACUACGGCAGAGCGAUUUUUUGCAGUAGGUCGAGUUUUGGGGAAUAUGGUCGCAGCACUUGCUGAGCAACAAUCAACAAGGCUUCUUAAGCAUAUUAUUCGAUGUUAUCUUCGAUUAUCAGACAACCCAAGGUUGGUUGAAAUUUACAGUGAUGUUGGCUGAUCUCAUCCCAUUUUUCGUAUCUUAUUUGUAUUUCUAACAGCCAUGGUUUUGGUCUUCUAUCAUACAGGGCUUGUGAUGCAUUAAGAAAUUGCCUUCCGGACAUGUUAAAAGACGCCACUUUCAGUAGUUGUCUUCGUGUAAGUAUUGCUUGUGACUUUCAACUACUUUGAGUCUCAAGAAGAAAAUAGUUAUCUUUUAGCUCCACACAGUCCAUUACACAGGUAUAAAUUUGUACCCCUUCUUGGUACAACUACUCAAAAACUCUUAACAUUAUGUAGUUUUAGGUUACGUUUGGUUCCUGAAAAAUUUAAGAGAAAAUGUUGAGAUAACGAAAAUAAAGAGGAAAAAUAGAAUAAAAGAAAAUUAAAAAUAGAUUUAAAGUUAAUAAAUUAUUUCUAUACAUUACUUUAUACUCAUUUAUCUUAUUUUACCUCUUUUAUAUAAAAAUUAGAUAAUUUGAAAAUGCAUAAAUUUCUUAUUAAUUUUAAUUAUAUUUGAUUUUUUUUUCAUUUUUUUUUUUGCAUUUUCCAUGGUAAUUUUCCUUGACAUUUUUUUUUCUUUCUUUAAUACUUUCUUAGAACUGAAUAUAACCUUAGUGUUUCGUUAUAGUCAUUGUCAUAAUGUUUGUCUGAUAUAAUGUAGUUGUUAAUUGACAUAUAUAUAUAUAAAAGAUCGAUUUCUAUAUUUUGUACUUUUAGAUAGGAUCCUCGUUUUGGUAAUUCUUAGGCUGGAGAUUAUCACCAUGGGCACCCAUUGAAAUGAAAUUGCUGUGGAAUUUGAAUAUUCAAAGAAUCUGUGUCUUCUGUGUCCAGCAUAUUUGGUAAUGAUGCUUUCCUGUAUCAUACUCUAUAUUUUUGUUUGCAGGAAGAUCCAACAACGAGGAGGUGGUUGCAGCAGCUGCUUCACAAUGUUGGGGGAAGCCGGGUUGCUGCAUUUCAGGCGGGGGGAGGAUUUGACCAUAUGCUGGUGAACUGAACUGAAAGUAGAGAGUUUCUUUAAUUCGUUUUCUGUUGUUGGUCGUGGAGGGGGAGACUUGUUAUUUAUCUUAUUUCAUGUUUGUUUCUUAUGUGAGAAACCGUGUGUUAUUUAGAAUUAGGAAAUGUGUCUGAGACAAAGCCAGUUACUGCAUCUGGUUGACUUCUACCUAUUUUAAUUUCAGAGUUAUUGUAUGUAGUUAGCUCUUCAUCUGUAGGCAUGGGUUCAAAAGAAAAUAUUGGAAAAAUAUAACCAAUCUGUUAUAACUUUUAACUGGAUGUUUGACACCAAAUGUGAAGAGACUGGAGUGCUGAUAAAGAAGUUUUUAGAACAUACAUAAAUUUAUUAAAUAAGAAAAAUGGAGAACUGAAAAAAUGAGAAAUAAAUAACUAAGAAAAAUAAAACAAAUGAAUUCAGAAAAACGUAAAAAAAAAAUAGUAAAAAAAAUAAAUAAAUUUAUUAAAUUUUUUGAAAUAUAUUUUUCUCAAUUUUAUUUUAGAAAUUUUUUGAAAUAUGUUUUCCAUUUCUUCCUCUCCUCCAAGAAUCAUCAAGAAAUCUGGAAAUCUUUUUUUGAAAACCUAAAAUUAGAGUUUUUAUAAGGGGAAAAAAAACACAUGGCCUGUUCCUAUAGGCCACUUAUUCCUUAAAUAAUUACCUAAAAAUAUCUAUGAAAAAACCUAAAAUCUUGAUUUAUAAUCUUUUGGGACUGACUUCAGGUUGAUAAGAGUACAAAAGAUUCAAUUUUCGAUAUGAGGAGCAAAAUCUCAAAGUGGUGGGGCCUGAUUUUGAAAUUGAGAUAAUUUCGAAAUAGAUUUUAAAAUCAUAAAUUGAAUUUUUGAAAUCACCAUAUACGUUUGGAUUGAAGGAGUCGGAACCCGCAACAUUUUGCAUUUGAAAUGGUCCUUCAAUUCUGUCCGAUCAUCUUUAAAUGGUUAUAACUUCUUUUCGACUCUGAUUUAUGCAACGUUUGAAAAGUUGAGUUUAUGACUUCUUAAGAUUUAAAAACAUAUAUGGCUUACCCUAAAAAGAUCACGGGAAGUAUUUCAAAAAUCAUGUUAAAGUUAAGGUAUGUUCUACUACUAGGUUUGAGUUCCAAAUUUGAUUUUAAGUUUGAUUGCAUUUGUUUCAAACCUCCUUCCUUAUGGUUGUUUGUCCUUUACCUCUCAUUGUAACAUUAAUGUUUAAUGCUCAUAAUUUCCUUAUUUUGUCUAUGUAAAUGCUAAAUCUCUUUUUAAGCAUAUUGAACUCAUUACUCUACUUUAAUUGAAAAUGACUUCAGUAACUAGCAUCAUUUUCCUCUCUUAAACCUGAAAUUAAACUUAAAAUAUACGUUAGAUUCAUAACUGAGGUUUUAGCAUCAAUUUGAAUUAAGUUAGAUGAUUUGAGUUUUUAUAUUACAUAAAUCAUAUCAUAUAUAUAUCAUUGAAACACAUAUUUUGGCUCCAAUCAGAUCCCAAAUCUUGAUUAAUGGAAUUUAAAAUCAAUAAUUUUAGGUUUAUUUUGGGAAAUAUUAAAUUAGUUUUUUUUUUAACUUUAGUAAAUAAUUAAUAUUUCUAAUUUAAAAAUAAUUGAAUACAUUAAAGCUGAUCUCAAAGUCUGACAACCCAAAAUGCUUUGUGAUUUUUCGUGGCUAGGGUUAUAAUGUGCUGUUCAUGACAAGUAGGAAUACUCACGACUAUACUACAAUGACAAAAUAAUAAAAUAAUAAAAGUAAAAAAAAAUUGUUUUGUUUAUACCUUUCAUUUUUAGGAUUUGAAAGCUCAUUCUCGCUUGACUUUAUGUCGCUCUAGGUUACCUAUAUGGCCUUUUUAAUAUUUUUGGGACUAGGCCAAUCAGAUGACACGUGUCCUAGCCUACUACAAUUAAAGCAUUCUAUUUUUAUUUUUUUUAGAGAUGAUCUUAUCUUUUUCUUUGGAAGAAUUUUUAAUUUUCUUUCCCUUAUUUGGGUUUUGCUUUUUGGAGAGCUUUUUAUGAAAUUUUUGGAGAGCUUUUUAUGAAAUCUCAUGGUUUCUUUAAUUAUUUUUUAAAGUAAGGCAAGCUCUCCUUUUUCAUUUAUAUCAAUAUACUCAUACUCAAUUUCUUCAUUUUUGAAGACACCUCUAGGCAACGCCUUUAGAUUUCUUUGAAUUUGGAAGUAACAUCUCAUAUACUUUAAGGGACCCCACAAAUUUAUCAACUCUCAUAGAGUUAAUGUCCUUACUUUCUUCAAUAAUUGUGACCUUGGGCCUGAACCUCUCAGGGAGAGAUCUUAAAAUUUUUCUUGUUACUACGGACUCAAGAAUUUUCUCUCCUUGAGUUAAAGCUUGAGUUGACUAUGUCACUAAACUCUAGAUAAAAUACAAAGAAGGUCUUAUCUUCUUGUAUCAUAAUGUUUCAAACUUGGCGACAAGCAUUUGAAUUUUGGACAACUUCAUAGUCGAAAAGCCCUCAUGGGUUAUUAAGAUAAUGUCUCAGGCUUUCUUAUCACAUUUGCAUGUGGCUACCCUGCAAAAUUCAUUAGGACUAAUCCUAUUAAAAAUGCUAUAAAGAGCCUGAGCAUUCUCUUCAUUGCUCUCAUGGUUCAAUUAGUCUCAUUCUUUUUCAAACUUGAGUUCUCUAGUAGAUCUUCUAAGUUCCAUCUAUUCAGUGUUUCUUUGCAUUAGAUUCCAUUGAAUUCUAAAUUCCAUUGAAUUCUAGACCCAUUCUUUUGGCAUUUUCAAUAAAAACUCUAUACGAGUCUUCUAAUGAGGAUAGUUUUUGUCAUCAAACAAAAUUUUGGUUUUUAAAAGUUUUUCCUACUCUAAUUGUUUAGAUAAUAGAGCUCCUAAAAGCAUGACAUAAUAUAAUAGUAAUGGAUUUAUUAUUUAUUAAUAAGAUUCUUGUUUCCCAAUUUAUCCAUAAGUUUCAUGCAUUAUAUCUUUUAAGCAUUCUAGUCCAACAUCUAUUAUAUUGUACAUGAUUUGGGUGCAUUAGAAGUUGCAUGGAAGAUCUAAAUCAUAAGUUCCUUACAAGUAAAUUAUUAGUUCACAAUUGGUUCAUGGACUUAGGCAAUCCAUUUAAGGUUAUAAUACACUACCCCUUAAUUGAAAGAAUGAUUAGUCUUGGUCAUUGGGAUAGGGUUCCUAUGGUGAAUGCACUAACAUACAUGGUUACACAUUAGAUAUGACCUAUGGUGAGUCAUGACAUUAGUUAUUGGGUAGUAAUGAUCUCAUCAAAGCUAUUAUAUUGUAUGGUAUCUUAAAUGUAAAAUGAUACUAAGUUUGUGAUAAAGUUUGUAGUAACUUUGACUUAUGGGUGAGAUUUUAAGGUGGUCGUAUAGUCCUUAUGGGAGUGUAAUUGACUCUCUACAAUAGAUUUUGAGGUAACUUUAUAUUUGAAUUUUGAGAGAGUCAAUAUUUUCCUAUAGGUUUUAGUGGUCAGAUUAGAGUCGCAAAUUUUGUUUUAAUGACACAAUUAGAGAGUGAAUAUACCAUAAAAAGGCUUAACUCAUCCUAUUUAUCUCAAAUUAUUGUUAAGACCCUAGCCAUGAGUUUAACGUAUAUUUUGAGCUAAAAUCUGGGUUUAAGAUUUGAAAAUAAUUCAAGUUACAAGAACUUCUUACAUCCAUGAUAGUAAAAGAACUUAAUGUACAUACAAGGAGCUCCAAGAGUUCUCAAGCAUGAUGAGUGUUGCAACAAAUGCAAAUGGAACAAUGCAUAACAUGAAAUAUGAGAAAUGAAUAUUAUGAAGAGAUAUGGAGAGCAAGCAAAAGUGAGAAAGAAGAUUAGAGGUCAUGGCUCAAAGUUCAAUAUGGGAAUUGAAAUUCAAACAUGAUAACAACACAUACUUUGAAUUUGACGUGAGUUUUGAAGGACUUCAGGAGUUUAAUUUUGAGAAAUCAUAUAUCAUUUUGAAUUCGAGAAGUUAAUAGCCUAAAGCUUUAGACAACAUGAAAAUUGGAGUUCAAUCGAAGAAAUAUGACUAUUUGAAGACAACAAGGUAGAAUUGAAGAGUCAUUUUGUGCAUAAAGGUAGAAUUGAAGAGUCAUUUGAAGACAACAAGGUAGAAAUAUGAUGGUCAUUGUUCCCUCUCGAACUUAUGCUUCAUAGUGAUAUAGUUUGUGAGCGUUAGUUGUGUUAUUUGUUCACUUGUGUGCAUAAAGGCUUUUUGGUAAAUACAUAAAGUUGUACAAGAGCUUUUGAAUUAUCUAUUUGGAUUGAGCUAAAUAAUUAAUUAGAGUAAUCAAUUAUAAUCUAAGUGGACUAGUUUAAGUGACCUAAACUUAUGAUGGACUUGAGUCACUUAAACCUACAAGAAGACCAUAUAAAGCUUCCUUAGGGGUUAGGGUUUCAAACUUUUGUCACACUUAUCUUCUAAUCUCUAGAGAGAAAUAAACCUUAGCCACCAACCCUUUUAGAGGAUUCCACUUCUCUUGUGUUAAGAUUUGGAAAAAGCCAUUGAGUGAAAGGCUAUUGAGUUUACAAGAUCUACCAUGUAUUUGACACAUCUUCACUAAUGAGAAUGAUAUGGGAACAUGUAGAUUUGAGGUAAAACACAUCUAUCUAGAUCUAUAAAGUUUUUCAUGCUUAUAUGCUUAUGUUGCUUAAAUCUAGAAAGCCUUAGGGAGAUUUAGCAAUGGAGAUAUCCAAAUAUUCCCUAUGUUGAUACCAAUUGAAAGUUUAAAAAUCUAAAUUAGAGAACAUGUACAAGAGGUGUAUAGGCAUUAGGAAUAUUUUAGCCCCAGAUUAAUUAUUUCUAAUUCUCUAACUUUCUCUUUUAACAUAGAUAACAAAUUAAAUAAAAUCAAUGCAAGAGAUACAAAUUCUUUAUGUGAAAAAACCACCCAUACAGUCUCAUAAAGACUAUGUGGAUGUUAAAACCAUGAGGUUAGAGACCUCUAAUCACAAAUCCAUAAUUUGAAAGGAGAGUACACAAUUGUACCUAAUAAAAGCUAGCCCUAAGUCUUAGCACCUACAUGGAACUGCACAUCCAUGAUGUAGCACCACACAUGCUCCCAAUGAAUUCUACCUCAGCGCUUGAGGGGAUACAGAUCUUCUUCUCAACCCAACAAAUGUGAUGACAAACAUCUUAAAAGUUUCGGAACAAAGAAGUCUAAUUAGGUUUUUUUAAUAUUCGCAUAAAUAAAUAAAUAAAAAUUAACAUGGUAUUUAUAAUAUACAAGUACUUAGUAGGUUGAAACUCAAAUUUUCAAAGUCAAAUUGAUUAAAAUAUGAAAAUAAAUGUUAUGGAGAUUGGAAUCUUUGUUGUAACCACUCCAAGCUGUGCUUGAGUGCUUUAUGUGGUGCUUGGGCGCUCUAGGCAUUUUAAAAACAUUUUCUCUCAACUUAAAAAUCUUAAGUCCACUUCAAGCGUUAAUUAAUUAUAUAUAGCCAUUCUCAUACCUUUCUAUACUUAUCUAUGUGGUUGAUCAUAUAGUAACAUUGAAUUUUCAAUAGAAAGUAAGAUAAGAAAAGUCAAAAGAAAUGAAACAAAAUUUUCAACAUAAAAAUACCUAGUCUAGUACCAACAAAGCUAAGUUACUAAAAAUGAAUUAUGUUGUUUGAUACACAAAGAUAACAUUAACAUUAAAUAAAGUGAAUAAUCCAAUGUCCAUUAUAUUUACUAUUUUUAUUUUUAAAAUAAAAAUUUUCUAGUUAAAAAUAGAAAAAAAACUAUUUAAAAAUAGUAUAUCUUAUAAAAAAACUAUAAAUUUAUCUUAUAUCAUUAAACUCACUCUUUUUUAUUUUAAAAUUUUAGUAAAUGAAACUAGUUUUUUAAACAAUUACUUUUAUUUCAUAUAUUUUAUUUUUAAAAAUCAAAACUCUUUAUUAAAAUAUAAGAACUCUGUGAGCCUAUUUAUGGUAUUUUUACAAAACACUUUUAGUAUAAAAAGCAUUUAAAAAAAAGGUAUAUAUUUGUAGACCCCCAUUUUGGGGCACUUUCUUUCUCACCUUUCAUGCAGGUUAUUUGGCCAGGUGGCACGAUCCCGGGAGACCACGUGGCGUCUUUGGAGAGGCUGACAGAGAAUCAGGUUAGUGCUUUGAGGAGCUAUCAGAAUUCGACACCUGUAAAGGGGAUUUGGAAAGUUGCAGACUGUAGAGGUAGGAGACCCCCAGCUGAGAGUAGGAGGUCGUCUGCAUGAGGCGUGCAGCUGAAGGGGGUGGUUGGGAAAGCCAUGCUUGCUGACCGAUGAAUAGGAGGGCAAAAAGAGGAAAAAAAAAAUUGAAAAAGAGGAUAGAAGGAACAGAGGGGUUUUUCUAAGAGUUUUGAGGGAAAGAGUCUUGGUGGAACUUGAAGAGGAAGCUAAGAACAGAGGAACAUGGAGUUGCUGGGGAGUCCAGGACAUAGAGCUGAGAAGGGAAAUUUCCAGGUAUGACCAUUUGUCUUUUUGUAUAUUUUCCGUUUUUUUUUUCAGACUGCCUAGGUCUGAUUCUCAGUGAUUUUUCAUCUCUGCUUGUUGGGUUGUUCUGUUUUGGUGAUUACUGAUUAAAUAUUGGAAGAGUUUAUUGUGUUUCAUGCCCUAUUCUGACGAGUAUUUUUCCAUCUUAACUCACUAGAUGUUGGACCCAUGGAUGAAAUUGAUGAAAUGGGUCUGAUAUGCUGGUUAAAGUCUUCAUGUUCUUUUUCUUGUUGCUAUCCUGUUAUCUCCUUGUUUUCUUUUCCUCCCUGAGUGCAUACUCAAGGCUCCAAAGUCUCAGCUGCUUUCCGUGAAGCUUCAAGCCAUGGCCUCCUUGUGGCUAGAAUCUGGGUUUUCAGUGAUGAUGAGAACAUGCCUUUUCAGUUUUCUCCAAGCUUUCACAGUCAGCAAAUACCCAAGGUUGCAUACUACCAAGCAUAUUCGUCGGCUAGACGUGGAGGCACAUCUGUUGGUGGUCUGCCCAUUGUGUUUAUGUCCAUGCACAUGUCUUCACUCUGCAUGAUCCCUAUCUCUAUUCUCAUGCAAGCGUGUCGUCAUCUCAUCCCCAUGUUUUUUUUUUUUCUUAUCCACCAUACCCAUCGUUCAUCUAUCCACCUCUCUCUCUAGGUCGUCAUACCUAUUUCCUCACUCAAGCUUGCAGGAAUCAAGCAUCCUCCACCACACCCAUUUUCCUCUCAUUCAUUCUCCAUCUCACUCCCUCACUUACAUGGAGUCUCAUGGGUGCAUGUUAUCCUUCCCUCCUUCACAUACCCAUUAAAACCACUCACUCGAGCUUCCAUGUCCAUACCACCCAUACCUGUGGGAUCCUCCCUAAAAAAAUGUCACGUGGCUCUCUCUCCCUUGCACACGCAGACGGUCCCCCUUGCGACGCGCGACAUAGCUCAUUCCACCUGGGGAAGAAUUCUGUCCAGAAUUCUUCUCCGCCGACAUUCCACCCGGGUAUCUCACAUCCGGAAUUCUUGUCCGGUCGACGUCCUACCUUCUCCGGAUGCCUCACAUCCGGAAUUUCUGUCCCCUAACAUCCCACUUUCUCCGGAUGUCUCACAUCCGGAAUUCUGUCCGGCCGACGUUCAACCUUCUCCGGAUAUCUCACAUCCGGAAUUCUGUCCGCCAACAUCCCACCUUCUUCGGAUGUCUCACAUCCGGAAUUCUGUCUGCCAACAUCCCACUUUCUCCGGAUAUCUCACAUCCGGAAUUCUGUCCGCCAACAUCCCACCUUCUCCGGAUGUCUCACACCCGGAAUUUUGUCCGCCGACAUCCCACCUUCUCCGGAUGUAUCACAUCCGGAAUUCUGUCCAGCCGACAAUUCAGAUUCCCUGGACAGCUUGGCUCGUUAGACACUCGUGAUUCGCCGGAUCCAUUUCCGCCCGCAAUCUUCUGUUCCUCUUGAUGUUAAUAGGCAUGAAUGUUUUUUUUCAUAAUUCCAGAAUAAUGGAAUCUGUGAUACUAAUUCAUGCAAAAUAAAUGGGCUUUGGUGGGGGCCCGACAUAUAUGAUUCUAUGAUCGAUUAAUAGAUAGAUUGAUUUAGUUUCCAUGCACGAUUGUUUCUAUUCUGCCCUAUGACAUGCUUUAAAUUAUUCUUUAAUUGUGCACUAACCUCACCUCUUGAUAGCGCAUUGUCGCUCGUCACCCAGGUACGUAUCUAUUCCCAUUCUGGUAUUUCUAAAUGCAUGUUUUGAUUCUCAUAUGUGCAUGAUAGUUCCGGGUACUCACUGUUUUACUCGUUCAUUACCCUGAUUGCUUCAUUUUAUUAGUAAAGACCCGACUUUAGGGACUUAGAAGGGUGCUACGGUUUUUACCGUACCUUCCUGAUAAGUAACCUGACCCCCGAACCCGAAUCCGGUUUUUCGUAGAUCACCUUUUCCAAAUAAGGAGUCACACUUAGGGUUUUUCUUUCUUAUUUUGUUUACCCUUUUAAAAAUAAAACAAAAAUAAGUGGUGACUCCAAGUCAUUUUUCCUAAUCAAUAAAAUCAUUUUUUUCAAAUAAAAAUCGAGCUCGUCAUCGAGUGGGAAACACAUUGAGCCGAAAUGCGGGGUCCACAAUAUUAUACGAAAUAUAAAAAAACGCUUUCAAAAAAAUUAAAAAGUCAUUUAUAAUAUUUCUCAGAAAAAACAUUUGACUUCAUUAAUGAUUUUCUCAAAAACAUUUUUACAAAUAUUCUGAAUAAAAAUACCAUGAAACACGUUCUUAAUAUAAUAAUUUUUCAAAAAUUUUAAGGUUAGAGGAUUUUGCUUCUUCAAAUUUUAAAAUUUUGGAAAUAUAUUCACAAGAACAUAAGAUCAGCCCUAUUUUUCAUAUAAGAUUUCCUUGCUUUUAUGCAGAAGGUUCUAUUUUUGAAAACAAGAAGGAAGUACAUCCCAAAACUGCCUAAAUUAUUUCCUUUAAUUUAUUUACUUUCCUUUUUUGUUUUUUUUUAAAAUUAUUUACUUCAAUUUAUUUUCUCCCAGUGGUCUCCAAACCGUGUUCAUUCACAGCAGUGUCUACUUCCUACGGCCCCAAUACCCCACACCCCUUUUUGUUCUCCCUUACCAAAAGCACUCUUCCUUUUUUUUUUUUUCAUUUUUUCUUUUUUUCUUUUUUUUUUCUUUUUACCUUCCAAGCACAGUCUCCUGCUUCUUCUCGCCGACCAUCUGAAGAUUCUUUUGCAUUUUUCCCCCUCUAGAACGGUUUUCCUGGUAAGUUUAUAUCUUUGUUGGUCCUUCAAAGAUUAGUUGUUACAAUCUGCAUUGGUUAGUUGGUCCGUUUGGUCAAUGGGAAAACAAAGGAAAAAGAAAACAAAAGAAAAGAACUGGAGAUUUUACCCCCUUCUGUUUCUUUUGGUAUUUGAUCGGAGGAAUCAGUUUAUUGAGCUCAGUUGGAUGGAGAUUUGGUUGCUUAGAGUUUAAACUAUGACAGUUUUUUUUUUUGGUUCCUCUUUCUCACUUUUUCUGAGGUUGGUCUGUUUGGAUGUCUGAGAACACCAAGGAAAAGGACAAAAGCCAGAAGAUUAUGAUCCUUCCUCUGUUUCUUUUGGUUUCUCACGAUUGGAAAAUUUUGGGAAAUCAAUUAAAGUAAUUAGUUCCAUUGAGUUUUGUCAGGUAGGAGAUUUUAGUUUUUGAAGACCUUAAGUAUUAAUUUCCUCUCUUUUCUUGGAGUUUCUCAGCAACCAAAGUGCUUUGAUUCUGUAAAUUGAUUCCUUAUCGUUGAAAAAAGAUUCAGCUUUGUGUAUUAUUUGGUUCAAGGAAUCCUUAUCUAACACUCUAUUUGCUCUUUUUCAGUUGAGAUUCUGGGAUAAUUCAAAUUCAUUCUUCUCGCCUAUAUGAUAUUCUAUCAUGUAUACUCGAAAUGUUUCUUGAAAUGUUGGCACUACCCUUCAAUGUGAAGGAUAAAAUAGAACCAGAAUUUUUUUCUUAUCCAAGUAAAAGCAUGGAGGCCUCAGUUGAGGCUGUGGAGAGAAUUAUUAACUACAAAUUUAGGAACAAAAAGCUCUUAGAGGAGGCCUUGACUCAUUCAUCUUACACUGAUUCCGCAUCGUAUCAACGACUUGAGUUCAUUGGUGAUGCUGCAUUGGGCUGUGCUCUAAGCAAUUAUGUGUUCCUUGCAUACCCAUCACUUGAUCCCGGUCAACUCUCUCUGAUCCGGGCUGCCAAUAUCAGCACUGAGAAACUUGCUCGUGUGGCUGUUCGAGUUGGGCUUUAUCAGUAUGUCCGGCACAAUGCUGCUGCUCUUGAUGAUAAGGUAUUAGAUUUGAUUAUUUUAUACAAGGAACAAUUAAGUUUUAAAUAAUGAUAUGUUCUUGGCUGAUACCCUGUGAUUUUAGGUUAGAGAAUUUGCACUUGCAGUCCAAGAGGAGGGUGAUUCUGUUUUGUAUGGUGGAUCAGUAAAAGCCCCUAAAUUUCUCGCAGACAUUGUUGAAUCUGUGGCAGCAGCAAUUUAUGUAGAUUGUAAUUUUGAUCUGCAAGUUCUUUGGGUGGUGAGUAUUUUGUUGAUUUAAUUCUCUUUUAACAAUUAUUGUCUUUACUGUUGGUAUCUUGAUGUAGUUUUUUAUGUUUUGCUUUUAUAUUUUCAGAUCUUUAGGGGUCUCUUGGAGCCUAUUGUAACACAUGAAGCCUUGCAGCAACAACCCCAACCAGUGACAUUGCUCUAUGAACUGUGCCAGAAGGAUGGAAAGCAUGUCGAUAUCAAGCAUUGGAGGAAAGGGUCGAAGAAUAUUGCUAGUGUUUAUGUAGGUGGCAAGUUUAUUGCCUCAGGUUCUUCUGACGAGAAGGAAAUUGCAAAAUUGAAUGCUGCAAAGGAAGCCUUGCAGAAGCUGUCAUCUAAAUUAAAGGACACUGAGAUGACCCAGAAUAAUCUCGAGAUCAAUGGAUCAUGUGAGAUUGAUGGAGCAAAACAGAAGUUACAUGAGUUUUGUAGCAAGAAGAAGUGGCCCAAACCAAGUUACCGGUAUGAAAUUCUACACAUUGGAAGAUCAUAUAAAUUUCUUUAUUUUAAUCCUUAAUUGUUUCCUAAUUUGUUCGAUGCAUAUAAAUUUUUAAAUUUGUUUUGAUAGUUUGCAGAUCAUAGUUUUUAUUGGAUGACGAAUUCAGAGAGCAAAUUCUCAUGCUGUGUUGACAAAUAUUUUAGGAGUACCAUUAACAAUAUUUAGUGUGUGUGUGUGUGUGUGUGUGUGUGUGUGUGUGUUUUUGUAUUAAAGUGAAUUGAAUGAAACAUGUGCAGUAUGAAGGGCUUCUAUACAUUAGUUAACUUGUUAUGACAUUAGAGUACCUAGAUGAGGUGGAGGAAUAUUUUAGGGUGUUCCAUGGUCAGUGACGCCCCCAUGAUUGUUCCGUGGAAAGUUAGAGACUUCCCUACAGUGGGAUGGACAGUAUGUGAGCAAGAGGAGACAGCUUGCUCACAAUGCAGCCCAUCAUUGUAUUAUGCGGUUCAUCUACAGAGAACAAGAAUGACCUUUUAGGAAGAAUAGCGACUGACCCCCAGAUUAAAAUACUUGGUCUUAAAUUCUUUGUUUUUGUGGGCCAACUUGUUCUUUGGGUGUUUUGUUGUUGACACGUGUUUUAGGUUGCAUUCCCUCUUUUUUGAGUCAUGCUAAGAAUUAUCUUUGCACAAAAUGUAAGAAAACAUAGAAAUAGAAUAUCCAGAUUAGGUAAGAUAGAUCUUCUAUUAGGGUAGAAGAUUGUGGUUUUGGACAAGAGGUGAAGUAAGGUUUGGCAAAUGAACUCCCUUAUGCUUGUUUUGGUGCACAUGGUGAGCUUAAUAGAACAAUUUUCAAUGAGGAAGAGCUUCCCAGUCUAAGAGUGAAUAGGAUCUUUGUUAAGUCCCUUUAGCUCCUUUGGGAAUAGGGAAUUGAUUGUAUAUUGUGGGAUUUUUUGAUAUCCUUCACUGUAAACAAGUUGGUCCUUAUGAUGGCUCUCUUGUCCAGAAGGUUUUUUGUUCUUCCUUCUUACCUUGGUGCUUAUUGUAUGGCAUCUGUGUACAUAGGUUGCACCCUUUUUGUUAGGGACUGAUUGAUAUAUCUUCUAUUUUCCUAUCAAAAAAACAAAAAAAUGAAAGGAUGGUAUGCCAUGUGAAACCAAACCUAUUGAGUACAUCAGUGAUGUGACAUGAUUGUUCAUUUGAAGGUACUACUAGAACCAGGAAGGCCAAAAGUAAUGUGUCAAGGCUGAAUGACCAGAUUGUACUCUCAAAAGCAUUGGUGGGGUAACAGUUUGUUAAGCUGAGAUCUUACAAAGGAUAGUUUCAGAGGAAAACAAAGGGAGCACAUCUCCUUAGCCACAAGAGGAAAAGCAGGAGUGAAAGGGAUAUCAAACUUCCACCAUGCAACCAGAAAUUAAGAACAAAUGGAGGAAAAACCCACUAAUUGACUUUGUUAUGCAAUGUUGGAAGUUCUACAGUUUGGAUGAUCAAAGUGUUCGUAAAACUAGAAUUGUAUUUCUGGAUUAGAACCCACUAUAACCAAUACAUAUUCGGUAAUGUACCUCUAUGUUAUCUGAUUCUUAAACUAUGAAAGCAUCUAAACUCAUAGAGACAGAGGCUUACGCAUAUUCUUCUCACUCCACUGUGAUGAACUUACUUCGCAGCCAUCUGUGGCCCUUUUCUUUGUCUUUGAUUAUGACUAGAAAUAACUGUUUUUACAGUGCAAUGAGACUGGUGGUAAAGGGGAGCAAGUAGGAGACAAGGAGAGGAAUCUAUAACCUGUGUUUUAAUUUCAUGACUGACUUCUUUCCUUUAUUUAAUUCUUUCUUAAAAAUCAUAUGGAUUAUAGAAGUUAAAGCUUCUUCUGUGGUGGUGAUUUUGAAUAGGAUCAGGUAGUUCUGUUUUGUUUUUAUAUGAAAUGCACUAGUGGAGUGUUUGAAUGGAUUCUUAAAUUAUUUAAUUCAAUUUUUUUGUGAAUUUCCUCAUCUAUUUCUUGCUAGAGAAUUUUAGGAUAAUUACGUUACUUUUCAUCUUGCUUGGUUACCCUUGCUAGGAAAAGUUCAGGCUCUUUCUUAAGUAUGAGGCCAUUGAAGAGUAUCCAAAGUCCAGGAAUUUACGUUGGUUUUAGUUGUAUUGAAAACCUUAAGAACCAUAGUAGAGUGCCUACUCCAAGUGCUUUAUCUUUCUUAUGUGUAAUCAGGGUUUAUUGCGAUUAGUUACUGCAACGCUCACAUGGCUUCUAUGCUUACACUAGCCAACAUUGCUUCACUCAAUCUUAAAAGGAAGUGUUACAAUGGUUACUGAGUGGACACAUGGUUUUUAUGUUUACACUACCCAACAUUGCUGGGCUUAAAGUUAACAGAAACUACAAAUUCAGAAAGAAAUAUAUCUGAAUCGAGGAAAGUUAGAAGAAGUUAACAGAAAUUACAAGCUCAGGAAGAAAUAUAUCUGAACUGUGGAAAAUAAGAACUAUGAUAAUCUAGUGUGCUUGGGUUGUGCUCCUCUUUUUUGUAUGUGCCUCUUGAUAUGAUUGUCUUUGUCUAUUACAAAAAAAAAAAGGGAAUAAUCAGAAGUGUGAUGUAGUGGCAAGUCUUUAGAGUAAGCAAGCUCUAUGUGCCAACAUUACUAGUAAUAGCCAAAUUUUCCUGGAUUAGUCUUCAUAGAAGAUUUCACAUUCUUUCAAUAGCAAAAUAGUUAGGCAUUUUAGCUAUGACCGCUAGCAUUACAAUUUUUUAUUUUUUUUAUCAUAUUUGCAAAAGAUUGGUUUAUCCACAGAAUAAAGAAAUAAAUUAUAAAAGAGAAGGUAAAGAAAACAAUUAUUUCACUACUUUUUAUGUUCAUAUAUAUCAUGCAUGCAAUUAUUGUCCUCGUGACCCAGCUUUUGAAAGAAUUGUUUUCUAGUCUCCUCACUUCCCCAUCUUACAUUGCAAGUAUCCAUUCUUAAUUAUCUUUUGCUUCAAUGUGCAGAAUUGAAAAAGAAGUGGGCCCUGCUCAUGAAAAGGGAUUUUUGUGCUCUGUCCAUAUCGAAACUGUAGAUGGUGUGCUUGUGAUGCAGGGAGACACAAAACCAAGAGUAAAGGAUGCUGAAAACUCUGCUGCUUCCUUCAUGAUUUGCACCCUAUAUGAGUCUAGAUAUCCGUGAUGCCACUUCCUCUCAAACUGGCUCCUUCAUCCAUCCAAACCUACUUGUGUAUGAAAUGGAGGAAAAGCUCCUACCUACAGACAAAAAGCUCAACAGUCCUGUGAAUAAUAGAACCGGAAAAAAAUACAGUGAGUAGCUGCCUUUCAUGUACUUUACCACAUAGGAUCGUGUGCCAAAAUAAUUUUACUUCACUUUUAUUAGUUUUUGAGAUGAGCAUAACCUUUUGGAUGUUAACAACGUGAUGUUCAGUAGUGGCAACUGCCAUAUUGUGCUUAAAUUUUCCAUAGCUGGUUGUGUGCUGUCUCAAAUUUCUCAAUCUGUAGAAAGCUACAAUUUCCUAUCAAAUGUAUGUACAUUCUAAGGUUGUGUUCGUUGCAUUGUGUGUAUAUAGAAUCAGUUUUGAUUAUAUCGUAAAUCCAGAAUAUCUAGAUGAAACCUUUUGGUCAUAGUCAUUUUCAUUUUGAAUGAAUGAGGCCUUUGCAGUGUGUAAUUUUUUCAUUUGAAUGACGUGGGGUUUCCAAGAAGCUUUCUUGCUUGAACCAGAAUCUCCCUGAGCCUCACUAGGUUGAUCUUCAUAUCCUGCCCGUCCAGAUACACAGCUCUAGCAACAUCAUAGCCUUUCAAAUGUAUGGAUUGGGGAUCGGCAAUAAUCGGUUGAUCCCGACCAUAUAAAUCAAAGAGGGAACUCUCUUCUGCCUCAAUCUUGUACUCCAAAUACUGCACACCUAUCUUUCUAGCUGGGUCUCCAUAGUUGGCUGCCGAUGCCCUGUCCAGCCCCAGUGGCACCACCUGCACCGUCACUGCUCCGGCAGGCAGCAAUACUGAGUUUGCUAGGCCGGCACCAUGGGCUCCUACCAUCACACUACACGAGUUCACAACCUGGGCAAACUUGUCCAAGCUUGACAUGUUAUAAGGCGGUGUUAUGAUCACCUGAAACCCUAGGUCCUCCAUCAAACCCACCGUUUCAUCUUCAUUCAAGAACUUCCUAGUUGUACGACGAGAUAUUAGAAUCAGCACAGGCUUAGGGUGUUCUAUCUCAGACGCAGUUGUAAUCUUCAGGCUGUAUGAUUUUCUGAGAAAAUGCUUGAAGUCACUCAUGGAGUAGCCUCCAGGAAUGUCACUGGUAUUGAGGGCCAGAUUGUCGUGAUACUUGAGACCGAUAACAGCCCCUGGGAAGCAGUGCACGCUUCCAUCUUCUGCUGGGUUUAUAGCGUUGUAUGCAGACAACUGUUUCAGAAUCCUCUUGUACCUUUCGACCAUCCAAGGCUUAUCGUCAGUAAUGACAAACUGGAGGCGGGAUCAGAAAUGUCGGGAUGUGAUGAAUAAGGGGAUGAUCACCUCAUUGAAUUCAUGAAAGAGGUUUCCUGUGAACCCGCCGGAGGAGAAGACCAUGGCCGGGACAUCGUGGGUGAAAUGGCAAGCUGGUGGGUCAAUGUUUCCGUGAAGUAUAUAUCUGCACUGGGCUAACAGCCUUCAUGGCGAUUUCGUCAUCUUUCCUUGCAUAUGGCUGAACACUCUGUUUAAAUUCAUCUGAACUUUGAUCAGACAAUACGUAAACUGUAUGGUUGUUGAUCCUAACUGGUUUAUCGGUGACGCAGACUUCUGAAUGAAGAUCUGAGUAGCAAGAAAAUCCAGUGGCUUCAAGCUUGACUCGAUCUUCCCCUGGUUGAAUGUUUCAAAUUUGAGUUACAUAAACUAGGAGAAAAUAAUCAAGAGCUUAUAACGUGAGAUGACCAUUUUUUGUAGUCUUUUUCAAUGAAUCAUACAGUAGAGAGGAGGAAAGAACCUCUCACUAGCCUUCUCAGAAUGGACCUCAGUGGUUCUCUCUCUUCCAUGUCUCUAUCAAUCUUCUCUGCAGCAUGACUAGAGCUUCUACCCCAAUUCCAUAAAUGGUGCUUCCCUUCAUCUCCAAACAAACUCAAAUCAGCCAAACCUAGUGUGAGAAAACGAAAAAUCAAGAUCAAAAUUUGACUACAAGUUAGAAGAAUUACAUGAAUCUAAUGGACUGAAACUCCAUGUGAAGAAUGCAGCAUAAAGGAAAGCAAAAAUGAGUAAGCAGAAUAAUGAACUUCCAGCCAGAACAAAGCUCCUUGAUUCCUUCCCCAUCCUAUACAAAUCCGAUCAAAACCAGUAGAUGGGGGUUUCAUAUAUAUUCUAACAACGCAAUAUGAACAUCACAAGGACUAUUCCUGAAAGAGUAAAAGCUCUUCAGUUGGGGUGUCCAUUUUUCUCAUAAGACUCCAUUGCUGUGACUAUAAAACUUGAUCUGCCUUUGUGAAAAUAUUUACUUCCCCUGAAUGAGGUUCCUUCUUCUAUGUUGAUGAUGCUGUUCUAAAUUAACUCAUUGCCACCAUCCAAGUUUCACGACCUUUAAACCCUUGCAGGCUCCUGGACUCGAUGACACGCCUUGGCCAUGCAUUACCUACCUUGAUGAUAUAUACCUUACUGACUUAAUUAUGAUUAAAAUUGUCAAUUAGUGAUAAUUAUUUGUAAUUUCUAUACAAAGGGACGGCUGUGAUCGAGGUCAAUGGCUUACCAGAAGGCGAUCGAGAUCGAGGCCACGGCAAUCAAAUCUAUCAUUUUCUAAUGUUGGAAGUCUUUACUAAGCAUUUUUAUGGUUUGGGUAGGAGGUUAAGCAAAUAGAAGCUCAAUGUUUUAAAUCAUGAUGUCUUUAACUUGCAUUUUUAAUUGUUGGUAGUUAAGGUGUCAAAGACAUUUCUAAUGUAUACUUCUUAAAUUGAUAUUGGGGGUGUUGACAUGGUCCAUGCUGACAUUGGGCUGUUGGGCUUUUGAGCUAUUGGACUGGUUUAACCUAGUUCUCACUGUAGUCCUUUCAAAGCCCAAACUUUAUAUGGGCAUGGGCUCUUGGAACAAGAAUCAAUAGGUAAUUUCACUGGACAAACUUGGCCAAGUGUGAAGAGCUAGUUAUCACUUCCAUGGAAUUAGAUGGAGGGGGGUCAAUCGGUGAUGUUUCCCAAAUUUUAUAUUAUUGAAUUUUUAAUAGUUAGUCCACUUAAUUGACCAUAGAUCAAUACUCUCUACCUAGUGCCUAUCCUCAAUGUCAAUAGGUCUGUUUGGAAAGUAUUUUGAAAAAUAGUUUUAAAGAAUAGUUUUUGAAAACUACUUCUAAAAAAUUGAUUUGCAAUAUUUUACAAAGCAAAAGUUUAUUUAAAAAUUUGAAAGAUUUUUAACAUAUUUUUUUUAUAUUUUUUUUUAUAUUUUUAGAUAUUUUUUAACACUAACUUUUAUCCAUCAUACCUUAUUUUUAAUCAUUCUUCAUGUACAAUUCUUUUUUAAAACAAUUUUUAUAAAAUAAGUAAAAAUAUGUUCUCAAGAACUAAAUGAAAACUCUGUUCUGUUUUCUAAUUGUUAAAUAUGUUUUUUUUAACCCUUUUAUUCUUAAAAUUAAAAAGCCAUUUUUAAAAACAAUUAACAAACUAAUCCCUAGUCUCUCAAAUGACCAAUGAACUUAUAUAUCAUCCACAUCAAGGACAAAUGAACUUAUACCAUCUAUAGAUCAUCCAUUGAACCAUGAUUAGAAAUGUCUCGACUCUUUUAUGGUGAAGGGUUUAAUGAUUGAGAUAGUUGAAAAGCCAAAUAAAAGUUUUUUUGCAAAAAGUGAACAAUAUUUUCUCUAGAAGUUAACAAAAUCCUUACAAAAGUUGGUAAAUUUCCAAAAGAAAGAAAGCUAGAAGAUCUCCAAUGAGAAUCGAAAUAUUCUCUAUGAAAGAUAAAAUAUGACCUAUGAUAAUGUGGAAUAUUUUAUUCGAAACGUUUUUUAUUCAAUGGUUCAUUUUCCAAUCUAAGAUCCUCCUAACAUGAGAGCCAUUACUAGAAGUGUUCAACUCAUAUGUUUAGUUUUUGUUUUUAUUUUUAAAUUUAUAAUCCAAUUUAUAUUACACUUAUAGACUACAAGCUUCUUUAAUUUGUAAUCCAAUUUGGGUAAUUUGAGUGUCAUUUACAUUUUUUUCCUUGUAAGGACAAUUGUAUUAGAUAAUUAAAUUAUAAAUUAUCGAUUUAUAAAAAAGUUCUUAGGAGGUGAAACAUCAUAAUCCAAUAAGCCAUAAAAAAAAAUACUUAAUUGAGCCAAUAUCAAUGUUGAGUUUUAUCAAGUAAAUAUAUUUCCGAUCCAACUUUUGGAUUUUUUUUUCUGAGUCAUUGCACUCUAAUAGUUGAAGCACUUCAAUACUCGAGAAUGUCAUGAAUCCAUUCAAUUCAUAUUUUAAUAAAUAUAUUCUGAACUCUUUCAAAGGUGUGUGGAUUCACCCCCUUCAAUCUUUUGUAAAUCAUAAUACCAAAAUGAUUUAUUGUUAAAGCUUAAAGUUGGAGAGAUUUAGACUCAUCUAUAACAUUUCAUAAAACAAAAGUUUGUUUGAAAACUUUAAAAUAUUUAUAACUUGUUUUUCUAUAUUUUAAAAAUAAUUGUUAUAUGUAGUGUUUUAUUUUUAAUUAUUAUUUAUAUUUAUAUAAUUAUUUUUUAAAAUAAUUUUUCGAAAAUAAGUAAAAAAAAUUAAAACAAUUAAAAAAUAUUUUCUAUAAACAUCAUGUUUUCUAUAUUUAAAAAUAAAAAACUUUUUUUCAUUUUUUAUUAUUAAACACUUUUUCUUUUCUUUUUGGAAAAAAAAUAAACAAAACAAAACAAAAACUGUUUUUGAAAACCGUUGUCAAAACAAGGCUUUGGAUUUACUGUCUUCAAACAACUUGAAAAUAUAAACUCAAUAAUACAAAAUCAAAGUUACUCAAAACACAAACCUUAAAUCAGAUAGAAAAAUUUUACAAAUUUCAACUUUUCAAAGACGCCUUAAUUAACCAAAUCUUUCAACAAUUUUUUCUUCCUCAAUUCCAUUUCACUUUGUAGAUGUGAAGAAUUUCCUUUAAAAGAAUUUAUGAAACUAACUUAAUACACAUUAGUAAAAAUAUUUUCUUCAAAAAAUAUAAUUUACAAGAAUUUCAUUGAAAUAAAACUUUCUAAAAACUUAAUAACUUUCAAUCAACUAUUUGCAAAACUUUGCAUAUCUGCAACAAUUUUUUUCUUUUUUAAGAAAUCUUAAAAAAUUUCAAGAUGCAAUUAAGAAUGCAUGAAAAUUUUCAAAUCUCAUACUUUCAAGCCAUGUCUUAAAUUAGAAAUCUCUUCAAGCCUUUAACUUAAUAUAGUAAUUUCUCCACUGUAAUAAUUCUCAUAAUUGGAUGUGGAUUGGACAAAAAUAAACAACAUUGACUUAGACAUCUAUUUUUGACAGAAAUUGUCAAUUACAAAUUUAAAAAAAAAAAAUCUCUUAACAAUAUUUAUCAAACAAUAUAAUUAGGGGGAUCAAAUUUAUAAUUGUGAAACCAAAGUUUGGUUAAUCUCGGUUUUGAUGAUAACAAAAUAAGGUUUAGAACUAAUGAUUAUAUUUCAAGUGUGUUUAGGCAAGACGAUUUUCAAAGUGACAAUCACAAAAACAAAUCAAGUCAAAGAGAAAUCAUGAAGAAGAAAAAGAUUUCAAAGAAAAGUGUUUUUCAAAAUUUAUGCUUCAUAAGAUCUCUUUGUAAAGUUGUUAGUGCACUAUGAUUUUCACACAUUACAUUCUUUACUUAUGCACCAAAAUCAUAUAAAAGUUAUUUUGUUUUAAAUUUUUUAAAAUUGGAUGAUUUCAUGUUUUCAACUAAAACCUGGUGUCAAAUGUUUUCCAAACUUGUUUAAAGUAUUUUAAGUUGAAAAAGUUAGUUGUUGAACCAAAAACGGCUCAACUAGUUGAAUCGGAUGAGGAACUCGUCGACCCCCAGCUCAACCGGUCGAGGGAUGCAAAAAAAAAAAAACUCUCUCUUCCAGAACAAUUGUUCAACUGGUCAAGGUUGAACAAGAACCGGUCGACCCCCGCCUCAACUGGUUAAGGUCCAAUCAAGGGGUAGUGAAGGUCCAACUGUCACCUACCAAGAAUUAAAUGCUAACAGCUAGUCAACCGGUCGACCCCUAACUCAAUUUUUCAAACCCCCAAUGGCUAAUUUGACUUUUUUCUUCUAUAAAAAAGCUACAAUCUUCAUUGUUUCAUGAACUUAACUUUCCCAAACUUUUCUUGAAUAUAUUUGAGUUUUUGAAUAGUGUUUUUUAAUGCACCAUUAUUCUAAAACUUGCAUAUUAUUAGUACACCAUUCAAUCCUAGUUUACUUAUAUCAUUUGAGUCUAAAGUUUUGUACUAAGAGUUUGUGAAAUUAUUUGUAUAUCUUUGAAAGGAAGAAUAUAAGUGUGAGGUAUCCCCUUAAGGAUUCUCAAGUAUGGAGUAUCACUUGAGGGGUUAUUUAAGAGUGGGGUAUCUCUUAAAAAGUGUAAUGGGUGCUUGGAGCCAAAAGUUCAAGAGAGUGGAUUAGAACCAUAAUCCAAUUAUAUUGCUUGAAGACUUAGUUUGGAAGUCUUGAAUUAGUGGAACCUCAAGUUUAGGAUUGAAACUAGAGGAAAGUAGAUAUAGGUCGAGUUGUCUUAGCUUGGAAUUACCUUAGGUUAGAUUAACCUAAUUUUUCUAACAAUAAUAAAUCACCUCAUUUUAAUAGAGACCAAAAAAAGGUUAAUAGGUUGAUAAGGAGAACAAAUAAUUAAGAAUUUUAUACAAAAUUUAUAGACUAAGAAUUACUUUUAAAAAUUUUUUAAAUUCGAAUAUACCUUAAGUUUUUAAAUUUUUAAAAAUAAUUAUUUUUUCAAUAUAAAUCUUUAAAAGUUAUUAUAUUUUAUAUUAUUAUAAUUUUAUGUUUUUAAAAACAAAUAAAUAUUUAAUAAUUUAGAACUAUUUUCAAUUUAAACCUCUAAAAUUGUUUUUGAAAAUAAAAAAUAGAAAGUACAUCGAAUUAGACACUUAAUAAGUUAGAAGUACGCUUUGAUAAAUGUUGUGUUAAGAGUUAGUUCAAAGGUCAAUUAUCAGUCUUUAUUAUUUAUGGAGACACAACUAAUAAAUUUAAUUUAUUUAAUUGAACUUAAUAUUAUAUAGUUUAUUGUACUAUUUUGCUUGUUUAAAGGGGUGGAAUAUGCAAAGGUAAUAAGUAUGGAUUGUCCUGAAUAUUUGGCAUACUUUUCAUAGUGCUAUUAGCCUUGUAGGUAAGUGGUCCUAAUUCCGUGCUGUCUUAGUUUCUUUAACACCUUUCCUAAACCCCCUUUUUUCAAAUUGAUGAAUUGGCAAAUUCAUGCAUGUACCCAACCUCAAAUCAUUUCCAUCAUUGGCUAAUUGGCUUGAGCAUAUACCCUUUUCAAUAUGUUAUAAUGAGAAUAUUCGAAUUUAGAAUAAAAAUAAACAGAAUAAGGAUAGAUUUGGGAUUUUUUUUUAUAACUUGAGUCAGGUUUUAAUCUUAUCCCGUGUCAUCCCAAUUAUAUAUAUAUAUAUAUAUAUAUAUAUAUAUAUAUAUAUAUUAUUAAAAAUUAUAAUAUUUAUUUAUUCAUAAAAUAUAUUUAGUUUAGUGUAAUUAUCAAAUUUAUUGAUUCUUCUUUAUUUGAGACUAUAGAAUGUUUCAAGGGUUGGAUUAUUCGUCCAUUUAAACGGUAUAUGAGUUGGGUUCAGAACAUCAUGAGAUAGUUUAAUUCGAAUUAGUAGAUCCUAAUAAAGGGAGUAAUACUGCCAUAUGCAAAAAAAAAAAAAAGACUAGUAGAAUUGGCAAAGGUAAAAGCUCCUUAAAACCAAAAAGUAAGAUAGAAAAGGGGAGAAAGCUAUCCGUUCUUAGUCUCAUCUCAUUUAAUAUUCUUAUUAAGAUGGGGAGAAAAACUAAUUUAUAUAAAUAACAUAAAAUCGGGUGGAGUGACUCAUUCUAAACCCAAACCCAACAUAAAAUCGUUUUCACCUUUAAGAUGUUCAAUAAUUUCAUAGAAUCCCACAUAAUUUGGCCUCUUGGGCUAGCCUUUGAGAAAUUCCAAUGCCAUUAGGGCAGUGUGAUUCAGAUUUUGAACCAGAAGUCAUUUCACUGAAAAAAUCUGAUUAAAGGCACAAAUCCUUGAAACAUGCAUGAAUCUUUUGUGAAGAUUGCGGUGGUGUCCAUAUGUGAAAUGGGCAUCAUGAGAAUAUCAGGUGGAACCAUGAAAAAGUAAGAUAAGGACGGGACCAGGGCAAGAGCGUAAGCAGCCUCUUCAUGGACCCUGCAACUGACCAAUACACAAAUGGAAUUUUUUAUAUUUGGAAGAAGAAAAAAUGUCCACACUUCUAACUUACCACCACAAACAAAAAACAUAGAGAAAAAGGAGCCCAACUUUAGAGCCAAAAAGGAAAAAUAUUGAAAAAGAAGAAAUCUUGGCAAAGAUGUAUAGUAAGAACAUUCUAGGCAAUGGACCCCACUCACAUCACCCCCACAGCAUCAUCUCAAUCUUUCUCACGACAUUUUCAGUGAAAUGAUUCUUUUUUGACAUAUUCUUAAGUCGGUAUAAAAAUUCAACAACCCCUCUACAAAUGAUUCUCUAACCCUAACUACAUGAAGAGGGCUUUGAGACUCCAAAUUUUUUUGUUUAACAGCAAUGACUCACUCUUUUUCAUGUAAAUAUUAUCCAUUCAUUUUAAAGUUAAGAAAAACUCUUCACACAUACACUUCUUAUUUGAUGUGGAAUAUCGCAUCUAUCUCAUAGAAACACAUCUUUGUCAUGUCUUAUGGGAUUGUAGAUUACUCAAACAUAUGGAAAAUGAGUUCCAACAUCAUCCAUAACCAUCUGUUCUCGUCUACAUAAAAAUUAUCCAUUUUUAACAUAAUAAUGGAAGUGUAAGCUAAGAGACAGUUUUAGGUAGACAAUUUCUAUGGGACGUAGGCCUUCCAAGAGGCAACAGAGGCAUGCAGAGGUUUCCUUGGACCGAACGAAGAUUGGCUCUUAAGUGCAAAGGUAGAAGGAAGCUUGACUGCAAGACCCACCUAUCAAGCAGGGACGAAAUUCGGCCUUAGUGAUCCGAUGGUGCCAAGUGGAAGGGUUGUCACUCAACAGAUAAAAGUUACUUUAAGAAUAAUAAGUUGAUCUUCCCCAAAAGCUCACAUCAACAAGAAGGUUUGGCACUUCAAUGUCGACUCUUCGCUGCCUAAAAUUGUAGUAUGUUCCAAGGGUUAAUUGGAUUGUUCACCCAUUAAAACAAACUUUAAAAUGCAUAUUAGAAAAAUUUAGUAUUAUUAGAAACUUCUUCCUCUCUCCACCAUGGAAUAUCAUAAUGUACUGAAAGAUUGGUUUUUUCGUAGGAAAUCAGUAACUAAAAGAUCUUUACAGCAAUGUCUCAAGGUCAUUAAUCAAUCCUCAAGUCAAAGUAGUACUUUAGAGAAGAAAUAAUGAAAAAUGGCAAAUAAUAUAUCAAAGUUAUAUAGGUUAUGUCAUGUGAAGUCGGUAUUCAUUAAUUUCUCCUAUUGUCAAGUCCUUCUCUCGACCGGCUUUUUGUAGGCACUGGUGAAUAAUAGAGAGUAGAGGUUGAAGUUUUCGCACAUAUGUUGGUGAUGAGACUGAUAGCGGUACUUAAUCUUGUUGAAUGUUGGCCCGUCUGCAUACUGAAAAGGAAAGCAAGUAGCUCUGGAUUUUGAUUUUGUUGGUGCCUUUCUGGUUUUCAUUUAUUUCAAUUCAAAUACGAAAAUGAAGACACUUGGUGCCUGUCUGCCAUUUAGCAAAGACUUUUGGUACACUCAAAAGUCAUCACCAUCAAAUUAACCUUUAAUUAGAACCAAAUUACUUGGCAUGGGGAUCAUUCUUAUGACAAUUAUGAGCUCUAAGACCCCAAUUAUUCGGGUUCAUGGAAGGAAUUUUGUUUUGCUAACUGUAUUAGACUGCGUCGUAUUUUUAGUUAAAGUUUUUUAUCCGAAAAUGUUUUGAGGAGAAUUAUGGAUCAAGUAUUUCUCCAACAAACAUCAUAAAUGAUUUUUUAAUAUAAUAAAUUAUUUUUCAAAAUUUUAAAAAUAUUUUUUAAAAUUUAUCAAACACUUAAUUUUUUCUAAAACCAUUUUUUCAAGUUAAAAACACUUCUUAAAAUCAUUAUCAAAUGGGCUCUUAAACUACUAAAAAAAAAUGAUCUUUUGUUAUGCUUUUAAUUUUGUGUCAUUUACUUAAUUUAUAUAUUAUAAACUAAAAAACAUAAUAUAUAUUAUAAACUAAAAUCCUACAAACUUAAAAUUUUAAGAAACCAGUAGUUUAACAUAUGUCAAAGUUUCGUUUGCUAAAAGGUUAUGCAUUCCACCCUUACCACAUAUUUGUUUCCUCUAUUUACACAUAUGUUUGAUUAGUCAAAAAAGGGUUAUUUCUAUUGUUUGCCCACGGACCCGUGUUAGACUUAAACUUUCCACACGACGUAAGAUAUUAAAUUUAAAUUUAUAGAAAAAUUGGCAAGUAGGAUACAUAUGGCAUCAUCUUAGACCUCCAUUUCCAUUUUAUCUCAUACUUUUUAGCACUAUCACUAGGCAUUAAUUAGCUUAAUCUUUUCAUCAACUAGCUGGCCUUUUUUCUAUGGUGACACCAUUUUCAUCAGAAAACACCACUGGCAGUAUUUGUUGUACUAUUACACCUACUCCAAUAUGUAAUUAACCACAGCCACAUGCAUUAAGUUUUGUCAUUCAUCGGAUAUUUUCAACUAUCUCUUCUGACCAGGGGAAUCAACUAUAAGGAUCAAAGCAAUGGCCGCCUUUUGAAAGAACCACAAGAAAUUUUAUGAAUAGAAGAAAAUUCUCUUCAAAAAAAUUCAGCAAGAAAAUGGACAAUCUUGUGAGAAUCAAACACAUGGUAGAGAUUCUGCAUCUUUUUUCAGAAAGUAUUCAACUCAUGGAAACAAUCAACUGAUGGGUGAAUUACAGGUAAUUGAUGAUUGCAGUGACUUUGAAGCCAUGGAAAGUAGAGUGAAAAUCUCCAGCAUGAAACUUCGAAUAGUACUUCAUCAACUAUGCUUUGUGCUUAGGAUGGUAACUUGAAUAUGCCAAAAAGAAAUUGAAUGAAAAAUAUACUAAAGAAAGGGUGACGAGAGAGGGAAUAUAAGCCACAUAAACAUUAUCUAUGAUCAUUCAUACUGGAACUAAGUACAAAUGAAGACAUGUAUGCCUUGAUUCACCACACCCCUAUGUUUGAAUUUUGUAUGAAAUGUCUAGAAUUAGAGUACCAAUCACCUCUUACAUUUUGAGGUCAAGAAGGGAAAAAUCAAACUAAAACAAUUUGUGAAAGGAAAAAAAAAAAAAAAACCAUGGCCUUAGAAACUAAAUAUGUGCAGACUCAAUGAAAGGGAAGAAGAACCACGAAUAGAAUGAUGUAGUUCCUCUCUAUGUGGAUACCCAUGAUUGAUCCCCAGAACCAAUGAUCCUAGACUGAUAGAAGUUUGGUGAUUUAUUAGGAGAUUGAAGGAAGACCAAGCUCAAAAGGCCUUCUGGUAAAACUCAUGAAGCCUCUUCCAUGACUCUUCUCUCUGCAUCUUCAACUGGUUAUAGAAGUUCCCGAUAAAUGUCUCCGCUUUGGUAAACAGCUCUUGCCCACUAAGCCCAUCAACCUCCUCCUGAUCUUCCUCCUCAAUGUCCCCCACCGCCUCUUCUGCUUCAGCCUCCCCACCACCGAUAAAGAAGAGGCUUGGAGUGGAGGGACACUUCCUGACUUUACUCAGCUUUGCAGCACCAACGAUCUUCUCUGAUGCAGAUUUCUCGGCCACCUUCGCCUUUUUCUCGGUACGCUCAGGGGUAGUGAGCAAUAGUCCAGUAUCAGUUGAAUUGGAGGAAGCUUCCUUAUCAGGAGCAGCUUGAUCGGGAGGAGUACUUAAUGGCUUUGCUGAAACAGGAACAGCAUAUUUCUUGUCCUGGGGAGGCUUAGAGAAGGAGAGAAGGCCAGCUUCUGCUCCAAGGGCAAUAAUGAGGAGAUUGAUGAUGAUGAAGUAGAGAUAGGUGGUCCUGAGGGAAGAGGAUAGAAGAGGGGUGAUGAAGAGAACUGCAGCUAUGAGAAAGAGCUUUAGCAUUUGAGAUUUCUUGGCCUUGUCCAUGGCUUUUGUGUGAGUGGAGGGUGAUAAGGGAGGUGAUGGAAACCAUGUGAGAGUAUGCGGACAUAUAUAUAGAAGAGAGAGAGGGUAUUGGUAUUCUCCAGUCAACAAAAGCUGAAAACAUGAGAAGACAAAAGCCACUAGGGUAUAUGCUAUAUUGGAGCAGUUCAGGUUAACGGGGAAAACUUGGUUUUGAUUUGCUAAUUUAAAAAAAUAUAUAUAUAUAAAAAAAUAACUUUAACUUUCAUAAAUCAUAUUUAUUUUAAAAUAUUUUAAAUUAUAUGUACUUUUUCUUAACUCAAAUAAUUAUUUCCUAAAAUAUUAUUUUAUUUGAUAAUAUUAAAUAAAAUUAUCCAAAAUUAAUUUAUUAUUUUAAUUUGACAAAAGUGUUUUAUAAAUCAAUAUAUUAUAAAUUUUUUAUUAUAUAAUAUGAGAUACAAAUUAUUGUAAAAAAAAAAAAUCUUUAAUAAUGAUUUUACAUUGUGUAUUAUGUAAAUCCACUCAUUUAAUCUCGUUUUAUUUAAUAAAAUUGAAUAAAAAUUUUGUUAGUGCACAUCAACAAUAAAAUAAGAUUAAAAUACAUAAAAAUUAAAUACAUUAAAAAACUUAAAAAUUAAAAAAUAAAAUAUUUACUAUUACUAUAUUUUUAACUCUUUCUCGAUAUUAUAUUUUCUAGCGGAGUGCUUUAAUUAAGUAAAAGUUAAUAUUUUAUUUUUAUAUUUUAAAUUUUAAAGUUUUUUUAGUUUUAAUUAUAUUUUUAAUUUUUAAAAUUUCUUAUUUUAUUAAUUUCGAAUCAAUUAUCAAGUUAAAAAAUUGUUAAUUUGUAUUAUUAACAUGUAAAAUGGUCAUUUUAGGAAAUAAUUAUUUGAGUUAUAAAAAAGUGCAUGUAUUUUAAAAUAUUUUUAAACGGGUGAAGAUAAAUAUGAUUUAUAAAAGUUUGGAUUCUUUUUUUAUAUUUUUCUCAAAUCAGCGAGUUAAAACCCACUUUUCCUAAAUUAAUGCCCCUUAAUUACAAUGUUUUCUUUCAAGUGGCAUAUAGAUAAAAUAGUAAAUGAGAAUAAAAUAUAAAUAAAAAAUUUAUUUGUAUAGAAACUAAACAGGUGUUUUGUAAACCAAUUUAAUGAUUUAAAAUGACUAAAUAAUUUAAUUUAAGUUAUUAAAUAAAUUAAGUGCUGGUAGAUCAGAGGGUUGGUCGCAUCCAUCAACUUCCCUUGUAUUUGAAUGUCAUGAGUGCUUGGGUGAAUACACUAGAAGAGUAAGGUAUGCGUAUUUUCUAACAACAAUUAUUUUUAAAAGAGUUAGGAGUGUCUAAGAUCCUAUAAGUGGUAUUAGAGCCGAGGUCACUGGUUCAAACCCCAAGGGUACCGUUGGGAGGGAGAUUGUUAGUAGAUCGGAGGGUUUGCCGCAUCCAUCAACUCUCUUUGUAUUCGAAUACUAUGGGCACUUGGGUAAAUGCAUUGUAAGACUAGGGUAUACAUAUGAAGUCCUACAUUAAGCAUGUUUAGUCAAAUAACUUAAUGGCAUGACUUAAAAUAAAAAACAACUUUAAGUACAAACAAUUAAUUUAUUUUUAAAUUCACAUCUUUAUUUUAUUUUUUUUAACCCUCAUUUACUCUAGUUACCUUCACAAUCUCUUUUACUACUUCACGACCUCAACUAUUACCUCGCCUUCUUUCCCAUAUUUAUAAUUUAUGAGGAUAAAUAUGUUAAUUUAAUUAUUUAAAAUAAGUUAUAAGUUAAUUUUAUUAAACAACCUUAAUACUUAAAGUAAAAAUUAAAUAAUAAGUUUUAAAUAUAAUUUAACUUAAAAUCAACUUAAGUCAUUUAAGUGUUAAGUAUUAAGUUUCACUAAACACCCCUAAAUUUUAUUCUCAUUAGAAUUUUAAUUACCCUCUUCUGUGUAGUAGUAAUAUGAUUCACUUUUAUUCUUAUCUUAUUUUUUUUCUUAUUCUCGAAAGUAAAACUGCUUAACUCCAUGUAAAAAGAGUAAAAAUAAUGUUAUAUAUAAAAAUUGAUUUUUCAUUCUAACCCCUUGUCAGCCAACAAUAUCUAUCAAACUAUUUUAAGAAAAGAAAAACAAAAAAUUAUUAUUAUUUCACUUGACGGUUAAAAUUUACUCAAUUAUACACACUAAGAAGAUAUUUGGUAAAUUAAUGUAAUGACUUAAUAUAACAUACUAGCUUAAUUUAAUCAUUAAAUUGAUUAAGCAUGUUUGACAAAAUAACUUAAUAUUACAAUUUAAAGUUAUUUUUAAUUUUAAGUAUUAAAGCAAAAUAAUUAACGUAUUUUUAAUCUUAAUAUUGACAAUAAUUUAAACACAAAUGUUUUAUAAAUAAAUUUAUGGUUUAAAAAUUAAUAAAAAUAAAUGUGAGUUAAAAUUAAUGAGGAUCAAUACUAGUUAAAAUUAAUAAGAAUAAAUUUGUUAAAUUGAUGGUUUGAAAUAAAUUUUAAUUAUUUCAUCAAAUAACUUUAAUACUUAAAAUAAAAAAUAAGUAAUUAAUUUUAAAUUUAUACAUUGAAAACAAUUUAACUUAAAGUCAUUGAGUAAUAAAUAUAAAGUUUUAAUACACCUUCACCAAAUAGGUGUUUGGUAAACCAACUUAAUAACUUAAAGUUUAAUUUAAGUUAUUAAGUAAAUUUAGUAAGUUAUUAAGUAAAUUAAGUAUGUUUAGUAAAAUAACUUAAUGAUACGACUUAAAAUAAAAAACAACUUUAAGUAAUAAGUAAAAACAAAUAACUUAUUUUUAGGUUCGAAUUUUUAUUUUACCUUUUUAUCCCUAUUUGUCCUAAUUACCUCCAUAAUCUCUUUUACUAUUCCACAACAUUCACAAUCAUUCAACUUUCUUUAUCCUAAUUAUAAUUUAUGAGAAUAAAUACAUGAAUUUAAUAUUUUAGAAUUAAUUUUAAGUUAAUUUUAUUAAACAACAUUAAUACUUAAAAUAAAAAUUAAAUAAUAACUUUGAAAUAGCAACUUAAAUAUAAUUUAAUUUAAAAUAAACUUAAACUAUUAAGUAAUAACUAUUAAGUUUUAUCAAACAACCUGAUCCUAAACCUUAUUAAUAGAACAUUCUUAACGAAUAAUAACAAACAAAACAAAUAAACUUCAGCUUAUAUUUCACUUUAAUUAUAAGUGUAUUAUUAUGAACAUAAAAAAUUGUUAAUAUCACAUGGAAUAAAUAAAAUAAAAUAAGGACGUCAUCUCGUGUAAAAUCAAAAACCCUCAUGAAAAUGCAUCUUCUUGAAUUUAUAAGAUCAAAUAUUAUUUUAAUAACAAAGUUUGGAUAUGGCAGCCCCACUUGACAACAUUCAAAAACGACUCCUUUUGUACACCGCAAAAGAGGAGCAUAGCAAGAAGAGUGGAGACAACAGAACAUGCAAGAAGGAGAAGAUUUGAAUAUAAUUGGGCCAGGCCAGAUAAGGUCGGUGGAGGUGGCAUAUUCCCAACUUUUUUAUUUGGUCCGAAGAAGCCUUGUGAUCGUGCUCGAUUGUGACCGCUGGUUUUCUAGGAUCUCUGUUUGUUUAGGCCCACUUCAGGGACUGGAUAAAAACAAUUAGAAAAGAAUAAAAAGGAGAAAAGCUUAAAAACGAAUCUGUGCCGCCAACUCUCAACUUGUGUUAGUGCGCACGUCGUAAGUGGGCCCCAUACUUCACUUUUCACGGCCCACUUACUCACGUGGGCUGGACUUUACAAGAGCUGGGAAAGACCCAACACUGCUAACCCUAGACGUCAGAGGGUUGAAUGGAAACUACACUGAGCUGGAAAAGGACCAACAGUACGAACCCUGUCUAUCCAGAGGGUUGAUUGGAACUGUUUCCUGGGUUGGAACAGGUCCAACCACCCCGUUUGAACUAUAAUGGGCUUUAACUAAAUGGCUCAUAAGACUGGCCCAGCCCAUCUCACCCGCAUAUUUCAGUGAAUAACUUCGAGAUUCUUCACUCCAAAAAGUGCAUCAACAAAGAGAAUACAGCCAUGAGUGUUGUAUUUGGACUUUUCCAAUUGCCCAUUUGUGGCCAACAAUACAAGAUAUACCAAAACCCUAGCCAUGUUCUCACGUUGGGUUUGUCCAAAUUCUGCCCAAAAAGCAUUAUCCACCUUUUUCUCAGACCUCCCAACUCCCACCUAGUAUGAACAGAUAACUAUAAGUUUGACACUCAUACUAUUACUAAUCCAAUCUUAAAAUGACCUACAAAACCUGACCCCACAUUGGUGAUCAAGACAGUUCGAUCCAAUCCAGUUUUCAUAUUAUUUUGGCUUUCACCGGCUGCAGAUUCCUAUACACUUUUCUCCUAAGCACAUACAAUUCGUACUUUACAAGUAAUCCUUCACUGGAUACAUAGAAAAAGCAAGAAAUCUUCACCUUGGCACCAUGCGCUGCACUUACGAAACACCUUUGGCUAAAACUAGAGAUUCCCUUAUCCGUUUGACACGACCAAUGGGAAUUUAUAGUGAAAAUUCCCUCACGUUAUCCACAUAAUUGGAAGUUCUAUUGUGGCAGUACUAGUACCUUUGCUACAAGUCAGCCAAGCCAGUUUGCUGGCAGGAUAGUUCCAUUCCAAUGUGGCCUUAUGAGAUUACAAUGAAAAGCUGAGCCUGAGAGUUGAAUCCAAGCCCUUCACCAAAAUACUAAUGCAGUUCUUGUAUCAGAACACGGAUUCAGGUAUCUGCAUAAAAUCUAUUGUUUUUAAGUUCAGUAUGAUGAUCUAAAUCAGAAUAUAUCACAUACCAUACAGGUAGCUGUCAUAGAUGUCAUUUUCUUGUGGUUGUGGUGAUAUAUUUAUAGGAUGAUACCUAAGCCAAAAGCCACAGUUAUCUUCCAAGUUCAUCCCACAUGUUUGCCUGCCAUUCUUUUAACUUUUCUAGCACCAGGUCUAUGUCUGAAAUAGGAAUGCCUUUACCACUGUAACAUAGGCUGGGAUGAAUGCUUCUCCUGUUGAGCAGGCCUUUAAAUAUGAUGAUUCUACUUUGCAUCCAGACCACUCCACACUUCAUUGAUCUUUUUACUCAGUAAGACGAAUAUCUAGCCAGGGUUGAUCUGGAUUGCAGCUCCCUAUGAUAAAAGUAUGCAAUGGUAUUAUAUUUCUUUUUUUGCCUUUACAAUCUCAGCAUCAACUGUGGAGUUUUUAUUUUUUAUUUUUUCAGACGAACACUAAAGAAGGUCAAGAUUCUCCCUCACAUCACACCAACUAAGGGGCAAAAAAAUGCAUGAGGCUAUGACUAAAAAGCACAAACGCAGUAAAUACACUGCCCAUAUAUGCUUCAGCGGACACAGUAGCCAUUUACAUAUCAUUUAGACAUGAUUUAGACAGUAUUAUGAAACAAAAUGACCAAAAAGAGGCAAUCAAGCUACACUAUGCUUACAGUUUGUUGUGCGUUUGAAAGGCCUCCCACAUAAGCAUGGAAUAAGGGAACCAUGCCACCUCCCAGAAAUGUCUGUGUCUUCAACUUAAACAGCCCCAUGACUAUGAUGAUGACAGUAUCACAUCACCUGUGUUUUGAGAUGACAGGGGAAAUUGCAUGAUAAGAUCAUCCAAAUUGGGGCAGCCAUGCAUGUUCAAACAAUGCUCAUUGACUAGAUGCAAGAGGCAAAUGAAACACAAAUGUGGAGAUAUAUCCUGUAAUUUAGCAGCUGGGCAGUCAUCUGGAAAGGUACUCAAUAUAUGCUUCAAAGAUAUGGCAUUGUUGUACACCUUAUGACCAGAAGAAAUUAUCCGCAAUUAGAAAUAUAUUUCCAUGAUACAUGAAAAGAAUUAAGAGACUCUCAAUCACAUUUUAUUGCCAGAAACAGGUGCUUAUUGGGGAUAUGGCAAAGAGGAAAAUAUGCAAUCUUCAGAAUCCUAUCAGAUGUCAUGGAAAUUCCCUUAUUCAUAAGAAACAAAGCGUGGAACAUAUAAAAUGGUAUGCAUAUUUCUCCAUGUAAUUAUGUGGUUAGGAGACUUAGGUUGCAAACCAAAUAACAGAACUAGGAAAAAAACACAAUGCCUUCAUUUAUUAAAUUCAACAGAAACCUGAAAUGCUCUUUAAAGUUCUAGUUUCCUGCUUCAUUAACUCCAAACUUACGUAACAAGCAAACUGAUAGAGGCGUCUUUACACAAUAUGGAUAGAUGUUUUCCAAUAGGAACAUCCCAAGGACCUAUGGCCAAGACAAUACACAUCUAAUGCUGAAACAGGAUGGGACAGCAGAAAGCUAAAACACCAUCUGUAUGCUCCAUCUCUCCAUAGACUUCAUAUGCUUGGGUCAACCCAAAACAAUUUGUAACAUGUUUACUAAUUUCUUUUAUAAAAAAAUAAAAAAAAUAAAAAAUAGAAUAAAAUUGAUGCUCCAUGUGCCUGAAAAUUGGUCCAGUCCAUUGACUGAAUUAAGUCUUCCAUGGUUGUGUAAAAAACAACUUAUUCUGUUGAAGUGACCUUUGAAUGCUUGAAUUAUUAUUUUCAGAAUUGUCAUGGCUCAACUUUACCACAAGGGUCGAAAAUUUUCAGAAGUAUAUAAACUCUCAGAUUGGCAAUCUAGGUCCAGGUGAAUAAGUACUCCUGUUUCUUUGUUUCUCAUUCACAGUCUCAAGAUUUGCAGUUCUUCAAUACCGCCUUAGUAGUCAACAAUGCCUUCUACUAAUAGCUAAACUCAAUUGCUAGUCAGUUCAUUUUAAUGUUUCUUAAUGGUAUGUUUGCGUUCAUUACAUGAGUGGUAGUUCUGUUACACCAAAUAAAAUCUAUGUUGCAUGGUUCAGAUGCCAGUGAGGAUAGUGUCUGAUCUUUCAUACAUCCAAAUUUUAAGAUGUGGGGACUUAGCUAAAUAGAUCUCAAUAACAAGUCCAGGUACUUAGAUACUGCAUAGUAAAAUGAAAUAAAAAUCAAUUAGAAAUUAAAAAAAAAAAAAAAAAAGCAAAGAUAUUCUUAAUGAAAACUCCUCGAUCUUUUUUCUUUGAUCCCUGUUUUUUUCUUAUGCCUGAAUAUUCUUUUCAAAGUGCACUUUCCAACAACUCUUUCUUUCUGUAAUAUAACUACAUGCUAGGAAGCUGAAAAUUAAAAAAUAAUAUAAUAAUCAAUUAAAAAUAAAGAAAGUCAAUAUCUGACAAGAAUUCCAAAUUUACACCCCUGUUGUGCUGUGUCAACACAAGUACCCUGGAUGAAAUUGAAGAGUCUAAGUAUCAAAGCAUGCAAUGAAAAUGUAAUAUUGUAUUACUCAAAAUUUUGGAUUUUGUUGGCUCACAUCUGAUGGCUUCAAAAAAACUUCCUCAACUGUCCAAAAAUCUCAACAAAAAAGUAGAAUCAAAUUCACUAAAUUGAUCAAAACAAACAGCUGUUUCCUAGUUAGCAGUACUGAUAGGUUAAAUACUACUUUUAGGCUCAUUGGAUUGAUGGAAGAAUUAAGCAACUCAAACUCCCAGAAUGUUUAGAUAAUUUGAUUGUGAUGUAUUUAACACUCAGUACUAACAAAUAUAAGAAGGAAGAAAAAAAAAGAUGCAAGCUGAUACAUGAUAGAGUUUGGAGAAUGGAUGAUAAUGUAAAAAUGAUAUUAAGUCACAAAAUGACUAUUGAACAAGUUAAAGGAAUAGCCUCACCGCCUCAGACAUUUGAAUGGAUUCCUGCAUGAGAUCCUGAAGUGUUUUCUUCAAAAUGUGUACAUCAAUUUGUUUAGAAGUUUUAUCAUACUGAACUUCAAUUUUUUUGACCUGAAAUAUUAAGACUAAGAAGAUAACUAGUAAAACUCGAUAUAUUCCACGCACAACUACAAAACCUCCCUAACCAUUAAUGUCCAGUUCAUAGUAGAAGUUAGAAAAAAAGAUGCAUGAGGAUAUUUAUCAUAUAUAUGCAUGUAUGUGUAUAUAUUUCAAUUUCUGGGAAAUGAGGAGAUUUCCUUAUGGACAAGAACAACUUUGCACUUCCCCUUAAAAAUAUCAAAGGACUGAGAGUGAGUGAGUGAGUGAGAGAGAGAGAGAGAGAGAGAGAGCAAUAAGACAUUUAUCGUAUAUAUUUCAAGUUCUGGAAAAUGAGGAGCUUUCCUUAUGGACAAGAACACUUUAAGGUUCCCUUCAAAAAGAUCAUAGGACACAACACACACACAAACAGGGAGACACAGAGAUUGCUAGAUUGCACCAUCCACCAAGUUUAGAGGCAAAUCACUACACUAUUAAGAUGGCAGCUACAGACCUAAACCUAUUGAAAAAAGUAGACAAACCACAAGCAAACCUGACGAGGCUGAGACACCAGAAUGUCCAAGUUUUCCACAUCACUAUCAGCAUAUCCAUCAUCAUACUGGCAAUUAAACACACUUCCAUUAUCCCAUGAUGGCAACCGAUCAUCAUCAUUGUGUUCUUGAGCAUCUGAAAAAACAAAUUGAACAAAAUAACCAUCAACACAUAACCAAUGAAUCCUCCCAGGAUAUUUUUCAAGGCACUUCCCAAGUAUCACAAGAAGAUAAAUUUAUUUCAUAAACAAAAUGGAAAAUUCCUUAAACAGUAGCUAUUACUCUGCUUAAAUUCAAACAAACAACAAGAAGACCAUGUUACACCUACAUGGAGUACAUAAACAACUGAGGAAGAGAUUAUUUUUUUUGUUAUAGAUAAUAUUUUCCCUUUCAUGUUACAUGGAAUAUAACGUGGAGCCUCCCCAUCCCCACCCCUAAUGCUUGCUACUUCAGCCAGGCCUUCAAUGGUGGGAAAGGGCAUAAAGUUCAAAACAACUACUAAUGAUGCACAAAACAAAAAGCCACCUUACGGUCAGUACUAGAGUUUCCCAAGCACCUGUACAGCACUUUGCAAAGAGCAUGGCUUGAUGGUUUUCAGUACUAACUUGAGAUUGAGAAGAACAAAAACUCAUGAAAUAUAGAGAUCAACUUCUAAAAUUAAAAUUUUUACAAUGUUCUGAACAUUUCAACUUUGCACGCUUACAGUAUUUCUAGGAACCUCAAAUUUCCACAGAUAUGAUUUCAAUUGUGACUAGGAUAAAGACUUAUGUCAAAACCAUGGAAAGAUAUGCAAAACUCCUAGUAGAUACACCUAUUUUUAAGUCAACUGAGAUAAUUGGGUGCAGAGCCCACAUAUGAAGUUUAGCCUUUCAAGCUAGGUAAAUGCAUGUCAUGUUAUAAAUGUGAUUAUUGGUGAUGCUGCAACUUUCUUAUUUCUUAAUGCAUAACUCUUGGCUUAAAAAACCAAAUUCAGAGUUUCUUGAAGUAGACUUUCUUUUUUACCAACUAAUCAUAAUAUAAUCAUGGAAAAAAAAAACAAAUUCCAAUUUUUUAAUCAUGAAACUUUGUGACCUUGUUAGUUUAGUUAUUUAUUUACUUUUCCUUUUGUUUUUGCGAUUUGUUUAUAUGAAUAGCACACAAAGAUGCUAGUAUCAUCUCAACUAGUAAAAGAAUGGGAAUGAUAUAAAUAAGCAUAGCAACCCAAAAGACGAAGGAGCACCAAGGUUAAACUGAAUUGCCUUAGCCUUGGAAAUUAGUCUAUGCUAUUGCUUCCUAAUAAGAAAUAAAAACAAAAUAAAAAGGGAAGCAUCAAGAGAAAGUCCAUACCCGGAAGUUGUCUUCUUCUCUUCCCAAGGCACUACAAUCAACAUGCAUUUCAUCACCAACCAUAAUAAAAAUUUCAACAGUUCAUGUACAAAAUGAAAUGACCAGAAUAGAGCUGUAACUCAAGCAUGAACCACUUGAAGCCCAAUCAUUCAGUCAAAAGUAUGCCCACUGUGCCAGAACUUGUUUGGAAUCUUUUAACUAGUGUGUGCUUAGGCUUUGAUUUCAAAGCCCAAAAAGUUCGAUGUCAACUCAGGAAGACAAAUAUAUACACUACUCUAUAUUAUAUAUUUAUAUGCAUGUGUGUGUGUGCAUACUACUCUAUAUUACAUAUUAAUAUGCUAUGUUAUGUCAUAAUAUCAAUAUUUAUAUUAUACAUUAGAAAUAUUAUUGCACAUAAAGUUAUGUACCUAUAUAUUUAUAUUUAGUUUUAUGGAGUCAACAUCAUACUAUUUCAUAUUGGACAAUUGAACCAUUAAGUGUUGUCCAGCCUAAACACAGUCCAUCAAAUGUUUUCUUAUGCUGAGUUAGGCAGUCCAUCAAACAUAACAUGACAGCUCUGUGUCAUGGACUGUUUGUUUGGUGUCCGUGACCAUAGCGAUGGUGCUGAUCAAGACUAGUAUGUUGAUUAGUUUGAGCUGAAUGUAAUGGGAAUUGCUUUAGGGAAAGGGCAUGUAUGUGAUGUUGGAUGUUUCUUCAGAGUUCAAGCAGACCGACCAGGUUAAGUCUAGGGAGCUUGUCACUAGUUGGGGACUUGACGAUGAAGAGGAGCUAGGCCAUCUCCUACACAAACUGGUUGGGAGCUGGAGCUGUUCCCCUGAUGAGUCCAUGGCAGAACGAAACCAGUCAGUAUAGUGACAUUGAAAUGCAUGGCAUGCAGGCCGAGCCCCUUUGAUCCUUGCCCAUGGGGUUGCCGCAUAGGUUGUGCCGCUGCGUUGGAACUCUAGGCCCAUGACAUCUGGCUCUGAUAUCAACCAAUUUAAUUGUUCUAAUGCUAGCAAUUUAUACGAUUAUUUUAUACUUUCAUGAGUGAGCUUAUAUUACCAUAACUUUAGGAAGAAGAAACAGCUUCACAAGAUCCUCAGGUUGAUAAUGGCAAUCUUCAGGAAGUGUGUUACGACAAGGUUCUCUACUUGCAGGUAGCAGCAGCAAUUUUGGAUUUUUGAGAGGGACAAAGACAUCAGGCGCUUCUUUGACCAAAUAUUUUGUGAAACUAAUAUCUAAUUCUGUAAUUUUUUUGUUCUUUGGUCUCUUCUUUGUGAAAGAUGACUCACUUUCAGUAGGAACAUCCUCUGAACCUACAAAAUAGAUAUCAGACUAGAUAGCCAAACUGAUGGAUCCUCACAACAGAAGUAAUAUAAUUUCAUCCUAAUACCAACCCUUGCACUUCUGAAACUUCCAAUGAUCUGUACCUGCCCAGACAUUUUUCUUUGAGGUAAAUCCCAACCCUUGAAACAAAAAUGUAGCAACAUUCUCAAGCCUGUCAUCUACAUCAGGUUCAUAAGAUGUAUAGGAAUCAUUCCCCUACAGGAAUAAAACAAAAUUAUUAUAGUCCUUUACUUUCUUCUCUCUGUUUAAGUAGGGCAUUGGGGAGAAAAACUGGGAGUGGAGUGAACUAACAGAAGGACAUGUUAUUAUAAAGAAUCGAAAGAACACAACCAGAACAGCUCCAGCAUUUAGCAUGUGCCAAAUACCUCAUAAUGACUAUGAAUGGUUGGAUCUCCAAAAGUGAAGCCAUCAUCAGUUACAGCUGUCCCAUUGUCAUGAUUAAAGGUCCAUGCCUCAUAGCUACCAAACAGAUUGCCAUUGAACUCAACAUAUCAACUGAUCCUGUACUUCCUUCUGAUUUCUGACCUUCAUUAAAUGUAUGAGAUGGCUGUUGAUUUUCUUCAUUGAACAGACACAUGAUAUCCCUAAGAGUGGGGGAAAUUUCAUUUUUUUCAAGCAUGUUCAUCACCAUCUGCUCAAUAUAUUCUGUGAUAAAGAAAAGAAAAGAAAAUGGCUUCAAAAAAAAGAGAGAAAUCAAGUUGCCCAUGAUAGCAAUAUCACAUAUACCUUUGGCAAAAGAUAUAGCAACCAUAUCUGAACUAUUAUUUUCACUUGAACAUAAUAUGCACUUUCCUGGUACUUCCAAAGAAUCAAAAAGCACCCGACAUCCUCCAUAUACAGCAAGAUUAUUCAGUAGGAGACCCUUCACUCCAUCAAACUGGGCUGAUGUCUGAUGAUAAAGAGGAUCCACUGUAAAAGCAACUGGACAGUCACAAGAAAAAAAAAUUAGAAAUACCAAAAGAAAAAUAAUCCAUAUUUGCCUGACUCACUUCUUAAAAGGGUUAUUGUAGCACAUGAAAUUACCGUCAAACCUCUUUACAUUAAGAGCUUCAAAUGAUGAUACCAAUGUGGACAAAGGUGAUAUCUGCAAAAAAAAAAAAAAAUACUUCCACGAGUUUGCAGUUUAAUGCAUUAAGGGAUUCAAUAAGCCAGAGACCUAACAACCUUCCUAUCUGGCUCUUUUUUAGAAUGACCCUCAUCAUCUCUGUUGUUGUUGUCACCCUCCACCAAUGUUUCCGGUACCAAAUCAGAACAUCAGGGAAAUGAACAAUGUAGUGAACUAUGAUUCUCAUGGCAACAAGACGGUGUAAAUGGUGAAGCAUGGUCCUCAUAGCCCAAUGAAAUGAAAUUUAUAAUCUUUAGUAAUUGACAAUAGAACUUGAGCUUCACCAUCAUGUCCAUCCCUUGCCUCAGCUUUGAACUAGAUUUUCCAAAGAGACCCUAAAUGUUGUUUAUUAAUUUAUCCAUAAACAAUUGAUAGAUUAUGCCAUAUUUUUAGUACAAUUACACUCAUCAAACUUAAUUUACUUAGGUUAUAAUUGGUUACUGAAAAGACUAAGGAAAAAAUUUGUUAAGGAAAAUGAUUUUCUCAUGUUUAGUUGUAAUAUGGAAAACACUAAAGAAAAUCUAAUUUAAUUAAAAUUACUUAGAAACUUAUGCAUUUUCAAAUUAUUUAAUCUUUAUAUCAAAAAGUUAAAAUAAGUGAAAAAUGAAUUUGAAGUAGUGCAUAUAAAUGGAAAACAUCAAAGAAAAUCAAAUGUAAUUAAAAUUACUUAGAAACUUAUGCAUUUUCAAAUUAUUUAAUCUUUAUAUCGAAAAGCUAAAAUAUGUGAAAAUUGAAUUUGAAAUAGCAUAUAAAAAUAAUUUCUUGACUUAAAUCUAUUCUUUAUUUUCUUUCACUUUUUCUUUCCUCUCUAUUUUCUUUCCCUCAUAGUUUCCCUCAAAUUUUCCACGAACCAAAUGUAGCAUUUAUGUUUUGAGGAACAUCACUUGUUCCCAUUACGUGGAAUAACUGAAAUGAACUACACUACACUUUCCAUACCUAAUGAGUGAACUCUUUCACAAAAAUCAAAAUUUGAAAGUAGACUUAAAGUUUUAUCAAAUCUACCACAAUAGACAGAAAUGCUUUUCAAAAAUGAAAAUAUGGAAUCAAUCAAAUUAACUUUACUCUUGAAAGUAACAUCUUAAAUGCUAAAUUAGAAUAUGUCACCACAAUAGAAAACAAGUCAGAUCCUCCCAGGGAAAAAAAUCAUAAUUAAAUAACCAAUCAUGAAAAAUUUACACCAAAAAGGUUAGUCAUUAACAACCUUUUGUGAAGCCAUGAAAGAAACCUAUGUUUUCAUGCAAGAAGACAUAUAACCAUUAGAAUUAAAUCACUAUCUAAAAAUUAAAACCCCACCUUGUUCAUUUACUAGACUAGCACUAUUGAUCCCACCAAGGAUCUUGUAUGUCUCUGAAUUAUCAUAGGAUGCUUCAAAUGAGCCUCCUCAUGGGUUUAUAUAGAGCCCAGGAAGCUUCUAGAGACUCCUGGAGCUAUCUACACUAAGCCAUUGGAGGGAAGAGUGUGGAAGGUUCUAGAGAUGCCUAGAGAUGUCCACACAUCUCUACACUAUGGUAGAAAGCAUGAGAGGAGUCCUCUAGAGAAUUCUAGAGAUCUCUUGUACAUAGGGUUGUACAUAGAAUUGUGUAGGGUAUUCUAGAAUCUUCUUGAUUUGUAAGGAACCCUCCAAGGUUCCAAAGGGUUCCAUUGGUGCCUAUAAAUAGGUGAGGGUCUCAUUUGGCCAAGGCACCACCCAAAUCACUUCCUAACCAAGCAAGUGAGCUUCUAAGCAUUGUAUAGUUUCCUUUGAAAGCAAUAAAGCUUCCAUUCUUCAAGAGCGGCCUACUACGCCUUCUAAAGCUUUCGAGUUGUGAGCAUCUUAGCCUAACAAGCUAAGCAUUAAGAGUAAGGUUGACUUAACAAGAUCAAGGGUCUUGGCUUGUCUAAGUGUCGCACGAGCUUAGCAAAAGACUAAGUCCGUGACAAGUGAUAUCAAAGCGUGGCUAUGAAGUGGGCAUAGUAAAUGAAGCAUGUCGGGCUCUAACGUGGAGGAGACUAGUGAGCAAACACGUGGGAGGGAGACUAAGCCUACUGAACGAGGCAGGGGCAAGAAGGAUAAAUCUCGUGAUGUCGUUGCCAACAUGGAAGCAAGGUUAGUCAAGGUGGAGCUAGCCAUGGCGGACACUCGGGAGGGGUUAGACUUGAUCGAGCAAGGCAUGGAAAAGGGCUUAGAGGAUCUAAGGGAGCAAAUCCAAGACCUUUGUGAGAGGGUGCUAGUCUCACAGGUUCAACCAGUGUCACACAAGGAGUUUGUGUCCUUUCAAGGAAAGGUCUUAAGCAUGCUUGCUAGCAUGGAAUCAAGGAUAGAGGUUUUGGCCACUCGAAUGGAGUCCCGAGACCACGAGGUUAAGCAAGAGUUGGCCAUCUACAAGGCUGCUGUGUCGACAUGGGUCAUGGCCACACAGGAGGCAUCUAGGGUGGAGGUGCCGAAGCCACAUGGGUUUAGUGGCAAGCGGGAUGCCAAGGAGUUGGAUAACUUCUUAUGGCAUAUGGAGCAAUACUUCGAGGCUAUCGCAUUGACUGAUGAGGCAACUAAGGUAAGAACUGCAACCCUCUACCUUACUGACACAGUUACUCUAUGGUAGUAUCGGAGGUUUGUCGAUAUGAAGAAAGGCAUUUGCACUAUAGAGACGUGAAAGGACUUCAAGAAGGAGAUCAAGAAGCAGUUCUACCCCGAGGACGUGGCUUACCUGGCUAGGAAAAACAUGAGGCGUCUCAAGCACACAGGCUCGAUAUGCGACUAUGUCAAGGAAUUCUCUUCACUCAUGCUUGAGAUUCCUAACAUGACUGAGGAGGAGUUGCUAUUCAACUUCAUGGAUAACCUGCAAGGGUGGAACGAGCAGGAAUUAAGGUGCCGAGACAUUUAAGACUUAGCCAUUGCUAUGGCAGUAGUAGAGUCUUUAACGGAUUACAAGAGGGAAGACUCAUCCAAGGUUGAGUCUUUGGAAAAUAGCCACGCCACGAGUGGGGGAGACGAGGUCUCAAGGGACCACAAUGCUCCUAAAAUGGGAUCAGGCAAGACGCCUAACGUCCGAGAAGGAAGGAGUUUACGCCUAAAAUCAAAUGUUUCCUAUGUGACGGUCCACAUUAGGCACGGGAUUGUCCAAAGAGGAAGGCGCUCAAUGCCAUGAUCGAGGAGAGGGAACAGGAGGACGAAGCACAUAUGGGCUCGAUGCAGCUACUAGGUGCCCUCUAAUUCAACCCAAAGCCUAGUACGCCUAAGACCUCCUUACUAUCAGGGGUGCAAGUAAAGGAGGCAAAAGGGGAGCGAGCUGAGGUAACCCACACAUACAUCAACAAGGUCACCAAGGGAAAGGUGAACUUGAUGGGUAAGAGGAAGCAGCACUCCAAGCAUCGAAAGUGCAGGGAUCUGCAUCCAUCCGAGGCCUCACGAGAAAAGGAGGUGAAAAAUAUCCUGGCUGAACGGGUCACCAAGAGACAAAGGGUUCCUCCUGUGAUAGAGUAUCUAGUCCGAUGGAAAGGACUACCUAGGAGGCAGGAAAGCUGGGAACAUGCAGAUGCCUUGAGAAGGUUCUGGAAACACAUCGAGAGGUUUCAGAAAGAGGCAACAACGAGGACAUCGACUGCAUAGGUGGGUGAGAGUGUCACAGGAUACUUCAAAUGAGCCUCCUCAUGGGUUUAUAUAGAGACCAGGAAGCUUUUGGAGACUCUUGGAGCCAUCUACACUAAGCCAUUGGAGGGAAGAGUGAGGAAGGUUCUAGAGAUGCCUAGAGAUGUUCACACAUCUCUACACUAUGGUGGAAGACAUGAGAGGAGUCCAAGGCUUUCUAGAGAAUUCUAGAGAUCUCUUGUACAUAGGGUUGUACAUAAAAUUGUGUAGGGUAUUCUAGAAUCUUCUUGAUUUGUAAGGAACCCUCCAAGGUUCCAGAGAGUUCCAUUGGUGCCUAUAAAUAAGUGAGGGUCUCAUUUGGCCAAGACACCACUCAAAUCACUUCCUAACCAAGCAAGUGAGCUUCUAAGCAUUGUAUAACUUCCUUUGAAAGUAAUAAAGCUUCCAUUCUUUAAGAGUGGCUUAUUAUGCCUUCUAAAGCUUCCAAGCAAGAUCAAGGGUCUUGGCUUGUGCCGCACGAGCUUAGGAAAAGACUAAGGUGGUGUUUGUUUUUUUACUUAAUUCUAAAUAGAACCUUAAUACUUAAUAGUGUUAAAUAUUAGGUUGUUUGUUUUUGUAGUAUUUUAUUUUUAUUAAGUAUUAAAAAGUAAAGAAAAACCAAUAUGUUAUUUUUUCUAUUUAGAAAAAGCUACAUAUUUUGGCUUUUUCUAUUUAGUAAAAAGUUUAUAAUAAAUCAUGAAAAAGUAGAAAAACAAACAACCUAAAUUUUGAAAACAAAUUACUUUCAGCAAAAAGUCAAAAAAACAAACACCACCUAAGUCCGUGACAGAAAGCACUGAAUCCACCCUCAAGGAGUAAAUCUUUACCCCAGCUUCCAAUGUGCAACUUGCCUGUAAACAAAAACAAAUUAAUCAACCAAUUAAUUAACACUCAAGUAGAAUUCCAGCAAAUAUUUUAUAUACCCCAAUUGUUAAAAGAUGUGCCUAUCGGCAAUGGAUCUUGUUUGUGCCUAACCAAAGCAUGGGAUUCUCACUGAGUGCUUAGAACCUUUUGAAAAUUAGUCUCUGUAUCUUCCUCUGCAUCAACCCUUAUAAUCUCGCUGAGAUGGUCUAUGAGUUUUAGACCCCAAGUGUUCUUCUGAUUUAUUAUCUACAUCGUGACCAAGAAAAAAAAAAAAAAAACACACACACACAUUGUUAAAGAGAUUUCAGUCAAAAUACGAUCACAAUGAAACAAAAGUUAACACAUUAUUGACAUUUUCUCUUGCAAGCUUUAUGCAAUUCUGGAACAACUCGAUGAUCUGUUCUUUUUCGAGAAAAGGAUCGGGAGGGUCAGAAGGCUGAGUAGCAGCGGCGUUUCUGCGGCGGAUAGCGGCGGCUCGCGCAGCACGUGCCUGGACGCGUUCGAGUUGGUCGUGGUUAGAUUCCAAGAAAAAAGAAGCGGUGGGAAUUGGAGGCGGUCAUCGCCGUCGAGGGGUUAGGAUCAGGGUUACGGUUUGGUAAUUCCGGUAUGGGCGCGAGAGAGAGAAGCAGUUCGUUUUGGGCGUACAGUUCAUUGUGCGCGAGAAGCAUGAAACAACAUCUUAGUCUUGACUCUUGGGUGUUAAAAACCACGUCGUUUUAAUGACUAUUUCCCUCGCUUUAUUUGAAUUGGAGAGUUCAGGAGAAUGGUGACGACCUGGCGCAAUUGCAAUAUACAAAUUUACAAUCCUAUAAUAGUAAUUAAAAAUUAAAAAUUAAAAAUUAAAAAUUAAAAAUAAAUUUGAAAUUAACAAGUUAUUUUUACACAUUAUUUAAUCUUAUUUCACUUAUUUUAUCACAAUACAAAAAAUUAAAUAAUUUAAAAAUACAAGUGUUUAUUUGGAUAUAGAUGUGCAAAUAUUUUCCCAUUGAAUUUGACUGAAGUAGCAGUUAAAAAAGCUUCGGAAAUUUGCAGGUUCCUCUAAAAUCCAUUUGUUACUGAAUGAAUGGAAUUGUUCUGGAAUUUUAUGUCUCCUCAUAGUUAAUAAAUCUUAAUUACAAAUUAAACUUACGAUCAUCCACGACAUCACAAAUACAAACGAGUACGAAGAAGGGGGUAAUCUCUGUUGUGCUCUACAGUUUAGAAUGCUGGAUGCAGCUGACACUAAGGAAAAAUAUAAGCUAUUUCUAAAACCUUGAAGACUAAUUACACAUGAUUUGAACAGCGGCUUCCCGAACCCCAGACAGCAGGACAAGCUAAAUACUUAACUAGAACCUCACGGGGCAGAAAGUGUUCCUUCUGUUUCACUGUCUCCUCUUCACAGGAUGAUGAUUCGUAAUGCAGCAGCUGAUCAAAUCAAGAGCCUGUUAACUUUGCACCGAAAAAAGGCCAAACAAAUGUCGCAACUGUUAACUUUUCAUGAGGUAUGCUACUACACAACCCAGCACACUGCCAGCAACAACCUGCACAACAUCCAUUGGAACCGUUACAGACUAUUGUUGAGGAUCAAUUCACCGCUCAAAACAGAUUAUGGGGAGCACAAAACAAAGUUUCAGCAUUGUAACCUUUCAUUUCCAUUUUUCUGGAAGUUAUUUUGUGUCUGCACAUUGGGGGGUGUACGGGAUCAACUUCAAGGAUAAAUUGUCAAAUUAGCUUUAAUACUAGAGUUAUAAAAGGACCUUGAACAAGUUUUUAUGGUUUGAACAAAAAAGAGGAGCAAUUUUACUCUGCAUAGUAAGAGCAGGUAUCAUGAUGUUGUAAUAUUACUUUUCUUUGUGUUGCAUUAGGAUGAUUUCCGUGCAGACCAUUGAAGAUUAAUCCAUUGUCCCUAAAAAGACAAACUCUUCAUAAACUAAUAGCAGCUAAGAUAUGUGUCAACAGCCAGUUGAAGUGAAUGGUGAAUAGAACAGAUUCCUUGCUUCUUUUGGCUUCCAUCAUGAAUUGUGGGUUUUCUGUCUAGCUAAUCAAAUAUUGUUUCAUUUCCAUUCUCAGGAAAUAGAACACUUUGUAGCAAGAAUAUAAUUUUUUUACCGGAUGAAGUCAUAAUAAGAAUUACUAUAUUAAGAAAAUGUAAUGACCACUCUCCUUGAAAAAUGAUCAACUUUAACAAAGAAUGCACAUGUCUACAAGGAGGAAUAAAAUGAUAUGCUGACAUAUUUCCUAAGAGUCCAUUCCCACAAGAAUGGUAAGCGGGCAAAGAAAAUACAAUCAGUUACUAACAAGAUAAAGGAUUACUGAAUGUAUGAAUAUACGCAAAAUACAUAUGAACAAACCAAACCUGAAGUGGAGUAUGACCAAGUGAAUCUCGUAGCGGUCUAACAUUAGAGACAGGGUGGUCGGGAGGUAGUUCACACACAAUUUGAUUCAACAACUGCAAUCAACAUCAAACACAAGUAUAUCAUCAAAGAAGAGAUAACAAAAACAAACCUGGUUAGAUACACAAACAAUCUCAUUUUAGAAUCCACAGACCACCACGGGAUUCAGGAAACAUUGACUGGACAUGUUUUAACCCCAGAAUUGCAAAACAGACAAAGGAAAAGGGUAAUUUAGUUCCUUCAAGGACAUAUGAUAAAGAAAAAGAUAACAAUGGUGUAAACCACACAAAACUGCUAUAUUAAUCCAACAAUAACCAUGAUGGAUAUUUGAAAUCUUUGAAGCCAAUUCACACUUCAACACUUUCAGUGAUGAUAAAAUUUUAUGACACAAUACAGCAAGGAAGUAUGCUAAGAUAUUCCAUAUGUUCAAAUCAUCUUCAACCUAGCCUUCAAUAUUGGAGCUCCAAGCAAUCAUCAUAACUCAAAUGAAGACAAUUCUAUGUUUAUUUCUCAGGACAAUCAAAGAACAUAAGUUCAUGUCAUAAAGCUGCAGGCACUAGUUUAUUACCCUAUUAAGAAACCGGACACAAUUUACUAGAACACACAAGCAACUAGAAUUGCAGGAAACUGUCAAUUCUUGUUUAGUUCUUCUCUGCAGGAUAAACAAUGCAUGAAUAACGAGCAAGAGAAAUCAAAUUCAAUUACAAAUAUGACAAAAUAUAAUUUUUAGAAAAUAAAUAUGCACCAACAGUACAGCAGAAGAAGAGAUGGCCUAUAAUUAAACAUAAAACAUGGCCAUAGAUACUAGAAAGUAAUGGAGAAACACGAUUCAAUUGUUAGAAUAUGCAGAGAUGAGAUGAGCUGAGCUGAGUAUUACUCUAAACCAAAUGAAGUAUUUCCAAAGGGUCAUAGCAAAAUCUUUAGAAAAACCCACUUUAUCUGAACAAACUUUCUCUAAUCCUCAAUAUAUCUAUAUUUACCAGAAUUCUUACCUCAGCUUGUCGACCAGCAUGAAGUCUCACACCGGAAGCAUCAUACAUAACCUGUAAAGGAGCAAAAUUAAUACUCCAAGCAGCCUAACUCCAAAUUAAUAAUGAACAGUUGAUUAUAGUUCUGAUAAGUGAAAAUAACAGGGAAAAGUAUUAAAAGAGAUAAAAUAACUACCAGCAGUUCCAUAAACCAGACAAACAUAGGUCAGAACAGUAUGAUUCAGGAAGGGUACAUAAUCAUAGGGGCCAUGACACAUACGAUGAGCAUGCGCAUACUAUAUCCAGAUUUCUACUAUAUCUUACCUCAUCCCCUUGCUCUCUAUGAGAAUUCUAGGAUCUGUUAAGGUAACUGUUUUUGAAAAGAUUUUUCUGUUCUUAAAAAUAAAAAACAAUUUUCUAACUUAAAAAACACAUUUGGCAUAAUUUGGACAGAAAACAGUUUCUUCAGAAUUUGUUCUGAAAACAGGUCGUUUUUUGGAACAAUUUCAAGGUGUCCUCGGUUGUUUUUUGUAGAGUGUUCUAAGCAACAAUUAAAAAAAAUGGAGAAUACUUUGAAAACUUUUGCAUCAUAUAUAAGUGUACAACUUCAUGCAGGAUAAACCAAGAAAACUGUUUUACAUAUUUUAGUUCCCAACAAAAUUUUAUUCCUGAAAAACAACUGAGAACAUUUUUUAAGAACUGCUCUCAAAAAAAAAAAAAUGAGAAUUGUCUCCAAAAACAUUACCAAAUAGGCCUCUAAUCUUUGGGUUUACUCUCUCUAAGAUAUUCAUCGUAGUAGAAUUCGUCCUUCUAUAAAAGCAUUUACCCCUUUACCCCUAAUGCAGGAUUCAUGGUAAUAUUUGUACUAAGAAUUCUCUUAACAUAAUAGAAAAUGUACACUUAAUGCAGGAUAAACCAAGAAAACUGUUUUUCAUACUUUAGUUCCCAACAAAAUUUUAUUCCUGAAAAACAACUGAGAACAUCUUUUAAAAACUGUUCUCAAAAAAAAAAAAAAAAAUGAGAAUUGUCUCCAAAAACAUUACCAAAUAGGCCUCUAAUCUUUGGGUUUACUCUCUCUAAGAUAUUCAUAGUAGUAGAAUUCGUCCUUCUAUAAAAGCAUUUACCCCUUGACCCCUAAUGCAGGAUUCAUGGUAAUAUUUGUACUAAGAAUUCUCUUAACAUAAUAGAAAAUAUAAUGAUACUAGAAAUUUUAAAAAUUUACACUUGGUAACACUAAAAUCAUUGUCAUAAACACAGUUCAUAAAACAUUAACCAUACCUUGCUUUAUAGGUAAUGCCAAAGUGUCACUCCAAGACAGGCUAUUUCAUAUUACAAAUUUGCAUAUCUUGCUUUAUAGGUAAUGCCAAAGUGUCACUUCAAGACAGACUAUUUCAUAAUACCAAUUUGCCUAUACUUUAUCUUUAUUGAUACUUGAUUAAUAAGCCAUGCCUGAUACUCAUGAUAAUUGAUCAGCACUGAUUAAGGACAUAUUUAAGACAAAACUACAUAGGGCUUGUGGAUGCUUUUCAUCAAUUAUUCUCUUCAAAAUGGGCUUUUGGUUUCAAAAUGGACAGCCUAACCAGCAAAUUCAGACCACUUGCUCCAAGUGGCAGCUGAUUGAGGUCUUAACAAGAGCGAUGAUUGACCACUGAAUUUUUAGGAGUGCAAUUAUGACAGCAAAUAACUGAUGUCACAAAAAAACAAAACCUUCUUAUGAACAAGUAGAACCAGUGUCCAUAGUUAUGGUCCUAGGUCAAUUAUAAUGCCUGAUUACCUAAACACCAAAACAAGCAGGAAAAAAAAUCAUAAUUGAGAAAUCUAUUAAACUCAAUACAAAGCCAACAAAGGGAAACUGCAAGAUUAAUUUGUUAUGAUCCUGCUUGCACUUCAGAUAUCUGGACAAAGGUUGAACAUAGGCAAGCAUGCCAAUACAAAAGAAUGAAUAAGACCUGGUUAAAAAGUACAUACAACACACGCCAAAACCACUGCAAUGGCAAAUGCUGAUCCUCCAGUUCCUUCUUGAAAACCAAUAGCAACUGCAAGGGCUGUCACAGUUGCUGAAUGUGAUGAAGGCAUUCCACCCGACCCAAGCAUCCUUCUAGAAUCCCAUCUCUUCUCCUUAUACCUGCACGUCUAGGAGGAUAUUCAAAGACUAAGCAAGAAAUUACAAAGAAGAAAAAGGAGAACUACAAGCAACCAAUCGAUAUUAGCUGCAUAUAAAAGUUAUAGCAAGGAACAAUAUGAAAAUAUCAACAAAGAUGAAACAAAGUUUCUUCCUCGGUUAAACAUUGCUUUUACUCUAACCAUAUAAACAUGAGGUGAAGCCUUCAAGAUAAAGGAAAAGAAACAAUAUUUAGCCUGUCAACCUUUAUUAGCAAUUCUCAAACAUUAGCUAUUGCAAUGGAAUAUGUUCUGACAUGAAGGGUAUUCUGUACAAGUAUGGUGAGAUGGCAAGAGCAUAUUGGCUCAAGGGGAGAAUGAAGCAUCUUGGUAGGAAAGAGGACCAAGGAAGGGGCAAUGCUUGGUGUUUUCAGGCUCAUUUCGACCCAUUUACAGAGAUUGAAACCAUGUUUUGUUAGCUAACCCAAAAGGCCUAGCUAAAUAUAGCAAACUUAGCACAUAGAACACAACUGUCACCACAUGAAAGGCCACUCACUUACACCUAAGAAGUCUGAGCAGAUGGCACUACCACUUGAUUAUGUCCAAAAAUAACUACUAUACUCACAUCUCACUUGGAUCUCCCACUCAACACUCAUCAAAAUCUAGCUUAAAGUCUCCAGGAGGAAAAUGUUUUCACGAGCUAAUUGGCACUGCACUCCUAAUGAGAGUUGCUAGCUCAUUCCCAGUCAGCAUUGUUGAGAAAGAAAAAUGCUGAUGCACAGCCGACAGACCCGCUAGCAAGUGAUGUAAUGUUUAAAUAAGGAUUAUUGCCUUCUCAACAACAAACCAGCAAGUUUGGCCAGCUUGAAUAACAUUAUUGGUUGAGAAAUAGCCUCAACCUAAAUGCAUCUCUAACUUCCCUUUAACAUACAUGUUUUCGGCACCUUUUUCAUUUUUAUAGAUAUAUAAAGCCAAGAUCCCUAAUUCAGAAUUCAAUGCAAUAGCCCAAUAGCCGGCAUACCCAACUACAUUGCUGGUUAAACUACCUAACUGUGUUCAAAUAUGCAAUACAUGUUAUGCAUUUUUUAGACUUAUGUUGCAUGUAAUCCAUAAAUCUCGGCUUAGAUAUUUUGACAAAGAAAGUGCCUGUUGCCGCUUUUGUAAGUAAGCAAGCUUGCUUUUUAUCUCCUCUUUCCAUAAUAGGUACUCAACAAUUAAAUCUAUAGGAAGGCAUAUUAAGCCAUGAAAACGAUUUUCACUCAAACCCUAGAAUGCUCUGGCAAAAUCCAAAUGGCCAAUUGAAAUCAACCUAAACCAAAAGAAAAGUAGAAACAUAAACCCUUGGUUUGGUUUUUGGGACAAAAAUAUUGGUUCAUUUUCCUGUCCCACCUUUUCUCAGCAACCAAACAGAACAAAAUUGGGGAAAAAACAAAACAAAACAAAAACCCUAAAUUCGGAGCUCCUUCUAUUACAGAAAAUUUCAACCAAACUACCACGAUAUAUAGAGAAAAAACAGAGAGAAAUAGAGAAAGAGUACCAAGUGGUGAAGAGCUUGAGAAAUUGAGCGAGAGCGAAGGAAAGGAAGGCAGAGAGGAGAGGGAGGUUGUUGGGGAUGAUUGACGACCCAGAUGAUGUCGAUCCAGCGAUGGAUGAAGCAUCAGCGGCUGUGAUCACUUCAUCCAUUGAAGCAAAUCUGAGAAAGGAGGGGGACGUUUCAGGUCAAGAGGACGACCCCAAUGGUUGAGAAAUUUGGAAAAUAUUAGCCCGAUGAUUGGUAGGGGAAAACAUUUUCGGAAUUCCUUAAUUAUUGUAUCCACGUCACUGCUUCGUCAACUAGAUGUAGUGGGGCCCGGAACGUCUGGCGUGGAGGCCCCACAAACAACAACUUGCCCUGCCACGCUGUCAGCAAACCUCCUGUUGGUGACUUGAUUCAUGGGCCUAAAGGCAAGGACAGACCAGGUCCAUCAGAUAUAUGGAUUUGGGCCGUUUUAAAGUGGUCGGGCUAGCUCAAAGGUCUGUGCGUUUGGCUCAUAUGGACCUAAGACCAGAGAAGCCCUCUAUGACCUAUGCUAAUUGCUAUCCAACCCACAAGGAAGAGAUCGAGGAUUUUGAAAAAAGAAAAAAAAAACAAUUUAAAAAAAUAUUUAUUAAAAUAUAGCACUUUUGAAACUAUUUCCAAAUUUCCUAUAUUUUUAAGGAAUCCAAUUGGAAAAGUAUCAUAUUUUAAUAAUUUAAAAAAAAAUGGUAUUUUCGUCAAAAAGCCAUAGAGACUAAGCCGCUUCAAAGUAUUGUGAUGUAAUUUUCACCUUCUAUUUUAUCAAGAUCAUGUUUGUUUCAUAAAAAUUUUGAAAGAAAAUAGAACUAAAAGUAGAAUAAAAAAAGAAAAUAGAUUUAAAAUAAAAAAAUCAUAUUUAUGUCUCACUUCACAUUAUUUUAAGUUACAUUAUAAGUUCAAAUGUUUUUAUCCUAAAAAUUGUUUUUUAAAAUAAAUUUGGUGUUUGGCAAAAUUUAAGAAAUGCUUUUAAAAAUAUGAAUUCAUAUUAGAAAAAUUAAUUUGUCUUAACAUUUUUUAGACUUUUUAAUUGAACGAACAAAAAAUUUUGAAUCUUCAAUAAAGAGUAUUUACUCAACAUUGUUUAGACUUAUCUAUGACUUUUGGGAUGAGCAAACAAAAACCUUAAAAAUAUUGUCAAAUAAUGUAGAUUCAUUAUCGUGUUUCAUGUACGUUAAUAUAUAUGAAGAGAAAUGGUUAUUUGUCCGCAUUGGAGAAACUAAUGAUAAACUUUUCUUAGAAUCCUAUGGAAUUUGAAAUCGAAAACACACAAAAAAUAAAAAACAAAAAUGUACACGAAACCUAAAACAACAACCAAUCCUUGUGAAUUAUGACUAGUAACAGAAAAAAAUUUUGCAUUGGGUCUUUUGGGUUGUUGAGAAAACGAUAGGAUUGGAAGAAAAAAUCCCAACUGUGACUCAUCCUUAAUCCAAUUUUCCCUUUAUUGAAGUGUGUUUGAUUAGUGAAAAAAAAUAAUUAAGGAAAAUAAAAGUUCAUGGUAGGCAAAUCUAGUCCCCCCCCCCCCUUUUUUUUCCUACCCGUUUUCGGAAACCAAAAUUAAAACACAUCUACUUUGCAAAGACACCAAAGAAACAACCAUGAUCCUCCAAAAACGCAGCUACAUCUCAAAGACACCAAAGCAUAAAAGCAAAGAAGUAAUCAUGAUCCUUGAAAAAAUAUGCCUCAAUGAAAACCAUGAAAUAAUAUAUCACCAAAUCAUUAAGAUUUCAUUACAGAGUUAUUGUAAAAAACAUUUAUAAUCUUUUUACGUGAUAUCCCACAUCAGAUAAGGGAUGAAAUUACUAGAGUUAUAUAGGUCUGUGUUUCUUUUAAUUAUGUAAAUGUAUUUUAAAGUCGUGAAAAUUUGUUAGCUCUAUAGAGUCGUAAAGGUCUGUUAGAUUUAGAGCGAACAAUAUCUACACGAUUGAUUAUGAGUUAUUACAAAUGAUAUUAAAAUCGAUUAUUGACCCAAGUUAGGAAUUUGUUUGAUCUCCUAAAUGGUAUUUGUUUGUUUGGUCUCUCAAUCCCAUGAGACAUAAUCAAGAUAGUUUCAUAAUAUCAUCGAAUAAGUGAAUUAUAUAUGUAUGAACUCUUCUUAAUCAUAUAGACACAUUUUAAAAAUAUGAGAGUCCUUUUAAAUUCAGAACGAACAAUAUCUACACGAUUAAAUAUGACUCGUUAUAUUUUAACAUUUUAAAUUAUUUAUGAAAAAACUAUUUUCAAAUACAGAAUAAACUCUCCAAGUCUAACUAUGCGAGAAAAUAACAAACAAGGGGGCCUAGUGGGAUCUCUACGUGGGGGGAGAAUGGAGUCGAUGAAAUCAAAGAUGUCAAAUUUGUAUUAUCAGUAAAUAAAAACAUUUAAAUUUGUAGAUUUAUGAUGUUGGGCCCAUAUUCGAAAUGAGUCAUUCUCCUUUGCCCACAUGGCUCUGAUUCACAACUGUGGGCCCAGAUUAAAGAAUCAUUUCAAACCCCUCACUUUUUCCUAACUUUGAAGCCCACCAAUUCAAUCAAGCCAGUCCAGACCCCACUUGGGUUCAGUCCAAAACUCCAAUUAGUUGACCCCUAAGCAGAAUGGCAAGUCAAUUGCGUUUGUUGUAAAACUAUAUAAAAAAAUGUUUUUUUAUUUUUAAAUUUAACUUAUUACUUUAUUUUAUUAAACUUUAAAUAAUAUAAUCAGUAACUUUUUUAGGAUAAUGUUUGAUUUUUAUAUUUAUGGAAGAAGUACACAAAUUUAGUGGUCAAGUACAAGAAACAAAGAUAAGUAUUAUCGAUGUAUAAUUGGAUUUUAUAUUUGAGAAUUGUAUUUUAAAAUGCUUUUAUUAAAGAUAAGAUUAAUUUUAAUUUUUUUAAUCGUGAUCAAUUAGCUAUUUGAUUUACAAAAUAAAUAUUUAAAACCCUAAAAUAUUAAAUAAUAAGUGGAUUUAAAGUAAACCCUAAAGUAUACUUUUUCAUCAAAUUUAAUUUUAAAUAGGAAUGGAAUUUAAGCAAAUUAAUCCGACCUAACCUAACUUUUGGAUGGAUUUGGACAAUCAUUUUUAAUACUAGAUUUGGAUUUGAGUUAAGUUUUUUUAAUUCAAACUUAAUUCCAAUUCGACUUAAGUAAAAAUUUCAAAUAACUUAAAUAUAAGCUUAACUCGAUUUAAUCUUUUUAUAAUAUUUAUAAUAUAUAUUAUCUUAGAUAAUAAUACUUAUUUAUUUGAUUUUUUUUUUAUCAAAUUAUAAUCAUAUCUUAUAUUUUUGUUUUGUCAAAAGGAUAGAUAAAUUUAUUAUUAUUAUUAUUAUUAUUAUCUUAUUUAAUAUUUAAAGACAGAUAAACUGGACCCUUAAGAGUACCAAUCACUUGGCUUGGGGAAAAUGCAAAUGGGGACUUCAAUUGGUUGCAUACAAGUUGGGGGAGUCUUAAUCGGUCAAGUUCCACCUUAACUAGAUGAGUUGGAGGUUAUGAUGCAAGUUAGCAAUGACUAAUAAGGGGUUUGACCCUAAUUAGCACGCAUCGGUACUGAUUGGUCCUAAGCCGAUUAAGCUCUUUGCAAUCAUUUUUCCCUAAUGACUAAUAACUUGGCCAAUCCCAAAGUCAAUUUGAAAUUGUACCUAACAACAAAUUUCUCCAAAAAUCUCCUAUUUAAGCUAUUAUUACUCUUUUAUGUUCUAGAUUAUUGAAAUCAUUGUCACAAUCAUUUAUUAAACUAAAGAGUGUUUGGGGCACCUUUUUAUAUAACUUGUUAAUCCAUACUUAGGGCUCGUUUCACAAUAAUUCUAAAAAGUGUUUUUAAUAUUUUUAAUAUUUGAAAUUUUUUAUCAUUCAAAGUGUUAAAAAUGUUAAAAACGCUUUUUAGAAUCACUCUCAAACGUACUUUUAUUAUACUUUAAUCAUAGUUUUUUUUAGUAACUAAUUUUUAAUCUUAAUUUUUCUUGUGUACUUAAUCUUCAAUUUGUAAACCAGGGUGGCUUAUUUUUUAGGUUCAUUCUUGUAAACUUCCGAGGGUUAAUUUCAAGUGUAAUAAAUUAUUUGAGAAAGAUUGUGAGAGUUGAUUAGAACCAUAAAUCAAAGUGUAAAGGUUGAAGAUUUUGAUUAGGAAAAACGUUGAUUUUAAUGGAGAAUUCUAGAGUCCGAAUUGAAUUAAGAAGUAGGGUGUGUAAGUAAUUGUCAAAUCACUAUAAAAUAUUUGUCUAUAUCUUUUUAUCCUAUUCUCUUUUCAUCAUACUUAUAAUUAGUUUAAUUAUUAUCAUUUGCAUCAUGUUUUGCUAAAAAUUAGUUUAAUUAUUAUCAUUUGCAUCAUGUUUUGCUAAAAAUCAUAAAAAAAACACCGACACUCGAUUCGACCUCUCUUUUUAGUAUAUAUUAUAAGGUUGUCAAUUUAUUUUCACAAUAUUAAUCCUAGAUUUCAUAAUAAAUUCCGACCUUCUUCGACUUUAUUCACACCAUCAUGAGGUGUAAUUGAAAUUUAAUAAGAAUUGCACCUCCUAAUGGAUCUACUAGGCGUUAAAUCUUUGGAUUUAAUCCAUGGAUCAUCAUCUAACAAAUCAAAUGGAACUGGUCCUUCAAAAUCAUCAUUCGUAGUUAGUAUUAACGACAUACUUGAUAGUGACUCUAUUCUAUUUAUUUUUAUAAUAUACAGUUUGAAGUAAACAAUUGACUAAAUAAUUAAAAUUGAUGUAAUGGAACUAAAAAUUUAAGUAUUGUUCUUUACAACAUCAUCUAUAGAAAGACUAUAUAGUCUUUUUAUUUAAUCAUAUUGUUUUGGUUUUAAUUUCAUAAAUUUGUUUAACAAUAUUGCUUCAUUUUUGUUCAUAAAUUAUAUUUUUAAAAUUCUUACAAACAAUUAAAAUUAAAUUUAGACAAAAAUAAUCUUAUGAACUAAAAGUCCAAAUGCCUUGCACAUGGACCACACAAUAUGUAACGACCCACACUUAACCAUGUAGAUAUUGUCCGCUUUGGGCCCAAGGGGACCCUCACGGCUUUAAAACGCGUCUACUUAGUUAAGAGGAGUCCGAUGUGAGACAUCACAAACACCACCCCCCCCCCCCCCCCCCCCCAUGCAGACACAACGUCCUCGUUGUGUCCCAUGGGAUUGCGGGGCCAAACAGACAAAGCCAAACAAACCCCCACAUCGGGGUCGGGGAUCGGCUCUGAUACCAUUUGUAAUGACCCGCACCCAACCAUGUAAAUAUUGUCUGCUUUGGGCCCAAGGGGACCCUCACGGCUUUAAAACGCGUCUACUUGGUUAAGAGGAGUCUCUACAUAUAUAGCGUUAGGAACAUUCUCUCCUAUCCGAUGUGGAACAUCACACAAUACUUUAAAAAGUAGAGAAUAUUAUAAAACUAAACUCCAAAACUAGGAAAUUAAACCUGUUUCAUGAUUGGUGGCAUUCUUUCUUUUCAUUUUUUCCAUAAUUGUAAGGUUAUGUUUGUUCUCAAAAAGUUUGAAGGAAAAUAUGAGGAAAAGUAGAAAAAAAUAAAAAAAUAGAUUUAAAAUUAAUAAAUUAUUUUUAUAUACUAUUUCAAAAAAAAAUUCACUUAUUUAACUUUUUUAUAUAAAUAUUGGAUAAUUUAAAAUUUUACCAAUUUCUUAAUAAUUUUAAUUAUAUUUUACUUUCUUUGGUAUUUUUUUUGUAUUUUUCAUAGUAAAAUCAAAUAUAAGAAAAUUAUUUUUUUAACAUUUUUUUCCUAAUAUUUUUCAGGAAUGAAACAUAAUAUAAAGCUUUUUUUGAAACAACUUCUCAAAUGCUUAAAGUAUGAACUCUUACACAAAAUGUAUAGAUUUACAUUAUCGUCUCAAAAUUAGUUUAAAUAUUUUUAAAUUUUAAUAUAAUAAUUUUUUUAAUACCUCUAUUUUUAAUUAAUUUUACAAAAUCAUUAUAUUUUCAACAUAAAUUUUUAAAUAUUAUCAUAUUUCAUGCAUAAAUUGCUAUUAAUUUUUAUUUUUGAAAACAAAAUGGUAUCUAAACGGAUAUUAAGUUAAGACAAUAAUUUUUUUUAAUACCUCAGAUUUUUUAAUCAAUUUUUAGAUGGAUAAGAGUUUGACAUAGUAUAUAAAAAUAAAUUUUUAAAAAAAUCAUUUUACAUUUCAAUCAUAAUUCAUAGCCCUUUAGAAAAAAAACGUAUCCAAAUCAUAACAUCGACGUCUCAAUAAAGAACAUUAAAUGUAAAAGUAAAAAGCCAUGCAAGUGGUCCAAAACCCCCACAACCAUAUACAAUUCCAUCUCAGACAAUAUAUAUGUCUAUGGCCCAUAAUGUCGUAACAAAAACCCCACACACUUAGACCCCUCGUGAAUGGCCAACCUCGCUGGCUUGAUGGUUGGUGCCCCACCCAUGUGAAAUCUCUUCCGAUCAACCACUCUCCUUCACUGCAUAGUGUCCUCCCCAGAAAGGAUAAUGCUUUUUUGUUUUCUAUUCAGAUAAUAGACCAGAUUCCCCAUCUGAAGUUUCCUCCCCUUGUCUUCUAUUCUAUGAUGCCAUCUCAUCCCCAUCCCCAUCCCCUCACCUUCAAAAUUAAUGGAACCAACUUUUCAAUUUUCAAUUUUCAACCCCCUUGAUGAUCACCUUUUGUAGUUUUCCCUUUACAACAUCCCCCACCUAACUUGAUUUAAUUUAUUCCAUUAUUUGCUUCCUAAAUAUGAAAAAUUAUUGGUAAAGGAACUAUAUAUUAGUAUAUUACCAAAUCUUUUGAUGGAAUAUGGUUGCAUUAACAUCAUACCUUUUCUUGUAGUGUGGGUCUCAUGGGAAGGUGCCCCAAAAAGUUGUCAGGAUUCAGGAAGGAUAAUGUUCAAAUAUUGUAUGAUUGGAAUAUGUUGAUUUUUCUUGACUAUGAUGUAAAUACUUGGCAUUAAUAGUAUAAGACGACUCAAAGUAUUGACCGGCAAGUGGGCUAAAAUGUGAAUUUUUUAUGGCCCAAAAUUUUGAUUAUCUAUGUCUUGAGUUUGUCUUGGUGCUUAAAUUUAAAUCAUACGAUACCCAUUUGAUGUCAUAUCAAAAUUUUAAAGCCUUGUUUGUGACGUAUUUAGAUGAAUUGAGUAGGUGCCCACAAAUGUAUAGAAAAAUUAAGAGUUAGUUGUAAGUAAAUUGUAUAAGGUAACGAGAAGAUAAGAUAGAAAUAUAAAAAGAUACAAGUUAGUAAUAAAAAAAAAUGGAGAUUAUUAUCGAGAGGAAUCCAUUGUAGUAUAAAAAUAUGUGAUGAGUCAGAUCGAAAUAUAUGUGUGUUUUGGUUUUAUUAUUUUAUACAAAGUUCGAUUUCAUUGUUUUAUACUCUAAUUUCAUUCUUUUGUGUUUGAUCGUGUUCAAUUAUCUAAAUUUAAUAAUACACUAUUAAUAGUAGAUAUGUAAUUUUCCAUAUGUACCUCUUUUUUACGUUAAAAACUUUCCUAUCAAAGUGUGGUGCUCAAGCACUCAAAGUGUGGUGCCCAAGCACUAAGGUGGUCGAGUGGAUCCUUUUGAAUAGUAUGGUGCUAAAAAAAAAGUAAGUCACCAUAAGCAAUAUCACUUAUUCAAUCAUAUUUGUCCAAACAAUUAAUUGUCAUAAAGUAAGUCCAUUAUGCACCAUCAACAAAUUAACCUAACAAUUGUUAUGUAUUGAUAGUAGGACAUAUUACAGGAUUAAGAAUAUAUUUGGUAGUAGUUUUAGGAAAUAUUUUUAACAUUUUUAAUACAUAAAAUACAAAAAGUUUCAAGUAUUAUAAAUACUAAAAACGCUUUUAACAAUCAUUGUCAAAUACAAUCUAAAUGUUAAAAUAAAAAGAUGUUAUAAUAACCUAGGGGAACUUACAAAGUUCAUUUUAUAUAAGGGUUGACAAAUAAGAAUCAAAGAUAUGCACAAACUCUUCCAUGAAAUCAAUUCUCAAAAACUUGAGAGCUAACCUAAGUGUCCAAUGUCAAAAUCCAAAACCAACACAAAGUAUAAAGAAAUAGUAUUUUUUAAUUUUUUCCUAAAUGACAAAUAUUGAAAAUUUUGUGGGAUUAAAAGAAUCGACUAUAAUAAAGAAAAAUCCAUAAGAAUGAUCUAGAAGUCGAGUUUUCCUUAAGGGUGUGAUUUUACUUUUAUUUUCUAAAAGCAAUGCAGUACUUUAUAAAGUGAAUAAAGUAACCAAGAAGUUUUUGAAUUGAAAACAAAAAAGUCUUGAUUAUUAAUGUUUUAAGGCAAAAUGACAACUUCAAGUAAUUUUACUUGCAAAACACUCCUAAGCAAAAUGACAAUUUGUUGAUGUAAUAUGCACUUAUAAAUAACUUAAUGUUAGUUAUUAUUUAUUACAAUAGCAAUAGAUUUCCUAUAUAUGAAACCAUUUGGUGUUUAAUAAAAUUUUAAUAAAAUUUUAAAAAAUAUUUGAAUAUUAUUUUUAGCAAUAUAUAUAGUAAAAAUAUUUUUUUAAUAAAAAAAGUCAUGCUUUUCGCUAAAAGUUAAAUUCAUCAUACCAUCUUAUUUACUUAUCCACCUAUUUUAUAUUUUUUAAAAAAUAAAAAGUUUCAAAUAAAAUGAUAGAAUUUUUUUUUCAAUAUGACACCCCUAACUUUAUUUCUUAUUUAUUUAUUUAGUUUACUUUCUUCAUUAUCUUUAUCUUUAUUUUAUUUAAAAUAAAAAUGAAAAAAGAGGUGAAGAUGACGAAAAUGAGUGGAAAAGAAAAAAAGAUAAUAUAUUAGAAAUAUGAUUAGAGUUUUUAAUUGUGGAUAUGGGAUGUCCGAAGAAAAUGUAUUUCAAUAAUUUUAUAAAAAAUUUAUGAUAAAAAAAACCCGAAUAUGUAAAAAGAUUGGAUGAAUGGAUGGAAGAUUUCUCCAUCAUCCAACUAAAUCCAAAUGCAAAGACAAAAAUUAUUCCAAACGAGCAAGAGGGAAAAGAAAUUCGAAAAAUAUGAAUUUUCAAUUUUGUCGGGAAAAAGCAUCAUUUUAUUUCUUGACGUGGUCCAAACAAUGGACGGCAGAGAUGAACCUUAGAGGUCAGAUGAGAGUCAUGAGACUCAGUCCACAUGAGGGGAUGACCAGAAUAUCCACAAUCUACCGCAGCAACAUGGAAUAAUCCCCUCAAAGAUUCCGAAUCUGGCAGCUUUUGUCUGAAUCUGAAAUGUUUCUCGAGGGAGCCACAAAAUAAUAGAUCGCUGCCGUCCAAUUACAACGGGCAAACACACAGACCACGUGUUCAUUUUCAGGACAAGACAUUUCAGUGGCUCCCACGUGGCUACCCCUAUUCUAGUUCACAUAUCACAGGGAAAGUUCCCAUCGGCAUGGGAGCCGAUUCUUGCUAGCCAAACACUCCUCUUCUAAAAAAGAGAUUUUUUUUGGCAUUAUAAUAAGGAAAUUUCCUAAUAAUGUCCGGAUUCUUUCCUCCGUCUUUGUAUGAAUCAUCAAAGCCUUGGGCCCCACAAUCGUAUUAUUUUCGUGGAGACACCAUCGUCUCACAACAUCCUCCUUUAUUACACAAUAAAAUAAUAAUAUUUUAUUUCUGUCAGGUCUUUUUUUGCAAAUUUUUAAGAAAUUUAAUUAUUUUCUCACUGAAAGAUAUUGGGAUGCCAUCUUUAAAUAAUUGGUAGGUCUAUUAAUUAAUAUGAACGUGACAAUAUUAAAUAAAUAAAUAAUUAAAUAAAUAUAAAAUAAGAAAUACCCAUGAGAUACUGCCACCUGUAUAAGCAAUCCAUUAUUUUCUUAAGUCAUUGGAAGUUGUGCACACAUGUUUCCGAGUCUUGCACUUUCUCCAAAUUUAAUUAAUUUUGUCGCCAUUUCUAAGCUCCCAUGUGAACCCCGCAGGGUUUUAAAUUAGCAAAUAAGUAAAAGACAAAAUUUAGUUUGUAUUUUUAAAUUUAAUUUAUUAUUUGAUAUAAUUUAAUUGGAUGAUUAUUGAGGAUGUUUAAGUAAUGGAUUAGCCCAACAUACGUGCCCAAAUGAAAUUUUUGGACAUUUUAACACUCGAUCAAGGUAGAUCACCCGAAAUACCAACCAACUAGAUGCCAUGAAUAAAUCAAUCAUAUAUUUCUCGUAAAAUAAUCAAGCAGUUGUUACAUGUAAUAAAUAAUUGAUUAUUAUUAAUCAUCAAUGAUUGAGUAUUACGUGUUAAAAUCAUGAUAAACGGGUGAUCAUGACAUAUCGAUCAAUCUACAUUUUAAAAUAAAUUUUGAUAUUAAAGCUAACUUAGUCAUUAAAGUGCUCUGUUCAAACAAUAAUUUAAACACAUCUUUUUACAGGUUCGAAUCCAUCUAACAUGGAAAGAGUGAAAAGGCUGCCCUAAAGAGAAUUGUUGACAAUGGUCAACCAAUUAUAGUAAAAUUUGUUGUUCUAAUUUCAUAUUGGAAUAAUUUUUUUUCUUAAACUUGAAUAAAAAAAUAAUUAGGUGCUAAAAUUAAUUUAAUUUAUUACUUUAAAUAUAUUUUUUUUUUUUGGCCUUUUUCAAUACUUUCCACCGACCAAACACGACCUAACGCAUUAUGGGUAGAUUUGAAAAUGAGAUUUAACCAUGGCCCGAAAGAUUCCAACUUGGGAAGAGAAUAUACACGUAUAAAAAAUGGGAGAAAUGAUAAGAGGGGUUAGUAGGAGGUCAGCCUCAAUAUAACAGAAUGCAGGUCCUGUCUUAAUCAGGGUCCAUUUUCUUUACUAAAAAAAGUUAAAAAGCUUAAGUGUUCACUAUACGUGUCAGCAUGUUAGGGUUAUUAUGGAUAAGUGUGAUAUAAGUCACAUGUACAAUUUGAUGUCAUACGUCUUACUUGCCUUAAUUUCAUUUACAUUCCCAAUUUCAUAUUAUUACCCUAUUAAAUAUAAAUAUAUUUUGAGUAUCAAAUUUUUCCAUUAAAAGGAACGUCUACCUAAUUACCUAAUUUUUUUUAUUUAAAACCAUUUUAAAAAAAUAAAUUUUAUAAAUAAAAUACAUUUAUAAGAAUACUAACGAAUGAAAAUAAUUAGUAUCGAUGAAAUUAAUUAUAUUUUAAUUAUAUUUAUUUAUUUAUUUAUUUAUGAUUUGUCUCAUUUAUUUGUAUCCGAACCCGACGUUAUACAUUUAUACAUAUAUUAAAUGGUUUAUUUUCAAUGUAUACGUUCAGUGAUCCAAAUUAUGGUUUAUCAAAUUGAAUUAAGAUCCGAUCAGAGCAUUAUUUUCUUGACCGGGAAUAAAGUUCACACACCUUCCAUGAUAAGCGCGUGGAAUAAGUUAUUUUCCAUAUAUAUAUAUAUAUAAAUGACAAUGAAAAUAAUGUAGUGGGUGUUGGCAUUUUCUUAGCCCCGGACCGGGAGCCAUACGCCAUAUGGUGGUCCCCGGAGGGACCAGUAGACAAAUUGGUGGUACGGGCUAAAAGAAUUAUUCAGAGACACCCAUCCACCUACAUCCAAACACACCCCUUUCUCUUUUUCUCUCUCUAUCAAUAAUUGUAUUUGAUAUUCAGGAGCACCAAGGCCACUCAACCAAACAGGAGUGGAGGAGGCUCAACCACAAGUUCACAACCACACCCCUAAAACCCACAUAUCUCCUCAACACGCCCCCCAUCUAUAUAAGUCACCUACCUGCUCUUCAAAUCCCCGCACACACAAAAGCCUCUCAAGUCCAACAGAUAGGCCGCCUUCUUCCUCAUUUCACUGCAGCUAGCUUCCUAUUUUUCUUCUUCCAAAAUCCAGGGAUUUCAAGAGAAGAGAAAGAGAAAUAAGGGUUCUGCGGGUUGUGGGUCGGUGUGUUUUGUGGUUUUCUAUAUAGGGUUUCUAAGGAGGGAGGGAUUUUGAUUUGGGUUGUGACGGUGGUGGGGUAAAACCCUUGUUCGACGAGUUGUAGACAUCACGGCUAUACAAAGAAUUCCGCCGCCUCUCAUACAUGUCCGGGCGGUACGACGCAAGGGUUGUGUAAUUGAGAGCAACCCUUCGCCGCACGGCGGGCGUGGCGCUUUGCCUUCAGAAGGCGGUAGUCCCUCUGAUCUGCUCUUCCUCGCCGGCGGUGGUUCCAACGCUUUCCUCUGCUAGUUUAGGCUUAUAUUCUGCAUAAUAUAGCUACUGUCUUUAGGAUUAGAUCAACCAAUCCGUAUCGAACACUCGAUCUCUCGCUUUAGCCAUUUCUUUAGAUCAAUCAAUCCGUAUCGAACAAUCGAUCUCUCGCUUUAGCCAUUUCUUUAGGUUGGUGUUUGAGUUCUUGAAAAAAUGAAUACGCUGAGGAUUAAGAGGGUACCCACCGUGGUUUCGAAUUACCAGAAGGAGGAUUCAGACGAUGGUGCUCGUCAGGUUGGUGGUUGCGGCCGCAAUUGCCUCAAGCAGUGCUGCAUUCAAGGUAUUUGUUGAAUUUCUUUUCUGGUUUUUUUUUUUUUUUUUUGGUGAUCUAUGUUAUUUCUUGACGUGGGCUUGAAUUUGCUUAAUUGGGGUUUAAACAGGAGCAAAACUCCCUCUUUAUGCCUACAAGAAGGUGAAGGACGUUGUUAACGAGAAAGCUUCGAGCGGUGAUGAAAACAAAGAGCAGCCUGUGCCCUUCCUUGACUCUCUCGUUCUUGGAGAGGUAAGAGAAAAAGGGGAAUUGAAGAAAAAAUCUAUGUUUUCCUUUCUUUUCCCUUCUUUUCUUUCUGGAAUUCGAUCAAUUAUGGACUGAAAUUGUUUUGCUCAUGUCUCAGUGGGAGGAUCGUAUGCAGAAAGGGCUCUUUCGAUAUGAUGUCACUGCUUGCGAAACCAAGGUCAGAUAUUGAUUCUGUUCAUCUUUAGUUUCUUUCCUAGUUCGUUGACAAAUUGGGUUUUGGGUUUUUCAUUGUGGCUGCCAACUGGGGUUGUGGGUUUCUCUCAAUUUGUUUGUUAAUUCCUGACCAGGUGAUUCCGGGUGAGUAUGGGUUCAUUGCCCAGCUGAAUGAGGGCCGCCACCUGAAGAAGAGGCCCACUGAGUUCCGUGUGGAUAAAGUCCUCCAGCCCUUUGAUGGGAACAAAUUCAACUUCACUAAAGUUGGGCAAGAGGAGGUGCUCUUCCAGUUUGAACCAAGCAAUGAUGAGGAACCUGAGUUCAUCCCCAAUGCUCCCAUUGAUGUCGAAAAUUCUACAAGCGUUGUUGCCAUCAAUGUAUGCAUCCACUUCUGUUCUUCAUGUUCUUGGAGAGUAAUGAGUAUCAGGUCUUAAUAACACUGUUUCUGUUGUCAAUGAUUAACAGGUUAGUCCUAUUGAAUAUGGGCAUGUGCUUCUAAUCCCAAGGAUUUUCGAGUGCUUGCCGCAGAGGAUCGACCGCGAAAGCUUUUUGCUUGCCCUUGACAUGGCUGUGGAAGCAGGAAAUCCAUAUUUCCGGUUGGGUUACAACAGCUUGGGUGCAUUUGCUACCAUCAACCACCUUCACUUUCAGGUUUCUUUCCACCUCACCUUUGAACUGCAAUCAUUGUACUAUAAAAUUGGCUCCAUUGGUUAAUGAAAUAUGAAUUCCAUAACUUUCAUGGUAACAGGCUUAUUACUUGGCCACACCCUUUCCCAUUGAGAAGGCUCCAACUAGGAAAAUAACCACUGCAGGCAAUGGGGUGAAGAUCUUUGAGCUGUUAAAAUAUCCUGUUAGAGGUCUUGUCUUUGAGGGUGGAGACACUCUGCAAGAUUUAGCGAACACUGUGGCCGAUUCCUGCAUUUGCCUUCAGGAUAACAACAUACCUUUCAAUGUUCUCAUUGCUGAUGCUGGGAAACGUAUCUUUCUCUUUGCACAGGUAAAAUUUCAGAUCGUAGGCUACACUGGUAUGGCCAACUUUGCUGCAUUUGGGUUUCUAAUUUUAGAUUUAACUCAUCUCCUUUUCUUAUUGAAUAAACAGUGUUAUGCUGAGAAACAAGCUCUUGGGGAAGUGAAUCAGGAGCUUCUGGACACCCAAGUGAACCCAGCUGUCUGGGAGGUUAGUGGACAUAUUGUGCUGAAAAGGAAGGAGGACUAUGAGGGGGCAUCUGAGCAGAAUGCUUGGAGGCUUCUUGCUGAGGUCUCUCUCUCUGAAGAGAGGUUCCAAGAAGUGAAUGCUCUUAUCUUUGAAGCCAUUGCCUGUGGAGAUGAUGAAAAAGGAAAUCUCACCGAGGACAUGAUUGAGGAGCCAGAUGUCACACCUCCAUCUCAUGAAGAUGCAGGUGCCAUCAACAAUAGCUCCUACCCUGCUGCCAUGGUGGCUGGAAAGCAAGAAUGCCUAGUUCAGCAGUAAGAGUUGGGCUUUUGAAGAACAGAUGAAUGGUGUUUGUGUUUCUGAGUCAGGUAUCGGUGGUUUGGCAUGGAUGUUUCCGUGUGUCUGUGGUUUCUAGUAAUUGCUUAAAUAAAGCAGACUGGGUUUUGCACUGUUGUUGAAGUUGUGCCUGGUUUCUCUGCGUAUUUGCUUUAUGACCUAUUGUUUAUACGUGUCUCAUGGGUCUGUAAAAUUCUAUGCUGUACUUUCUGUGAUGAUUGAAUAAAUUUCUGUUCUUCGGUUUCUAAAUGCUUGCGACUUAUUUCUUCUAAGGGUAAAAGAACUAUGGUUCUGAUGUUGUGUCACUGAUGAGUUCUAUCAGAGAUUUUAUUCUUUGCUCUCUGAUGCUCAUUUAUUUGGAGGAUAAUGCCUUGGUUCAGUUUCUGCCAUUGUUUGAAGAUUGCCAUCUGCUAUCUCGCAACAAAUGGCAGAAGUUCAAGCUGAUGUGAGCCUGUGGAUGAUAUAUUAGAGGUAUGUUUGGUUUCUUGGAAAAUUUGGGGGAAAAUAUAAAGAAAAUUGAGGGAAGACUUCAAGUUAAUAAAUUAUUUUAAUAUAUUAUUUCAAACUUAUUUUACUUAUUUAAAAUUUUUAUAUAAAUUUUAAAUAAUAAAAAAUACAUAAAUUUAUAAGUAAUUUUAAUUUUAUUUGAUUCUCUUUACUAUAUUUUAUAUUAGGAUCACUAGAAAAUUAUUUUUUUAUUUUUUAUUUUUAAUAUUUUUUGGGAACCAAAUAUAGUCUUUUGUGGAAGAUUAGUUACUGACCAUUGAUUGAUCAGCACCCAACUUCUUUGAACUCUAAUAAUGUAUGCUAUUCGAGAUGAUGGUUCCCUUGAUCUUAAGAAAUGUAGCCCUACAAAAGAUGACCCACCAUCUGGCUUCUGGGUUUAGAGGUUCACCUCUAAGAUCCAUUUCAUGAUGACUCCAGAUCACCAAGAGAGGGCACUUUAAUUAACCUUCAAAGUUAGAUAUAUAAUGCAGAAAAUAGUUUCCUCACACCGUUACACUUGCUUUCAUCAUGCGUGUGUUAAAGCGAAAGGCCCCUCCCAAACACAAAGCAAAGAAAGCUCCCUCAUCACGUAAAUAGUAAUUACCCCCCCACACCAUGCCCACCACCCACCAUGUAAGAAAAACAUGAACACACCUUAAGCUUCUCCUGAGAUUAAGUCCUCCACAUAACCCACCCCUUUAUGCAUAUCUAUAUAUAUAAUUGCAAGCAGCUCUGCCAAUGCUGCUAAUGCAUCUUGAAACGAUGCGACUACUUGACACCCGAUUCGCCAUUUCAAUCCUACAAUUACUUCUACUACUGGUUGUGAUUGUGGGAGCGGACCCAACACCAAAAGUUGUUCAAAAAAAUGGCACUAAGAGGUCAUUGUCGUCGCCAUGGCUGAGGAGGGUGAUCAACCCAAGAGCCGCAGGGUGCUGGAACAGGCCAUGGAUAUGCAAUGAAGGGCAGUUCCCACCAAGAAUCAAGAAGCUGUGCUGUAGAAACCAGUGUGUGGAUGUCACCUCCGAUGUUUACAAUUGUGGCUUGUGUGGGAUCAGGUGUCCAUUUACUUGGCAAUGCUGCCGAGGCAUCUGCAUUAAUACUAAUAUAAAUCCAUUUCAUUGUGGCAAGUGUGAGCACAAAUGCCCCUUUGGGAGCUUCUGUGUAUAUGGAAUGUGUGGAUAUGCUCAGCCACUGCCCCCAUUUCCUUUUCCUCCUAAACCACCAAAGCCCCCGUUCCCCCCCAAGCCAUUCCCACCAAAGCCCCCGUUCCCCCCUAAGCCAUUCCCACCUAAGCCAUUCCCACCUCAUCCUCCGAAGGGUGUGCAGGCGCCUACAAUGGCUUGAAGUUAAUUUUCUGUCUCAUUUUGUGCCAUGUGAACGUCUCUGUGCGUGUGCAUGGGCAUGCAUGGAUGAUGGGUGAAGGGUUGGUGUUGAUUUUCUGUUGUUUGGCAAAAGUAUGGUGCAAGGGGAGACUCGUAUGGUUGAUAUAGUUUCAUAUUUGUAACCAUCUUCUUAUGAGUUUAUGGCAUGCAAUUUUAUUUGAUGACCGACUCUUCAUAAAUGAUAAUAUUUCCUCUGUUUUAUAUCCAGUUUUUGUUGGACAACGUAAUUUCUUUGGCUUAGAAAAUGAGUCAGUUGUCUCAAAGAAUUAAACAUGAAUGCUUCAUAUCACUGUAUAACGCAUUCAACAUCGAAUAUGCAAAUUCUUAUACUCUUGGGCACGUUCCUCUUUGGAGUUGGGAUGAGAUCCACAUUAGGAGUUCUAGCAGGCCUGAGACCAGACUCAAAAUUUUAUUCUCAGCCCAGGCCCCAUCUGAGGAGUGGGCCAAGAUGGCCUUAGCAAGGAAUUUUUUAUAAGAGUACGACAGUUUAAAAAAACAAUUCCUAAACUCCUAUUGUGGAAAUAAUAAUUUCAAAUCUAUCAUAAUUUUUGUCAACUAGGAAAGAUAAGGUCAUUUCCUUUUAAAAUUGUCUAUUUGAAAAAUUAUUUGAGUAUAAAAAAUCGUAUUUUGAAAAUAUGAUUUCUAAAAUUCAUUCUUAAAAAAAAUUACACACUAAAAUUAUCUUUUGAAGAGACGAGUUCUUCAGAAGAAAAAAAAAAAAAAACUAAAUUAUUUGGGAGAAAUAGUCUUUUCACAAUUUUCUCCCAAAAAAUAAAAUAAAAUUUAAUUAAUGAUAUAUUUUUUUAAUAAUAUAAUUAUUAUAAAUAUAUUUAUAAAAUUAAUUAAUUUUAGUUACUAAAUUUAAUAUAUAAAAAAUUAUAAUUAUUGAGAUAUUUAUCAACAAUAAUAUUUAUAAAAAUUAUAAAUUAUGUUUAAUAUUUAGAUAUUGAUUUUUGUGAUUAUUUAUUUGUUGAUGGUUCAAUGAACAAGGUUAUUGGUUUUUUGCAUUCACACUAAUAAUUGAUUUUUUUAUCAUGAUUGAAACUUUAUUAAUUGUUAGAAUAUUUGUUGGUUUUUUAGUAUUUGUAUGAACAAUAUUAUUAGUUUUCUUAUAAUCAUGAUAGUAGGUAACUUAGAUUCUUUAAUAUUAAAAACAUUUAAUAAUUAAGGAUUGACUUGGUGUUUAUAUUUAUGACAUCAUGUAUUUGAAUUUUAAGUCUUUUAUUUGAAUAUAUAGUUUUUGAAAAGAUGAUUUCUUAAUUUUUAUUUAUUCUUUUUUAUUUGAUCAAUUUUCUUGAAACCUAUAACAUUAAAAAUUGAAAAUAGAUAAAAAAAUUUAUAUAACAAAAUAUUUCCUCAAUUUUUUCUUAAUAAAAAAUAGUUAAUCAUUUCUAAUUUUAAGUGUAUUAAAUUAUUUUUAAAGAAAUGUUUUAUUAUUUUUUCAAAUUACUUUAGUUGUUUAUCAUUUAUAAUUACUAAAUAAAAUAUUUUAAUAUACAAAUGAUUAUUAUUUCUUUUUGAAUUGAUUAAUACUUAAAAAAUUAUAUCUCUUAAUGUUGAAAAUUUUAUUGAAAAUUAAUUUUUUGAAUAAUAAAUUAAUUUAUUUUUUUAUAUUUAAUUCUUUUUAUAGUUAAAUUUUAAAUUAAAGAUUAAUAUUUUUAAUUUUAAAAUUUAUAUAAUAAAAUUAAUUUAAAAAUUAAAAUAAAACAAAAUUAUUUAUUUUAUAAAUAAUUAUUUAAUAAAUUAAUAACAAAUUUGUUUUUUAUAAAUACAUUUUUCACAUAAAAUUGAUAAUAAUUGUUUUUAAUUACAAAGCAAAAGAAACAAAAAAAUAUUAGAUAAAUAUUAUUUAUCUUAUAAAUAAAAAACAAUAUCAAAAGUAAAUUAAUUUUAUUAGUUAUAAUUAAUUGAAUUAAUUUAAAGAAAAAAUUAAAAAUUAAAAAAAAAAAGUAGAUUUAAGAAUAAAUUAAUUAUUUUUAUUUAUAACUUAAAAUUAUUUUGGACUUUAAAUUAUAUUAUUAAAUACCUAAUUUAUUUAACAACUUAAAUUAAGUUAUUAAAUCAAAUUUAAUCUUGGUUAACCAACCCCCCACAGAAUCAUACCGUGAUGUGUUUCUAAACCAUACGCGGCCACACCCAUUGGCCAAAUAAACCUUAACGAUUCUCAGUUCUCACUCUAGGGUUUUCUGCUCACUCUUUUCAAACUGAAAACCAGAUGGAGUCAAAUGGAGAAGACGCUUCUCGAAUUCUCAGGGAGAUCGAGACCUUGAAGGCCGCUAAGGCCGACAUAGAGCAUCGAAUAUCGGUUCUCGAAGCUCGGCUUCGCGAUAUUCCUCUGCCUAACGACGCCAUUUCUGGUGUCUCCUGUUCUUCCAUGUCAAUAGCUGAUUCGGCUGCCGGACACGGACUCUCCCCGGAUAUGAUCUACCGGUAUAGUCGCCACCUUUUGCUUCCUUCCUUCGGAGUUCAAGGUUUGUACUUUGUACUGGACUGGUCGGAUCGAAUGCUUCAUUCAAAGUAUGAAAUUCAACUGUUUUCUUGCUUUUGAAAGCUGAAUGUAAUGCAAUUUUUCUUAUCAAAGUGUGAGAAAGGUGUUCGGAAAUGCUAACCUUUGUAUAGUUAGAAUUUUCGUAGUGCGUUUCUUGCUUUUGUGGAGAAAAAAAAAUUGCUUUACUUGCUGGUAUCAAAUGCGAGAAAAAAGAAAAGAAAAAAAAACAGUUUCUAGCUGAAAUAUGUUUCUGGAAUUUUAGAAAUACAGAGCAUUUUGAAAGGAAUUUUCUUCCUUUUAUGGGCUAGAAUCCAUUUAAUUUUGCUUUCAAAUAAUAAAAAAGUACUCUUAAAUUGUCCUACUGAAUCUUAACUGGAUUUUCCCGUUUUAAUGAAUGCCAUUCUCUUUGUUGAAAUGAGUUGUCAGAGUUAGACCUUGAGUUAGUGCUUUUGAAUGCUCCUUUUUGUGUAGCAUUUUGGAAGUACUUUUCUUGCUUUUGAAAGCUAAAAUCAAUGUAAUUUUUGCUUCCAAAAGUAGGAAAAGUACUUGCAAAGUGCUGUCAAAAUAAGGUCACUGUAAUUUCAUUCCACGCUGGGCUAUAUUAUUCUGACAAAUUCCUCAUCAAUAUGACCUUGCUUGCUUGAAAAUUUUAAUAACAAAAACAAUAACAAUUACUUUAGAUAAAUCCAAACAGAAGUCAAGUAUUGGACCACAUGAAAGGCAUUUUGUUUUAGUGGAAAUUUUGUGUCUUUCCUGCAAUAUUUUCUUUCACAAGUUCUAAUAUGUUCAAGUAGCGCAGAGUUUGGACACAUGUUGCUGUGAGAUACAACGAUACAACUGAAUUUGACCAAGAUUUCUGUUUGGUUUGUUUCCAGAACAAUACUCUUUCAUGGUAUAAACUGAGCAGUUUGGUGCUCUUAAGUCCUUUUUAAUGCCGACUACAAUAACCUUUAUGUGUUGAAAAAAAUGAGAACAAAAAAAAACAUGAAAAUCUCUUUUGCAAGACAUUUUUCUAAAAAUAAUUAAUGCAAAUAGAUUGUUGGAAACAUUCAAAAAGUAAUUUUGCACAUUUUGAAUAUCAAUGGCAUUUUAACUACUGACAAUGACUGGAAAAUGGUAAGUUUCUGGACAUGUUCACCAUUUCAUUUCUGAAAUGGGAACAUUAAUCAGAAAGCCAUCUUACAUUUGCAACAUAACAGCCCGUUUAUUUUUCAUAUUUCAGUGAAAUUCACAUUGAAUGUCAUAUAGUUUAAUGCAGAGCUUUGGUCAUUGAGCAAUCAAUAAUCUACUUUAUUCUAUAUAAUUAGUUGUCAUUUGUUUAUUCUGAUUGGUAUCUCUUUACUUUCCAAUUGGUAUUUGUGGUUGGCUGUAGGGCAGUCGAGUCUCUUGAAGUCUUCAAUUUUAGUUGUUGGAGCUGGAGGAUUGGGCGCACCAGCUCUUUUAUAUCUUGCGGCAUGUGGAGUUGGUGAGAUGUUUGCUCUUAAGAAGGCUCAAAAUACAUGUUCAUUAGAAACUUCUUGUCUGAAUUCUUUUCUGGACCAUUACCCGAGUCAAUGCUACUUAUUGGGCUAUCAGGCUUGAAAAUAUAAGUUUAUGUCACUUCAUGCAAAAAUGCUGAACUUGGAUUUUUUUACAAAUCUUACCCAAACAAAGUUCAAAACAGAGCCUAUGCUAGGUAAUGGUCCUUUUUUGGCAUACCUAGCAUUUUGAUGCCAUUGAUUCAUGUGUGUGAUAUUUUGAUGCCAUUGAUUUAUCCAUUUUAAAUGAAUGGGUGCUUUAAAGGGAGCACUUAAAUCAUUGUCUUAUAUUGCAAUUGGACCUUUUUGUUUUGAAACUCUGACCUUUCAUUUUAAAGCUCUUUCAUUUGGAUAUUCUUCCCAGGGUGCAUAGGUACUGUUGAUCAUGAUGUUGUAGAGCUGAAUAAUCUGCACCGACAGGUACAAAUUUAAAAUAUGCACUCUGGUUCUCUAGUCGUCAUGAUGAUGUUGGUGGUACUAAUAAGAAAUAUUCGGCCUAAUUUUAUUCUUGGUGCCCCAUGCUUUCUCUUGGUAUGGUUAUGAAUGAUAAGCUUGAACUACAAAAAUGUUUUUAAAUCCACUAUGAUUUGAAAAAUGCCAAUCAUGUUGGUGCACUAAAUAAGCUCUUGAGGCAUGGCUCAAGUGGUAAAAGGUUGGGAGGGUUUGUAGGAGUUUCCAGGUUCAAGUCCCAAUGAGGAAAAAAAUGUACAUACCAAAAAAAAAAAAAAAAAGUUGCACUAAAUAAUAAUGGAAAUAUGCAAUGAUGGGGCUACUACAUUAAACACAUGCGAUUUCUCCCAUGAUCUUUCUGCUUUGUUUCAUAUGGCACCACAAAAUGUUUUCAUAUUAAUAAAUUUAUACCCAUCAGCUUCUCCCCGAUCCUCGAUGUAUAAACAAAAAACAUGGAGAAAGUGAAUACAAUUGCAAAAGGCACAUAUGGAGUGCUAGAUACUCACCUGAGUGAAGGAGGUGCUAAUUCUUUAAAAGGUAUCACCAAUUAAAUGAAAAAAAUGAAAGAAACAUGUAAAUCUUUCUUUAGGGCAUCAAGGCAUCAUAAUGAUCAAAUAAUGAAGUUAUAACCACACAUUGUUUUACCUUAAUGCAAUUUGCAAAUCUGCAUUUCUCUUUGUAACUGUUAGGAAUCUCAUAGAGGUAUUGUAAUGUGCAAAUGAACUUCUUUUGAUCUAGUGAACUCAUGAUCUCAGAGCCUGCUUCCUAUUAUUAUAUUGCAGAUUAUCCACACUGAAGCAUAUGUUGGUCAACCAAAAGUACAAUCUGCUGCUGCUGCUUGUCGUUCGUAAGUAGCACUUUUGGCAUUAUCUGUCUUAACUCUGAAAAAUACCUGAUCUGAAGUUGCUGCAUCUGCUGUCUGCUUUGUGAAGUUUGCUUUUCACUGAAAGUAUCCUGGAAUUUUCUUUCAUGUUGUUAUGCUUAAUAUAGAUUUGUAUGCCAGGAUUAACUCCACAAUUCAGAUUGUGGAACACAAAGAAGCUUUAUGCACAUCCAACGCUUUGGAGAUUUUGAGCAAGUAUCCUUUAUAAAACAAAUUUCAAAGAUCAUUAAAUUUGUCUUUUUGCUUUCCUUUUCUUUUUUCUUUAUUUAAUCCUUUCUGUGAAUACUGAUGAAAUAUUUUGAUUUCCCUGACUACUGACAUUUCUUAGAUAUGAUCUAGUUAUCGAUGCAACAGAUAAUGUCCCUAGCCGGUACAUGAUAAGUGAUUGCUGCGUUGUAUUAGGGAAGGUAAAUUGGUCAUUGUGCUGCUUUCUCUUGUAGAUAAUUGUACAGAAGUCACUAUUAGUAAACUUACUAAAACUGGAUUUUAGCAUUAUGUAACAUAGAACCAACCAUUCAUAUGUCUGGAUUUGGCUAAUGCUGUUCUAGGCUUUUAUUUUCAGUACCUCUCUUAAUGCACUCCACCCUGUAUUCACAUUAACUGAUAUUCCCUUGUGACAGUAAAAUCCAAGGUACUAAGAGGGCUCUAUAUUAUGGUCAAUAAUCAAGACAGGAUUCUACAAGCACCUAUGUCUGAACAAAAAAAGAAAAAUCACUAAAACCAGCAUGAGGCUUAUUGGUUCACUAUGCAUGUGUGUCUAGUGUGCGAUUUUUCAUCCUUGCAUUGACCCUUUACAUGUUAUUUGUGCAGCCUCUUGUUUCAGGUGCUGCUUUGGGAUUGGAAGGGCAGGUAUGUUAUGCAUCUGCUUUCAUAUUCUGUUAUUCUUGUGUUACACCUAUAGAAUUUCUUAUGUGAAUAAGGGAAUGGGAAGUGUAAUCUUCAUCAUUUUUUGUUGUGGAAACUCAUAGCAUAACUGCAUCAUGAAAUUUUUUGUAUAGCUCACUGUUUACAAUUACAAAGGAGGUCCAUGCUAUCGGUGCCUUUUUCCUACUCCACCACCAACAACAGCAUGUCAAAGAUGUUCAGAUAGUGGAGUUUUAGGAGUAGGUAAGCUGCAGUUUUGCUAACAUGUCCAAUAUUAAAUUACUAGUCUGCUAACUUGCCUACCAAACCUUGUAAAAUAUGAUCUUGAGAGGGAUCUUUUCCUUUUUCUAUCUUCUAUCUUAAAUGGAGAAGAAGUCUUAGAUUUUGUCCUGGAUGCAGGUAAGAAUUGAAUUGGGCAUAAGUCUGUUUCUUGCUUUACGUAUAGACUCCAGUAAAUUUGCAUAUUUUAAUUUGUCUGCAUUGAGUAUUGAUUUCACACGAAAGAAAGGAUAUAGUGUUAGUCAUGAACCUCGACAAAACUCCACUCAAUAAACUGGUGUCCUAAUUGUGUGCAUGGAAUUGGUAUCAUAGAAACAUAAAGGAUACAAAUGUUGGUCAUGAACCUUGACCAGGCUCUAUAAAUGUUGGUCAUGAGCCUUGACUAGGUUCUACUCAAAAGGAAAACUUUAUCCUGAUUAUGUGGGGUGGCUAUGAAUCCUACUUCAUGAUUCCACUCAUUUCAGGAUUCAUUUUUAUAACAAUUUUGCUAAAGGUUUCAUGUUGGGCAUUGGCUAUCCAACACAAGCCGCCUCAUUCCUCCUCGCCUGAGAUGAGAUGUCUGAAGAGAGAAGUUCAUGUUGGUGUACUGGUUCAACAUUAGGAAAUUGUGCAAUGUUUCUUGGUGUUUCAAAUCUAACAUUUAUUCUUUUAUUUUUGUGUUAUUUGUUUAUUUUUUUUGUUUAUAUGCUGUAUUCUUUCCUGCUAUUUUAUUAGUUUAGAGUUUUGAAUUGCUGUUGGUUUCCUUUUUCAUUUUCACAAAAGCAUUUUUAGAUACUUGGGACAAAAUUGUAAUGCCUUUCCCACUUUUGUUUUAUAGUUCCUGGUAUCAUUGGCUGUCUCCAAGCCCUAGAGGCUAUAAAGAUUGCAAGUGCUGUUGGAGAACCACUGUCAGGAAGGAUGCUUCUCUUUGAUGCAUUGUCAGCACGAAUUCGAAUUGUAUGUUUCAUUUUCCAUAUCUUUGAAAGUUUCUUGAAUUCUAAAUCAAGUGCAUACUUUUCUGUUAUUUUUCUUUGAAGUAUUAUCUUCUCGUGAUCUCUUUAUCAGUAAUGCUUAUAGGUGAAGCUUUAAUAGAUCAGAUUCAGGUAACUGAAUGUACUAGACGUUUGCGGUGAUUGUUGACUAUGGGAAUUGAGUUUGCUCAAAGAGGUUAUGGUGAAAUUUGUAAUAGAAAAUAAAACAUUUUAAUGAUGGUAAUAGAUUUGCAAUGUUAAAACAAUAAGUAUCAAUGUGGAGAGUCUGGAUUCUGAAUAAGGUGAUUACUCAGGAGAGAUUAGUUUUCCAGGAUUGGUUUUGUGAACAGAAAGCAGGAAGACCUAGCUUGGGCCUAUUGGGGGUCCUUACACUCUCCUCUCUUCCAUGGUUUCACUGUGACAUCAAAUGAAAUUAAAUAUGAUUUUAUCUUUUACAGUUAGACCAACUGAAAACAAAAUGCCAUUGGACUUGUCUAGAAAAUACAUUGAUUCUCUUUUCUGGGAACUUGGUGGAUGUUAUCUUAUAUCUCUACCGAAUAGGGUAGAGAUCGGUAGUGGUUCACUUGUUGCAUGCAAUAUAUAUAUUUAUAUAUUAAAUGUCAUCAAGUUUUUCUCAACAGUCAUUCUGGUUUUGUAAGUGAUUAGCAUUAAAGCCAGAAUGUAUUCAGUUAUUCUUUUUCCCAUCACUACAAGGUAUCCCUAGGCAUACUCCCACCAGGAUUCGGAAUACAAGAUUAAUCCUCUUGACGUGGUCUAGUAGUGUUAAAGAAAUUGACAAUCUUUCAUUUCUAGACUUCAAAGAUGGUUUGGGCUAUAAUAGUUAAGAGUUUCUUGUCAUUUUAGUUUUUCCCUCUGUACUUUUGUGUUUUGCUGAAGAAGUAUAUUUCCUGUGAACUUAAGUUGUCCCUUUUUCUGUUUGGCACCUCUUUAAGGAAAUCCUUAUUUGCCUAUCAAAAGGAGGUCAUAAUGGGAUGUUCUUUGGAUUGCCUCCUUCUAACUAGCCUUGAUUUUGUCUCAAAUCAUUUUUUGUUUCUGGAGAUUGUAGAUAGCUUGUUCUUAUGGAAAUUAAUCUUUAAAGCAUUGCAUUGCUUAGGUCAAGAUUAGAGGGAGGUUGUCCCAAUGUGAAGUUUGUGGAGAAAAUGCAACAUUCACCCAACAGAAAUUUCAAGAUUUUGACUAUGAGAAGUUCACUCGGUCUCCACUAUCCACGGUAUCAUCUGCUCCCUUACCUCUCUUUUAUUGUCAACUGCUUGUAUUUUGAUUUGAUUGCUUAAGAUUCUUUCAUCGAUAAAAGAAUCUCUUGUACCACGGUUGCAGUUUUCAAAAUUCAUAAUCUCUCUGAGAUUCAUACAAACACAUGAAUUAGUACCUUGGAUGCCCUCGGAAUUUAAUAUUUUUGACCUUCCAAUUGAUUGCAGACUCCAUUGAAGUUAAACCUGCUUCCAGCAGAUUCCAGAAUAACCAGCAAAGAGUACAAUGACAGACUUGUUAAUGGGGAGGCACACGUAUUGGUGGAUGUACGACCAUCACACCACUUCAACAUUGUUUCUCUCCCGAAGUCAUUGAACAUCCCACUCUCAAGCUUGGAGACUAGGAUGUCGGAAAUCAGUUCAGCCUUGAAGGAAGAAGAGGAGCAGAAGGGUAGUAACCAUUCUGGUACAAGUAUCUACGUAGUGUGUAGAAGAGGUAAUGAUUCACAGAGAGCUGUUGAAUACCUCCACAAAAUAGGUUUCACUUCAGCCAAGGACAUCAUAGGGGGACUGGAGUCAUGGGCCCAUGAUGUGGAUCCAAACUUUCCUACGUACUAGUCAAAAUGCUCGCCUGUCGCCUAUGUAGACCGGUAGAAUCAAAUUUUCCAUGUCUUUUGAGUUAUAUGACUGAUUCUUGAAAACAAGGGAGGCCGUUCCAGAUAAUUUAUGAUUCAGGCACAUAUAGUUUUGCUUAUUUCUGAUAAUCGAGGUUGUUUAUCAGUAUAAUGAUGAAGAAAAUUCAUGAUGUCCCCAAGCAUUAGAUCAGUCAUAUAUUUGGUGCAACUAUCAUUUUACAUGCGCUUGGAUUUAGGGAAUGGAACGAGCAAAAUGGUCAUUUCACUAGGCAAAUAAAAAAUGGGCAUGCGUUAAACUCGUUUAAUAAAACUAGAUUUUAUCACAAUAAUUUUCAAUUAAGAGCUAGUUUAAUAAAACUUAAAUUAACUUUAAGUUAAAUUAUUCUUAAUUUCUUGACCUAAAAUCUAUCACUUAAUUUUUCCUUUUAAGUAUUAAGGUUGUGUAGUAAAGUUAAUUUAAGAUUUAUUAUACAUCAUCAAAUUAAUAUGUUAUUCUUAUUCAUUUUAAUAUUUAUACUUUCAUUAAUCUUAAGUAAUAAAUUAUUUGUUAUAUAUUCAUAUUUAAAGUAUUAUAAAUAUAUAGGAUAACUACAAAAGUAUAAAAGAUGAGUUGUGAGUAUAACUUAUUUUUAUAAAAUAUAAUUUUACUAAAUAUGGACAAAUGAAAAAAAAUAUUCAUAUUUAAUUUAUUAUACCAAAUAUACUUAAUCUACUUAAACUAUAUUUGAUUGACCGAAUAUGAUAAAAUAUGCAAAAAUCCUAGGUUAUUAUAUCUCAUUGAAUAAGAUAGACAUAUUUUAGGAUAUCAUUUUUAAUAUCUAAUAGGCAUGAUGCCUCAAGAUAUUAUAUGUUAUAUGUUAUGUCAUGUUUAUAUUUAGUUUGUAAAAUGAAUAAAAAAAUGAAAUUAAAUAUAUAUUAUUUUUCAAAUAUAAAAUAUUUAUUUAAAAUAAAAAUUAUAUUGCAUUCUAAUAUUUGUUAUUAAAAAAAAAUAUGAACUUCUUUUAUAUUCAGUAUUAUUUAGAAAUGAUUCAAUAAUCCAAAAUUUAGUGAAUAAUUUUUUUUAUUUAUUAAUAAUAUUGAUGAUUAAAAUAUUAAAAAAUUAUGAAUAAAAAAUUUAUAUUAUGUUAUUCAAUAUAUAUAUAUAUUUUUAAUUACAUAUUUAAUUUUUUACUUUUGAAAAAUAAAUACAUAUAUAAAGUGAGAAUUAACAUAUUUAGGAUAUAAGAAAAAAGGUGAAUAGUAUAUCUUAUUACUUAUCUUAUCUCAUUACCAAAUAAACAUGGGAUAAAAUAUGUGUCUCGUAUUGUAUCUAAUUAAUCAAACAAUGCUAUAAUAAUUUAAAUUAAAUUAUCAAAUCAAAUUAAUUCAUUAAACUAGUUUAAUAAACUCCUUUUGAGUAGAACCCAAAGGACACUCGCUCAAGUUGAGCUAAGUGGUACAUUAACAAUCAAGAAUUGCUUUAGCCAAAUCCAUCAAUCAUGAGAAAUACGUUGUCCAAACCACUGCAUUAAAAAAUUUUGGAAUAUAUUUUUAAUAAAUAAGGAUUUUAAUUCACAUAUAUUUUAAUAAUCCUAAAGUAAACAAAAAAAAAAAAUGAUAUAUGUACAUCGACCAUUUGUAUUAUUAGUUAGAAUGCAUUAACUAUAUAUAAAUUUUUAUAUUCAAUAACUAUCUACUUAGGUAAAAAUAAUGGUUGAAAAAUAAUUGUAGUUUUAAGUAAUUAUAAAUUUUUUUAUGAAAUGAUUAUAAUUUAUAAAAAAUAGAAUUUACGAAUGUAUUAAUACAAUUUUAAUAUUAUCUUUUUAUUAAUAAAAUAUUUGGAGAUAACAAUGAGAGUUGUUAAGAGAUAAUAAUUUUUUACCGAUAAAAAGCACACAACCACUUGUCACUGACUGACUCAAAAUGAGCCCUGAGCUUAUAUAAAAGAGCAAGAAGCUUAUGGAACUAAGAGUCAUCUAUUAACAGAGUGUGGAAGAUUUUUGAGAAUCGUAGACAUAUCCACACAAGGGAAAUGUGUGGAGAAUUUUAAAGUGUUUCAGAUAUCUUGUGCAUUCCUUGUAAGUGAAUUUGUAUAGGUCAUUCUAGAAUAGUGGGAUACCUUUUAGGGUUUUGGAGUCUGCCACCUUGGAUGCCUAUAAAUAGAAGAUGGUCUUAUUUGGACAAGAUACCAAAUAAGGCCUAAGUCCACUAUUCUUGUGCAAAAAGGCCUAAGUCCAUCACUCACUCCAUUAGAUUGGGCAUUAUUUUAAAACCCAAUCUAUAUAAAGUUUUUUUUAAAAAAAAAUAAUAAUAUUAUUUUCGUCCAAAAGUGGAAGACAAAAGGAAAGGGAAAAGACAAAGAUAAUCUUAUUGAUUCAACUAUUCUUGUGCAAAAAGGCCUAAGUCCAUCACUCACUCCAUUAGAUUGGGCAUUAUUUUAAAACCCAAUCUAUAUAAAGUUUUUUUUUUUAAAAAAAUAAUAUUAUUUUCGUCCAAAAGUGGAAGACAAAAGGAAAGGGAAAAGACAGAUAAUCUUAUUGAUUCAUAACUCGAUCAUCCUUCAAGCCAAGCAAUUCUGGCAGUUUAGGUAUCGUAAUCUUAUCCCAUGAAACGAGCAUAAAUAAAGUUGAGUGAUUAAGAUGUCAAAAAUUGAAGGAAAGGAAAAAACUACUCUCACCUCUCACCAACCAACAAGUAGGAGCUUCAACAAAGCCAUCCGAAUAUAGAGACCAUUCUUUGCUUGUCUGAAAUAGGCAGCCCUUUGAUCCUCAUCAACAUCCACAGUUAUCUGCAUAACAUAAUGAAAACAAACAAUCAUCCUCAUCGUUCAUCGGCAAAAUAUUUUACUCAUACACAUCAAAUCCAGAAUCAUAAAAGCCAAGAUGGCAUUGCUACCUCGUCAAGCCUUGGGAGGGGAUGCAUGACUACAGCAUGCUUCUGCAUCACACCUAACACAUCUCGAUCCACAAUGUACUUGCCUCGAGCUUCUUCAUAGAGAUCGGCCCUUUCUCCAAAUCUUUCUCGCUGAAUGCGAGUUUGAUACACCACAUCACACUUUGAAGCUACUUCCAUUAAGUCAGCACUUUCUUCCCAUUCAACUCCCUUUGAUGUGAGAUAGUCUUUUAUAUCAUCCUGGGAAACAAAAAAGUUACCCCAUAAAACCUAAAAUUUUUAAGCAAAUUCUCUUCAUUAGUUAAUGGAUGUUCUAAUUGACAAACACUAAAGGUUCUUUUACUGAUGGUAAAGUUCUUUCUUUCUCACCUUCAUUUUGACCACUUCAGGAGAAACAAAGUAGAUCUUCACAUCUUGAUACUUGGCAAGCAAAUAUGCAAGUGACCGGACUGUUCUUCCAUUUGCAAGAUCUCCAACAAGCCCGACUUUGAUUCUAUCCAGUCUUCCUAUCUCUCUUUCAAUAGUAUAUACAUCCAAAAGAGCCUAUCUUGUUAUAAAAAGAGGAGUGAAUGUUAGAGGUUAAAAGAUUUGUAAAAUUCAUUACCACCAAAUGGAAAUUACAAAACAUGCACAAAUCUUCACACUGGCAAACAAUUAUAAUUACAAAUAACCCUAAUAAGAAUUGAAGAUUCGCUCUUAAAUAUAUCUUGUCCCAAUACACAUGAAUAACCUUGGCUGAUACACUCAAUAUCCCACAUCUAUGCUUGGAGUAGGUCAUGAAUAUCAUAUGAGAUCAUAAUGCUGCCAGUUUCCUAAUUCCCAGCAGCAAAAGUAUAUAAUUAACAAAAAAACAAGGACAACUUUCCCUUUUCAGGGUCUUUAGAUCAAAUUCUUUAUCAUUACGUCAUCAGGAUAUAGUGCCCUAAGAAGGUUUUGCCAUAGUUACAUAAAUUCCCAUUCUGAGGCCAAAUAAAUUGGAGAGCCUGCGGCAUAAUGGUCAUGAAUCAUGUCAUACCAGCAACAUGACCAAAUUACUCACUUGGAAAACUCCAACACAACAACCUACAGAUUCUUAGGCAUCUAACAUUAACUUCAUGAAUUAAGCUCUGUAAAUCAAAGAAAAAGAUAAUUACAAGGUUCUUUGAACAAGCAUAUAUCCCUAGUUUGUGGACCUAAACAAAGUCAAAGGCUCAAGUAACUUCUUAAAUCAGUCAACUAAAAUAGCAAAACAUAAUCUAGUUAGAAACUAGUUUACUGGACUUGUACAAGUUAUGACAAGAAACACUUCGAAAAUUUCCAUAUUAUCACAUUAAUGAAUUAUGCACACACCUGGGUUGGAUGCUGUCCAGGACCAUCCCCUGCAUUAAUGAUAGGAAUCUCAGCUGUGACUGCGGCUCUUCUGGCAGCACCACUUUCAAAGUGCCUCAUUACAAUUAUGUCUGAGUAUCCUUCAACAGUUCUUAUAGUAUCUGCACAUCAACUUCCAAUGAAAACCAUAUUGCAGGAUUACCACCUUGUAAAACCCAGAAAUAAAUGAAAAGAAGUACCUUCAAGUGUCUCUCCUUUUGCUGCUGAUGAGAAUUCCCGUGCAUUUUCUGUUGUUAAAACUUCCCCACCCAACCUUUUCAUGGCAGACUCAAAAGAGAGCCUAGUUCUAGUAGAUGGCUCAUAGAAAAGUGUAGCCAUUAGAUAACCCUUAAGAAUUUGGCUCCCAGGUGAUUUCUUCUCAACCUUCUCCAUCUCACGUGCCACUUCAAAUAUGGCACUGAGAGUCUCUCUAUCAAAUUGUUGAGCUUCAAUAACAUCAUCCAGUUGGAACUUAUUGCCCACUGAAAAAGGUGUAUUUUCAAUGUCCAAUGCACAGGAUAAGACUCUAUUCCUUUGUGGAAGUCUUGCAGUUUGUUCCCAUUGUAAUGGUUUCUCAUUAGUGAAAAACCUUGAAUGCUUUAGGUCAGUGGAUAAAGGCAUCAAUUUAGAAUGAAGAGGUUGUUUAGAGUACAAACUUGAAUGAUUGUCCACGAACUCUUUAGGGCAAUUUGGCACCCUAGGAGUGCAUGUGCUAUGCAAAGCAGACAUACUAAAAGAUGGUGAAGAAGCCAUUGCAAUGGAGAGUGAUUUAGACCCCCUGCAAGAUAAUAUUAAUAUUUAAAAAAACUUUGAAUGCAUGAUUAUACAAAGCCUCAAUUCAAUAUUAAGGAACUACAACUCAAUAUAUUAAAUCAGUCCUGUUAAGCACAAAUUCAAGGUCCUACUUUAAAUACCCACAAUUUUGAUAAUAAUCAAAGUAAGGAUGGUAAAAUCCCAGUCAGCAAAUUGAUUCUAAAUUUAAGUAGUUACUCAAAACGCACCAAUCUUCCAAAUUACUAGUUCCUGACAACAUGCAAAAUCAGCAAUUAUCUCUACCACAGAUAUCCAAUGAAAGUGUUAACACAUUUACUUUAUAAUUCUAAAGCUGGUGGUACAUAGAAAUAUCAGUUGUGAGAAACAAGGUAAGUUAACUAAAGGCAUAAACCUAAUCAAUCUGGAGAAUAUGCCAAAAUCUCGCAAUAUAUUACUUGAUUUCUACAAGAAAACAACCUAUGGACGGAAAAAGAAUGACUUGUUUUAAAAAACUAGCUACUGAAGAACCACCAAAUGCAACCACAAUAACCACAUUUCACAGAGACAAUGUUCAUUCACGGCCCAAAAUUCAGGCAAAUUCAAAAGCAGCACCAGAACCAGCUGCUUCUGAAAUUCCAUCGCCGUUCAUUAUUAAAUGAAUCCGAAGGGAACUCUGCAACCUCCACAUCCUCAUCAGUGGCUUUUCCAGUGUUCGAUUUCUGACAUUAUUUGAAAACUCAAUCAUUCAAAUUUCAGCGCCAAACACAUUCAAAUUCGAUUCGUUACGUUCAAUAGCAGAAUCUCAAAUCGAUCAAAAAGGAAAACUACUCCUCUACAAUCUCAUGAAACCCUAGAAACAUAAAGUUCAACACAGAGCUUCAGAAGGAAGAGAGGACCGAAUCUAACAAAACCGAACCUUUAAAAAGAGAAAAAAAAAAGAAUGCUUGUGAUGGAAUCAAAAUAGAAGAAAGAGGGAUGAACGACGAACCAGAGAGAGAUGCGUAAGAGCAAAGCAGAAGAUUACAGAGCGCAGCGCCGUUAACCAGAGAGAAGAACCGAGAUUCCGAGAAAGCUGUGCUGUGCUUCGGUUUGUGUGAAUCGUGAAUCCCGGGAUUUUGAAACGGUGUCGUUUGUUUGUGGGUGCCCGUGGAAUAAAUAUAUUGUGACACUUCAAGGAUAAUGAUGACCAAUUGGUGGGGAAAAUUGAAAUAGAAUCUUAAUGAUGGUCGUUGGCUCAGUGGCCGUUUUAAAGUAUGGGGCAUCGUCCCCACAACAUAAAAAUAAAAACUAAUAUGCCAAAAGGAUAUUUUUAUUUGAUAGGAUUUUUAUAUUUAAUUUUUUUAUUAAAAAAAAAAAAACUUGAGUGAAUCCGGAGACAUGCACUAAUAUUUUUUGAAAAAAAUAAAGAUAAAAAUAAAAUGAUAGAAAAUAAGGAUUUUAUGCUCAAAAUUAAGAUAUAUAAUUAAAAUAAAAAUAGAAAAACAAAAUCAUAAAAAUAAAUUAAAUUGAUAAAAAUUAUUGGUUCCUAGUAACAACCAUGAGUGCCUCUAUAUAUAUAUAUAUAUAUAUAUAUAUAUAUAUAUAUAUAUAUUAUUUCCUCUUAUUAUAUUUUUAGCAUAAAUAUAUAGCUUUAUUUUCCUUCACUAUUUUUUCUUUUAGGCUAUGUUUGGUUACCAAAAAAUUUUAAAAAAAAUAUGAAAAAAAAUAUAGAAGAAAAGUAGAAGGAAAAAAAUAGUUUAAAUUUAAUAAAUUUUUAUACGUUUACUUAUUUCUCUCUGCUAUUGUAAGAUUAAAUAAUUUAAAUAUAUAUAAAAAUUUUAAUUAAUUUUAAUUAUAUUUUUUAUAAUGAAACCAAAUAUGAAAAACCAAUUUUCCUUAACAUUUUAUUUCUUUCUUUAAUAUUUUCCAAAGCCAAACAUAACUUUAAAUGCAAUUGAAAAUUGUAUUUUUUUUAAUUGCUUUUAUAACUUCUAAAUCUUUUCCAUUCAUAUGUAUAUAUAUAUAUAUAUAUAUAUAUAUAUAUAUAUAUAUAUAUAUAUAUAUAUAUAUAUAUAUAUUUCAAGAUAUUAUAGGCUAUAUUAUCUCAUUCUGUUUAUAUCACUUAUACAUGAGAUAUGUUAAUCAUAAUUUAAAAUAUAGGAUAUACAUAUCUCAUAUAUAAAAAAUUUAUUUAUUUUUUAAUCAAUAUUUUUUAUAUAAAUUAUUUUGUAAAAUAGUUUUUUUAUGAUAUAAUUAAAUGAAUGGUUAAAAAAAAAAAANNNNNNNNNNNNNNNNNNNNNNNNNNNNNNNNNNNNNNNNNNNNNNNNNNNNNNNNNNNNNNNNNNNNNNNNNNNNNNNNNNNNNNNNNNNNNNNNNNNNUAAAUGUAUGGUUAAAAAGAAGAACUAAAAAAUUUAUAAAAUAUAUUAUAAAAUAAUAUGAAUAUAUGUAUUAUUUAAUAUAUAAAUUAUUUUUAUAUAUUGAAUAACAUAAUAUAAAAAAUAUUUAUAAAGUUUAAAUAUUUUAAUCAUGAAUAUUGUUAAAUGUAAGAGAAAUUUUAUAUUUUUAAAAAAUAGAAAAUAUUGAAAUGCAAUAUAAUUUUUAUUUUAAAAUUUGAAAAAUAAUAUAUAUUUGUGGACCCCGCAUUUCACUCGUUCAACUUGAUUUUUAUUAUUUAUUUGAUAAAAAAAAUAUGAUUUUUAGAAAAGACUAAGAGUUGCCAUUUAUUUUUGUUUUAUUUUUUAAGGGAAAAUAAAAUAAGAAAGGAAACACUAAGUGUGACUCUUUAUUUGGAAAAGACGGUCCGCGAAAAACCAAAUUUGGAUUCAGGAGUUUACUUAUUAGGAAGGUACGGUUAACAACUCUCUAAGCCCCAAAAAAAUGAAUAUUUACUAAGUAAAGUGAAACAAAUAUGACAAUGGAUGAGGAAAUCAAUAGAUACCAAUGAAAUAGUUGAAUAAUAAAGUGAAUCAGCAUCAAAAUAAAUAAAGUGGAAACAAGGUCAUACCUUAACAACAAAUAAUAAUGCGCUAUCAUGGAAACAAUACAAAAUAUAUCACAUGUGUAUCAAGGAUCAGGACAAAAAUCAAACAAUAUUCUUUAAGCAUAGCAAUUGACAAUCAGAAGAGAAAACUCAUAUGUGGGACCCCCACCAAAAACCCAAUUUAUCCUGCAUGAAUUAGUCUCACAAAUUCAAUUAUUUUGGAAUUAUCAAAAAUUCAUUUUUACUUAUUUAAAAUCAAGAGAAACAGAAAAAUCAUUUUAAAAUCAAAGAAAAAUAUAUGAAGAUGUUUGCCUGAAAGAAAAAGGCAACAAGUUUAUUCAAAACAGGAUUUUUAGUGACCCUGAAUCUUAAAGAAAGAUGAAAAGUGGUAGAAUUAAAGAAAUAUUUGAAAGCUGAAGUGAAAUUAAAAUUAUUUGAAAGAAAACUAAAGUUUUAAAAUUUAUUCAAAAAUUGAAAGCUCGAAAAUUAAUUGAAAAUUGACAUUUUGAAAAUUAAAUUCAAGAAUUGAAAUUUUGGGAAUUAAAUUUGAAAGAAAUUGGAAUUUUGAAAAUUAAUUGAGAGUUAGAGUUUUGAAAAUUAAAUUAUGAAAAUUGGAAUCUUAGAAAUUAUUUGAAGAUGAAAUUUUAAAAAUAAAUAAUAAUAAUAAUAAUAAUAAUAAUAAACAAAUGUGAAAAUUGGAAUUUUGGAAAUUGGAAAUUAAAUUUGGAAAUCGGAAUUUUGAAAAUCAUUUGAGAAUUGGAGUUUUGAAAAUUAAAUUAUGAAUUGGAGUUUUGGAAAUUAAAUUUGAAAGAAAUUGGAGUUUUGAAAAUUAAUUGAGAAUUGGAGUUUUGAAGAUUGAAUUAUGAAAAUUAGAAUCAUGAAAAUUAUUUGAAGAUGAAAUUUAAAAUAAUAAUAAUAAUAAUAACAAUAACAAUAAUAAUAAACAAAUAUAAAAAUUGGAAUUUUGGAAAUUGGAAAUUAAAUUUGGAUAUUAGAAAUUUGAAGAAUUAUUUAAAGAUAAAAUUUUAAAAAUAAAUAAAUAAAUGAAAUAAUAAUGAAAAUAAUAAUGAUUAAAUAAAUAAAUAUGAAAAUUGGAAAUUAAAUUUGGAAAUUGGAAUUUUUGAAGAAUUAUUUAAAGAUGUAAUUUUUAAAAAUAAAUAAAUAAAUAGAAUAAUAAUAAUAACGAAAAUAAUAAUAAUUAAAUAAAUAAAUGUGAAAAUUGGAAUUUUGGAAAUUGAGAAUUAAAUUUGGAAAUCGGAAAUUUGAAAAAUUAUUUAAAAAUGGAAUUUUAAAAAUAAAAAAAUAAAAAGUAAAAAUAAUAAUAACGAAAAUAAUAAUGAUUAAAUAAAUAAAUGUGAAAAUUAGAAUUUUGGAAAUUGGAAAUUAAAUUUGGAAAUAGGAAUUUAAAAAAAUAAAUAAAUAGAAUAAUAAUAAUAAAGAAAAUAAUAAUUAUUAAAUAAAUAAAUGUGAAAAUUGGAAAUUAAAUUUGGAAAUCGAAUUUUGAAGAAUUAUUUAAAGAUGGAAUUUUAAAGAUUAAAUUUGGAAAUUGGAAUUUUUGAAAAAUUUAUUGGAAGAUGACAUUUUAAAAAUUAAAUUUGGAAAUUAAAAUUUUUUGAGAAUUUUUGGAAAAUUUAUUAGAAGAUGGCAUUUUAAAAAUUAAAUUUGGAAAUUUGGAAUUUUUGGAAAAUUUAUUUGAAGAUGACAUUUUAAAGAUUAAAUUUGAACUUUUGGAAUUUUAGAAAAUUUAUUUGAAGAAGGCAUUUUAAAGAUUAAAUUUGAACUUUUGGAACUUAGAAAAUUUUGGAAAUUUUUGAGAAUGGUAGUUUUGGAAAAUUAUUCGAAAAAUGGAAUUUUAAAAAAUUAAAUUUAAAAAUUAGAAUUUUGAAAAAUUGUUUCGAGAAUGAAAUUUUGGAAAUUUUAAAAAUUGGAGCUUUGGAAAAUUAUUUGAAAAUUGAGGUGAAAAUAAGAUUAUUUGAAAACCUGAAAUUUUGAAAAUUAUUUUUAGAAAAUAAUUUGUCAAAAUGUGUGAGCAUAAAGGAUAAAAAAAGAAUAUGGGCAUGUUUGAGAUUGCAUGGCAAAAGUGGCCAUGCAUGAGUGGGGCCCGAGGUGCAAGCAAAUCGGGUAUGGCUGAUUGGAUUGAUGGUAGGUUGGCUGCUGCUGAUGCACCUAUGGUUGAUUUGGCACUAUUGGAAUUGCAGAAUUCCAAGUUUCCUCCUAACCACUAAUUCCCACUUUUUACGAGAUGAAAGACAAACACAUACCACAUACCAUCUAAAUGCUCCUUCCACCUCAUCACCCACAAAAUCAUCACUCAACACAAAAUAGCCUUGAUCCCACCAUGUUUCAUCUCAUUCUUCUCAAAAAAAAAAAAAAAAAAAAAAAACUGGGUGCUUUUUUUUUUUAAAAAAAAAAAAAAAAACCAAAACUCACUCUAUUGGAAAAGAAACCAAGCCUUCAUUUGAUUUGAAGCCUGAACUCCCCCUCCGUCUUGUCCAAUAGAGUCACAAAGAUUGGCAGGUUCGUGAGCCGGGUCGGGAUCACAAACUGUUGAUAGUCCGCACAUACAUGGACGUCCGAGAACUGGGAGGGGGGUGCGUCGGAUCGACCUGGUGGUGCAGUCGAAAUCGGAGUCGGAGAAGGAUUGUGUGGACCGCGGUCUUGAGACUCACACUCAUGGUCUUCAGUCGCUGCAUUACCUGUUUCAGACGUAUGGUUUGGCGGAUCUUUUCGACUCCCUUAACGGUAGAAGCCAUUAGAGAAGUUGCAAGUAGAGCUCUUUGGAAGGCGAAAAAACCCACAAGGGAGGGGUGAUUCUGAUUUUGAACUUUCAGAGUGCUUGGAGAAUAUUGUUAAUAUGACCAGAUUCGAAUAAGAGUUGGUCAUGCAUAUGGAUUAGCAACAAAACGAACUAGUGAUCACAAGGAUCAAGGCUAAAGCUGCAUUAUUUCUACCAUGAAUGCUUAUAUACAGAUCUAGGAAACCUUUUUCUCACCACCCAAGCAAAAAACAAAAAAUAGAGACAUGAUUUUCAAGCAUCCAACAACAAACACAACUCUACAUCCACAUUCAUUCUCAAAUUUUUGCUUAAAGGAAUUAGAUGAGCAAGGCAAUAUCAAGUUCAAUGAUAUAACAAAAUGAAAUGCAACCUCUAAUGCCCCGUUAAAGCAUCAAAUAAACCUUGAAAUUAGCAGGAAAGAAGUAAGGACAGUAGGGAGUGAAUACCCAUACCUGUAAAACCUCCCCUUCAAGGACUGAUAUGCUUGGCUCUUUGCUCUCUUAUCAUUGCUAAUCUAAUAAAUCCCUUUUUCCUCUCUGCUCGUUCCUAGCUAGGUUUUCUUACUCUAAAACGUUCUCUCUUUUUCAAGUUGUCUCCAAUUUUUUCUCCAAAGCCCUCUUCAACCUCUCUUGCUCUCUUUUAAGUUUUUCGCUCAUUCCCUGUUUCUUCCUUCUCUCGCAAGCCGCUUCCCACUCCACUGCUCCAGCCGUCAUCCUCUGAAACUUCAACUACCACCAUGGCGAGGUGGUCACGUCCAAGGUUACACGUCUCAUGCAUGAAGCUUCAUGGAAGUCGGUCCCCCACUCGUCCAAGGUGCUCCUAGCUCCUUCUGGUGGUAAGAAAAUAUCCCUCUAAUACUAUUCAUAAAAGCUGAGAAAACAAAGGCUAUGUUUAGUUAAGAAAAACACCCAAAAGGGGAGGGGGGGAUGAAUUGAGUUUUUAAAAUCUUUUCAAUCACAACAAAAUUAAACAAAAUAUAAGCAAAGUAAAUAGAUAGAGUUGAGAGAAUUCAAACUCGGGUUUAUAGUGGUUCGACACUUCCUUGCCUACGUCCACUCUCCUCAACCUCCUAACCGAGUGAGGGUUCCACUAACUUGAAAUUUCAACCAAGCUUCCAAUCUUCUUACACUUGGAUUCCGGCUUCAAUGGGCUUUUACACAACUUCUUCAAGAUUCAACCCUCUUAAAGGCUUUAACACUCAGAUUGUUACAAAAUAUACUCACUCAACCUAGCUUAAAGAUGGCUCAAAUACAAGGCAAAGCUAGGAUGACAACAAGAGUGCACUAAAGGAUAUGCAAGUGGUGAUUUAAUGCACUUAUGAAAGAAAUGAGAGCUUUUUGAUCAAGAACAGGUAAGUGGGCUUUGAAUGCAAGUGUUCUCUUAUCAAUAAAUGAAGUGGAGCUCUCAAUUUAUAGGUUUCUAAGCUCGGGAGUCAAAAUCAGCAAAAAGAAACCUCGUCCGGUCAAGCUAAGGGUCGACCGGUUCACUAGCCGUUGGAACAUUUAAUGCAUAACAGGUUAUCGUUGCCUCAACCGGACCUCGACCGGUCCUCGAAUGGGAAGAGAAGGCUAGUGGGAAAGAGAGAAGGUUUUUAACCUUCCUCGACCGGACGACCUCAACCGGUCGAUUGGUUCCUCAGCCGGUUGAUCGGUUCCUCAAUCGGUCGAGCCUUUUUGGCCCCGAAAAACCUAUUUUUUUUUAUUCCUUUCUUUUCUAACACUUAGGCAAGGUCUUUAGGUAAAUUAUUAAGCCAAUUUUGAAACAUUUUGCCUAAGGUAAAUUAGUUAAAAACUCGAGUUUUAAUGAAGUUGACAUUUUAAAGAAUAAACCGAGUUUUCUAAGAUACAUGAAAACAUAUGAAAAUCCUAAGUGCACUCAUGCAUUCAUCUUACAUUAGUUUCCUAUGAUCUCAAGUCUUUCAAGCGUCUCGAUCUUAUAUCCAUUUGGUCAUUUGAUGAAUUUUCGAGUUUAUUCCUGAGAUUCUUAAACAUUAAACCAAUUAGUUACUUAACCAUGGUUUGUUAUCAUCAAAACCUGAUUAGGAGAACCCUUGAGCUAACAAAAGCAAUAAAAAAACUAAUAGCACUUGGUUUGCAAAAGGGGUCUACAAUAUUAUGUUGUAUUCUUUUUACAAACUAAAUAUAAAUAUAAUAUAAUAUAUCUUAUUGAAUAUUUUAUUUUAAGAUAUUAUGCCUAUUGAAUAUAUCAAAUGAUAUCAUUUCCCACCGAAUAUCAUGUUCUAGGAUAUACAUUUCUCAUCUAAUUAGAUAUAAUAUUUUAGGUUAUACAUAUCCCAUCCUACUAACUAAAUGUAGGCUAAGGUUUAUAUAUAUCCAUUAACAGAUAUUUCUAAAUAUUUUACUGUCUUUCCUUAUAUUUCAUUGAUAUUUCACCAAUUUUUCAAAAAAUUUUAUAUAUUUUUUAUUAUUAAAUAAAUGAUUUAUUACACUUUACCCUAUAACUUAUUGCGUGUUUUGCACAUUGCUCAUUCGCCUUUAAAAUUGAGCAAUGUACCCUUCAUGCUUUAUAAUUGCAUGCAAUGUUCCUUUUUGGAGUGAUGGUGUUACCUUAAUUAGACAAAAGGUGCAUGUGCUAUUCAUGUGACCUAUUUAAAUGAUGACCAAAUGCUGUUCAGGUAAAACAACUUGCUUGGUUACGUUUUUUUUUUUUUUUUUGUGAAUUUGUCUAUUUUUUAGACACUGCAAAUGUGUUUGGUUGCCGAGAAAAUGUGAUUUCUGGAAAAUGAAUGAAGGAAAAAGAAUGAGGGUUGUUAGGGUUUUGGGGUUUUAGGUAAAACAACUUGUUUGAUUAUUAUUAUUAUUACUAUUAUUUGUAAAUUUGUCUAUUUUUUUAGACAUUGCAAAUGUGUUUGAUUGUUAUAGUUUCUGGAAAAUGAACGUAGGAAGAAGGAGGGUUGUUAGGGUUUUGGGGUUUUAAAAUGAAAUGACUUUUUUUCCCUCACUUAUUAAAAAUGACCAUUUUGCCCUCAAUCACUUUGAAAGCACAUGUCAUUCUGUCAAAAAAUUUAACGUCGUAAUUCGGAAAAUGCACAUUGUAUGCAAUUAUAAAGCUUGGAAGACACAUUGCUCUAUUUUGAACUCAAGGGAGCAAUGUGCAAAACACGAUAUAGGUUGAGGGGUAAAGUGUAAUAAAUCCUUAAAUAAAUUAAUUUUAAUUUUUUUUUACAUAUGAUUUAAUUUAUUACUAAAAAUAUAAAAAACAUCAUUUUCUUAACAUAUGUUUUUUUUAUAUAAUCUAUAUAUUUAUUAAACAUAAAAAAUAUAAAUAUUAAAAAAAUUAUACAUAUAUUAUUAAUUAUUUGAUAUCAUUGAAUACAUUUAAAUUAAAAUUGAUCAUAAUUUUUAAUAUUAAAUAUAUUUUAAAAUUAGACAUGUUAUCAUGAUAUUAAUAUUUUAGUAAAAUAAUAUAUAUGUAACUUAAUAAUAAAUAUAUAUUUAUAAAAUUUAUAUUUUUUUUAUCAAUGUAGAAGAUACUAUUAUCAAAUAUGGCAAAUUAUAUAUAUAUAUAUAUAUAUAUAUAUAUAUAUAUAUAUAUAUCAAUUUUUUUUUUAAAAAAAUAACUUUAAAAUACAUAUUUUUACUUCUUAUAUAAUUUAUAGAGUUUUUUCUUAAUAUUUUUAAAAUUUUUAUUAAUUUUUAAUAUUUUAUAUCAAAAUAUCAGCUAAUAUAUCUUAUAUUUUCAUAAAAUCCAAGUAUAGAUAUAUCCUUGAUUAUCGAUAUUUUCAUCCUCAAAAUUACAUAUUUCAAAUAAAAAAUAUUAAAAUAAAAAAAUAAGUAUACAUUCGUUUAAUUUAAUUUGAUUUAAUUUAUAUUUGAAAAUAGUGAACACAAACAUAAAAGAAUUCAAUAAUUUUAAUUUUAAAUGUUAUGAUUAGAUGCAUAAAAAAUAAUUCUUAUUCGGGUCUAAUUACAUAUUUAAAAGACAUCUAUCAAAAAAUGUGCUUAAUUAUAUAUUUAGGUUUUAUUAUUAUUUUUUAAUUUAUUUUGUAAUUAGUCCCCAUCUUUAUACUUAUACAUGACUCUUUAGAUUUUUUCUUAUUCUUUUGGACAGAGGAGAUUGGGAAUCCAUGGCAACCAUCGGGUGGCUUAACUUUUUUCUUUUUAUUUUGAUAAUGAUCAUUAAAAUGAUAAAUAUAUAUCCAUGGCUGAGGUGGAAUUAAAUGUUGACAGGGGAAGGCUGCGGAAGUGGUGCAAUGUGCUAGUCAAGGGGGAAAAAAAAAAAGAAUGGAUAAAUGAAGCUACACAAGAAUAUUUGCAUGGAUAGGAUGAGGUGGCAAGUUAUUCGAGCUCCACUGAGGCAGAGUGAAAUGCUGUUAUGCUGGCAUGAUCAAACACCUGUACUGCACAAUCACUACCCUCUUUGCCUUUCCACCCUGUCGUUGUUAUCAUUUGACACCCUGUCUUUAAUCUUAUGACCUUUUCUUCUCUGGAUCUCUAUCCAUUCUCUGCCAUGGGUGCCCCUCUUCUCCUUCUCCUCAGCACCUCCUCAAGGCAGUCACUCAUCAAGCCUUUAUCAGCAUAUCUCCACAUACCCAUCAAGGUUCCUCAUAUAAAACCUCUGUUUUGUUUUUUUUUUUUUUUUUUUCAUUUUUUAUUUGAAUUUGUAUUUUUUUAAUUAUUUUUUAUAUAGAGUUAUUGGUAAUAUUGUAAUAAUUCUAGCAGAGACCAAGUUUUGGCUGCUCUCUAUUAUUGUACUGACAAUGCAUGGCUUGUUGUUGGGUUUAGUUGAGGCCUUUCUUUUAAGUACUGAUCAGGAAUUAACAGUACAGCAAGCAAAAGCUCCCAAGUAGUGGGUGAUAAUUCAUUGGGAUUUUGUGAAGAGUUCAAAUAUUAGAAAGAGGCAUUAUUAAGAUGGGUGGUAAAAUCUUUGAUUUAUUGUUCAUCUAGUAGAUGAUUGAACGGGUCUUUCUCAGUUUUGAAAUUUUGAAGUCAUGGGUCAUUAGCUAAAAAUCUGACAAAAUUCCCAACUUUUUCUGCUUAAGUUGAGGAAGAGGAAGUUGUUAUUCAGUCAUGUGUUGAGUUUAUGUUGUUUCAGAGAUAUAGCCGAUCAAGCAGUAGUGAGCAUGGAUUAGGGGAGAGAGCACCUUCAACAGCUGAAGAGUUCCAAAGAGUGGCUGCAGAAAAGAGGGAGCUUCAGAGAUUGGUGGAGGAAAAGGCCCGCAAAGGGGUUGUCAGCCAGAUAUCGGACAAAGCGCUGGAGGCUGCACAAGUGGCGGUUUUGGAGGACUCUAACCUUGAAACUGUGAAGGAGAAUGACCCUUCAGGUGGACAGGACCCCAAAAGGAAGGGUGAUUAGAAGGCCUUAAUGCCAAUGUACUCUUAAUAUAUGCCUUGGUUUUUUCAAGAGCUUGUGCCUAAAACCCAGAGUGUUGUGAUGAUAAAUAAGAACAGAGUUUUAUAUGUACAUUUGGGGACUAACAAAUUCUCCAGAACAGCUGAAAUGGUGAAGACUUUUCAUUAUGUUUGUUUUUUAUUUUUAUAUUUUCCCACCUCACUUUCUUGGGAAAGUAGUAAGACCCUAAAGUCUUACAUGGGUAUGAUGCUCUUGGAGGCAGGCAAGACAAAGGCCGGAGUCAGCUGAAGGAAGAAGACGUGAUGCCCCCUUCAUGUCCGCAUAAACAAGACAAAAGUAUUGUGACAAAUUAACCCAUUUUAAUAAAAGAGGCAGGCAGUAUGGAAAUAGGAGGAUUUGAAGCGUGGGUGUGAUGAUGGUACAUGCACGCGCAGGGCACCUGCGAGUGACAAAGCAAAUGAAAUAAAGGCCAUGUCUCUCGAUACCAACAGUGUGGGAUAUGUAUGAGCGUAUUAAAGCCAAAUCUUGAAUUUUUUUAUGCGCAAUGGAGAAAAAAGAGCAUUAAAUCCUGCACAAUUGUCGUUAGGAAAUGUGAUAGAUGAGGCAGAACUGUAGCCGUUGACAGGUCAAGUAAAUGGGCGGGAGAACGUGGAUGAUGCAUUGGGGAGGCUUGGCAGUUUGCGUGGGAUGCCUCCGCAAUUAAAGCAAAUCUGUAACUACCACUACCACUGCCACUGUAAGCUCCACACUCUCCUUCAUUCCGGGCAUCUCUCCUCAACUUUUUGUUGGUUUGUCUUCCAACUUUGUGUAAGUUCGUUAAGUUUAAUGUAAAAACUUUGACUUGCAAAUGUUUUAAACGUCUAACUUGUGACCCUCAAAAUCAUUCCCACUUAUAGUAAAUUAUAGAUCGAGAAACAUAUCAAACAUGUGAAAACAAAGUUUACAGAUAAACCCUAAUUUGAUUAGGGUUUUGAUCAAUGGGCUUCCACUAUAACCAAUCCAUUGAGAUCAAAAAAAAUUUCCCUAUCACUUCCUACCUACCACGAAGAGAUUAAAGAUGGAUUAGAAGAGAAUUCAGUACUUUCUAAUCCAAAUAACUUAGCGAAUACCCCGACAAGUGGCGCCGUAUUAUACGUGCAAGCCUCGGUUUGCACGUAAUUUCCCCUGUCGUCCCUAAACCGAUCGUUGACAUCGGGCCCACCUACAAGGGCUCCGACUAGUACAUGUGGGUUAGGAUGGGGUCGGGCGUACCAGCCAUCGUACCCCUGGGUGCACCCGAUAAAACCCUUGUCGUGCUUGUAUGAUUCGGUAGAUGAACCUCUGUGGUGCACCUUUGUCGGGUACUUUGGGCCAUAGCCCACCAGGUAGCUCAUGGCCAUAGGAUUGGCGCCCAAAAUGUAGUCGACUUGAGAUUUAGCGAAGGAGAGGAUCUCCUCUGGGCCCACCAAUUCUCCGUGGCAGUUGAGUUGUUGAUUUGCUUCCCGGAGAUGAUCGGAGUAGACUGUGAGCAAAAAUGCAGCAUUUGAUACGUAUUGCAUGUUGUUCCAUUGGCGGGUGUAGAGCAGGCCUCCUGGGGUGCGAUCCACGUUGCUCCCAUUGUUCUUGUGGAGGCAGGCGCAGAGAUAGUGCUGUGCCUUGGAGAGGUACUGCUCUAGCGUGGGCUUGUGCACCUUGUUUUUCUCCUCCCUCAGCAGCUACACAACCAAACAAUAAGUAAUUCAACGUUUCCAUCUCAACCGUUGUGAUAGAGAGCUCAUUUCACAAUGAAUUUUACAAACAUUUCUAAUUUUUUUGCACAGCCAAACAGACUCUUAAUUGAUUAUUUAAGUUAAGGUUAACUAUCAUCACUUAGGUAACGAAGAUUUACCAUGGAAGCAAUGAUUUGAAGCCCAGCAUAUUUAACAUCCCAGCUGAAUUCAGAAAUGGCCCAGGUGAUCCCACCAAAAGAGAGGGCAUUUUGAAGCACAUAAUUUAAGUAAGACUGAUUGUCGGUGGCUCUGUAUAGCCACAAAGCGGCCCACAGCAAUUCAUCCUGGUACCCACUCACCGAUGGAUAGUAGCUACUCACCACUCCUACGCUUUUGUCAUAUUUUCCUCUGUACUUGUCUCCAAACUCAAACAACUGCAUACAAAAUUCCCAAAAAAAUUCAAAAAAAAAAAGAAGAAAAAGAAUCACUCCAUAUAGGAACAAAGAGAUACAUCACACAAUAUUCCAUUUUUAAAACAAGUUAAUUAAAAUAAUAUCAUUAGAAAAUCAAAUUUUAGGGGGAAUAAUAAAGCUAAAUAAUACAACCAAUUAUGCUGAUCACAAGAAUAGACACAUAUCUUGGCUUUAUAUAUGUCGUCUAGCAUUUACUAAAAAAAAAAAAUCUCAUUUUUCACUUGCCAUACGAUCAUUGAAGACUGAAGGCUAAUUCAGUUAGAUACCUGCUGAGCAUGGUGUAGUAGGAGUUGAGAGUAGUGUGGGUUUGUUUUUCUGAACACAAUAGAAGCAGCCGCCAUAGCUGCUGCCGUCUCUCCGGCCACCUCCGAACCCGGGUUUGUCUCGUCGAUCUUGUAAGCUUGCCGCGAUGUAGUCAUGUCCUCCGGCCGUUGCCAGCAAUAGUGAUCGGUGUCGCCGUCCCCCACCUGAAAUUUGUCACCAAAAAGUCAUAAUUGCAGUUUUUUUGAAUGGUAAGCACAUUUUCAAAUUCAAAUUAAUUUCCAAAAGAACUCUCGAAAUCGCAGGAAGUAAUUUUUUUUUGAAGUAAAAAAUAAAAGUCAUCCGCAUGUUGAAAGGUGUUCAAUAGAAUGUUACUUUUGUGAAUUAGAAAAGUAACCGCACGCGCUAGAACCGCGUCAGACACCUAUUAUAGUGGACCCACAAGGAAAUCAAAACUGAAUCCAACUGCAAUUAAAGCCAGUUUUCCGGCGAAAUUGGAGACAUUUCCCCAGUCGCAUGAAAGUGAUUGGCGAUAGGGAAACGCCGGCAUUACCUGUACCCACAAGACAUUGGGUUGAGUAUGAGCUUUGAUAAAGUAAUCCGUCCCCCAUUUGAUGGCCUCAAGCGCGUGACCAUACUCGCCGGCGCUGGCCAUAUACUGGCCGUACUCUAUAACACCCCACGACAGCAUCGUGACUGUGAAGGCCAUCGGUAGACCAAACUUAACAUUGUCGCCGGCGUCGUAGUAGCCUCCCACCAAGUCUACCUGCAUUUGCAGAGGAAGAAGACGACGAAACAAUCCCACUUUUUAAACUCAAUACUCUACUCAUAUAUUUCAAAAGAAAAGCCAAUUUAUACGAAUAAAGAUGUGGAAAAUAUGAAGAAAUGGACUAACGCCUUGUUCUAAGCCGUCGGUGAGGCCGGAGUGAUCACGCCAAGUGACUCUCUGGUUGUGGGGUAAGCGACCGGAACGCUGCGUUUCGAAGUAGAGGAGAGAGUUGGAGAGAGCUUGGUGGUAGUCGAAAGAACUAGAGAAGGGGAUGAUGGCGAAGAAGAUUGAGAGCAGAGGAAAGCAAUGUUGGGGAGGGGCGUGUUUCUUCAUCGUCUCCCCAGGGCUUAUUUUUCCCCCGGUUCAUGAGUCUUUAAAUAAGCGUGCAUUGCACGUGAGUGGAAGUAUGACAGUAGGGCCUCGUGUCAUUUCCCUUACGAUUUUAAACCCCGAUGAAUGCAACCGACUAAUUUUUAACUUUGAAUAGCAGCGUAUCCCCGUCAUAAAAUCGGCUACAAUUUUUAUUUAUUUAUUAUGGAAAUCAAAUCUGAUUCAUUUUUUAUAUGGUAUGAUGGCAUCAUGACUUACCUUAAUUCCCAAUUUAUUUUCAUUCCAAUUUUUAAAAUAAAAUUUAAAAUUUAUUAUUAUAAAAAUCAAAUCCUAUUGAGUUAUAUUUUCUUUUAUAGUGGUAUCAUAAUUUACCUUAAUUCCUUAAAUAUUUCUAUUCCAAUUCCCCGCUAGUUCCCAUAAUAUACGAUAAAAAAUGCAAUGAAAAAAACAGAAAAAAAUAAAAAUUAUAUUUAAAAUUUAAAAUUUACUUUUUUAAUUUUUUUUUAUUUUCUUAUUAUUUUCUGAAAAUCAAGACGUAGUAGAAAAUAUCGACAUUUAAACAACACUCUUCCACCAACGGAACAUGAAACUCUAAAUGCGGGCACACAACAUUCAGAUUGCAUAGGCUGGCAGCAUGGAGUGGUAUUUUGAGGAUGUCGGUGGAAAUAUUUGUGGCUACCAUUUUGAGUAAUCUAUGUGCUUGGACUUUUGAGCAUGUAUGGAGAAGAAAAGGAGAGAAAAGGUAAAUCCAUCUACCUGAAUCCAGCAGAGAAACCCAUGCCUCAUUGUGUGUAACAAGUAACAACAGACAAUGGUACAACCAAAUGGGCAAUCACUCCAUGGGAGCCCAUCAGCAACAUACAACACCCACACCAUGCAUGAUAGCAACUAACAAGUUUGAGUUUCAAUUUUUUUAUGCAAUCAUUGGUGGACAUACUGAGGGCAAAUGAAGUGGAAGAUUGGGGACGUAUGAGCAUCUUUCGAACACAUGUUGCUUACCAAGGGAGAUUAUACACUAUGAUUAUUGAUAGAAGUAGUAGUUUCAACUUAUAGCUUAAAAAGAACUUGUUGAGAAGCUUAAUCUAAAGAUGAAGAAACAUUCAAAUUCCUAUCAAAUAGUAUAAGUAAAUGACACAAUUAUUUUUGGUGAGUUAUUAUUGUUCGGUACUAAUUAAUUUUUGUAAUAAUUUUGAGUUAUCAGUAUGAUGUAAUGUUCUGUUAAUGAAAGUUGCCCACAUUGUACUUGGAAGACCAUGACCUUUUGAUGAAAUGAUCCAAUAUGAUGUUUAUGAGAACAUUCAUACACUUGUGCACAAUGGGCAUAAGAAAAGUCUUUAGCCAAAGAAGGAAAUUCCACCACCUAAGCAACUAGUGGAAAAAUUAAGAUUCUUGGAAUCAAAAGAACCAUAAUAUAAUCUCAUUAAGAAGCAAUCCAAAAUUGUUAGGAAGAAGGAAAAAAAAUCAUAAAUGAUGAAUCUAGAAUGCAAACUCAGGUGGAACUAAUCCUAGGACUGCCUAUAAAGGGCGCAAAGAAGUGCGGAAAAGGCCAAUUGAUUCUAGUAACUUAUUUCCUAUGAUGCUAAAAAAGGAAUCAUUGACUAUGAAAUUUAAAGCAUAAUAUUGAUCUAACUCCAAAUUCUUCUUUCCUAAGUUUACCUUGCUACCAUAUACAUUACAAGAAGCACAUGAACUCCAAAAGACAAGUUAAUAAAUUUUGUCUACCCAUGCGAAGUUUAAAGCAUGAUAUUAAUUGAACUCCAAAUUCUUCUUUCCUAAGUUAACUUACCUACCAUAUGCAUUACAAGAAGCCCAUGAACUCUAAAAGACAAGUUAAUAAGUUGUUUACUAAAAACUCUAUUCAAUUAGCUUUUGGGAAGGAUGAAUUACAUAAAAGGUUAGUCAUGACAUUUGAAUUAACCAAUGUACUACUUAAGUAGAUUUAUGCAAGUAUCAACAUGGGUUUUGGUUGUGAAGUUAAGUUUCAUUUGAAGAGACUUUGAAAUCAUCUAUUACAUUAAUGAAAAAGAAACAUAAGUAACACUCGAAAGAUCUCAAUUGAUGGUUGCAUCUAGCAACAAAUUUACAAGGUUAUAUAAAGAGUUCUCAAUACUCCAUUAUCAAUUCACUCCUACAAGUCUUCGAAGGAAGAAACGAAGGAAGACGUUAUUCGGGAUAACACUUAUAUGAUCACUAUAAGCCUAUUAGUUUUUUGAUGGGUUUACCUAGUCUUGCUUCUUUUAGAUUAAGCUUAUAAACCAAAUUGAGGUCACUUAUUUUUUCUACCCAAGGUCAUGUUAUUUCCCUUUUAGAUACAAUAGCAAAAUAUUGUAAAAAGAAAAAAAAAUACAAGCAAAUAUUGGUGAUGGAAUAAAGUUAUUAUUUAUCAUUUUGAUUAAAUGAUAAAUCAAUUUGAUUGACCAUGUUAAUCAAAAUUCAUUGUUAUUGAUAAGAGCAUCUCUAAGUGGAUGUAGCUACUAGGGGGCUCUCUUACUUAUUACUUAAAAAGUUACUGCACUAGCUAAUUUGGUUUCUUUGUGUUUGUGAGGAAGAUCUAUUUAAAGAAAAAAAAAAGGCAUAGGGAAAUUUAUUGCCUAUGGUUGCUAUGUCAAAAUUUAUAAUUAUUUGAUAUGAUACAAUUAACAAAUUGAAGCAUGCACCUACCCUGUUAACAUGGAUCAUGUGCAAGGGGCUAAAUGUUGCUUUAUGAAUUUUGCACUACUAAUUGGGCUUAUAAUAAUAUGUCAUAUCCCAUUAUGAUGUAUGAUGGUAAAAUGUAAAGGGAUCCCUUAAAGUUAAUGGCACUAGUAGGUUUUAGUGUCAGAGAGAGAGAGAGCCCUUAGGAGUAAUUUUUAUUGUUUUGCUUUUAGAUGAGUUUCUUGAAAUUAUGCUUUUUAUUUCCUUGUUAUGUUAUAUAUAUAGUGAAUGUUGAGAGAAGUCUCCUUUCCACCAUAAGGUGGAAGGAUCCAAUUGAUACCGUGGGUGAAAAGAGGGGUCAUCCUCAACAUGCUAAGGUGGGUGAGAAGAGGUCACAUCCUCAUCUUUGUUUAUAAAUUUCAAAACUUUAGUUUUCUUUCAAAUAAUUUUAAUUUCAUUCCAAUUUUCAAAUAUUUCUUUAAUUCCACCACUUUUCAUCUUUCCUUAUGGUUCAAGGUCACCAAAGAUCCUGUUUUUAAUAAACUUGUUGCCUUUUUCUUUAUGGCAAGAACCUUUAUACAUUUUUCUUUGAUUUUAAAAUAUUUUUUUUGUUUCUCUUUAUUUUAAAUAAGCAAGAAUGAAUUUUUCAUAAUUCCAAAAUAAUAGAAUUUGUGAGACUAAUUCAUGCAAGAUAAAUUGGGUUUUGGUCAGGGCCCUACAUAUGAGUUUCCUCUUCUGAUUGUCAAUUGUUAUACUUAAUGAAUAUUACUUGAUCUUCGUCUUGCUUCUUGAUAUGCAAGUGAUAAUUUUAUACUUGAGCUAACCUUGUUUCCAUGAUAACGCACUAUUACUUGCUGCUAAGGUACGAUUUCAAUCCCACUUUGCUUAUUUUUAUGCAUGAUUCGUUUUAUUAUUUGAUCAUUCUAUUGGUAUCCAUUACUUUCCUUAUCAAUUGUCACAUAUGCUUCACCUUAUUUAGUAGAGACCUUAUUAUAGGGCUUAGAAGGGUGUUAUGGUCUUUCACCGUACUUUCCCAAUAAGUAACCUGACCUCAAACUCAAACUCGGUUUUUCACAAACUUGUUUUUCGAGUCACACUUAGGGGGUGUUUGGUACACGGGAAUAGGGAGUGAGAAUAGACAUCUCAUUCCUUUUCUCUCUUAUUCCUAUGUUUGGAUAAAUGUUAAGAAAGCGGAAAUGAAAUAAAAAAUUAUUCCGACAAAAAUCAAAUCCAACUUAUGAGUCGGAUUUGCAUUCAUUAAAAGUAGGUGGUAUUCUGAUUCAUUAAACCUAUUUGAUAAUAUAAAAUAACCUAAAUUACUAUUUUUACCCUCUUAUCUUGUUCUUCAAACCCGAUGUUUAUCUUCUUUGUAAAGGUAGAGAUCCAUUCAUCAUCCACUUCUUAUCUUCUUUGCAAAGCUAGAGACUCACUCAUCAUCCAAUUCUCCGCAACAAGUGAUUCUUCCAAAUUGAAUCAAUUAAACCUUCCACGAUAUUUAAAAAAAAAAUCAAUUUCUAAUUUAUAGGGUUUUGGAUGUUCAUUUUGAUUGUUGGAUCUAGGAUUCGUCAUUGUUUGCUGCAACUAGGUUCUGAAAACUCCCUUCUACAUCUUCGAUCGGGUUUACCUUAUUUUCUCUUUCUUCUUCUACUUCUUUAUAUGUGUUUCUUCUUCUUUAUAAAUCGAUUAAUUUUUUUUUUAUUAAUUUAUGUUUGGAAUCUUUGAUGUUUCUUUAUCUUGUAUUAAUGGAAACUAGAGAGAAAAAUUGAAAUGGUUGGAAAAAGAUUUUUCGAUUUCACGUGUUUACAAUAUUGAAAAUUUUUAAUGGUUAGGAAAAAAAAUAAAAAGAAAAAAACAAACAAAAACAAAACUUUUGGUUUUUUUUCCCCUUUGUUUAUUAUUAUCGGCGUCUUCCUUUCCUAGUUAAAGCUAUGGAUUCUGCCGUCUCGCAGAAAAUCUGCUGCGUUUCCGGCUCAUUUUGGAACUUUAGCAUGGGCCACAAUGAAGAUCUCUUCAUAUCAUUGCUAUUUAACAGUAAACAAACCAUUAAAAUAAUAAUUGAAUAUUUGUGCAUUAGGGUUAUACGAUUUUUUAUGGUUAAUUUUUUAUUUAUUGAGUAUAUAUAUAUUUUUUAGUCUUAUUAUUUAAUAACAAAAAACCUCUCAAAUUUUAUUUAUUUUUUAAAAUAAAAGUAAAAAUAAAAAAAUAUUUUAAAUUAUAUGUAAGGAUGUUAUUGUAAAUUUAUUUCUUUUUCAUUUCCAUUCCUAUUAUUAUCAAACAUUGGAAUGGAAACAAAUAAUCAUUCCAAUCUUGCAUUCCUAAGUUCAUCCAAAUGCUAGAAAUGGAAUUAUCAAAUUCAUUCCAUUUCACUAAAAAAUAGGAAAGGAAACAAAAUAUUAUUUUCAUUCCCUAUUCCGACGUACCAAACACCCCCUUAGGGUUUUUCUUUCUUAUUUUUUUUCCCUUAAAAAAAUAAAACAAAAAUAAGUGGCGACUCCAAUUAUUUUUCAAAAAAUCAAAAUUUUCACUAAACAAAUAAAAAAGCGAGUUUCGCUAUCAAGUGGGAACGCAUCGUGUUAAAAUAUGGGGUCCACACAAUCCAAUCAAGAUUUUAUGCUUGGGUUAUGUGUCCAUUUAAAACCAUACUCUCUCAAAGCUAGAUCAUGCCACAGGCUUUAAGAAAAAUAUUAAUCUUGAUUAAUAAAAAAAUAAUUAAUUAAUUUAUUUUGUUCACAAUAAUUUAAGUAGGGAAAAGGGCAUUUGUUUUUAUAACUUUUUACUGAAAAUAAUUUACUUUCAGAUUUUUAAUUUUUUGUUUUCCUAUUUUUUCAUGAUUUAUUAUAAAUUUUUUACUAAAUAGAAAAAAUCAAAAUAUUUGACUUUUUCGGAAAAAAAAAAGUAAUAUUUCAAUUUUUUUUUUUUUUUACUUUUUAAUGUUUAAUAUAAAUAAAAUAUUAAAAAAACAAAUAAUUUAAUACUUAACACUAUUAAGCAUUAAAGUUCUAUUUAAAAUUAAGUAAAAAAAAACAAACACCACCUUUGUUCUCUUUUCCAAUUCCUUGACUAAAAUGCUUUUGCAGCACACAUGGGAAGUAGAAGUAUUUUAUACAAUGUCUCUCUGAAUAUUUUCCUAAUUCUUUUUGUUGAAUUCCCCUUUUCUUCCCAGGAUGAUUCUCAGUCAGCCCAAUUGACUCAUAACUAAAGCCCUUAAUUCUCAAGCCCAGUUGGAUCACCUUGGGCCAGCCCAACCAAUUAAUUUCUGUCGCCCAACUCCAUUGUGAGUCUGUGACGUAACAAUUCACAUCAAAUGAGUGGAAUAAUAUCUUUGAUCAUAUUAAAUCAGUCCUCAAUGUGACUAAUAUGAAAUCUACGGCUGAAAUUGGGCCCUUUUUUUUCUAUUUUUUAAUCGAAUGGUUGAAAAAAUAGAGGGAUCAUACCAUCCUAGUACUAUAAUUUGACCCAAGAAAAAUGUCUAGACUUUUACAUCAAUUUAAAGAAGCAUGCAAAAUAAGAUUACAAAUUUUUUUUUAUAUAAUCAUUUAAGGACUUAAAGUGGUUUAAUGACUUAAUUUAUAUCCAUUUCAAUUUUUAAGUUAUUAAUUUGAUGUUGAAAUAAAUUAAAUCAUCAAGUCGUUAACUCAUUUUAAGUUAUUAAUUUGAUAUUCUUGAAUCUUAAAUAAGUUACUUAAAUCUUAAUGAAAAAAUAAUAAUAAUUUUCCAUCAAAAAAAAAAUCUUAAAAGAAAAUGAUAAGUUAAAAAACAAAAAAACUGAAAACUCGAAACAACUUGCUUUAAAAUGGUUCCAAAAAAUUAUCAAAGAUAUAAUAAAAAUUAUAGAAAAAUAAACAUAAAAAAUUCAAAAUCAUAAGGAAAAUGGUUUUCUUUAAUUUUAACAAGGAAAUUAAACAUAAUUAAAAUCAGUUAGAUAAUGGCCUAUUUUUAGAUUAUUUAAUCUUUAUAUAAAAAAUUAAAAUAAAUUAAAUAAGUUUAAAAUAAUGUAUAAAAAUGAUUUAUUAACAUUUAAAUUUAUGUUUUAUUUUUCUUUUUUUCCCUUUCUCUUAGGCUAUGUUUGGUUCCCGGAAAAUUUGAGGGAAAAUGCGAAGAAAAGAAAAUACAAAGAAAAAGUAGAAAGAAAGAAAAAGUGAAGAAAAAUAAAAAAAUAGAUUAAAAGUUGAUAAAUUAUUUUUUUUGUUAUUUCAAACUCAUUUUAUUUAUUUUAACUCAUCAAUAUAAAGAUUAAAUAAUUUAAAAAUACAUAAGUUUUUAAUUAGUUUUAAUUAUAUUUGAUUUUUUUUUAUAUUUUUUAUAUGACAACCAAACAUGAGAAAAUCAUUUUCCUUAGCAUUUUUUUUCUUUCCUUUAUACUUUUCGGGACCAAACAUAGCCUUAAUUUUUUUUUAUUAGAAAUCAAAUAUAGCUUAAAAAAAAAUUAAAAAUAACAACUUAAUGCUAACACUAUUAAAUACUGUUUAAACUUAGCUUACAUUGAAUUUUAUUUAGAUUUAAAAAAAAAAAAAAACACACGUCAGACUACAAGAUGUACCGAUGAAAAUUUUGACUUGCAGAAAUUGAGUUUUGUGCACGUGUUACUCUUUUAGCACAUGGGGUGACCUUUUUAGGGGCUAUGUUUGGAUUAUGCAACUAUCAAGAAAAGAAAAGAAAAUAUUUAAAAAAAAAAGAAAAAAAAAAAAAGAAAGAUUUUGUAUAUUUGAAUUUAUUAUGAAAAAUAUAAAAAUAAAUAAAUAUUAAUUUAAAAUUUAUACAGAAAAAAUUAAAUUAAAUAAAUUUAAAAUAAUAUAUAAAAAUAAUUUAUUAAUUUUAAAAUUUUCUUUUUUUAUUAUUUUUUUCCUUAUACAUAUCCAGAUAACCAACCACACACGACCUAAAUUUGGGAGAAAGUUGUUAGACAUUCCCCAACAAAAGCAUAGUUGGGGUAAGAUCGAAGCCAAACCCACGAAAGUUUUUGACAAACAUUAGGUGAAAAAGCAAAAGCAAAAGCAAACUAAACCUCAUCGUGGUCUCCACCCACCACCACCAUGCCUCAUCUUCUAACUGUACACAUUUCAUAUUUCAAUACUCGGAAGUUUUGGUGAGCAAAUUCUGCCGACCUCUGGUGGGUGUCGAUAUUCAAUCUUCAUAAAGUCUUGAUUGAAAAGUGGUGUGUGAGAGAGACAAAAUUGAAGACCAAUACAUCAAGUUUGUUUAAUAUUUUGGGUCUGCAUAAAUGUCGAAGUGAUAAGGUCACAAGGGUCUAUCUUCAAAGGGCUAUAAAAAUAAGUCAAUAUGGAGUUGGGCUACUCGUCAUUCAACAAAUUUGAGAGCUUUCCCACUGCCCCAACUUGCCUACUUCUUCUCUUGGUGAUUAGGAAGAAACGUUUGGGAAACAAUCAGCUUUACUAAAUUAAUAUAAAGUUUGGUACUCAAAUUAAGAUAUGGAUUCCGUGGAUUUGGGUGUUCUUCUCCCAUGAAUUUUCCUUUUUGUAUAAAAAUUAGAAGAAGUUGUUUUAUAUGGGAGGAGAAGCUUUCAACGAUUAUGGGUUGGGUUUGGUUCAUAAAAAGUAUUAAAGAACCAUUCAUUAUCAGAAAAUAAGAUAAAUAAAUAAUUAAAUAUGAUUAAAAUUAAUUAAAAUUUAUAUAAAUAUAUAAAAAUAAAUUAUUAUUUACACCAAUGAAAACCAUAAUUUCAUAUCAUGUAUAACAAAUAGCAGAGGUAUAUAAUAGAUUUUUUAUUUUUUAUUUCUCAUUUAGAUAGUGAAUGUUCAUUUGUACUUAUACUAGAAAUGUUGUUUUUUGUUUCAAUUCAUGAUCUAGCACAUACACCCUAAUACAUGUUCCUCGGCAUUGAGGAUACCCUGAAGAGUAGAGGAUUUUGUGACAUUUUUUAUUGGUUUUUGUUUCAUCCAAAGUGAUGUACUGAAACUUACUCGGUAAAAAGAUAAUUCUUGAUAAGUAAAAUUACACUGAUAUAAAUUAUGAAAGGAUUUUUCAUAGGUAGCCUGGAAUUCCUCCUUCGAGAAGGAAGUUUUUUUGAAUUGAGAUUUGAGGCUACCAUAGCUAUUACCCUAAUGGAGUUUUUUAUUUUUCUUUAUUUACUUAUUUAUAUUUCCUUGCAUUUUGUCCCUAGUUUUCCAAAAAAACAAACAUAAAUAAAAUGUAGUUUAAAGUCCUAAGAGUCAAAAGAAUAUUCACACAAGUUAUUGAAAAAUAAAAAAGAAAUGAAAUGAAAAACGUUAGGCACGAAAAGCAUAAGUUUAAUAGUCCAAGAAUUUCCACAAAUUUCCAAGUGAUUUAUUUUGUGAGAGGACCAUAGGCCCAAUAAUUUGAUUAUUUAAAAGCAAACAAGUGGGUAAGUCCUGAAAAUUUUCCUUGGCCUAUGAAAAUGAAAUCAUAUCAACUAGGACAGGGGUGACUCAUCUGCAUUAUAAAUUCAAAAUUGACACAGACUACCAAAAACCAUUCAAAUAUAAGGGUUGAUAAUAUUUUUCUAUUUUUCAGAAGAAAAAGAAAAAAGAAAAUGUAUUUGAUAACUAUGAACUGAUUCACAACUGUUUUCAACAAUAUGUUUUGAUUCUCUAGAGAGAAAAAAAAACAUUUGACACUGUUUUUUAAAACAAUUUUUUCUUUUUGAAAAAAAACAAUUUAGAAAAUACAUUUAACAAUCAAAAAUCUAAUUUUUGUUUUUUCUUAUCAAUAAUAAAAAAUAAGAUGUUUAAAAAUAUAUAUUUUAAUUGUUUUCACUUGUGUUUUUUAAAAUUGUUUUAAAAAAUAAUUAUACAAAUAUGUAUAAUAAUUAAAAAAUAUUUGAUUAUCUGGAAACAAGUUUUGAUUAUACAAACAAUAUGUUUUGAUUCUCUACAAAAAAAAAAAAAACAAAAACAAAAACAAAAACAAAAAAUAUAUUUGACAAUUAAAAAUUAUUUUCUAUUUUUUAUUUUUAAGAAUAUAAAAUAGAAUGUUUUAAGACAAUAUUUUUUUUAGAAUUUGUUUGGCACCUGUUUUUUAAAAUAAAUUUAUAUUUUUCAGAAAAAAAAAUUGAAAAACACAUUUGGCAAUUAGAAAUCUAUUUUCUGUUUUUUGUUAUCAAGAAUAAAAAAUAAGAUGUUUUCAAAAAAUAUAUUUUAGUUAUUUUCAUUUGUUUUUUAAAAACUGUUUUAAAAAAUAAUUAUACAAAUAUAUAUAAUAACGAAUAACAAAGUUCUAGACAUAAACCUUUUUUUUUAAAACAUGUUCAAAAAUAUUAAAAAUAGGUUAAAAACAUUUCAAGUUCUCAAUAAGAUUUUUAUUCUAUAAAACAUUGAAAAUUGUUCUAAAAAACCAUAACUCCUAAAAAAAACUGUUUUUUAUUUUUUAUUUAUAAAAACAGAAAACAUCAUAUUUUCAAUUGUUUUCAAAUAUUUUGAUUAUUUUAUAAAAUAAUUAUAUAAAUAUGAAGAAUAAUUAAAAAUCAAGCUUAGACAUAAAAAUUAUUUUUAAAACAUAUUUAAGAAUAUUAAAAAUAGGUUUAAAAAUAUUUCAUCUUACCUCAUAGAUUUUUGUUCUCCAUAAUAUUAAAAAAUAAUUCUAAAAAAUUAUUUUUUAAAACUAUUUUAAAAAACAGUUAGAAAGCGGGAGUUAAAUAUUUGUAAAAAUAAAUUUAAUAAUCGGAUAGAGUCGUGAUUAAUAAAAUCAAGGUACAUAAAUGAAGAUAUAAAAUAAUAAAAUUUAAAUAGCGAUAUAACACGACAUCUGAACCGCAAACUAAAUAUGAACUGGACGUAUAAACUCUCCGUUCGACUGAUUUAUAGAACUCAGCCCAAAAAGUUGAAAUUCUAAGGAUGCAUGAAGCAUAAAAAUUGUUUCAUUUUGAUUUCUUAGUACUUAAGCAUAUUUUUCCACACAACACUACAAAUGAGAUACUGACAGAAUCCAAAAACUUAUCAGGAUCGAGAAAUAGGGGAUGGUCACUUAGUCGCGCUACCCAUGCAUUUGCUUCAUGUUUACAUGCAUUUGAUGCAAAACGACACCAUUUCGAUGCUUAGUGGGUAAGGCUUAAGGCUCUACUACACACCUGUGACGUAGACAUUUUGUUCUAAUUAUUAAAUUUGAAUUUUUUUUUUAUAAUAUCCUUUUGAUGGUUUAUUUUAAUUUGAUGGACGAUGUGAUAUUUUUGUUUUUUUUGUUUUUUAUUUUAUUUUAAUAGAGCAUUAACAAGUAAAGCAGUAAAAAAAAUUAAAGAUUUUAAUAAUUUCGAGGGUUAAUUUCAUUUGCCGUAAAUAUAAUUUCUUGUUUAAACAAUUAAUUGUUGGAGUUGAUUAACCUCAUAAAUCGAUUCUUAUGGACAUAAAAAACUUUAUAUUAAAUUAUUAUGGUGCUGAAAAAAUAAUUUCAGGAAUUCAACGGAAAGAUGAUUCCUUUUGGUGACAACUAUUAUUAAUAAUAAUGUGUGAAGACAAAAAACAAAGGGAAGAAAUGAAAUUAACCACCAUAGGUUAAAGCUGAGGAUGCAAUUACCCUUAUUAUUAUUAGUAGUACAAACUGAAAAUAGCACAGCUGGGACUUCCAACGGUCCAAUUUAUUACGCAUCUCGAUGCUUUCUCCAAGGUACCAUCGUCAUGCAUAAUUAGAAAUGGAUUUUAUCAAAUACACCUGAGUUCCAUCACUUACGAUGGACCUCAUCUGAUCCAACUCCUUGAGGACUCAAUUCUGGCAAUGUGUAAGCCGUGGAACACGUGGACGGAUGGUAGGGAGGGAGAACCGGCAUGCGUGAUGAGGUUGGGGAGUACGGUGGAAUUUUGGGGGACGGGGAGGACAGUCGUGAAAACGGUCGAGUUUGUGGGUCCGCAAGUCGCGCUGUUGAAGAAAGACUAGGAAUAGGAGCCGUUAGAUUUGGAUAUGUCCACUCCAAAGUAGUCACGUUGAUGCGUGGGACCCAUCAGUUUCCGGCGCCUACAACUCCGAUCGUGACCUUCUUUCCUUUUCCCACUCGUUUUUCCACUAUCUCCACUCUCUCGUGUCUCUCUCAAUCCAGUAUUUAUAUCUAUAGACGAAUACAGAGAUCAUCCCCCGGGUCGCUCUCUCCUUCUCUGUCUCAUUUUCAUGCUCUGUUUUUCUAGAACUAGAGCAUGGCAAUCCUCAUCUUCGCAUUUCUCUUUCUACUAUCAUUCUCUUCACCUUCAGGUUUAGUUUCGACCUUCAACUCUCUCUCUGUUUCUUUCUGUUUUUUUUUGUUUGUAUUUAAUGAUUUGCCUUUUGCAGAGGGAGGUGGUUCAGUUGCAGUCAACUAUGGGCGCAUUGCGAAUGAUCUCCCACAACCAGCCCAAGUGGUGGAGCUUCUCAAGGCACAAGGGAUCAAUAAAGUGAAACUUUUCGACGCCGACUCUACGGUCCUCACUGCUCUCGCUAACUCCGGCGUAAGCGUCGUCGUUGCACUUCCUAAUGAACUCCUCUCCUCAGCCGCGGCCACAGAUGGAUCCUUCUCCGAAAAAUGGGUCCAAACUAACAUCGCCCAGUAUCACCCCAGCACUCAAAUCGAAGCCAUUGCCGUUGGCAACGAAGUCUUCGUCGACCCCAAUAACACAACUCAGUUCUUGGUGCCUGCCAUGAACAAUGUUUACAAAUCACUCGUGAAACACAACCUCUCAUCCAUCAAAAUCUCUUCUCCUGUAGCGCUCAGUGCUCUGAAUUCUUCUUACCCACCCUCAGCUGGGGUGUUCAAGCCUGAGUUAAUUGAAACGGUGAUGAAGCCCAUGUUGGAAUUUCUCCGCAAGACCUCAUCGUAUCUCAUGGUUAAUGCGUACCCGUUCUUCGCUUACUCUGCCAACUCCGACGUUAUUUCCCUCGACUACGCUCUCUUCAGGGCCGUGAACGCCAACGUGACCGAUCCUGGUAACGGGUUGAGCUACUCCAGCCUCUUCGAAGCCCAACUCGACGCCGUUUAUGCAGCCAUGUCCAAUAUCCAAUACAACGACGUUCCGGUGGUGGUGACCGAGACUGGCUGGCCUUCCAAGGGCGACGAGAACGAAAUCGGAGCCAGCACAGACAACGCCGCCGCCUACAACGGCAAUCUCAUCAAACGAGUGCUCACCGGCGGUGGCACUCCGUUGCGGCCAAACGAACCACUCAACGUUUACCUGUUUGCGCUGUUCAACGAGAACCAAAAAACAGGUCCCACAUCGGAGAGAAACUAUGGCUUGUUCUAUCCGAACAAAGAGAAGGUUUAUAAUAUUCCAUUAACCAUGGAGGCUUUGAAGGCUACUGGGUCAACGCCGAUUAACGGUAGCAAGGUUCAGGUGACUUCACCUCCAACGGCUUCCGAAGAAGUAACCACUGCAGCGGUGGGGCAAACGUGGUGCGUGGCGAACGGCGAGGCUGGGGCAGAGAAGUUGCAGGCGGGGCUUGACUACGCUUGCGGAGAGGGCGGGGCUGACUGCCGUCCAAUUCAGGAAGGCUCCACGUGUUAUAAUCCUAACACCCUCGAGGCACACGCUUCGUAUGCCUUCAACAGCUACUAUCAGAAGAACACACGUGGCGCUGGGACGUGUAAUUUUGGUGGUGCGGCACACGUGGUCACGCAAACUCCAAGUACGUAUACUAUCAUUCCUCCUAAUUUUCUCCACAUUUUAAAAUCCGAAAUUAGUUAAUAACUUGAAUUUUAAUUGUUUUGUUUUGCAGAAUUUGGGAAUUGUGAGUUCCCAACAGGGUACUGAGUUUGGCGAAAUUGAGUUUGGAGGGGAGGCUUUAGGCCUUUUUUUUAUUUUUUAUUUUUAUUUUUUUAAUUACUAGUAUAUUUUAUUGGAGCAGCAUUAGGAUAAUAUUUUUUUAUAUGUAUUUAUGAUUAAUUCUAUUGUGGGUAGAUACGGUGGAUUGUCAGCUAGUUGACUGUUGCGUCUUGUAAUUAAAGGUCUGAUGGGUAUUUCUUUAUAUCAUAUUAUAUUAUAUGGUUCUCCUAACUUAGCCUUUUGUUUGUUUUCUUUGUUUGGGUUCUUUUCUCCACAAACAAGCCUUUACUUGGAUGGUUGUUAGUAGUGGGCAAUUAGGUUACCUAAAAGUUAGAAGAGAAUUCUCCAAUUGUAAAUUCUUUAUUGUUACGUCAAAUUCAACUUCGUCAAACGGGGCCUUGAAUAACAAAUCGAAAUAAAAUAGGCUACCAUACUCGAAAAGUAAUAAUAAUAAAUAAAAAAACAUAUACUAAAAAAAGAUAAAAAAUAAUUUUUUUUUCACGUUUUAUUUCAUCAUUAAAAAAAUACAAUUUUAUUUAUAUAUUUUAUUUAUAUAAUAAAAAAAGUAAAUUGAAUUUAAAUAAAUAUAUAAAAAUAAAUUAUUGAUUUUAAAUAUGUUUUUUCUUUCUUUCACAUUUUCCCUCAAAUUUUUUGACUAAACAAUAACUAUAGCUUUAGAGUUGGAGAGGGAAAAAAUUCAAUUGUAUUUAGAGUCCGUCAAACAGUGACUUUAGAAAACACUUUCAAUAGUUUAAAGACUUAAAAAUUUUAUCAUUAAUAGUUUUAGCACUUGAAAAUUUUAUCAUUAAAUGACGCAGACUCUUAGUAUAACAACGUUAAGACAUAAAAAAUAUUCUCUUAGUAUAACAACGUUAAAAUUUUUUUUUAAUGAAAAUGACGAGUUGGAUUGUAAUUCAAGGCGUGUUUGAACGGGAUAGUUUAAAAAAAAAAAAAAAGAGACGUGAGAGUUUAAUUUGGAUGGGCUUAUACGGAAUUUUGAUCCAGCUCGAUUUUGUCGCGGGCCUGGGCUUGGACGUGGCUUGAGAGUAACAGGUGGUUCCAUCAACCAUCCAACUCUUAAAUUAACAAUAAUAUCAUAAUUUGGCUCAACAAUAUAGUUAAGGAACGUAACUUGUUGCAUACAACCUCCCACCUUUCGGGUGGGUAUCCUAGCCAUGAGUGUGCUAUAAUCUUUUGCCUUUCUAUUUACUUCGCUUUCUCGGGUUAUUGUCAAUGUUUUCAAAAUCGGCCAUGAUUCAUUAAUUGAACAAUGGAUAUAAAAUCGUAUAGGAUCAUAGAUUUAUUUUAUCAGGUAUGGUUGAAUAUGAAAAGUUAUCAAAUCAUGAUUCACUGAUUAAAUUAUGGAGAAUCACAAUUGUCAAAACUAUGAUAUUAUAGUAUGAAUUCAUAUAAAUAUAUUAAUAUUUUUAAUUUUAUUAAAUAUACUUAAGACUAUUUAAGCAUGAAUAUAUAUUCUAAAGAAUUUUUUUUAUUUAAUUUUACCUACAUUAUAUGUACUAUUGUUUUAUAAUUUUAAAAAUUAUAACAUUAUUUAAUGUAUAUUAUUUUCAUAUUUAUUAUUAUAAAAAUAAAUACGGAAUUGGAUAUUUUAGGUUUAUCUAAAAAAAUUUAAAUAAUAAUUAAAAAAACUAGUAUUAGUUAAUUAAAAUUUUGUAGAGUAAAUUAAUAAAAGACUGUGUGGCAUAUUGACAACUUUUUUUUUAUUUGCAUGUCCAAAUUCCAAUUUUCAUGGCUCAAUUCCUCACCAUACAAUACCAGUUUUUUCAGCCAUUAACGGAUAUCCCACAUCGGGCAAUUGAUGAACCCAAUGAAGUCUUUAAAUACAUUGUCUCCUACUUAUCCAUGGUUGGAAUGGUCAUGGGUUUGGAUCGGUCUCCAAUGGUUUUUUUUAUAUAUUACAGAUAAAAAUAUUGAUAAAUACGAAUAUAUCGAUACUUAGAUUUUAUAAAAAUAUCUUUAAAAAAUCUCGAUUAUUUUGAUGAGGUAUAUAUAGACGCAUCAUUAUAAAACCAUUAUCAUCUUUUUAUAUGCAAGUAUUAGUAGUCGAUAAUCACUCCAAGAUGCAAUUUCAAUCACUAAUAGCUAUGUGUUUCUUAUGAAACCACCAUCCACGUUUCAUUGCCAAAAAAAAAGACACCAAAGAAUCCAAGCCUGCAUUUCUAGCUUUGAGAGAAGUACAUGGUACUUUCUCAAGCCUCCACAAAAGGAAAGAAAGAAAGACAUGCCUUUUGUAGGCAAACAUGACUAGGAACCUUAUACACACAAAAGCUACCUGACAAUUGAUCCAUUAAGGCCCAUAAUGUUAUAUAUAUCCUUUGUCACCCAAAAUAGAAACUUGAUAAAUAGAAAAAUAUGCUUUCUUUUCAGAUUGGGAACAAAUCUGAGUCCAUUUGUCCGAUGUUGAAUAAGAUAUGAAUCUUCUAAGGCUAUAGAGAGGAAACCAUCCUUUCUAUAAUUCUUCUGACGAUGGGAAACGGGAGAGAGAACGCGCUUUGUCUAUUCAAAAGAUUCUUCAAAAAACGAACAGACACCAGCCUUAUACUUUAUGCCUUAAGGACCAUUCCCUUUAAAUAUUGGGUCAUAUGUGUCUUAAGCCCAUCAUCUGAGACACAUAUGGAAACGGGCUCUACACAUGAGUGGCCCAUAUUUUAAAACAAAUUGAAAAUAAAUACGUGAAUGCGAAUAGCUUAAUCAUAGACUAUGCUCCAUAUGUGAGUCUAUAGUUAUUUUAACACAAUUCUUAACCCCACUAUAAGAAAUCACCAUUUCAAUGGUCUAUAUAUCUUCUUCAUUCUGGAAAAAUGGAUUUUUGACCAUUUUAUAUAUGACUAUUUAGGCAGCAGAAUGGAUAGCUCUUGAAAAAUAUUGUGUUGCCCUCACUUAAAGAAAGUGAUUUUAAAAACUAAAAUUUCUUCCCAGAAUUAAAUAAAAAUAUAUAUUUUUAAAAUUUUAAAAUUAAAUUAUCUAAAUACCAUUUGUACCUAGUGAAUCCAUCUUUAGUUGAACCAGAAAGAUAUAGAUAAAUAAUAAUAAUGAUAACAGUAGAAUCUUAGACUCUGUUGGGUAAUUAUAUUUGAAAAUAAUUCUUAAAAACUAUUUUAGAGAAUAAUUUUUGAAAACUAUUAUAUAAUGUUUUGUAAAACAAAAGUUUGUUUGGGAAUGUAAAUUAUUUUUGACAUGUUUUUUAAUAUUUUAAAAAUAAUUUUUAUAUAUAGUAUUUUAUUUUUAAUCAUUCUACAUGUUUAUAUAAUUAUUUUUAAUACACAUUUAAAAAAAUAUGUAAAAAUAAUUUUAAAAAAUCAACCUUCAUUGAUAAUUAUUUUCAAAAAAUAUUCUCAAAAAUAGUUUUUAAAAAUAAUUUUAAAAAAUUGUUCUAUAAUAUUUUAUAGAAUAAAAGUCUAUUUAAGAAUUUGAAAUGUUUUUAAUCUAUUUUUUAUAUUUUAAAUAUGUUUUAAAAAUAGUUUUUAUAUCUAAUACUUUAUUUUUAAUCAUUUUAUAUGUUUAUAUAAUUAUUUUAUCAAACAAUUCUUAUAAAAAAAAAGUGAAAAUAAUAGAAAAUAACUAAAAAAUAUUUUUUUCAUAAAAUAAAACAGUUUUUUAGUGUUAAAUAUGUUUUUUUUUCUCAAGAAUAAAAAGCUAUUAUGAAAAACAAUUGGUCAAACAAACUUUUAAUUUAUGUUCUUAAAAAUAGAAAUAAGAAAACAAUUUUUUUUUUAUUGUCAAACUAUGUUUUUCCAUUUUUUUUCUUUUUUUUUAAAAGCAAGAUUAAAUAAUAAAAAAUUUGUUCGAAUUAUAUUUUAUCUAUAAUUGACAAGAGGACAUUUUAAAAGCUUUUUUAUAAAUAUAUAUAUAUAUAUAUAUAAAAAAACUAAAGAAUACUUAGGUUAUGUUUGGUUCCCGGAAAAUACUAAGGAAAGAAAAAAAAUGUAAAGGAAAAUGAUUUUUUUAUGUUUGGUUGUCCUAUGAAAAAUAUCAAAGAAAAUCAAAUAUGAUUAAAACUAAUUAAAAAUUUAUGUAUUUUUAAAUUAUUUAAUCUUUAUAUUGAUGAGUUAAAAUAAAUAAAAUGAGUUUAAAGUAACAAAAAUAAUAAUUUAUCAACUUUUAAUCUAUUUUUUUAUUUUCCUUCACUUUUUCUUUUCCUCUGCUUUUCCUUUGUAUUUUCUUUCCCUUUCAUUUUCCUUCAAAUUUUAUGGAACCAAACAUAUUCUUAGUUGAUGAAAAAUAUAAAUCUCUUACCGUCUUACGUCACUAUACAUCAAUUGAUGACAUCAGCAAACGUAUGAAUUGACACUUUUGACCCUUCCUUUGAAAGGGCAAAGGUGGGUCACUGUCCCAAUUCUAACUUCAAGCCCAAGACCAAGCCCAAGCCCAACCACCCGCCCAUGGAUUGGGUCCCUUUCUGGGCUGGUGGAAUUGUAACACUCAUAAUCAGGGGGAAAAAAGUGGCUUAGGAUAGCGUAUAUUGCGGAGAAAAAUAUAGGCAGCGCACUUUGCGUAAACAGGGUGGUUGUAGCCUCCCGCCAUCACUUUCCCGCGCAAUAACCAACAAAAGGAAGAGGCACGGCUCCGAUUCCCGGAGCUAGCGUGCGCACUUCGUAAUAAAGUGCGCCUUACGCAUCAAUGCGUGCCUACGAAGAAACUAAUCCAAAAUCCCACGGCUAUUAAUUUUUUUUUUUUAAAAAAAAAAAACCAUUUCAAUAAUAAUUUAAUUUUAAUUCAUAUUAUAAUAUUUGAUUUACCAAAAACAUGAUUAGAAUGCGGUUAAUAUGUUAAAUACAUGAAAAAUAACCGUUCACUUAAAAUUCUAAUUGUUUAAUAAUUACUUAAAAAUUAGGUCACGAUUAAAAAAAUUACAAAUUUUAAUUAUUUUUAAGCAAAAUUCAUUCUUUCAUGAAAAAUAAAUUAACCCUCCUAAAAUAUUUUUCACUCGUUAGGCCUUCAUAAGAAAGAUAUUUUUCACUUAUUAGGCUUUUAUAAGGAUACUCUAAGCUUCAAUUCCUAGUUCCUACUCCCACAAUUUUAAUGGGGAAGCAGAAAUCUCUGACCUAGGAUUCGUUCAUAGAAAAAAAAAUUAAAAUAAUUGAUUAAAAAGUAUCAAAUAAUUUUUAAAUUGUGAAUUUAACCAUUUUCAUUUUAUUUUUUGAAAAAUAAUUUAUUUUUGACAUAAAUGUUUUUUAUCAUUUCACUCAUAUGUAAGUUUUAAUAGAGAAUGUUAUUUUUAUAAUAAAAUAACAAUGAUAUUUUUAUCCAAAUGAAAUAAAAAAAAGGUGAAAUGUCAAAUUUAAAAAAUUGAGUUUUUAAAAACUUUUUUAAUCAAAUAACCCAAAAAAAUAUUUUUGUAUUUGCUCGAAGGUUUGCUGACAUUUCUUAUAUCACUUCCUGAAAUUGUUCUUUUAAAAAAGUUGAAGACAAAGUCUUCAAAAGGAAAUUAGGCAUAAUUUUAAAAUAAUAUAUAUAUAUAUAUAUAUAUAUAUAUAUAUAUAUAUAUAUAUAUAUAUAUAUAAAGAUUUUAUGGGUGGACAAGAAAUGACAAAAAAAUGAAUAUUAUUGUGGGCCUUGGUUAAACAAAGAGUACAAGAAAUUAUUAUGAUAAUAAUUAUUUAAAUUUAAUUUUUGUUCUCAAUAUGCCAUGAAGAAUGAAAUUAAUUUUAAAUCAAUCAAAUGAGUACCAAUAGCUUGAUUUGACAUUUACUAACAAAAAUUUUCAAUUGAGAGCUGCACAAUAAUUUUCAUUUUGCCUUGCAAUUCCCACUAUCACUUGAUUUGAUGGGAACAAAUUUUGGGGUGUUAUAUAUAUAUAUAUAUAUAUAUAUAUAUUAUUUAAUUGAUAGAAUCCUAUGGCUUUGAGUAGAACUAUCAUUUCAAUAUAAAGUUUAUAAUACCUAUAAGAAAGGAGAGAGAGAAACAAAACUUAGUAACCAUGAAACAAUUAAGGGGCAGAAUUGGUAUUUUGGGUAAGUUAAAAGGAUUCAUUUUAAUACAUAUAAGUGAAUAUAAAUUAAUCUAAAUGUCAUUUUCACUUAAAAGCAUAAUUUCCUUUUUUAUCUCAUUUAAUUGAUGGUAUACCAAAAUAGGGUUUAGGGAGGGAAAUGAGAGCUAAGAAGCAACAUUUGGCUUAUUGGUUUGUUUGUUUCUCUUUAAAUCUCAAAACCUCAUAUUGAAUGAUAAUUUUUUUAGUUUUCAAGAGGGGCAUGUGCCUUCUCUAAGCCCUAGCUAAAUCCGCCGGGGUGGCCGUAUACAACAAAUAAUUACUAUACAAUCAUAUUAAAAAUAAAAUAAAAUAAAAUAAAUAUCCUUAUUUCAUACCAUAUAAAUUAUUCUUCCAUGUAAACAACACUUGCUUUUAUUUUAGGAUCAUAUGAAUAAUAAUAUGUAACUUUUUUUUUUUAAGAGCUAUUUUUUAUUUUUUAUUUUUGGUUCAUUGUUACUGGAUUUGGGUAAAGACUUCUCCCUUAUAAAAUUCACUUCUUUUAAGGAGUCUUCAAAGUUAUGGAAAGAGAGACUUUUCUUUUUCCUUUUUUCUUUUUCUUUUUUUCUUUUUUUUUAAAAAGUAAUUAUUCUUAAAAAUGAAAAAAAAAAGUUUGACCCAUAUGGUCACACUCUUAAGUGAGUCACCUUGUGGGCCUAGAUUCAUCUUUCCUAUUGUGUUGUGGGGUCAAACAUAGUAAAAAUAAAAUAAAAUUAUGUCUCAUGCAAAGUUGUUUUAAGAGAAGAUUAAAGGAAAGAAGAGAUAUUCAAGGGUAUAUUCUUGUGCUUGUGUUCCUUGAAGUGGAUUUGAGUUAGUUUAAUAAGUUUGAGUUUGAGUGGAAAAGAGAUUAUCCUUGCAACAAGGAAGUUCUAGAGAGAUAUUUUAGGUAUGGUCUUUUUUAUUGCAAAUUUGGAGGUCUUAGUAUGGAGGAAAAAAAAAACUUAUGGAUUCACUUGUUUUACAUUGUGUAAAUGAUAGGUCUAAUGUAUUAUGAGUAUUAGAAUCCUAGAUUGAAGUCCAAUUAGAGAGAAAGGCCAUACCUAUGGGAUGGAGAGCUUGCUUUAACUCUAAAAAUGGUUACCCUAAUUUGGGCAAAACUUGAUCAUAUGGAGGCAUUCAAUAAAGAAAAAAGUAAGACCUCAAACACAAGUGUUUUUACCUAUUUUGAUCUAUUGGAGACCUUUCCUUGUGAGUAUAGAGAUAGAAAGGUUGUUAGCAAUUAAAGAUAACUGUUGCCAUCUAUCAAACUAAACAUAUUUAUAUUUAACAAUCUUUUAUUGUCUUUCUAUUAGUACAAAAACCACAUUGUAAAUGAAAGAUUGAAGUUUACAAAUUGAAACACUAUAGAACCUAGAUUCUCUAGUGAUAUAACUCAUUCCUUUCAUCUUUCUCUCUCUAGAUUUCUCCUUGUUUUUCAACUUGAUAUCAUAGCUUCAAGCAAUGUUGUUGUCAAUAAUGGCCAAAACACCCUCAAUGGUAGAAAUACUUCUACUACUAUGAUCAUUAAUAUCAACAAUUGCAUUUCACAAUCUGUCUUCUCACUUUUGUAGAUUUCUUCACAAAUCUCCAUCACAUUUGUUCUAAUCCCUAUGGCGACAAAAUAAAUGUGACAAACAGUUACUUUUAUCAAGUAAAUCACUCAAAAGGGUGAGUGAAUUAGAUGUUAAAAAACUUUUUCAAAAAAUAAUUGAUUAAUAAAAAAAAAUAAAAACAAGAACUAAUAAACAAAACAACAAUUAAGUCAAGGAUGAAGAGAAGAAAUGUGUAAACUCUUUUAUAGUGGUUUGACAAUCUCCUUACAUCCACUUUCCUCAAGUCCUUUAUCAAGUGGGAGUUCAGUUAUCAAGGCUUCCAACCCAAGCCUUCAAGCUUUACAAUUUGAUGCAAGGGCUCCAAUGGGCACUUACAACCCCUUUUAAGUACUUCACUUGAAGUCUCUUAUCUCGAAAUGAGUAGAUAAAAAAGGUUUUAAUGCUUCCAAUCCUAGAUAUAAGUAUAGCAAGUUAGAAAUCAAUGCACUUUGAAAAAGAGCUAUGAAUGUGAGAAAACACAUUUUUCUAAUUGAAUGCAAUUGUUCUCUUAUAAAUAAAUGCUCUAAAAUUGUUCAAUUUAUAGGUUUCUAACUCGGGAGCCUAAAAUGCCACAAAAUAUUUUGAUGGGUUGAGCAUCGAUUCGACUAAUUGAUUAGUCAUUGGGUAUUAAAUGCUUUGUAGAUAACUAUUGAGGUUUUUAAGCCAACUGAAAAUGCAACCACCCCUCGACUAGUUGAGACUAUAUCUAAACCGACUACAUCCCAACUAUUGGAAAAGAAAGAAAAUAAUGGGAUACUCUUAUUUCCGUAUAUCCUCUAUCUUGUAAUGAAGUGCAAGGGAAUGAUAUAUCAAAUUACUUACUUUGUAUGUAGUAAAAGGCUUGAGAUCAAAAUAGAUACCCUUGAUCGAUCGAGCCUAACUAGUUGAAUUGGUUCCUAACGGUUAGAACUGAUUCCUGACCUUCUUAAUAAAUUGCAUUGAAAAGUGUCUAAAUUGAUCUAGUUUAAGGUCUAGAGCUUCCAAUAACUUGUGUAAACCUUUUCAAAACCUUUUGGAGUAUGUUUUGAAAGAAUUUGACCCAAAAUUUUUAAUUAAAACAAAGAUUCGUCCGUUUUAAGUUUUAGUAAUGAUGAAAAACAACUUUUAAGUGCAUAAAAAAAUAUUUUUAAUUGGUGUGACUUAAGAAAUAAAGUGAAAAAAAAAUUAUGUUAAGAAUAAAAUUAUGCUUGAAGCAUGGAAAUAUUUUCGAUUAACAUAUUUAAUUGUGAUUUUAUUUGUGGUCUAACCUGCCCAAAUUACUAUUUUAAGAGGGGAAAAUAUGACUGAUCUUUUUUUUUUUUUCUCAAAUAACUAUUUUUCUUUUGCCCCAAGUGACUAUUUUCAUGAAAUCAAAUGAAUUUCCAUUGAUGAAAAACAAUUUAAUAUUUUUAUUUUGUGUUUAUAGGAGUAUAUUUUUACCUUGGAGUACAACUUCUCCUUACAAAUUGAUGAAAAAUAUUUAGGUUUAUUACACUUUACCCCUAACCUAUACCGUGUUCUGCACAUUGACUUUUUGAAUUUAAAAUCGAGCAAUGUAUCAUUCAUGCUUUAUAAUUAUAUGCAAUGUUCUAUUUUUUAGUAACGGUGUUACAUUUUUUUUAUGGAAGGGCGCAUGUGCUCUCACACCCAAAACCAACCUUCUUUUUCCUCAUUUGAUAAAUUUUCCUAGAAUUCCGGCUAAUAGGAUUACAAAUCUUAUAGUGAUUGGAAUCAAACUAAAAAAAAUUUACAAAAAAAAAUAACAAUAUUAUUAAAAAAUCACUUCAAUUAAUUCAAAUAGUCUUAGAUUCAAAAUUGAUAAAGGAAAAAAAAAUUGAUUUAUUUUCUCGCCAACCAAACAAAGUGAAAACACCCACAAAAACAACAACAAUUAAACAAACCUAACACAAUAUCCCGAUCACACAACACAUGUAUACAAUACAGAGUUAAGGUUAGGGUUGGGUUUCAUUUUUAUGUUAUGCAUCCAUUUUAAGGUUAGGGUUUCGUUUUGAUGUUUUAAAAAAUUGGAUAAAGUUUGGGGGGAAAAAUCAAGCUUUUUGAAAAAAAAAACCCAAAGCAUUGACCCAUGCCUUUAUAAUGUGGAAUUUUCAAUAGAAAGGAGAAAAGAGAGAAACAGUUAAGAGAAAAGAAGAAGAAGAAGAAGAAGAGGAAAAGAAAAGUUUAGAAAAAUGUUGCAUCAUCACAAUUUUCUUGCAAUUUUCACUCUCCAAUAUGCUUCGAUCACAAUUUGGGGAGGACGAAAAAAGGAAGAGGAGGAGAACCAAGAAAUAGGAGGAGAAUGAAGGAAUGAGAGGGCUUGAUUAGGGUUUUAAAAUGAAAUGACACUUUUACCCUCAUUUAAAUAAGUAGAGCGCGUGUGUCGUCAGGAAACACCGUCAAUCAAAAAAUUGCACAUUAUAUGCAAUUAUAAAACAUGGAGGGUACAUUACUCUAUUUUAAAAACGAUAAGGUAAUAUGUAAAACACGCUUUAGAUUAAGGGAGUAAAGUGUAAUAAAUCCAAAAUAUUUUGAACAUUUAUACUUUAACUUGUUAUUAAUGUAUAAUUUUUAAAAAUUAACAUUAAAAUAAAUAAAUAACAUAAGUUUAACAAAUUUUAUAUUAUAAUUCAAAUUUUGUGAUAGUUAGAAGAUGUUUGGAAAUUACUUAAUGUGAUUUAAUAAUUUAUCAACUUAAUAUAAGUCAUUAAAUAGAUUAAAUAUGUUUAUUAAAAUAACUUAAUAUGACAAGUUAAAAUAAAAUAAUAAUUUUAAGUAUAAGUUAAAAUAGCUAACUUAUUAUUAAUCUCAAAUUUCUUUUACAUAAUUUGUCUAUAUUUAAUAAAAACAUAUUUUACAAGCAUGACUUUAUAUUUGCAAUUGAUUUUUUACCAUAAAUAUUUUUAUAAUUAUUUUAUGUAUUGAUAUUUUAAAUAUAAAUUUUAGAUUAACUUUACUAAAUUAUCUUAAUACCAAGUCUGUUAAUUACACUUGUCUUUAGAUAAAAAAAAAUAAGAUUUAUACAGCUACCAAAUUGGAUUUGACACAAUCAAGUAAAAUCUAAGAUGGAUUUUGCUUAUGCCAAAAUAAUUUUGAUUUUAUAUGAUCAUACUACAAAUAAAUAAAUAAAUAAAUAAACCUAACGCGACAACCCAAUAUGGAAAUUCAAAAAAACCUGUCCAAUCAAAAUUCAUGGACGCCACGUGUCAUAUGCCGAUUCACCAACGCCGCCUAAAAGACCUCACAGCUGCCGGUCGGAUGACAGCCGUAGCGGAUCACGAGAAUGGUCAGAUAAAAGCCUAAAACGCUCUGUGUGUUCGGCUUUGUCCCAAAGGCGACCGGGAGAACCUGGUAUGGCCGGUGAAACCAUGGCCCACGGAUGACAAGUGGGUAGAGGGUCCCGCGCACGUCUUAAAAAUUGAUUUUGAAACUGUGGAUGGGUUGGGUUGGUUGGUUGGUUGCUUGGGUCAGAGGUCAGAAGACUGGUCUGAGGCAGUGGCUGGCGGGUCAGUCAAAGUGGGCCCACCAAUCCCCCCACCAGAGAAAGGUCAAUGUUCUUUGAAACCGGUUUUUAGGGGUACUCAAACUAGGUCUAAUGACAUUUGUGUCCUUUUAAGGAUAUUUUAGUAAUUGUUACAAUUCCUAAACGAUACACUUCUUAUUUUGCAAUUAUCAAAAUUUGAAGAUUUCUUUAAGUGUUGGGUAAACCAACUGAAUAACUUAAAGUUAAUUAAUAAUUUAAUUUAAAUUAUUAAAUAAAUUAAAUAUAUAUAUAUAUAUAUAUGAUUAAUAACUUAAUAAUAUAUACGUCCAAAUAUGAAGAAAAAUGAGAUGUAGGGUGGGGGCAAUGUCCAGUAAAUAGUGUUGACAUUACUUCACAUUUCAAUAUGUAGUGUGGGAAGUGGCAACAACCAGCCCAUACCACUUGCCCAAUUCUAACUUCCAAUUUAUUCAACAUGCACAAUUUGUGUUACAUGUUUCAAAGUGCAUUUUUUAAAAGGGUAUGUUUGAUUUUAAAAUUUUAUAUAAGAGAUCAAAUCAAUAAGUUGUUUUUAUAUAUCAUUUUGAAUUUAUUUUAAUUCUUUUAUGUAAAAAUUAAAUCAUUUGAAAGUAUAUAAAAUUUUAAUUAAUUUAUUUAUUUUUUAUAUUUUUAUAUAAAAAUUAAAUAUGAGAAAAUUAUUUUCUUUAAUAUUAUUUUUUUAUUAUUUUGUUCAAAUUAAACAUAAUAUAAAAAUGUUCCCUCUAAAAUUAAGAAUGUGUUUGAUAGUGCUUUAAAGGAAAAUCUAUAUAUAUAUAUAGUUAAUAAAUUAUUUUUAUAUGUUAAUUUAAAUUUGUUCUUUUAUUCACUUAACACAAAAAUUAAAUAAUAAAAAUAUAUAAACUUUUGAUAAAUUUUAAUUAUGUUUAAUUUUUUUCAUAUUUUUUUUAUAAUAAAACAAAAUAUAAGAAAAUAAUUUUUUAUUUUUUCUCUUUCUUACGAAAUAUAAUCUAAUAGUUCUUAAAAUUAAUAUAAAAAUUACUAAUAUUUUUCAUUUUUUAAAACAUAAACUAGAAGCAUCUUCGGUAGAAAGUAUGUAAAUAAUGUUUAUUUUAUUUUAUUCUACUAGUCUUAUAUUUUUUUGGAAGAGUCUUAUUGGGAUUAUGUUAGUAAAGUAUUAGUAGAAACAAGUCACCUCUCAUUCUCUAAACACAAAUACCAAAAAACUCGAGUUCUACAUAUCUCGAAAAUCUGGUUGUUGAAUCGUAGAGGUAAACAACACGAGUGCUCGAUACAUCUUUAAAGAAGGUGGAUACAUGAACCCCUUUAGUUAUGUUUUUUGAAACUCAUUUUUAAGUUAAAGAAUACAAAAUGAUUUUUAAAAACAAUUUUAAGAAAACAUGAUCAAACCAACCUUAUAUUUUUAUUUUUAAAAUUAAAAAAAAUAAAAAUAAAAAUAAAACCAAUACCCAUACUUGGAUUUCCAUAAAUAAGCUAUCAUCAUUGCCAUGCUUUAACUAUUGCUUAUAAAGUGUAGUAAUAAUCUAAGGGUGCUUUGAUAUUUGGCACGUAGUUCACAUGUGUAAUAAUUGGAAUAAUUGAAUAAAGGCCAAGUCCAAGUCUUUCAAAAUUCAUCCUUUUAUCAUAUGGUUAACAAAAAAACAAAAAAACAAAAAUCAACUACAAUAAUAAUAAUCAUUGCUCUACAAGCAAUCUUUAAUCCCUUUGAGAAGCGUAAGAUAGCUGUAAAGUGCCUUGCGCCAACCUACCUUUCUUUCAAUUUAACCCAAAAUUAUGGACUCUGUUGAAUACUCCCAUUGACGUAUUAUUCAUCAUGAUUUCCCAAGGCUCAUACGCUGACACGUGGCUAAAUUUUUAAAUACUUUUGUGUUUUUUUAAGUGGGUUAGUCAAAUUUAUAAAUGGGUCGAUGGGGAUUAAUUAUUAUAAUAUAUGGUUUUGGAGGCACAUUCAUGUGUGUUUGGCUGCAAAUUCAACUUAUCCGGUGGAGGGUUCACAAAGGCCACAAAAAUUUCAAGCUGGCAUGGCUUUUGUUUGGGUCUACCUCACUCUAUUGUACUUGAAAAAAUAUUAUUAUUAUUAUUUGCCACGUCACUAAGGAGUUGGUGGAUCUCCGUGAUUCACAUUCAAGGCUUUAUUUUUAUUAUAAUAAAGGCAAAUAAUUUACUCGAUAAUAACUCUUUUAUAAAAUGUGUGAAUUUAUUUUAUAUUAUUAAAAAAUAUUUAAAAUGUUUAAAAUUUGAGAUGGUAAAUUUUUUCAAUUCCUUUAAUUAUUAAAAACCAUUAUAUUAUUAAAUUUAAUUUCAAAUAAUUCUUGCAUUUUAUAAAAGUGUUACCAUAAUUUUCUAUUUUUUAAACAUAAAGACUAUGUUUGGCUCUUCGAAAGUUUGAGGGAAAUUGCAAGAAAAAAAUAGUGAAAAAAAAAUAUUUGAAAUUAACAAACUAUUUUUAUAUAUUAUCCUAAGCUAAUUUAAUUUAUUUAACUCUAUUAUAUAAAUAUUAAAUAAUUUAAAACUAUAUAAAUUUCUUACUAAUUUUGAUCAUAUUUAACUCUCUCUUUUUUUAUGGUAAAAUCUAACAUGAGAAAAUAUUUUUUUUUAGUAUUUUUUAUUUCCUUAGCACUUUUCGGGAAUCAAAUUUACCUAAAGUGUAUAUAAACAAUUUCUAUUUAUUUUUUAAUGUAUGUUAUGCUGGAGGACAAUAAUAACAAGAUUAAAUGUACCAAUUGUCUAAAUAUUAUCUACUUUGGACUUAAAAGAACCCCUCAUGCAAAUAUCACAUCCUUAUUAUGUUUCAUGUAAUGCCAUGGGACUCACUUUGGACCAAAAUGAGUCAUCGCAAUUUUAAAACGUGUUUACACGAUUAAAAAAACUCAUACUUAUAUAGUGUCAAAAGCUUUAUUAUAUAUUUGAUGUGAAAUAUUAUAUACAUUCUUUAUAUAGAUGUAACGUUCUCAUUGUAUCCUAUGAGAUCCCGACUCCGGUGUGAGAAUUUGUUUGACCUCUUAGGAGGUGUUGAAUUUGAUACAUUUAAUCUAGAUAUGCUAUGAUGAUAAUCACAAAUGGAGGGAUAAUCAAAUUAUAACUCCAAAUGGAGUGGUAAUUAGAUGGUUAGGCUUAGCCUGCUUGCCCGCUAAUCCCUUAUUGAAUUCCAACUUUCCUUUUUUAAUCCAUCAAGAUUUUUGCAUUUAGAAUUGAUUCACAUCAUCCCAUUGAUCAAUACAAAUAUGAUUUUAGUUCUUUUUUUGGUAAGGCUUUUUCACACGUGUAAUUGGCAAGCUAGUGGGAAACAAAAUUUGCAUUUUCCAUUUUAGUUGAAUAUAUCCUUCUUAAUUCAAAAUUGAGGUAAACGUGUUCAUGCAUGUAAGUUGUAGGUAACCUCUAGUUUUGGAAAUCAACUUUUUGGAGUUUUUCCUAAUUUCUCUUUAAAUUUUUUUCUAUUUAUAUUUUUGCACAUUUUCCACCAUCUCUUAAGUACCUAAGAAUCAGAAGCUUGAAUUCAUGUACGAAUUUUUGGGCAUGUAGACGUUGGCUUGUUACUAUUAUGUCCACAUAUAGACAUUCUAUUAGAUAAAUCAAUUUUUUUAUGUCUUCAAAUUUAUUCAACUUAUUUUUUAGCUUCUAUAUUGAAAGCAAAUAAUUUAAAAUACAUAAAUUUUAAAUUAAUUUUAAUUGUGUUUGAUUUUCUUCAUACACUUCAUAGUAAACUAAAUAUAUAUAUAUAAAAAAUUAUUAAUAAUUUUUUUAGUACUUCUCCAAGAUAGUAUAAAGUUGUGUUUAGUGAUUAUAAAUUUUGAAGGAAAACAAAAAUAAAAGGAAAAAAAGUAAAAAAUAAAAAUAAAAAUAAAUAUUUUUACAUACUUCUUUAAACUCAAUUUAUUUUUUUAUAUAAAGAUUAAAUAAUUUUAAAAUAUAAAUUUUUUAAUUAAUUUUAAUUACAUUUAAUUUUUAUGUAUAUUUUUCAUGAUAAACUAAGAGUACGUUUGAUAUUAAUUUAAAAAAAUAUUUUUAAUCUUUAUAGCAUUUGAAAAUUUUUAUUUUUAGGAUAUUUAAAAUUAUAGAAAUAUUUCCUAUAAUUACUGUCAAAUGCACUCUAAAUAUAAGAAAAUUAAUUUUUGAAUCAUAUUUUUAUCUUUUCUUAAAUAUGGUUUUAGAGUCACAUCGGUACAAAAGUUCUAAGAACUCAUCUAAUCACCAUUAUUAAGUUUGGCAUAUCAAAUAGUAUAAAAGCCAUAAAGACCAUGGUUAGGCUUUUUUUCACUAUUUUCAACUAUGAUUUAACCAAACAACUACAACAACAUAUUCUAAUAAAUAUCUAAAUUAAGUUGGCCCAUUCAACAAAAGCUUUAAGUGAAUAAUUUGCGAACAUGAAAUUAUAGAUGUCUUAUACACAAAAUACAAAUCAACUUACAUCAAUAUCAGAACUCGAAAAUGUAAAACGAUAGGACAUAUCUUUAUAAAGAUCCAAAUUUGGCUUAGUGAUUACACUUUUUUGCCCUUGACUCUGAUAAAUUAGUUUCAAUAUAUAUAUAUAUAUAUAUAUAUAUAUAUGCAAUGUAUGACCAAAUUGAUGCGUAACAAAUGAUAAAAUUGGUACAUUAAAUUAUUUUCUUUUGUAAUAAUGCUCAAUUUUGCCAUGGCUAAAAAUAGUGAGAAUAUAAGAUUUGGACCAAAUAGUUUGUAUCAUGUAUGAAUCAACUUCCUAACAUGGAUUUGAUACAUGCCCUUUACAAGAAAAGGCAUAUUUCGCUUUUAGAUUGUGAAACUUUAUCUCUAGAUAUGAAAGCACUUAUGGUUGAAGUUGAAAGUUAUAAGCACCAAUGCUAAUUUAGGCACAUAAAAAACAUAUGUGGGUUAUAACUAUGUUUAUUUUUGCUAUUUUUCAAAUUUUAAUGAUGAAAAUGAGCCAAAAAACUAUAAUUAUAUAGGGAAGAAAAAAAAUCUAAAUUUUCCCUAAAGAUAGAAAUAAGUAAGUUGAUUCAUGGACCACAAAUCUUAAAGUGAAUAAUUCAAGAAAAUAAUUCAAAAAAAAAAAAGACCCAAAUCAAAAUAUUGAAUUUGUCCAUUGGAAGUGAUAAUUAAUGGAUUUGAAUUUAUUAUUUACAGUGAAAUUUAGUAAUCAAUGCAUUCAGGAGUUAUGGAAGGGGUCCUAUUGAAUAAGGUCAUGCAGAACGAGGGAAGGAAUAAAAAUGACUUAACUCUAGCUUCUAGUUUGUCUUUUUCAAUUAUUAUUAUUUUGCAAAAUUGUCUUAUUUUUCUGAAAAUUACAUAUUCAAUAAUUUUUAAAAAUCCAAACUUUUCUAAUUGCAUUAUCAAAAACCAAUGUGGAUAUUUCCUGUUAAUAUAAUUUCUACAUUUUAUUUUUUACAAAAAUUUGUAAAUAUUAUCGAUCAAAAAAGAAAUGAAGUUAAAAAAGUCUAUUUGAGAAUAGUUUUAUGUUAUUCGGAACAAAAAAUACAAAAAACAUAUUUGAUAACAAAAAAUUAUUUUAUUUUAUUUUUAGUUAUUUUUUUUAAGUUUAUUUAAAAAAUAAUUAUAUAAACAUGUAAAAUAAUUAAAAAUAAAAUAUUAAAUAUAAAUUUAUUUUUAAAAUAUAAAAAUUAUUUUUAAAAUAUAAAACAUAGGUUUAAAAAGAAAAUUUUAUUUUAGAAAACACCACACAAAAUAUUCUUAAAAGCUGUUUUUUUAGAAUUAUUUUCCAAAAAAGUUAUCACUCAAACCCUAACUUUUUUUUUUUUUUUUUGUUAAGCUUUAAUUGCACUUUUAAUUACUUUCCUCGUUUUUUUUAUAUCAUUAAAUAAUAUUAAAUUAUUAUUAUUUUUUCAUUAUCUUCAAAAUUCAAACCGAACGUUACUUUUUAUAAUUUGUAUGAUAUUAUUAUAUUUAAAGCCACAACUCACAAGUAGGAAAAUGAAGGAAAAAUCAAACCUCAUUGCAAAAUCAAAGGAAAAUUUGAGAAUUGGACGCUCCCAUGCAAUUAAAGCCCUGAAGAGGAUGAGCGGGAUAAGGCACGAGAAAAUUCACUCUUUUGGUAUUAUGAGAAAAGUGAAGGACUUUUCUGUCAUUUAACAUCCUUGAAUGUAAAAGCAAAAGAAAAGGAAAACACCGGUUGAGUCGAGUCCGAGUCAGACUCGGUAUGUGGGGUCGGGGCGAGGAGAGAAAUCCAGAGACCAAGAAAUAAAUAUAUGAGAAAAAAAUAAAUAAAUGAAAAAAAAGAGGAAAAAACAUAAAAAAAUUUGUGAAGAAGAUGAGAGGAGAGAGGGAGGGGUGUUGUGCUGGUGGUGCUUGUGCUCGCCAGUUUUCAAAGCACCUUUCUCUCUCUAAAUCCAGGUUUUCUCCCUCAAAAUAACCCAGUUUCUCUCUCUAAAUCCGGGUUUCUCUUUCUAAAACCCAGUUUUCUUCGCUCCAAAAACCUGUUGGCGUGCUUAGUUUUGUUACGUUAUAAGUUCCAAACCCUCGAGCCCUCUCUCUUUUCUCCAUCACAGAACAAGCAAUAUGCGGAGAGGGAGGGCGGCUCCGACGGCUACACUGGCAACGUCGGCGGCAGGGGGGGCCGGUGGAUCUGGGUUCGUCAAAGAUAUGAGGUAUCGGGGUGUGAGGAAGAGGCCAUGGGGGAGGUUUGCGGCAGAGAUAAGAGACCCGUGGAAGAAGACAAGGGUUUGGUUGGGGACGUUCGACUCGCCGGAGGAGGCGGCAAGGGCGUACGACGCGGCUGCGAGGACUCUCCGGGGGCCCAAGGCAAAAACAAACUUUCCGGCGGUGUCGGGGGCGGCGGUGGCGGUGCCGGCGUUCGAUCGGAACCUUAACGGUCAGUUCGGUGACGGCCACCACAACCGGGUGUACCGAGCGGAUCAGUUUCAGGAGCAGCAGAUUCACGCCCAGAGGCCGACGUCGAGUGGCAUGAGCAGCACCGUGGAGUCCUUUAGCGGCCCUCGCCCAGCUCCGGCAAAUCUACCUCCGGCGACGUUGCGCCGGCACCCACGUAGCCCUCCGCUUCUACCCGACGAUUGCCACAGUGACUGCGACUCGUCGUCCUCGGUGAUCGACAACGGAGACAUCGCUGCUGCAACUUCAGUUCGAAAACCCCUCCCUUUCGAUCUCAAUGUUAUGCCGUCCGACGAUGACGAGCUCAUCAUGGGUGAUCUCCACAGCACGGCUUUGCGUCUCUGAUGAUGAUCCAUGUUUUUUUUAUAUAAAAAAAAUCCUUUUUCCUUCCCCCCUUUUCCUCUCUGUGCUGUUCUCUCGUCUGUUCUCAUGCUUAAAAAAGCAGAAAAAGAAAGGAUAUCAGAAAAUAUUUAGAUAAAAUGGUUUUACUUCUGUGAAUCUGGGCUUUGUGUUGGAAGAGAAUCAAUCUUUUUCUCAUCUUUUUGUUAGCAUAUGUGUGGAUUAGCGUGUGUUCAGAUUAUGAGAUCUGGUUUCUUCAACUUUGUGGGCUUUGAACUUUGAUCAUAUCCGAGUUAGGGUUUUACAAAUCUUGAUCUUUGAUACUUCUUACCCAUGUACAAAAAUAAGCUUCAGUGUUCAUUCUACUGAAAGGGAAUUAAAAUCUCUAGUUUUUGCCAUGUUUCCUUUUCUACAGUAUGAUUCAUUGACGAAUAUAAACAUUACAAUGUGGGGUUUGUAUAAAAUUUAUUUGUUUUUCAUUCAUGUUUGUACUCUAUUCUUGGGAGUAUUGAUGUGAAUGGGAUCUUAAGAGAGGUCUGAUUUUGUUUUGGGUGAUCUAGAAUCAUACAAUGUAUGAUGUGUGUCUACUUAUUCUAGAAUCGUUUACAAAAACAGCAUGGUAGAUCAAGGAGGUGGUUGUCAGGCCUUGCAUCCAUCUUGAUAAGGUUUUUGAUAAGAACAAAAUUUAUUGCACAUGUAAUGCUUGUUAUGUACACUACAGGUGUAACUUUGUUUUAUUUUUGUUUUUAUUUUUUUAUUUUUUUAUUUUUCGUUUUCUUUCUGGAUGUGAGUUGUUGAUCUUUUACAUUGCUUAAGACAUCAUAAGCUCAUUGUUUUGAAUAGAAUUACUUUGAGGGGUAUGCUUAGAUGUUCUGCAUGGUUACGGUUAUUCGGUAACCAGUGCCAUAGUUUUGGAAAUUUGGAUUCUUAAUUAUGUGGGUUUAUCCUUGUUAGGUGUUCUGGACAAAGUGGUAGCCAUGGUUAAUUGUUGCUCGUUGUUCAUAUGCCAUGAUUUUGGUAAUUUGGAUGCUUAGCUUUGAAGGGUUACCGUUAUUCGUUAGUCGUUAUUAGUUAAUCGUUGGCCGUAUUUUUGGUAGUAUAGAUGCUUUUAAUGGGUUUAACCUUUGUGCAGAAACUUUUAUUUUAGAAGUUGCAGAGGUCGUUUACAACGGUUACAAAUCUAGCAGAUUCUAUGCUUUUAGAUCCUUCUCUUGUUUGUCUUCACAAUAUAUCUUGGAGAAGCAUUAACGAUAUUUUGUCGUCUACUGUGAUAUUAGUGAGUUUCCUUUCAUGGCUCUUAGUCUGUCUAUAAUUUCUGUUUCAAUGAUUGUGGGUAAUUAUUAAGUUCCAGGAUCAAGGCAUUAAAAUAGGAUCUGCAAUGCCUUUGGGUCUGUCAAUUUUUGUUAUGGAUGGAUUUGGAUAUGGAGGAUGUGGAUAUCUAAUAUGAGUUUCAUAUGGUGAUCGUGAUCGUUGAGUAGUAACUUAGAAUUCGGCACUUUUGGAAUGAAGCUUGAGUUUAGAAACUAGAGGGGAGAAUGCGACAUUGUCUACAGCAUGCAUGUGAAUGAAAUUGGAUCAGUUCUUAAAGCAGCAUUUAUUGGAUUCUGUGCUCUUGAAAGAAGCUUGAAUUCAGAAACUAGAAUGUAGAUUAUGCCAUUGUUACUCAUAGGAGGAGGGAUAUAUUAUUCAGGUGGCUUGUUAUCAAAUCUAAUGGAGGGAUUCUCGAAAGGGAAACAAAUGUUGUAGUCUUGUAGAUUUGAUCAGUUGAUAUCUAACAUGCUUGUCAUUAAAAUAACCUUCAGUUACUAAGGUAGGAGGCAGCAGGUAGGAUUUUUUUUACUUGUAGAAUGAAGCCUGUAUUCAGAAACUAGAACAUGGAAUAUGAUGUUUUCAACAUGUGUGUGGAAUGUAGAUUAGCAUUGCUAGUUAUACAACAGUGACAUAUAUUCAUACAGCUUUUCCCUGAAACUGAAUGAAUGUUUAUUGGGUAUACGGGAUAAACAUGCCUGUCAUUGAACUAGUGAUGAAUUCUUAAAGCAGAAACCAGUAAGAUAGGGUUUCUAUACUCUCAGAAUGAAAGCUUGAAUCAGAAACUAGAAUGUAGGUUAUGAUAUUGUGUCACAUGUUAUUGAUGCCCAUGAUAUAUUCUUAAAGCAGCAGUAUAGGAUUCUGUACACUUGGAUUGAAGCUUGACUUCAGGUACUUAGAAACUAGGUUGCAACCUUGUGUAUCAUAUAAUGAGGUGUAUUAUUUAGGUGGCUUAUUUUUUAAAAUAAUGGAGGGCUUCUUGAUAGGAAAACAAAAGUUACAUGUGUCAUUGAAGUAGUGAUCAAUUCUUAAAACAGUAGGGUAGGAGUCUGUAUUAUUUAGAAGGAGCUUGCAUUCAGAGACUAGAAUGUUGCUUAUGGCAUUAUUACUCAUCCCUAUGAGAUGGCUUGUUUAGGUAACUAACACUAUAGGGAAACAAGAUUUCAUUAGGUAACCCUUUGGAUGCUGUAUAAAUACACUGAUGAAUUGUGAAAUAUAGUCCUGGAAUGUCCGGAGAACUGAAACUUGCAGUGUUUGUGUGAGAUUUUUCUGUAUGGACAAUCUCUUGGGUCUUUGAUGUUUGUUGCACAUUCUUUCUCCUCAGAUUUCACUGCUAUCCUCUAAAAUAUGUUGUGUUAUCUUUCAUAUUUCCUUUUAAGAUUAAUCCUGCUUUCUUUAAUCUUUUAAGGUUAUUCAUCUGACAGUGGUUGCUCUCUACAAUAAUAUUAUGGAGUAUUGCAGACUUGAAGCAGGGUUUAGAUAGGAGGGCAAGUUUUUGGAAUGGAUGCGGCUCUCAGACUCGAUAUAGGUCAGACAUUUAGAUUUUCCUGAGUUACUUUCCAUUUUUAUCUGUGUACUCGUUUCCCAUGGUGGACAGUGACUGAAACUUGUUCUCCAAUGUUACACUAUAGGUUCGUUUCUUCUUCAAACUUGCUGAAGUUUGACCAAUGAAACCAUUCUGGUGCUACCUUGCCCAUAUCUCUGUGACGUUUCACCACAUUCCUUGACGUAGAUGAUUGCAGGCAUUUAUAGUAAAACUAGUUUCAAUUUUAAAUUCAGGUCCAAGCGUAUUGAAAUAGGUGCUUGAUUUUGUGCUCUUUGAUUCUUCCUAAUUGUGAGGCCCGUUUUGAGUGUGUGCUACUAACCAACCAUACGCUGACUGGCUUGUGAGAAAUGAGAACUUUAUGUGUUCACUGACAUUAUUUAUUUUGUAGUUAAUCACUUGGUUCUCCACAGUGAUAUCAACCUGAACGUAAUUCCCCCAUGAAUUAUUGCUUUUAAUGUUUUGAUUUGGUUUCCUGAGGUCGACCAUCCGAGGCCAUAUGGAUGCCAGUGCACGUUGCUGUUAAGCCACAGAAUGAGAACAUUGGCAGGCACCCUGAAACUGACUUUUGGGACCCAAAGUGCCUUUCAUGGCAUUUUCCUUCUGUCCUGUCCUCAGUGUUCCUCCAAAGUAUGGUGAUGCUUCUUCGAGAGCCCUUGUCAUGGCGUUUUCUUGCCGGUCUGUGCUGAGAGUUGCUUCCAAGCCAUGGUGAUGGUUAUGGGAGAGUCCCUUAGAACUCUGCACAAAGGUGAGCAUAUUCUCUCUCCUUUUUUAUUUUUAUUUUUUUUGCCCUUUUCCUUUAUGCAGGACAUGUGAUGGACUGCACCCUCCAAUUUGACUCUUUUGUUGGAUUGUAUUGGGGUUGUGUGGUCCAUGUAUCCCAUUUACUCGUACUACUCUCCAUUAUAGGUCUUGUUCAUGGGUGGUCUAUUAAUCUACUGGGAGGUGGGUCAAGCUUUGCCCGCCAACAAGGCUUCUUUCUUAACCUAGGGAGAUGGUUGUGGUCAUGAGGUUAGGGCCCACAACACCAUCGAUGUUCUAUGAAGUUGUAUGUGUAAGUAUUACAAAAGCUUCUUUACAAUGCUAAAAUUUGAACUAAUUGUUGUAACUUGAAAAAGCUAAGGUGAUUCAAAAAACUAAAAAAGUAAAGGCGGCUAAUCCUGGUUUCUUUGAUCCUGAAUCUGGUUUGCAUUCUUCUUGAAGGGGAAAAGCUUCAGCAUCAUCUGUAACUUUAAGAAAGAAAUUUUGACUCUCAAGUACAAUGGGUUUUGUAACAGAAACUUUGUUGACCCAAAGAGGCCUAUGGGUUUGGCUAAGAGGUGAUGAAAGGUAAGUUUCAUUACAAUAACGGACCAAAGGAGGCCAACACCACCUCUCACAAGAUCUCCCUGUUCUCCUUGUUUCCAAAGACAUAACAAAUGCAAGGCGAGAGGCGCAUGCACAACACUUUCAUAAUUGUUUUCUAAUAAUUGUCACCGACAUGCUAGGGUUCAUAAAGUGGUAACAAAGUAAUCACAGGCUUGAUGGUUGUAUAUUCAAAAUUUUCCUUGUUUUUUUUUCCUUCAGUGCAUGUUCUUGGAAAGGGGUUGGUGGAAGGGGUUAGCUUUAAGAAGAGAGUAAUUACACCGGAAAAGCCUUUAUCAUCAUGUAUUUCGUUGUCAUCUUUCCGUAUGUUACUAAAACAAGGUUAAAUCAUGAACAUUUUAUUGGAGCUCGUUAGGGUAUGACCGAGUGGUAUGAGUGAAUACUUGGACGUGUGGAAGAGGUGUACGAUUUUGGUUUUGAUUCCUGCUGGCUAUUUCGAUUGUGAUCAGUCACGUCGAGGUUUGCUAGCCAUGGGUGGGCCUGGUGAUGAUGCCAAAAUCAAGGGUAAUAAACUUUGUUUAGUGGUAAGAAAAAUAGGCUUAUCAUAUUGAUAGAAAGGUAUGACUUCCUUCGUCGCACCUUGCCUUAUGAAGUAGCCCUAUUUACUUUAGUAAAUCACAUUAGAUGUGAGUGAAAGGUUGGUAGGGGUAGUCAUUAUCCUUUCCAUUAUGAGGGCGAUACUAUAGAGAUUGGAAUUAAUGUUGAGAUAAUUAUUAGACACAUGUUACUUGUUUAACCUUCAUCCUAAGUUGUCUUGGGUAAUUUUUCCCCUUCUCAUGUCUUGAUUGUCAUCUUAGGAUCCACCCAUGCCUUCCUUAAUAUUAGUGGCUCAGAGGUUUAACUUUCACAUCAUCCUGACCUUUUCUUGUUCAAACCUUACUUAGAGCAAGGAAAUUGAAAAGAUAAUCCAUGUUUUCCCAAGAUUUGUUGAUUAAGGCUUUGAUUUUAGAUUUAAAGUGUUCCAUUUUCCAUAAGACAUUGAGUCUCUUUAAGGCCUUUAUUGUGGUUUCAUUUUGUCUAUAUAAGCUUGAUCAUUUGGGGUGCAUGUAACUAUCUUCCUUGAGAUAUUAGAUUUCAACAACGAAAGUAUUAAAAACAAUAUUACUCUAUAUUAGAUGCUUAGAAACAUUAUCUAUGAUUUGAAUGUUCCUAGAUUAGUUGUAGUUAUAGAUAAAAAUAUUGAGAUAUAUCAAUGAUAUAUCGUGUAUUAGAGGAAGUCGAAGCGAUAUAUAAGUAAUAUAUAUUAACAAACGAAAAUAUAGGUUUUUAUUAUGAAAAAUCAUUGAUAUAUCAAUGAUAAUCGAUAAAUUGGCGAUAAAUUUUAAAAAUCGGCGCUGGUUGCAAAAAUUAUUGAAAUUUUGGUGAUAUAGCGACAAAAAAUUGUCGAUUAUUUGAUGAAUAUUUUUGCUUCAAUAUGUGCUUGAUUCGAUGACCCAUAUCACACCUGUAUUAAUCCAAUGCCCUAAAUCACACCCGUAUUGAUCCAACAACCUAGAUCAUGUUUGCAUUUUUUAAAGUUGAUGCAAUGGUCAAAUGAGUUAUCCAAGGGCCCAGAUUAAAUCUAGGAGAUGAUCCAAUGGUUGGGAAGUAAUAUCAACAGCUAUUUGAUGCUCUAACGGUUAGAUGUUGUCCAAAUUUUGAUCAAAUGGACAUAUAUGAUUUCUAACUUUCAAAUCACUUUCCAACAACUAUUUUGGCUCAAAUCUUUUCUAUAAAUAGCUAAUUCUCAAUCAAUUUCAUUCACAAUUCAUUCCAAAAGUGUAUUGAUCUCUUUUUUUUUUUUUUUUGUGAUUAUUCUCAAAAUCUAAUAAAUUUGGGAAUUUAGUGCUCAAGUUUGUGGAUUAACUUCAAACCAAGGUUGCUCAAUUAUUGUAAAAUAUGUUUGUUUUAAAUCUCAAUUAUUUUUAUAUUAAAUUUAAAUUAUUUAUUUAAUUUUAAUAAUAGUUUAAUGUUAAUUUUCAAUACAUUAGUACAUUUUUAAUAGAUGUAAGUAAAUUAAUUUAGCAUAGUUAUACAUUUGAAUCACAUGAUUAAUACAUUUGUAAUAAGUUAGUUUUAAAUUAAUGAUUUAAUUUUAUUUUGAUAUUCAAGUGUAAUAAUAGCCUAUUGAGAACAAAUUGACUGAGUACAUAAUUAAAUUAGUAUAAUAUUGAAUUUAAAUUAGUCCAUUUUUUUAAUUAAUUAGUAUAUUUUCAAUAGAUUUAAGUAAACUAACUUAGCAUAUCUUUGUCAAAGGACAACUUUUGUUAAAUGCUGUCCACACUAGGACAGCUUUGCUGGUCAAAGGACAGCUGUCACACUUCCUUCCUUAUUUUAGCCCACACUUGCUGUCCACACUUCCUUCCUUAAUUUAGCCCACCAUUCUUUCCUUAUUUUAGCCCACAAUUGUUUCCUUAUUUCUUCAUUUAUUAUUUUGUACAAUUAGCAUAUAUUAUUUGACAGAUUAUAGUUUACAUGUAUAGGGCUAGAAUCAUGCUGGAAUUUAUUUCCUUUUAUUUUCUUUCCAUGUAAAGCAUCCUUGUAAAGUCUAUAUAUAAUAUACAAAACUCAAGACCAAGGUAUUCGGUCAUUCACACAAUAUUUUGACAUGGUAUCAGAGCAAGGUUGCUAAUUUUUCUUCCCUCAAAUUAUUUUCUGUCUUUUCGGUUUCGGAGGUGCCUCUCGUGUCUUUCGGUCAAGUUUGUGUUGAUCCGUGCUGCACCCAACCACAACCAUUUCUCUCAGUAUUUCUGUGGCUGUCGUGGGUCAGUUUUUCUUCUGGGAUUUUUUUUUGGUCCAUCCUUUUGUCUCGGGUUCUAUUUAUUUUCUAUGGAUUCCGCACCGCUGUGUGUUAAGUUUACAGGCACCAAUUAUUCUACCUGGGCAUUUCAGUUUGAACUUUUUCUCAAGGGAAAAGACCUUUGGGGUCAUAUUGAUGGCACAGAUGUUGAAAAACCAUCCACUUUUGACAAAUCUCAGGAUGGUGGGACUUCUCAUUCAUGGGCUGUGCUUGAUGCACGCAUCAUGUCUUGGCUUCUUGGUUCAGUGGAGCCUCAUAUUGUCACCCACUUGCGGCCCCAUCGCUCCGCUCAAUCUAUGUGGGCUUAUUUGAAGAAAGUUUAUCAUCAGGAUAACGAUGCUCGUCGCUUUCAAUUAGAACAUGCGAUUGCCAUGUUUCAACAUGGUAGUCUUUCCAUCCAGGACUACUACUCAGCAUUUCUGACUCUUUGGCAUGAAUAUGCUGAUUUGGUUACAGCGGAUGUUCCUAUUAUUGCCACUCUCUCAACUAUUCAGACUAUUCACGCGACUACCCGGCGUGAUCAGUUUCUUAUGAAACUACGUCCGGAAUAUGAAUCUGUUCGCUCCUCUUUACUGAAUAGAUCUCCUGUUCCCUCUCUUGAUAUUUGUUUUGGUGAGUUACUUCGCGAAGAGCAACGCCUUAGUACUCAAGCUAUUUUGGAGCAAUCUCAUGGCAGUUCCGGGACGACAACUGUAGCUUAUGCUGCCCAAGGACGCGGACCACCUAUGCAUUCUAAAAACUUGCAGUGUUUUUGCUGCAAGGAAUAUGGGCAUAUUGCUGCCACUUGCCCUAAGAAGUUUUGUUCUUAUUGCAAGAAGAAAGGUCACAUUAUCAAAGAAUGUCGUAUUCGCCCCCAGAAUCGUCAGGCCCAAGUAUUUCAGACUUCGGUUAUUGUCCCUCCUGUAGCAACACACGACUCUCCUUCAGCUGCGUGCUCUGUUCCUGCACCUCCUGCACCAGAUUAUUGCACCCCAGAAAUGGUGCAACGGAUAUUAAUUUCAGCAUUAUCAGCAAUGGGGUUUCAAGGUAACAAUUCUACUAAACUCUGGUACGUGGACUCGGGGGCCUCUAAUCACAUGACUAAUAAUCUCACCGCUUUGUGUCAUGUUUGGCCCUACGCUGGUCAAUCUUCCAUUCAGACUGCCAAUGGCAGCUCUUUGCCCAUAGCUGCUAUCGGCGAUGCCUCUUCUAAGUUCACUGAUGUGUUUCUUGCCCCUCAGCUUUCCACGAAUCUUAUUUCUGUUGGCCAAUUAGUUGAUAACAAUUGUGCUGUUAAUUUUUCUGGUAAUGGUUGUGUUGUGCAGGACCAGGUAACGGGGAAGCCGAUCGCGAAGGGACCUAAAGUGGGGCGCUUGUUUCCACUAUUUUUACCUGUUCCAGAUUUUUCUCCACGUUCUUCUAUUAAGUCUUUUGCUUGUAAUAAUGUUUCAGAUCUUAGUAUGGUGUGGCAUCGUUGUUUAGGCCAUCCCAAUACUUAGAUCUUAUCUCAUGUAUUGAACUCUGAUUUACCUGGUAAUAAGGAUCGUUAUUCUUUAUCUCUUGAGUGUGAUUCUUGCAAACUUGGUAAAAGUAAAACUCUUCCCUUCCCUUUGCAUGCAAGUAGAGCAUCUCACUGCUUUGAUCUUAUCCAUAGUGAUGUUUGGGGACCUUCCCCGGUUAGUUCACAUGAGAAAUUUAAAUAUUAUGUGACUUUCAUUGAUGAUCAUAGCAGAUUUACUUGGGUUUACUUUCUUCGCUCUAAAUCUGAGGUCUUUCGUACUUUCACUGAGUUUUUAGCGUAUGUUGACAAUCAAUUUUCUACUUCUAUUAAGACAUUACGCACAGAUUCUGGUGGUGAAUAUUUGUCUACUGAGUUUCAAGCAUUCUUGGCUUCUAAGGGUAUUAUUCAUCAACGUUCAUGUCCCUUUACUCCUCAACAAAAUGGAGUUGCCGAAUGCAAAAAUCGUCAUCUUUUAGAUGUGGUACGUACUCUCUUGUUAGAAUCUUCUGUUCCAUCCAUGUUUUGGGUAGAGGCUCUAAAAACUGCUACUCACUUGAUUAAUCGUUUACCUUCUCAAGUCCUACAUAUGGAGUCUCCCUAUUUCCGCUUAUUUGCUAAGCAACCUAGUUAUGAUCACCUUCGUAUUUUUGGUUGUGUAUGCUUUGUUCAUUUACCUCCUCAUGAGCGACAUAAAUUAUCAAGGUCCUCCCACUAUUGUUCCUCUGGGUUGCAAAUGGGUUUACUCAGUCAAGGUCCGAUCUGAUGGAAGUUUGGAUCGUUACAAAGCUCGGCUUGUUGCACUUGGGAAUAAUCAGGAAUAUGGUGUCAAUUAUGAAGAGACCUUUGCUCCUGUGGCUAAAAUGACUACUGUUCGUACGAUUCUAGCUCUUGCUGCUUCCAGUGAUUGGCCAUUACAUCAGAUGGAUGUAAAAAAUGCUUUUCUUCAUGGGGAUCUUAAAGAGUGUAUUUAUAUGAAGCCACCCCCGGGAUUGUUUCCCUCUCCGACUUCACAUGUGUGUAAGCUUCGUCGCUCUCUUUAUGGUCUCAAACAGGCUCCGAGGGCCUGGUUUGAGAAAUUCCGCACCACUUUAUUACAAUUUUCAUUCAGGCAGAGCAAGUAUGACACUUCCUUGUUUCUUCGGAAAUCAGACAUGGGUAUUGUUGUUCUUUUGGUUUAUGUUGAUGAUAUUGUGAUCACUGGUUCCGAUUCUGCUUUACUUGGUCAGCUCAAAACUCAUCUCUCCGAGUCCUUUCAUAUGAAAGAUCUUGGGCCUCUCACAUAUUUUCUUGGUCUUGAGGUGCAUCAUAGUCCCUCUGGUAUUUCCCUCAAUCAACAUAAGUAUGCGAGUGACUUGGUGGCUACAGCUGGUCUACAAGGGGCUACUUCUGUUGAUACUCCCAUGGAAUUAAAUGUCAAGCUUCGCAAAGAGGAGGGCGACUUACUUGCUGAUCCCAGUUUAUACAGGAAGUUGGUGGGUAGCCUUGUUUAUCUCACCAUUACUAGACCGGACAUUUCUUUUGCUGUACAGCAAGUCAGCCAGUUCCUUCAGACUCCUCGUCAUCUUCAUUUGGCUGCUGUUCGUAGGAUCAUACGCUAUGUUCAAGGCACUUCUACUCGUGGCUUGUUCUUCCUUGCAGGCAAUUCUACUCGCCUUGCUGCUUAUAGUGAUGCUGAUUGGGCUGGUUGUGCGGAUACCCGUCGCUCCAUCACUGGUUGGUGUGUGUUCUUAGGAGAUGCAUUGAUAUCUUGGAAAAGUAAGAAGCAAGACAGAGUCUCUAAGUCAUCUACGAUUCUGAGUACCGGGCGAUGUCUCUUGCUUGUUCUGAAAUCAUUUGGCUUCGAGGUUUGCUUGCGGAGUUAGAUUUUUCUGAGACCGAUCCUACACCUCUCCAUGCCGAUAAUACAAGCGCUAUUCAGAUCACGGCCAAUCCUGUCUAUCAUGAGCGCACAAAGCAUAUUGAAGUGGACUGUCACUCUAUCCGUGAAGCCUUUGAAGCUCGUGUUAUCGCUCUUCCACAUAUUUCCACCGACUUACAAAUUGCUGAUAUCUUCACCAAGGCUCUCCCUCGUCAUCGACAUUGCUUGCUAAGUAGCAAAUUGAUGCUUGUUGAUCAACCUGCAUCAAUUUGAGGGGGGCUAUCAAAGGACAGCUUUGCUAGUCAAAGGACAGCUGUCAAAGGACAGCUUUGCUGUCACACUUCCUUCCUUAUUUUAGCCCACACUUGCUGUCCACACUUCCUUCCUUAAUUUAGCCCACCCUUCUUUCCUUAUUUUAGCCCACAAUUGUUUCCUUAUUUCUUCAUUUAUUAUUUUAUACAGUUAGCAUAUAUUAUUUGACAGAUUAUAGUUUACAUGUAUAGGGCUAGAAUCAUGCUGGAAUUUAUUUCCUUUUAUUUUCUUUCCAUGUAAAGCAUCCUUGUAAAGUCUAUAUAUAAUAUACAAAACUCAAGGCCAAGGUAUUCGGUCAUUCACACAAUAUUUUGACAAUCUCUACAUUUGAAUCACAUAAUUAGUAAAUUUCCAAUAAUUGAAUGAAAUUAAUGAUUUAAUUUUAGUAUUUUGCAUUAUUAAUAGCAUUGAACUUAAAUUAAUUCAAUUUGAUGUCAUGUAUAGUUCACUUUCAAUUGCAAUUGAAUUUAAUAUUAGUUUCACAGUCUAUUAUUGUAUACUCAUUUUUUUUUUUAAAUCACAUAAUUAUUUCAUUUAAGUUUAUUAAAUUAAUGGUUUAAUGUUUCAACUUAAAAAGAAUAGUCAGUGGAAAUGCAGUUGGGAGUGACAUACCGAGACGAGAUUUAGCUUGGAAGCAUUGUAUACUGGUGGAUGGGAAAAUAUAUGAGACAAUUUGUAACUAUUGUAACUGUUGAUGAAGAGUAGAGGCAUUACUCGAUUCAAGUUCCAUUUAUCGCAUAUAAACCUGCACUUUAACACCAAAAAAUGUCAUAGAGUGCUUCCUAAAGAGAAAUAAGAGAUACGAUAACUUUUGCAUCAAAAAACCAAAGCAAAAGCAAAGAAAGUUGCGAAUGUUGAAGAGGUCUAUGCUCAAUUACGUGGCACCAUAUGGGCAGCUAAAGACAUGUCAUAGACUAGGAUGAUGAUGAUGAUGAUGUGUACAUGUAUUUGACAGCUAUGCACUUUGAUAAGCGAGAUGCUUAUCUAUUUGUGGACCCGUAUUUUUUACGUGUCUCCACUCAAUCGACAAGACUUACUUUUUUUUUUUUUGUGAAAAUUUAGUUUUGGAAAAGUUGGAGUCGCCACUUAUUUUAUUUUUAUUUUAAAGGGAAAAUAAAACAAAAAAGAAAACCCUAAAGAAGUGACUCUAUAGUUUUUGGAAAAACGUGUCUUUGAAAAAAUCCGAGUCUAGGUCCGAGGAUCAUGUUACCUAUUGGGAAGGUACCUCUAAAAGGUAGUAUCCCUCUAAGCCCUAAAAAGGUCUCUACUAACCUAGUUGAACGAAAUGAGGCAAUUAAUUGGUUGAUUAUAGAUACCUAAAUAGGCUAAGGUGAUUUCAAGAUUCUAUCCAUACUAGCAUGUCAAAUAAGAAAUCAAAUUACAAUCAUAAAGGAGAGUUAGGGUGUGUACCUGAACUGAUUCUUACUUGCUAUCAUAAGACAAUCAAACAAGUAUCAAGGCAAUCAAGGAUAGCGUUCAAACAUGGAUAUAGCUCAUGAUAACAUGCAUUUUCAUAGAAUUUUGGAAUUAGAGAAUAGAGAGCGUACCUGGAUAGCAAGUAUAUUUUAUAAGAUUCCUCCAAAGAUGCUAGAGUGGUUAGGAUAAGCAUAAAUUAUAUAACACAUCCAUUAUGUUUAAUAUACAAUGUCAAAGCCAAAAAUUGAGUUAAGAUAAAUCAAAUGACUCCAAAAAUAAUAACAAUUUCAAGUAAAGUAUAAAAUCAUCAACAUGUAGUUAGAAAAGGAAGCAUCAUAAAAUAAUUUCUAAAAAAAUGGCUUAGAGUGGAAUUUAAAUACGAAAAAUUUCAGGAAACAACUUGUACACAUCUAGAUCAAUAUACCGAAAGGCAAACACUCAUUCAAAGGAUAGAUUACAGCAAAGAAACCUAAAGGUUCUACAAAGUCCAGAUUAGAUAAGAAAAAGUAACAUGCAUAAACAAUUUUAAAAAUAAUAAUAAUAAAUGAUCACAUAAAAUCAUAAAAAAAAUCACACAAAUAGUCCAAAGUGUUUAUAUCACAUAAAAAAAUGAAUCCAGGUUAGAUAGUACUCAAAAAUAUUUUUAAAACACUCAAGAUAAUCAGAUGUCCAGAAUCCAGCAUGCACAGUAGACACGACUUUGAAAAAUCACAUCUCCCUCAAAAAGGCAUAUUUUUUAAUAUUUUAUGUGUCAAAGAUCAAUUUCAAGAAGCCUAGAAUUGAGAAAAAAUAUUGAAUCAAAUUUAAAAAGUUGUUUAGUAUUUUAUUUUUGCAAAAAUAUCUCGGAGCCCCCCUAUAGACUCGUUGAUAUCUUCUAUUCUAGAAUGGCUUUCUAACUCAAACGAAACUUUAAAUUCAAGUUCAAGAAGUGAGGAAAGUCAUACAAGUUUUGGAAAUUUUUUAAAAAUAUUCUAAAGUUGCUUAAACGAAUUUUAAAUCUAGAAGGUCAGUGGUUGAAUGAAAACUGGUAGCAAGUGGUUUCUUGAAAUCUGAAUUUUUUAUGAAUCUAGAAACUCUUUAAGGAUGGAAUCUAGAAACUCUUUAAGGAUGAAAUCUGGAAUCGUUUAACAAAACAAAGAAAGAGGAGGAUGGUGUGACUGCCCUUGAGAAUGAGUGAAUGGUGCGUGUAGGUAAGAUCGUUUGUGGAGGCUGGCUUAUUCUAUAUUAUGCAUGCUACAUGUUGUAACGUGGCUUUAAAGAGGACGCAAACCGCCCCAUUUUCAAUCCUUGAUGCAGAUGUUAGUGGAGUUCAUUCAUAGUGGCAGUAGAACUGUAAAUUCCUUUUGAGUUGUGUGCUGAAAUUGAAUUCCAAAUGCACUUUGUCCCCUGUAGCAUUGCUAAUUGCACGAAAAUGAUAGCAUGCCUGCCCAUAUGCAAACCGUUGACCUUUUUAUGCAUGGACUUUCACAAAGAGCCUAGAGCAACAAGAGACAUCAAAUUGCUAAUGCUAUGGGGUAUAGUUCCAUCAAUUUAAUUUCCUUAGGGGCAUUUGAAAGUGUUAAUGACCUGCAUAAAUGCACCAUUUCUUUUUGUUCAUUUCGCGACAUACAUGAACUUCACAUUAACGAGUUCACAUUUUUUUUUUUAUCACCAACAGUCCACAUAGAUAGCUUAGACUACACGAACUCUUGAGUGUGGGCAUGUUAUGCAUAAUGGAAUCUCUGAUUUUAGAUUGGAAUUGUGGUGUUGUUUCCGUUCUCUUUCCAAUAACAGUAUCGCUUAGAGACCGUGGUUGUGAAGUUGAGGUUAGUGAUUGAGAUGGGAAAAUGAAGAAAGAUGGCCAUGCAUGGCCAUAAAAAAAAAAAAAAAAAAAGUCUAGCACUCACGUGUCACCCAAUAAGAAUUCUAUGCUUGGAGGCCGGUACCAUGUGGAUGAACUUGAGGCUAAGAUGCAAUAUACCUAGACCAUGCAACAACAACACAAUCCCUGUUACUCCAAAUUUAAGUGCAGUAAGAACUGCUGGUGCGACUUGGAAAACAAGCAUCUGCAUUCCAAAUCUUGAAUUCCCAUUAGCAAAAUCACCAAAUUGGGUUUCCCAUAUUACUUAAGCAAUUGAAAACCUCUAGUGACAUAUGGUCUGAAUCAGAACUAUCGUGCUUUCGAGCAUUAAAUAUUCAUCUUUCCUUUGUUUCAAUGAAUAACCAUAACAUUAUGCUCGUAGUUUUAUUUGAUUAUUGCCUAGAAUGUCCCCUGUUGGAGACUUCAUUGAUGAAGGAAUAUUUUAUACCCACACGUCAUGUUUUCUUAUAACAUUAACAACAACUGAAGUAAACAAGCAGGCCACCCAAAACUACUAGACAAGCAAUAAGCAUAAUCUAACACUAUCUCCAGGGAUGGGAGGACUAGGUGCAGAAUGCUAAAUAAUCCGAAGUAGAUCAUCAAACAAAGUAAAGAAUCAUUAAAUUAAGUCACAUCCCAUGCUGCAAUCAACAGGCUUAAGUGCAAAUGGGGGACUUAGAUUUCAAACAAACACUAAAGCAUGAUUUUCAAACACCAAAGCGGAAAAUAACACUCAACAUUCAACGAGAAAGGAGAAGAGAACAAUGAAGGAUAUCAACAUAAAUAAAACAUCCAUUUGAAUCGAUGUUCAACAAUACUUAACGAUGCAACCAUGAUUAUUCUCAACCAUACAAACAAACGAUAUACCAGUAAUAAAAAGAGAAGAUGAAGACCAUAGAUCAUGAAAACGAACAUAAACCCAUAGCAAAGAUACUUGGAGUUGCCCCCAUUCUCUGACGUGCUGAAAGUCCUUUUUGAAAAAGACCUCAUUUUUUUUUCUCUAUCUCUCCUCGUCUAUGAAAACCCUCUCUGAAAAAAAAAAUCCUUCAAAACCACCAACCUAUGUUUUUUAUAGCAAUUGGCAGUUGUUCCACCUGAAGACUCCUCCUCUCCCUGAAUUCUCAUCUACUAGAAAAAUCCCUUUUAAAUUUCAAACAAAACCAAUCCAUGCAUAUCACCUAAGAGUCCCAUCUUUUCCAAAAACUCCUUCAUCCCUAUUUUAGCUCUCCAGAAGAGUUCAUUUCCUUUUGAAAGUCUUACCAAUUUCAAAAUUCUUUUUCAUCCAAUUGGUUGAUUUUCCUAUAAAAACAUCAAAUUAUUAAAUUAAAUUAAUGAAUAAAAAUAAAUAAAUAAAUAAAUAAAAUAAAAUAAUAAAUCGGAGAAUGAUAAAAUAAUAAUAGAUAAAUGAAUAAAUAACAAGAUAAUGAACAAAAUAAUAAUAAAAUAACUAAAUAACUAAAUAAAUAAAAGUGAUUGAUAAUAAUAAUAAAAUAAAUAAUAAAUAAAUAAGUAAAUGAGAUAAAUGAGCCAUGCAACCAUACAAAUCACGCUAAGAAUGUCUAAUGGGUCAAGCGUGCCUAAAUGGGCCUAAAGUGUCUAAAUGGGCCUAAGUGAACCUAGACGGGCCUAAGGUGUCUAAAUGGGCUUAAGGUAGUGCCUAAUGGGUCGGGUAUACCUAUAUGGGCCUAGGCUGAGACUAGGUGGGCUUAACUAAGUUUAACCUAAAGUGCAGCUAAGUGAAGCCUAAUCUAAGCUUGAAAGGUAGCCAAGGUCAUAAAUGUGGAAUUGAAUAAACCCCUCAACCAAAGUCUCUAAAGUGGCUUAGAAAAGGUAAGCUACACGAGUAGUAACAGGCCACCAAGGAAUUGAUGUAAAGUAUCGAACAAACACGUAAAAGGACAUGUGCUAGGAGGACAAUAUGGAGGGUCUACACUAUCCUUAUUUCAUAUAUUAUAUCUCAUGAGCAUUUUGGUCUAACAUCUCUUACAUUGUACAUGAUUUGGGUGCAUUAUGAGUUGCAUAGAAGAUUCAAGUCAUGUGUUCAUUUCUUAUAAGUAGAUGACUUGUUCAUAAUUAGUUCGUAGGCUUAGACAAUCUAUUUAAGGCUAUGGUGCAUUACUUCCUAAUUGUAAGGAAUAUUGGUUUUGGAUAUUAGGAUGAGAUUCCUAUGGUGAGUGCACUAGUAUGUACAGUUACAUAUUGGAUAUGACCUACAAUAAGUCAUGACAUAAGGUUAUCGAGUAAUAAUGACUCAACGGAGUUGCUAUGUUGUAUUGUCCUUUACCCUUGAGAGAAUAUUGAGCUUAUGCUAAAGUUUGUAAUGUCUUUGACAUAAGACUAUUGAGUAGUCAUGACUUCACUAAAUUACUAUGUUGUAUUGUCUUUCACCCUUGAAAGAAUAAUGAGCUUAUGCUAAAGUUUGUAAUGUCUUUGACUUAUAGGUUUUGUCAUAAAGUGAUCAUAUAUUCCUUAUAGAUUGGGCCAUUGUUGAUGGAAGCUAUUAGUAAUAGCCAUUCUCAAUAGAGGCAUCAUGAUAUCUCAUGGACUUUGAGAAGUUUGUUCCUUUGGGUGAACCUAAGGGUAUGUGAUCGUGAAACUUGUGGUUGCAUUAAUUCCUUAAGUGGAAUUUGAUAUAUUCUCAUGUGAGUUAGAAUAUGUUAGUUGAUCACAUAAUAGAAUGAUUUGUAACUUAAAUAUGGUAGAGGUAAUCUUACGAGGUUGAUGACAUUCACCUUGUUAGAUUAUUGAUGUUGGUUCAUGAAGAGAUUGCAUAUAAUGGAUAGUAGGUUAUGGAACUUAUGGGCUUGGGCAAUUUUUGUCUCGUUAUUAUUUAUGUAGGAUACUGAAUUGUAGUUAACUCUCUAUAUUGGGAUGUUGAGUCAAGUUCAAAAUUGAUUAUGAGGGAACCAAUAUUGUUUUAUAAGUUGUAAUGGUCCUCAUUAAAGUUCAUAUUCCUUGGUGACACGAUUUAUGAGGGUUGGAUUUGUUUUUAGUUUACUUUUAUGUAUAAGGGUGUUUUAAUAAAUACAUAAGGUUACAUAGGAGUUAGUGAAGAAUAUCUAUGGACUAGGCUAAUUGAUUAAUUGAAACCUUAUUAGGUUAAUUAAUCAAUUAUGACCCCAUUUUGGGCUAGAUUAAGGAACCCAAGCCCAAGGUGGGCUCAAGUCACUUGAGUUUAUGAAAGCCUACAAAUACUCCUUUAGGGAUUAGGGUUUCAGACUUUUGUCAUUUUCCUUUACAUUAUAGAUAGAGAAACCUAGCAUCCACCCUCCAGAUCUCCAUCAUUUCAGUGCUAAGAUUCAAGGAAGAGUUAAUGAGUAGAAGAUUGUUGACUUUACAAGACCAUACGUUUCUUCAAUACUCCUCACUGACAAGAAUCAAUUUAGGAACGUCCAAACCCUUAACAAUGAAGUAAGAAAAAAGAAAAAGAAAACUAGAAAAACUACAAAUCACUAUAACCUAUAUGCAAAAAAAUUAAUGGAAAAUUUUCUUAAAAAAUUCAUAAUAUACAUGGUUGAUAAUCAAAUAAUUCCACUAUCCAAAAAAUAUCAUUAGAAUCUCAACAUGUUUAGCAUCUAUAAUAGAAAAUCAUCAUAUGAAUCAAAAACUCAACAACAUAUCCAUUUCCAACCCCAAACAAUUUUUCCAUCUAAGUCUUGUGUGUAAUUGAGCUAUUCCUUGAGUAUACUACUCAAAACUAAUCCUUUCCCCCUAUCCUAACUCAAAUAAUUUAACAACAAAAACUAUUGUCUCAAAAGUUAAGAACACACCUAUUUUUAUUCUCCAUUAUCAUUUUUUUAAACAACUUGUUGUAGGAAUGCAAUGAUAAAAGUAUCUCCCAAGCAUAUGGUCAUGUAGCGAGAAUCCAUCAAUGACUCCCAACCAUAAGGCAUAGGGUACCAAGUUUAUAAAACUAUUUCAUUAACCACUAACUUCUCGGAUUUUACCUUAGACUUCAUAAAAUAGGGUCCAAUAUCUUAACACCUACAAUUGAGCUCAUACUCCACCCAUAUAGCGAGUGUUAAGGUUGAUGGCUCCUAACCUAAAUGGCUUAAGACAUUAAGUUUCAAAGACUUUUGUGUCAUAUACCCCUUGGACCUUGCUCGGGUUUCAAGAUAAGCAUAACUUACCAUUUUUAUUCAUUAAUAUUCAAUUUUUUCUUUUUGAGAAUGGGCACCUUGGCUUCUUUCUAAGGUGUCUCAACUUAAUUCAAAAGUAAUUCAUGUUGCUAAGAUGAUUAAAUCCAAGUUUCAAGGUUGAAUUAGUUUUUCAUUUGCCAAGAAUUAUGCCAAAUAGCUUCCAAAAAUUUGCAUAAUGUACCUUUAUGGUCAUGUUGGCAUGGGCAUAUGAAAUUUCAUAUCGAUCUUCUUUAACAUUUGAUUAUUUUAGAUUAAAUCCAAGUUUCAAGGUUGAAGGAGUUUUUCAUUUGCCAAGAAUUAAGUCAAAUAGCUUCCAAAAAUUUGCAUAAUGUACCUUGUGAAACCAAGGUUUGGUUAAUCUUGAUUUUGAUGAUAACAAAACAAGGUUUAGAACUAAUGAUCAUAUUUCAAGUGUGAUUAGGCAAGACGACUUCCAAAGUGGCAAUCCAAAGACAAAUCAAGCCAAUGAGAAAUCAUGAAGAAGAAGACCACUUCAAAGAGAAGAGUUUUUCAAGACCAAAACUUCUUAAGAUCUCUUUGUAAGGUUGUUGGUGCACUAGGACUUUCAUGCAUUUCAUUCUUUAUUUAUGCAUCAAAAUCAUCCAAGAGUAAUAUUGUUUUAAAUAUCUUAAGAAUUGGAUGAUUUCAUGUUUUCAACUAAAACCUUGUGUUACAUGAUUUUCAAACUUGUGUUAAAAGGUUUUAAGUUGAAAAAGGUUGAGUGUUGAGCCAAAAAAAUGGUUCAACCUGUUCAACCGGUCGAUCGGUUGUGCUCGUCCGGUCGAGGACCGGUUGAGGGAGGCCAAAAAGUUUCUCUUUCUCCCAGUGGUCUUCUCUUCCCGGUCAAGAUUGAACCUCAACCGGUUGAGGUCCGGUCAAGGUCCGGUCGAGGUCCAAUUGAGGUCCGGUUGAGGCCCAACGGUCACUUUCCCUAACAGUUAGUCAACCGGUCGACCCUUAGCUCGACCGGACGAACCCCCAAUGGCUAGUUUGGUUUUUUUCUUCUAUAAAAAGGCUCCAAUCUUCAUUGUUUCAAAACCUUAACCUUCCCAAAUCAUUUUUGAUUAUAUUUGAGCCUUGGAAGAGUGUUUUUUAGUGCACCAUUGUUUCAUAACUUGCAUAUCUUUAGUACACCAUUCAAUCCUAGUUUUUCUUGUAUCUUUGAGCCUAAAGUUCUAUUACUAGGAUUUUGAGAGAUGAUUAUUUGUAUAUAUUUGUGAGAAAUUUUCUCAAGUGUGAGGUAUCACUUGAAGGGUUGUUCAAGAGUGGGAUAUCUUUUGAGAAGUGUAAAGGGUGCUUGGAGCUAAAAGUCCAAAAGGGUGAAUUGGAACCAUAAUCCAAUUGUAAAGAGAUUGGAAGCUUGGUUGAAGCUUCAAGAUAGUGGAACCCUUACUCGGUUAGGAGGUUGAGGAAAGUGGACAUAGGCAAGGAAGUGUCGAACCACUAUAAACUCUCGUGUUUGCACUCUCUCUUCCCUAACUCUUUUAAAUUAUAUGCAAUUGUCUUUAUUUUGUUUAUUAUAUACUUGCAUAUAAUUGUCUCUUAUUUUUGCAUAGUUUAAAUUUGUGAAAAAAAAAACCAUCACCCUUUUUACCCCCCCCCCCCUCUCUAGGGUGAUUACCAUAGUUUGGAUUAGCAUCAAAUUCCUAACAUACCUUUAUGGUUAUGUUGCCAUGGACAUACAGAAUUUCAUAUUGAUCUUCUUUAACAUUUUAUUAUUUUAAAUUAUUUUUUUUUCUCUGCUUGAACUCAUUGUCAUUUUCAUUUUUAUCAUGAUUUGUCACAUUUUCAUUUUAUCUCACUCAUUUCUUUACUUUCCAUUCAAACUUAAUUAUCGAGAUUAAUCCAUUCUAGUGGACGAUACCUAAAAUUGCCAUACUAUCGUAACUUUUUCUAAAAACCAUUUUUUGAUUGGGUAAAAACUAUCUUAGCAUAGUUGAAUUAGGUUAAAAAUUUUGUUUUGAUAUGAUAAACGACAAAAAUCCAUGAAUAAAAAAUGGCGUCGUUGUCGGGGAUCGAACCAUGGUCACUGACGUGACAGGAGGGUAUACUCACCACUAUACAACAACAACAAUACAUUUUUAAACCUUUAAUAAUGAAAUGGUGAAAAGAAAAAUAAAAGUAUAAAAACUAAAAAUCACCAUAACCCUUAUGAAAAGAAAUUAAAGAAAAGAUUUCUUAAAAGAUUCAUAAUAUACAUGGUUGAUAAUCAAGCAAUUCCACUAUCCAAAAAAUAUCAUUAGAAUUUCAACAUUUUUACCAUCUAUAAUAGAAAAUCAUUAUAUGAAUCAAAGACUCAACAACAUAUCCAUUCCAAUCCCAAGCAAUUUUUCCAUUUAAGUCUUAUGUGUAAUUGGGCUAGUCCUUGGGAAUACUACUCAACUAAUCUUUCUAUCCCGCCCCCUUCCCCAACUUAGUUCAAAUCAUUUAACAAUAAAAUCAAUUGUCUCAAAGGUUAAGAACAACUUAUUUUUAUUUUUCAUCAUCAAUUUUUUUUUUUCAUUUUUUUAAAGGACUUAUUGUUGGAAUGUAAUGCUAAAGGUAUCUCCUAAGAAUAUGGUCCAUGUAGAAGGGAUCCAUUGAUGACUCCCAACCAUAAGACAUAGGGUACCAAGUUUAUGAGACUAUUUCACCACCCAUUAACUCCUUGGAUUUCACCCUGGACUCUACAAAAUAGGAUCUAAUACCUUAAAACCUAUAAUUGAGCUCAAACUCCACCCUUCCACCCAUAUAGUGAACAUUGAUGUCGAUGGUUCUCAACUAAAAUGGCUUAAGACAUUGGGCUUCAAAGACCCUUGGGCUUCAAAGAACAUUGGGCUAUAUAUCCCUUGGACCUUGCUCGGGUUUCAAGAUAGGCAUAACUUACCAUUUUUAUUCAUUAAUUUUUUUUUCUUUGAGAAUGGAAACAUUGACUUCUUUUCAAGGUGUCUCAACUCAAUUCGAAAGUAAUUCAUAUUCCUAAGAUGAUCAAAUCUAAGUUUGAAGGUUGAAUAAGUUUUUCAUUUGCCAAGAAUUAUGCUAAAUAGCUUCCAAAAAUUUGCAUAAUGCAUUUUUCUGGUCAUGUUGGCAUGAGCAUGCAAACUUCUAUAUCAAUCUUCUUUAAAAUUUGAUUAUUUUGGAUUUUUUUUUCUUUAUUUGAUCUCAUGGCCAUUUUCAUUUUUUAUCAUGAUUUGUCAUAUUUUCAUUUGAUUACAUUUUUUUUUUUUUUACUUCUCAUUCAAUCUUAAUUACCAGGAUUAAUUCAUCCUAGUGGAUGAUAUUUAAAACUAUUAUACUACCAUAGCUUUUUCUAAAAACCAUUUUUGAUAGGGUAAAAACUAUCUUAGCAUAGUUGAAUUAGGUUAAAAUUUUUGUUUUGAUAUGAUAAAUGAAAAAAAUCCAUGAAUAAAAAAUGACGCUGUUGCCGGGGAUCGAACCCGGGUCACUCAUGUGACAGACAGGUAUACUCACCACUAUACUACUACAACAACACAUUUUUAAACCCUUAACAAUGAAAUGGUGAAAAGAAAAAGAAAACUAUAAAAGCUACGAAUCACCAUAACCCUUAUGAAAAGAAAUCAAAGAAAAGAUUUCUUAAAAGAUUCAUAAUAUACAAGGUUGAUAAUCAAGCAAUUCCACUAUCCAAAAAAUAUCAUCAGAAUCUCAACAUGUUUAGCAUCUAUAAUAGAAAAUCAUCAUGGGAAUCAAAGUAUCAACAACAUAUUCAUUUUUAACCCCCAAAUAAUUUUUCUAUUUAAGCCUUGUGUAUAAUUGAACUAGUCUCUGAGUAUAGUACUUAAAACUAAUCUUUCUCCUCAACAUAGCUCAAAUCAUUUAAUAACAAAAUCCAUUGUCUCAAAGGUCAAGAAUAUACCUAUUUUUAUUUUUCAUCACAUUUUUUUUUUUCAUUUUUCUAAAUGACUUAUUGUAAAAAUGUAAUACUAAAUGUAUCUUCUAAGCAUAUGGUCCAUAUAGCAAGGAUCCAUCAAUAACUUCUAACCAUAAGGCAUAGGGCACCGAAUUUAUAGAACUAUUUCACCAGUCACUAAUUCCUCAUAUUUCACCUUGGACUCCACAAAAUAAGGUCCAACACCUUAACACUUACAAUUGAGCUCAUAUUCCGCCUAUCCACCUAUGUAGUAACAAUUGAGGUCGAUGCCACCUAACCAAAAUGGUUUAAUGUUAGGAAUCUUAAAUUACUUUGUUCCCAUGUCCUGGAUCUCUUAGAAUGCAUGUAUCUAUCCCUAGGGAUUUCUAGAUAUAAUGUAAUGAAAAAUAAUGGUUUUAAAACCAUUUUAGAAUAAAGAUCUUGAGAUUUCAAACUCAUACUUGAAUUUGGAUGCUCCUAGAUCAAUUUCGUUAUGGUGAAGAAUGUAUCUAAAUACUCUAAGGGUGUCAUACACCCAAAGUCUUCUACUCGAUGACUCGAACCAUGUCCAUGACAUUCCAAGAAUGGAAUUUGGAAGAGAGAAAACUUUGGCUCUCUUUCUCUCUCUCUCUAGAGGUGAAAGACGGCUAAUAAAGUCAUUAAGAAACCUGAACCCUAACUUCUAAGGGGUAUUUAUAGGAUUCUCAUAUUGGGCUUAAGUAACUUAAGCCCAUAUGGGUUUGGUCACUUAAUUUAGCUCAAAAUAGGUCAUAAUUUAUUAAUUAAUCACAUAGGGUCAUACAAUUAAUCAAUUAACUCAAUCUAGAUACCUUGCUCACUAUCUCUUAUGCAACUUUACAUAAUUACCAAAAUGUCUUUAUGCACAAGAUUGAACUUAGAACCAAUUCAACCCUUAUAAACCAUACUAACAUGGUAUAUGAGCUUAGAGUAGGAACCACUAGCACUCAUAGGAGUACUAGCUUCCUCAUAAUCCAAUUCUGAAGUUGAUUCAACAUCCCAUUACAAAGAAUCAAUUGCACUUUAGUACCAUAUGUAAAUAACAACGAGACAAAGUUCGGGUUUGUGACUUACUAUCCACUACAUGUAAAUCCCUCAUGAACUUGUGUUUGUAAUCUAACAAGGUAGUGAUAUCACCUAUCAAGAUUACCUAUCAAAUCCUUGAUUUAUAAAUCUCACUUAUUAUUGUCAAUUGACGUACUCUACCUCUAAGAAGCAUAUGUCAAAUUCCACUAAAGGAAUUACUGUAACUACAUAUUUCAUAAUCACACAUUUUUUUAAUCACCCAAGGGGAGACAUUGUCUCAAUCCCAUGAGACAUCACAGUGUCUAUUUGAGAAUACUUGUUGCCACCAGCUUUCAUCACUAGUGACCCAAUCCAUAAGGAUAUAUGACCAUUGUAGGGUUUUACCCAUAUGUUAAAACCUUUUGUUGAUUUCAACAUAGACUCAAUAUCAUUUCAAGGUUGAGAGUCCAUACAGUAUAGUAGUUUGGUGAAUCAUGACAAUCGAUAACCUUAUGUCAUGAUUUACGAUAGGUCUUAUCCAAUGUGCAUCACAUAUAGUAGUGCACUCACCAAGAGAAACUCAUCUCAAUGGUCAAGACAAGUCAUCACUCUAAUUAGGAGGUGAUGCACUAGAAUUUCUAGUGGAUUUCCCAAAUCCAUGAACUAACUAUGGACAACUUAUCUACUUAUAAGAAACCCAUAAUUUGUAUCUUCUGUGCAAUUCCUAAUGCACCCAAUUCAUGUACAAUGUAAUAGAUAUGAGUCGAAUGCUCAAAUCAAUGUCAAUGCGUAAAAGGGAUAGCAAAGGGAUGAUCAAGUCUAACUUUUUUACAUUAUGUCUUGUUUUUAGGGGUUCAAUCCCAACACUUAAGGCACCGAGCUUCAAGACCUUUGGGUCAUAUACCACUCAAACUUUUCCUGGGUUUCAAGAUAAGUGUAACUCACCCAUUUUAUUCAUUAUUAUUUUUUUUUUAGACUAAGCACAUUGGUUUUUUUUUUUUUUUUUAAGGUGUCUCAACUCAAUUCAAAAGUAAUUCAGGCUGCGAAGAUGAUUAAAUCCAUGUUUUAAAAUUGACUUAGUUUUUUAUUUUAUACUUAGGGUCUAGAGUGCAUAAUGUGUGACAAGACUCAAAUAUAACCCAUUGGAAAAUGAAAAUUUCAACAUCUUAUUAACCUUAACUCACAUGACCAAUCUUUUAAAAUCAAGCAAACGUAUAGGUAUUUUAAAUCAAUCUCUUUUAGCUAAGUUUGCUUAAUCAUCAAUCAUUGUACUAGAAUAUUGAAAAAAUCAAUUCGUUAAAUUGUUCAUAUGAUUUAUGAAAAAAAAAAUGAACAAAACAAGCUAACACAUGACAAACAUGAAAACAAACAAACAAAUGACAACUUACAUUUCCAAUCGCAUCCUUUUUAUCCCUUUAUCUAACCAAAUUAUACAUUGUCCUCAAUGUGCAAUGGGAUAUUGCAAAGAAACGAAUGGAGGAUACCUCCAAUGCCAAUGCUUUCAACUUCAAUGUCUGAAAUAAAAAAACAAACUCAAAAACAUAAGUACUCUAGGAAGAAUAAAUCAUAUAGAAAUAUGAAAUAGAAACCAUCAUUAGACACCAAAAAAAGUACAAAAGAGUGUGGAGUAGAUAUUAAAAAAACUAAGAAAAACAAAAAGAGCACUUUAUUUCUCACUACACAGUAGAAAUAGGAGUAGAUGAACUACUUGGCAUUGUAGAGGUAGGCAAAGAAAAUAUAGAAUCCAUCUCGGAUGAAUCAACGUUAGGUGUAGCCCUAGUGUUGCAAACACAAUCUCCCAUAACUUAAUAUCUUUAGAAGUUGUCUUUUUUUGCUCUAUAGUCUCUGGUUGCUCAAGUAAAUGCUCAACCUCAACAAUAGUAGUGAAGGAAGGUAUGCCAAAAUUAAAUAUUAGAGUAGUUGGUACUCUACUACUAAGUGCUCAACAAUAGUCUCCCUAUGGAGAGUUGGGGUAGUAGCUAAAAUAUCUAAUAAAUUGAAAUAAACUAUAAAAGAUGAAUAAAUAGAUGAUAUGUUCAAAUGAUGAUAACAUAAUAAAACUAUUUGCAAAAAGCUAAAUAAGAACAUAACAUUUAAUCAUAACAAACAUUUCCAUCACCAAUUAGAUGAUUAAUUUUUCUAUUGGGAUUCUUAAAGAAGUCUAAAACAUCUAAAUGGGUUAAGUCCACUUAAGCCAUCACCAUCAAUGAAGUUCAUUUCAACUUCCUUUCCAUUUGCUUUUAUUGAGAUUUGAUAAAGGUUAAGCAAAUGUUUUGAAGUACGAUAGGUACAUGACUAGUGUCCUUUCAUACCAUAUCUAUAACAUUCAUUCUCAUGAGUAUAUUUACUUUGUGGUCCUACCCCUUUUCCAAUUCAUGCCUUUGAAUUAUUCCACUUCUGGUGGUUUCAAUUGUUCUUUUAGAUUAUUCCAAAGAAUGAAAAGAUCUUUGACCAUAUGGUAUUCACCUUUUAAUCCUUCACCAAUGUAAUGGUGAAGGAGUAUUAAACUGCAUGGAUGU
rnacentral:lncRNA from 1 species